rnacentral:lncRNA from 1 species
CCUGCCAAUGAGGAAGGGGCACUUGAUGCAUUUGUUUCGAUUGUAACAGGCCCACCAGGGCCGAACCCAGUUCAAUUGAUGCCAUCAAUCUCUAUACCUGUACUAGUUUUAUGGGGUGAUGAGGAUCCAUUCACACCCCUCGAUGGACCUGUUGGUAAAUACUUCUCAUCUCUGCCCUCUAAACUCUCAAAUGUGAAGCUAAUUGUAUUGGAAGGAGUAGGACAUUGCCCCCAUGACGACAGGCCUGAGUUGGUCCAUGAAAAGCUGCUUCCUUGGUUGGCUGAAACAUUUAAUUUCUGAGGAAUUUACUUUCUCAUCAGCAAGUUUUAACGAGCAUUAUAUUAUUCCUAUUGUAAAAAGACAAAACAACUCUUGUAUUUAUGUUGUAUAUAUCAAUUCUUAUUCAACCGCUUGGUUAUCUUUUGGCGCCGAAAGGAAUGUUGGAGAAACUGAUCUCUGACAAGUUGUAGAAGCUCCAAAUUGAUUCAAGAAAUAUAUCAAAUUAUUCAAUAAAAAAUCAAAUUCAGCACAAUAAUAAAGAAUAAUGAUUUAGUAAUCCAUAUUGCUAAUGUCAAUGAUAUGUGAAUGAUAGGAUCCAAUUUUAUACAUGAAAAAGAUACAAUAAUCUAAAUCGAAAUAUAAGUUCACAGGCAUCUUCAAUCCUUUCCUUACAAGUCAUUUUUGUAAAUAGAAAUUCUAACCAUAGACGAUACCACAUCAACUAUGGAAUCAAAUGCACCAUUCCAAAUAUGGAAUUGGUAGAGAUACUUGAAAAAGUGCAUACAUGUUUAAGCAAAUGGAUUCACAACUCAGGUGAGUUGAGUGAAAAUGACCUAUCUCAGUCUUCUUCGUUACAGUUGAAACAUGUGCUUGGGUCUUCCAUUGACGUAGGAUCUGGGGUGUGAAGUAAAUGGAUCCCACAUUUUUUCACCCCGCAGCACUGGCACUCCAAAGGUGGAAAAACAUUAAAGUGGACUGCCUCAAGAAUGCAAUUGCAUUUCCAAAAACCAUUAAAAUCCUCUUCACAGAACUGAUAGUGCCCCAAAUGUAAGUGAUCUGAUUCUACAUAAUUAACUCUGCUCUGAAAUAAUCGUGUGUCAUGCGUACCACAAUCUUUGGUGGUUUUCACUUUGAGCUCACAAGAAAAUGAAAACCAUCUGCCACAAUCUACAUGACGGUCUGAAAAUGCUAAAAUAGCACUAAAUGCAAUGCCCUGCACUCUGCUAUUAUUGAAGAAAUCUGCCGGCAUCUCCAAGGUUAUAAAAGAUCCCACACUUUGAAACUCAAACCACUUUGGAAUUUCAUUCCCAGGUAGUACUAUAUGACCUUUGCCCAUGGAAAAACCUCUCUGUACCAAAAAAACAUAAUUUUAAACUAAAAAAAAAAAACAAAGAUUGUAGAAAUUGGAAGUAGAGAGAGUUAAAGACACACAUUUAGCCAUACUUCUUGCCAUAUUUCUUGCCAACGAUUAGCUGGCGUAUGGUUCGUAUGCUGAAUUCUCAGGGUAUCUUCAACAAUUCCUGCAGGAGAAUUACCUUCCAAUUUAAAAUUAUUGCUCCGGUAAAAAAAAAUUGCCUGUAAGAUUCAUAACUUAGAGAACAAACCUAUAAAUGGUUGCAGUGCCAAGCAACCUCGUUCAAGGAAUGAAGGCUUUUGUACGAAUUCGAACCUCCCACCAUAACUUAAGAGGAGGUAUCCCGACACGAAAAGUUGGAUAAUGCUUUCUGGUAUUCUCUCAAUAUUGGUUUUCGCUAGAUUCAAUAUUAUUGGGUAGGAUAAUUGGCCAAGACAUUCGGGCAAUCUUUGAAGAUUUGAGCAACCACAGAGAUUAAGAACUCCAAGAGAUUUCAAUCUACAGAGGCUGCUUGGGAGACUCUUAAGCCUUUUACAAUCUGAAAGGUCUAAGUAUCCGAGCCUAAGUAGACGCUCAAUUGAUGAGGGUAGUUCUUCAAUUGCAGUCCCCCUAAAAAAUAACCAGCUUAUAUUACCUGAUGAGAUCUCUGGAAGCCUUUUCAGUUUUGAGCAGCCCGAAAGAUCAAGUUUGGUAAGAAAUUCCAAGUUAAAUAUUCCAGAUGGAAGAGUUUUCAGGCUUUUGCUACCUCUUAGAUUCAACGUAACUAGCUUGUUCAGACGUGGCAUCAACGUGGGAUUUGGAAUUUUGGCAAUUAGCUUAUGGCAGGCAGCAUGGAUUAUCUGGUUUAACUUACUAUAAUGCUGCUCGGUCAAAAAAGAGGCCAAGACAAAAUCGUUACCACGUAUAAUAAUUUAAGGUUGUUAUUGAAAGAUUGCACAUAUAUAUAAUAAGAUAUGCAUACCUUCACACAAUCCCAAAGUCGUUCAAUGUCACUAUCAGGCACUUCAAGUAACAUAAGCUUCUCUGCACUGAGGUUUGAGGGUAAUGAUUUCAACGGAUAUCCGUGCCAGUGAAGAUAUUUCACUUCAGCAAAUCUAGGGUCUUGCAAAUAAGAAAUCUUACAUUUGUUCUCUCCAUUGAAUAAUGAACUAUAGAACUUUAAAAAUCUCAAUUUAGGCAUCUUUGUGAAAGUAUUGGGAUUUAGACGGAGCUCUUUUACUUUUGACAUAUCCAAACAUAUGCCCUCAAUUUUUUCUGUCCCCUAAAAAUAAAUGAAAAAGCAUAAAGUUAAAAUCAAAUGAAAUAUAUGUGUAUUCCACCAAUGAAUCGCACUUCAACCCCUCCAAGUCCAAUUUUUUGGGCAAGUUUCUCACUAAUUCACAAUUAGAGGUAGCUUAGUUAAUAAUUCAACUUUUUAUUUAUUAUUUAGUCGAGUUUAUGUGGGAUUGGAGUGGACUCUUCAUCAUUUCUCAAAUCAAUAAUUCAUGUUUUUAGUUAUUGCUAGGCAGUUAAACUUUUAAUUGCAAAUGCAAAAGAAACAUAAUAACACAAGUAAUACUUAAUAUAAAAAUUCCGUCUGUGUACUAUACAAAUUGGCAUAUCAAUUAUGCUUGCAAACGAUUAUGCAAGUUGUCAUGGCAUUUAUAAUUUAUUGCUACGUCAUCUAACCGCUAUGGUUUUUUCCAAUCAUUGUUGCUCUUCUAUUAAUUCUAAGACUCAUCAGUUCGAGCAGAUAUAAAUAUAUUCAUAUCAAGUUUGUAAAUGCUAGAAUAUUUCAAAAUAAUUAUACACAACAAACUGCUUACAGUGUUAUAUGUAAGAACUUCAUAGAUAUCCUCAUGAUGCCACAACCUACUGCGGUUUCCAGGAUUAAUUGAUUCUUGUCGAACAAUUUCCCUACCCAACUCUUGUAGUAAAUCAUGCAUUCUUAUCUUGUUGUAUGAACCAAUAGCAAUGAGAGAUUUAUCAACAAGAACACUUAUUCCUAUUUCUGGGUAGAAACCGCUUGCAUUAUGGAAUUUCAUUACUAGAUUUACAUCCUCGCCUUGAAAGAAACAAGCAACAUCAAGGAAAAUAUUUUUCUCCUUAUCAUCCAAACUAUCGUAACUUAUUUUUAGUACCUCUAGGAUACUUGGAUGGAGGAUUCUUUGCAAUUUAUUUAUUGCACUUUCCCAGACUUCCUUUUCUCUUUCAUAUAGAAAGCAACCCAAAACUUUAAGAGCUAAAGGAACACCUUGAGCAUAUUUCAUUACCUUGCUUGAAAAUUUCUCGUAACCAACUUCAGGAUGGUUUUGUUUGAAGGCAUGUCGACUGAAAAGCUCAAGAGCGUGAUGAUAUUCUAAUGCCUCCAUCUCAUAUAUUUUCCUCACCCCCAAUUUCUAAGUACUUGUUUAUUUCUGGUGGUUAUUAUGAUUCGACUCACAGGCGUCAAAAAAUUAAGACUUCCAAUUAUAGAUUCUAAUUGGCUGAAGCAAGUCACAUCAUCAAAAACAAUCAGAACCUUCAUGCGGCUGAGCCUUCUAAAAUUGAGGUCAAUACCAGGAAUCACAUUUUCAUCCUUAAAUAAAUUUGAAAGAAGUUUUUUUCGCAAGCAAGUUAAUCCUCCCGGUUUUUGUGACUCUUCUCUAACAUUUUCAAGGAAGCAAGAACCUUCAAAAUCGCUAGAGAUUUUGUCGAAAGUAGCUCUAGCGAUUGUUGUUUUGCCUAUACCACCAAUGCCCCAAAUCCCUAAAGCGUAAACAUCUUUCGACUGAGCACCUAGUAGAGAUUCAAUUUCCUCAACUCUUGAUUCUACUCCAACCAGCUGGUUUUUGUUAUCAUUCGGCCAAAAAACUUGAUCCAGCAGUCUCUUUAAAAUGUGAUUAGCAAUUUCGUUUAUAAGUUUCGAUUCAAGCCUACCAAAUACAUAAAAUUAGCAGCAGUAACUUCAAAUAGAAGGGAUUUGCAUAAAAUUGAAAUAAGGGAGAUUGCUCGUUUUCCAAUUGAAAUUAAUAUAUACUACUUUUUUUUUCAUAAGGAUAAUAUUGCAAAGUGAUGGUACCAGGAGAGUUAUUAAAUAUUGUAAAAAUAGGCAAAAUAAGUGGUAUGUAUUGAUUUGAGUAAGGAAAUUUCCAAUCUCCCUAUAAAUUAUUAACUCUUUAAUUACAGGAAUAUGUUAUAUGUGGAAGAGAUUUUUUUUUUCCUAGUGGUAUAUGAGUAAGAGAUUGAAAUUGAUUAAAAAACGACAGAACACCAUUAAUUUUGUUAAAAUAUAUUGUAAACUUCGGGAACUUUUAUUAUUAAUUCUGCAAAAAUUCUUUUAUAGGAGUUCAAAAGUGGGGAAGUUCAAGAAGUCUAGAAUUUGAUGCAUGAAAAAAAUUUAAAAGUGUAGUUUAGCAUCUGGAAAAUUUAACUAAGAGUGCUGUGUGAAUUUUAUUUACAGUGUUGAAUAUUAGUAUGCGAAAUUAAAAGUAACUUUUCACCUGAUGUUCGGAGAAGGAAAGCCAGACAAAGUGGCUGCUUCCUUCAAAGCAUUCCUCCAUGUCUGCAGCUUCUUUGAAUUCUCCUUAAACCUUUCUUCAAGCUUCGAAAAUGAAUUGCCAAAACUCCCAGUUUGGUUUCUCACGUCUGAUGGAUCAACCCGAUAGAAAACCGGAAUCACAAUCUGUGCAUACUCUUUCUUGCACUCGAGGAUCUUUACAAGUUCAUCGAGACACCAUCUGGAAGAUGCAUACCCUUCUGAGAAGACGAUAACUGAAAUGGCUGAUGCUUCAAUUGCAUUCACAAGUGACUCCGAAAUUUCAUCUCCUCUGUUAAGUUGGUCAUCAAUGAAAGUUUGGAUAUUUUGUCGACUCAGAGCAGAAUAGAGAUGGCUACUAAAGUUGUCUCGGGUGUCCUCUCCUCUGAAACUAACAAAAACAUCAUACUUCUUGUUGUUUCGAGAAGAAGAAGCCAUAAUCAACAGAAACAGUUGAAUUGAUUAGAGAGAGAUUUUGAUUCGGAUGAAAACAAUUAUUGAACCAAAUGUACGUGACUCUGUAGAAUAAAUCGAUGCCAUGAACCUUCCUUCAAGUUCCGUGAUAAUUUUUCAAUUUCAUCUCAAUGUCCAAGCACCGUGCACUCCACGACGAUUGAUUAAUUCAACUGCUUUGUAGACUUUUAGCUGAAAAGUCCACACGAACACCAUACUUUUCAACACACAGCUUCUGUGCUUUUUUUUUUUUUUGGUUUUAACCACGAGGUAUCCUGGGGAGGGCCCUAACUGUGGGAGGCACCUUUAAGCCCGUACCACAACCCAGACUAGAAGUUCCCGCUCGAACCGAGAGGCACAUGUUCUCCCAACAAAGGCAACUUCCCUGCGACUCGAACUGGGGAGCAAACCCAGUCAAGCCACUUAAGGGGACUCCAUUGUCAGUGGAGCCAACACUUUGUUGGUACGGCUUCUAUGCUUUAAUGCUCAUAACUGCCAGCAAUAAGUAGGGUGAUAUGUUACUUUUUAUCUCUGAAUUUAUCUUAUCGGUCCUCAUCUCUCAAUUAAUUGUAUUUAGUUUCAAAAUUAUUCUUUUUUGUUUUGUUUUAAUAGCUCUUAUUCAUGUUCCUUAGCGUUGAUUUUAAACAUAUGAAGUUUAAUUUUUUUUUAAAAAUUAGCUAUUUGUUUUUUUUGUAACAUAUGUCUGAUUUUUAGAUAUUUACAUUUGAAUUUAAAAAGUAAAUUUUUGUGACCUUUACCGAAAUGAAAAAAAAAUGUUUGAAUGGAAAAUAAAUACUAUAUCCUAAAAAUAUUUCAAUUCAAUAUAGUUAUUUCAUAAACUAUGAAGCCUAAUCCCUUUUAUUCGUUUUGACUUAUAAAGACAUAACCGCUAAAUAACCACAUUUAAUGUGUUUUCUUAUUAGGGAAAUUAUCAAUCGUAUACCCUUAGUUUACUCCGUUAUCAAAUUUAGUACAAUACUUUCAGGGUAUAUCAGUCGUCCACCCUAAGUUGACAAAAUGUAUCUGCCGUCCACCAAACCGUUAAUUGCCAUUUAAAUAUGAUGACGUCAGGGGGGUAAUAUGGUCUUUUUAUAUGAUACAAGUGAUAAUUUUAGGGUAUAGAAGUGAUAAUAAGUUAUUUUAAGGGUAUACAAGUGAUAAUUUUCAAGGGUAAAAUUGUCAAUUAGCUACAGUUCCGUUAACUUUCAAACGGUAGCUAACAGUUUAGUGGUCGGCAGAUAACUUUUGUCAAUUUAGGUUGAAUGAUUGAUACACCCUUAAAGUGUUGUAAUAUUUUUUAUAGAAGCACAAAUUUAGGGUAUACGAAUGAUAAUUUCCCUUCUUAUUAUAAAAUCAAACAAGAUGCCACUUAAUUUUUAGAUAUUAAAAAAAUAACAUGUUAUUGAAACAUUUAUAUUCAAGGCCAUUCAGAUUUUAAUCAACUUCUGACCUAUUCAGAUUUUAAAUAAAAAAUAAAUGCUACCUUAAUGUCCUUUCAAGUCUCUUGAGUAGUGAUGAAAAUUAAUUUUAUUUAAUCUUUCAAUGUUGGAUUAGGCUUCAAUUGUAUACCAUUGUAUCUUAUGUUUGAAAAUCUUUUAAAGUAUUUUAAAAUUGAGAGGAAAGGAAAAUUGAGAUUAGAAAAUAAUUUAAUUUCAACUACUUAUGAGUUGUUUGACCAUAAACUAUAUUAUAUGUCAAAGAACAUGUUUAACUGGAUAAAAUUGUUGGCUACGUCCUUCAUUAAAAGAAAUUCUAUAAUACAUUAAAAACAAUACAACCAAUUAAUGCAUUUAUUGUGACGCACAUGCAAGCCAAAAGGGAGCACAUGUGGCUAAUUAGCAAGCUGUCGGCUUAAAGCAAAGCACAUGCAUGCUAUGUGCUUGUCAUGCAUGAUUGGAGGCAAUGGAUAUGUAUAAAGUAAAGAAUUGAAGCAACUGUCACCAUUUUCAAGAAUCAAACUAAAACAAAGCAAUUCAAAGAGAAAAGAAAAACAAAGGAAAAGGUGAGAAGGGAAGAAAACAAAAGGAAAAGAGAAGAGGAAAAGAACAAAAGAAGAAAAGAUGAAGAAAGAAGUGGAAAAGAACAGAAGAAUAAAAGAUGAAGAAGAAAAAAUAAAGAAAAGAAAAACCGAGAGCGAAAAAUAAUUUUGAAAAGAGGAAUUGAGAGGAAAUAUUAUAGGAAAGAGAGUUGGAUAGUUAUAUAUAUAUCCAGUAAGUCAGUAGGUAACGUAUUUAAGAAAUUUGAACAAUUAUGAUUUAGUUAAUGUCAUAUGUAAAAGUUUUUAUAUCAGUUCUAACAGUUAAUUUUUUAACCCUAUAUUUUAGGAGAAAUUCAAGAAUUAAGGAAUCUAUAGGAGCUCCAACAAACCCCAGAGUGAAAAAUGUUUUGUGAGUGGAUUACUAUUAUUACUUAUAUGUAUUCUACAAAGUAUUGAUGCUUGAUAGUAUGAUUUAGUAUCAUGUCAUGAUUAUAUAUACUCAUAUUAUAUGAUUAAUUGAAUAAUGAGAUGUAAUUGCCAGAUAUCAUAUGUGUACCCUUCCCCACAGGCUCUAUGUAUGUGUAUUGAGAGUUAGAUUACUCGGCCCUUGUGAUGUAGUUAAUUCGGCUGAGUAUUGAGAGGUGUUUCCCCUACUUUACUUGUGCAAUGAUGAUUCCAGUGAGUAUUGAGAGUUAUUUCUCUUAGAUAUUAUUUGGUGCAGUUUUAUCAUGUAUAAAUAUAUGAUUUCAUGUUUGCUUGUGUAAUGCGUUCAGUGCGAAGUUAUGUCAUACAAUUAUGUACAAGCACUAGAGCGCUAAUUUAUUUAUAUAUAUAUAUAAUUAUAUCCACUCAUUUAGCCACAAGUAUACUAUUUUCAUAUUUACCCAAUUUCUUUAAGAUUUUCAUAGGAUUUUGUGCAGUUCAGUUUCUAAUCAGUUGAGGUUGGGCUACAACACGCAUUAUUGCAUAACUUAUAUUUUGAGCAUGUUUAUGUUUAUAUGUAUAUAUCUAAAGUGUAUGUAUGUACAGUAAGAUGUAAAAUGUGCAAGUUUUAUGUAUGUACAGUAAGAUGUAAACUGUGCAAGUUUUGAAUAUAUUUUUGAAUGAGUCACAUAUGUUAUUAUAUGUUUAUAACAAAGGCCGAGACUAGUGUUAUGCAUUCAUGAAUUAAAUUUAUUUCACAAGCUUUAGAUAUAAGAUCACAUGAUUCACCUCGAAUCCGGCAGAGAGGCUGGGCCGGGUUGUGUCAUGUAUGAUAUUCACUUACUUAGAUUCAAUAUAACCAUUAUUUACGUGAUGAUUUUUCAAAAUAAAUGCACAUAUAUCAUAGUGUGAUUCACAUUUUAUAUGGCUGAUAUGGUACUUAUCAUCUGUUCUACAUUUUGUUGCUUAGUUAGAGGUAUUUGUUUUAAAAUUUUGUGCUAAAAGAAGGUCAUUUUAAAUUUGAAAGUGUAAAUGUAUUUUUAUACAUUUACACAAUACUAAGGAUGAAAUGGUCUUCAACAUAGAUUCCUUAAUAAAUUUUAAGAGAGCUGACAGAAAGUGGUUGUUUAGAGAAAAAAAAAUAGAGAAAUUGAACAAUGGAUGAAAUGCAUCUAGAAAGUAGAAACUGAUGUAGUCCAAAAAGGCGUCUUUUGUUAGAGUAUAGUAGAAGUAAAUAUAUGAAAUAAAAUGUUGGAGAAAUAUUUGUGGGGAAUAAUAAUUGCAGAAAAAGGGAUCAAUAAUUGAUAAAACUUUAUUUUAAAAGUUGGACUAUUGGCACCCCUCUAGUCUCUUAAUGAAACCUUUUUUUUUUCAGUUAUAUUUAUUUUAUUUUAAAAAAUUUCCUUUCAUUUUCCAAGACACUCUUUUAGUUUUUCAUUUAAUCUUUUUUUUAUUGUUAAAACUCAAAGUAGUAUUGUGCUAUUUUUCAUCCCUUUUACAAUCUUAUUGUUAUCCUACAUACAAAUUAAAAAGUUUUCUAGGUGAUAAAGUUUGAAUGCUAAUCAUUAGCUUAAAUAACACAUAUUUUAGAUUGUAGUUUGAAAGUAAUCUUGAGUACGAAAAUAUUUAAUCAAUAAGAAAUACGAAAAGAAAAAUAGAUUAUUCUAUAUUUAUACAAUUUAUCUUAGUUAGAUAAGAAAUAAUGGUAGGAAAUUAAAAAAAAAGGGAUUGAUUAUUAAUGUAAGUAAUUUGUUGGGAAAAAAAUCCUACAUGUGUUUAUUUCUUCUUUGCCCUUAACUGUAAUUUUAUUUGAAAUAAGGUUUUAUAAAUGUGGCAGGUUAAGCACUGGAGCAUUGUCACGGUUGAUUCUAUCGGAUGAUUCAUAGCUGAUAGUGUGUAUUACGAUAAGAUUCAACCUGUUGGUUAAUUUAAAAUUGUUAUCUUCUUUCUUAUUUGUGCAACAAAUAUAAUACUUGAGUAAGAGUAUUUGCUUUUUGACUUAUGUGUUGUUAAGUGCUGAUAAGUCUGUUUUUUGUUGUUGAGUGUCUGCGUCAAUACCCGAUGGCAUAUUUGCAAGUAGCUUUAAAGCAUAUUUGGCUCUUUGUUUAUGAAUAAUGUUCAAUAGCAACCCGCCCCAUUGAUAAGAGAAAUGUAUGAUAUAAUUUUUGAAGAUACGUAUCUGCAUUAUGAAUUGUUAUUGGAAGGAAGUACGAGAAUAAAAUAAGAGCAAAAACUGAUUAAAAGAUGUAUCUUCAUUAUUACGUGAAAUGUAUGUUCUGCUUCUCAUUCACUUUACCAGAAUUACAACAGUUUUAUGUUAUUGAUGGUUGGAUUGUUUCUGGGUUAUCCUUGUUUUUUUUGUUUUAAUUGCCUUACAUACAUUAUAUGUGUAAUUUUUUAAUGGGCAAUCUUCAUUUGGAACCUGGAACAUGAAAAUUUUUAGAAACUUUCUGAUUUGUGCAGGGUAUGAAGCCUCUUAAGUAGGACUUCUUGGGUGCCACUUCUGUGUUGGGCAAAUAUAUUUUUUUUCUUUUUCCAGUCACCAUAAUGGGGGUCAUGGUGAAACAACUUACUAAUCACUCUGGACAGGAACGGGCUUCUACAAGUAAAGCACACCUAUUUCACUCUUUCCUUAGUAUGGAGCUGCUUACCGUUGGGAUGAAGAUGGUAAUGUCCGCUAUACAAAUUACUUUUCUUCAGAAGGAAAAUUCUCAAUCUUGGUAAAUUUAAAGUUGUACUAGAAGACAAGCUGCCUAUUCAACGAAUGGCUAAAUCUAGCAUAGUAGCCUCCUUAGACGAUUAAUUAGAUUGCAUUCCUUUUCAUCUCUCUGUUUUUAUUUUUUCUCCUUUUUGACUUGCACUUCUCUGUUCCUUUCCCCAAAAAAAAAAAAUUGCACUUUUCUGCUGAUGUCUUCCCAAUAUCCUAUGAUGUACAAAUGCACAAAUAUUCUUGUUGUGACGUUCCAUAUAUGGUUUCUUUUUUAUUUUGGUCCAUUUCCAACAACAUAGAAUAGUGAGAAGAAUCAUUUAUUUUAAUCAUGCUUCUCUGCUUUCUUAAAUGUAUGCUUGUUCUUGUUCACAUUUUACUGUUCGUCAUAAUUGGUAUGGUCUUUCUAUGGCAUCAUCAAGCCCCAAAUGUGAUGAAACAUUUUGAAUUUCUUAUUGAUCCAGCCUUCACUUUAGUAUAAUUUAUACACCAUACCGACAGUGAGUAUCAAUUAUAGUUUUGAAUGAGCAGGUACGUAGGCAGGAUUUUGAUUGAGCCGGGGCACAUUUAAAAUCAAACAUGACUCGAAUGCGCGAUUACUCGUGUGAUAUGUCCUCAUUUGGGAAACUGUAUUGUGAGCCCCAUAAACUCCAAAUGGGAGCUUGCUACAUGUACAAUUGUGCUUCUUAUAGAGUACGUCUGUAUACAUCUAAUUGAAAUCCUAUUUAAAAUAUAAUACAUUUCAAAAAUUUAGAUAGCAAUAUAUAACAUUACAACUAUAAUAUUCAUUGAUAAUAAAUUUACUUAUUACAAUGGUUCUCCGUGAAAACUCCUCAAUGGAAUUUUAUGAGUUGAAAAUAAUGCAUUAUCAAUAUAAGCAAAAAUAUAUUUUUCAAUAUACAAGACUAGGUUAUUACUUAAUUUGGUCUUAAAAUCUUUUAAUAAUAACAAAAAUAUUCAUAUAUUGCAACACACAUAACAAAUAUGAAAUGCAUGAUAAAAUUAUAAAUUUUAAAACUAGACAAAAGAUUAAUUAGAAAAUUAAAAAUUAGAAUUAGGUAGACUUACAACUUAUGGUUCAAUGUUGAAAGACUAAAUAAUUGAUUUUACUUGAAUAAAAAAUAAAAAGAUUAAAGACUGGUUCAGUAACCAUUAUACUAACAUUUUGUUAUGAUUGUUUUUUAUUUUAAUAUUUGUUCUCGUGUCUUUAAUCAAUUUUCAUGAAAUUUUAAUAACUAAUUAAAUUAUUUAUAACUAGAAAUUUAAAUUAGGGACAAUAUGAAUAUUUUAAAAUUAUUGGAGUCAAUUUUAAAUUUUACAAUUCAGGUGGGGAAUUUUUCAUAAAUAAUAAAUAAAAUACAAUUUUUUUAGUAUAAUUAUCAAAAAAAAUUUAAAAGCCAGCUGGGGCCUGUGCCCCACCUCGUCCCAUGCUGGCUCCGUCCCUGCCGAAUGAGUGCGAAAGCAGACUAGUGUGUAACUUCGUGAUUUAUUUUCUGGUUUGCACAUCCGUAUUUCAAAUGGUUUACUGGUCUCCGGCCAAAAGAGAGGGAAAAUGAGUGACUUGUGAGACAAUCCUCAUGGCUUUGUUGACAUCAGUUUGGUGGUUGAUUGAGAAUGAAUGAUCAUACAUACAUACAAAUACUUGUUAGAGGGCUUGUUCUGUUGAAUUAUGCUGGCGGCAUAAACUACAAGGCAUUGUUGACGAUUGGAGAAUCAAGCUAUUGUUUCCAUUGCUUUGGCUAAUUGAUCCUUUGUUGUUGAAGCAAAGGCCAAUUGCAGAUGCAAUCUUUGAAGAUGUGAAACGAAGGUAUUUUCUCUUCUCUCUAUUCAGUCCAUUUUUCGUUAUCCUAAAAUAUCAUGAAUGAAACACCUGCAUUUAAAAAAAAAUAGGGAAAAAAAUAACACGCCAAGUAGAUUAAAUCUGCAGGAAAAGAAGGCCAGUAAUUUUACAAUGCUAAAUACGUGCUUUCACUAUACCCUUCAUCUAAUACGGUAUAAUUCAACACUCUAGUGUGAAUUUGUGUUACAUGCACCACGUCCCUCGGAAAUGAUUACAUGCAUGUUUUGUUCCAAGACUGAUCUUGGCUUUUUUUUUUUUAAUUAUUAAUAGUGAUUAGAAAAGAGAAAAAAAUAAAAUUACAUUCAUGAAAAUCUUAAGCCUUCUUCGUAACAGUUGAAACAUCUGCUUGGAACUUCCAUUGAAUCCGUAGAAUCUGGGAUGUAAAGUAAAUGGACUCCACAUUUUUUCACCCCGCAGCACUCGCACUCCAAAGAUGGAAAACGAUCAAAAUCAUCAAAAAAGAAGCGGACUGCCUCAGGAACGCAAUUAUAUUUCCAAAAACCAUUGAAAUCCUCCUCACUGAAAAAAUAGCACCCCAAAAGUAAGUGAGCUGAUUCUACGUAAGCAAGGCGCUUCAGAAAUCUCCGCGUGACAUGCGGAUCACAAUCUUCGGUUUUCAUUUUGAACUCACAAGAAAAUGAAAACCAUCUGUCAUCAUCUACAUGACGGUCUGAAAAUGCUACAAUAGCACUAAAUGAUUGCAGAACUUGGGAAUAAAAAUUAUUGCUCUAGUAAAAAAACACUGCUUAUAUAUAAAAUUCAGAACUUGGGAAUAAACCUGAUAAUGAUUGCAGCGAUGUGCAAUUAUCGGCAUCUAAACAUCGUAUAAGGAAUGGAAGCUUUGGUUCGGAUUUAAGCCUCUCACAAUAGCUUAAGCGGAGGUAAGUCAACACAGAAAUUUGGAUGAUGCUUUCUGGUAUUCUCUCAAUAUUGGUUUUCUCUAGAAGCAAUGUUCCUAGAGAGGACAACUGGCCAAGACAUUCGGGCAAUCUCUGAAGAUUUGAGCAACCACUGAGAUCAAGAAUUUCAAGAGAUUUCAACUUACAUAGGCUGCUUGGGAGACUCUUAAGCCUUUUACAGUCUGAAAGGUCCAAGUACUCCAGCCUAAGUAGAAGCUCAAUUGAUGAAGGCAGUUCUUCAAUUGCAGUUCCACUUAAAAAAAGGCAGCUUAUAUUACAAAAACAUCAUACUUCUUGUUGUUUCGAGAAAAAGAAGCCAUAAUCAACAGAAGCAGUUGAAUUGAUUAGAGAGAGAUUGUGAUCAGAUGAAAACAAUUACUAAGCCAAAAUGAGCGUGACUCUGCAGCAUAUAUUGACCUGAUAUCUCAUUUUCCAAGCUUCCUGGACAAUGAUUCAUGGAAUAUUCAAGGGUUAUUGAAACGCCCACCUAAUUUUUCGACUUGGCAGAUUUUUUCAGUUGAAAUUAUAGGCACGGCGUUAUGAGUCAAGACUAUUGGCACUCUGCCGUUACUUUCGUAGAACUCUUACUGUAUGUUAUGAGUUAGACACGGCGUUAUGAGUAAGACUAUUGGCACUCUUCCUUGAAGUUUCGUGAUAAUUUUCAACUUCAUCUCAUUGUCCAGGCACCGUGCACUGCACGAUAAUUUCACUGCUUUUUAGACUUUUACCUGAAAUUUCCCCAUGAACACCAUAGUUUUCAACACAUGGCUUUUGUCCUUUUAAUUCUCAAAUUGAGUGGGUCAUGACUAUCAACCAUGAGUAGUUGGUUGAUUUUUUAAUAUUUUUCCCCCCAAUUUUUCUCAUUAGUCAUCAUCUCUCAAUUAAUUGCAUUUAAUUUUAAAAUUAUCCUUAUUUAUCAUUUUUGUUUUAAUAAUUCUUAUUCAUAUUCCUUCGGGUUAUUUGUUAAACGUGUGUGAAGUCUAAUUUUUGUUUUUUAAGUAAACUUUUAUCUAAUAUAUGAAAAUAUCUCAAUAGAAAGUAAAUGCUAUAUCCCAAAAUUAUCUCUAUUAAAUAUAGUUAUUUCCUAAAUUGUAAAAUAUAAUCCCUUUGUUCAUUUUGAAUAAAAAAUCUGAUGUAAUUCAAAAAGCAUCUUUUGAAUUAUAGUUUUAGUAGCAGGAGUCAAAUAUGAAAUAAAAUGUUGCAUCAAACAAUGUUAUCAGUAGCAGAAGUCAAAUAUGAAAUAAAAAAUCUGCGUUCGGCUAAUUUAUCAAUAAAAUGCAACUAGAAACUGAUGUAAUUCAAAAAGCGUCUUUUUUUUUUUUUGGUUUUGACCACGAGGUAUCCUGGGGAAGGCCCCAACUGUGGGAGGCACCUUUAAGCCCGUACCACAACCCAGAUUAGAAGUCCCAGAGGCACAUGUUCUCUCAACAAAGGCGACUUCCCUGCGACUCGAACUGGGGAGCAAACCCAGUCAAGCUACUUAAGGGGACUCCAUUGCCAGUGGAACCAACACUUUGUUGGUCAAAAAGCGUCUUUUGUUAGAGUAUUAGUAGCAGAAGUCAAAUAUGAAAUAAAAUGUUGGAGAAAUAUUCGAGGACAAUAAUAAUUGCGGAAAGAGUGGGACUAUUAGCACCCCUUCUAUUUACCCCUUAAAAGCCCUAUUUGGAUAAUUACAAUUAUAUACUAAAUUAAGAUUAUGAUAAUGGACAAACAAGUAGAUACAAUCUAAUUGGAUGCGGAAAUAAUUUCAUCUGAAAUUCUCUAAAGUUUAAACUAAUUUGCAUUUUUUUUCACAUUGAAAGAGGAAUAGGUGAAAAGGGUAAAACUGUAGAAGAAUCUUAUAACAUUUUCCAAGAAAAAAUCUUUAUGACACAUUUUGAGCUUGUUGCAAUUUUUCAAUCCUGAACUUUAAGCAUACGAAAAGUGGAUUCUCUGAUUUCCACCAUUUGUGAGGAUGACAAAUCGAUAUUAUUCCAGUUGAUUUAUGUGUAAAUCUUGUGAAUCUCAUUACCAAAGGAUCCUUAGCAAUCCUCGCCCCUCUCUAGUUAGGAUAUUCAAACCUAACGUCAAAUUGGUUUUUUCUUUUUUAAUCUAAACCAUCAUGAAGGUGGGGGAUUAGGCCAGACCUCUACCUACAAUGAAAAAAAAAUUAGAUGAUGAAAAUAAUAUGAAGAGGGGACAUCAACCAAAACUUCUUUAAAAAAAAAAAGGAAAACAAACUAUAAAAGAAACCAACAAAGGGAAAUCAAUGUUGAACAUAAAGGAACUCGAGAGCAUCUAAAUGAAGAAUGACAAAUAGACCAGAUAUAAGAUCCCCAGAGCUGAAGAAUCGCUGAUGAGUCUUAUGAGUACAUGCUUAAUCAACCAUGAAGUCAGUGGCUGAAGUGGCCUCCCAAAAGACAUGUUUGAUAGUAAUAAAAGGACUAGAAGAUAAAGCAUGAAUCCAACCCAGGAGAUAAGCAAAUUCUUAUUGCACUGAACCAUGUGAAGUAGCUAAAGAAACCACAGUGGCCAAGUUAGAUUCCAACUCUAGAACAGUAAACCCAAGCUGAGCACAAGAUCUAAUCCUUCAAGCAUAGCCAACAGCUCAGCAAACAGUAUUGAUUGGUGCCCUAAGAAAGAACCAAAAGCAACUAAUACUACUCCCGAAUGAUCAUGUAGAACACUUUCAGCAGCAGACAUACCAGAGGUGCCCCUAGAGUAACCAUCCGCAUUUAACUUCAUCACGCCAGGCGGUAGCCUCAACUAGGAAACCAAGCGAUCGGUCAAAGAGGAGGCAAAAUAUCUACAAACCCUCUCUAAUAUGGGUAUCCAAAACACCCCUCAAUUGGGAUAACUUAAAACCAAAAACAGAGCUAGCGAGUCUAAGGCCCGAAACCACUCAAAAAGCAAUGACAACUAGAAUCGAAUCUAAAAGCAUUUCAAGGCUUUAAGACAUGCCACAGGAUGAAGCAUGAGAGAAGGACUCGAAAAUGUCUCGAAGAAUGGGCACAAUGCCGCCAGUGAACAAGCAACGUAUGAGGAGAUAGAAAGGAAGGUAUCAAAGACCAAUCAUCGAGUAAAAUCGUUGUCAGAUUUGCCCAACUAAUGAGCAAUUCACAAAAUAACUGCCUGAAUAUCUUAAUGGUGCAAGCCCAAGGCAUCAUUCGCAGCUAAGAAACCAUACAACAACCACAAUAACAAAAAAAACCUCAUUAGGAAUAUGUUGCUGCCAAAUAUAAGUAAAAAUCUCAUUCCAGAUCCGAGACCCACGAACAAGCUCCCAAAUAGUCUUUAUAGAAAAAUUCCCAUCCCUAGAUAGAGUCCAAUGAAGAAUAUUCGGUCUAACACCAAAAAUAGUGAUCAACAAAAUCUACUCAACAAUUGAAGUAGAACAGACAAUAGCCUGCUCCUAUCCUAAACUGCUCCUCGCCAAAAGAAUGACACAGGAACCAUAGAAGCAGUACCAAUGUUAAAAAGAAAGAGAAGUAUAAAGCACAAACAACAAUCAUACAAGAAAUUAUUAUCACUAGAUCUAAUUAGCCAGUGUAUAUGAGGCUUAGCAACAUAACAAAUGGAGCAAAAAUGUCGACAAAAUGGGGAAAUAGAAUAGUGAAAACGAACCAUUUUGGGAUGUUAGGUUUUGCAAUACUUGGACUUCAUGAGUGAAGCCCAAAGAGAUUGCUGGUCCCGAAAUCUCUACCACAUUUUCAACUCAAAUGCAUCUGCCAGAUUUGAAAAAGAAAAUGAAUUCCCAAACCACUUUCAUCCACAAGGAAGUAAACAUAUGGUAAUUUGCACCAGUAGAUGCGUCGUCUUGAAUUUGUAUCUCCUAAUAAGAAAUUGGUGAACUAUUACUCGAGAUGAUUAAUGACUACCGUAGGCAAUCAGAGGACUUGGAAGAUAUGUAACGGUAUGGAAGAAGCACAUGCCAUAAAAGUACAAGCUUACCCUCAAAAGAGAGAAGCCAGUUAUCUCACCCUAAAAUCCAAUCUCCAAUUUAGAUCAUAUCAUCAAAGUACCAGAUCCAUGUGCAAUACACUUAGCAUCCUAGAUAAGUAAAAGUAAGCUGGUACUGCUGGAACCCAACAUCAAAUCAAUUCUUAUAUGACAAUUGAGAUAACAAGUCUCAAAGGUUCAUAUUAAAAAAUGUUGAAAUAAAUUCUCCUUUUUAAUUAUGUUUAAUGUGAAGAUAGAGAGACAAUUGUACAGGACUUUGAAUUAUAUGUAAACUAUUGUAAAAAAAUAAAAUAAAUAAGUAAUAGUUGUGUUGGAUUUUUUAAUCUAGGAUUGUUAAAUCCUUAACCCAACGCCAGGAUUAUAUGUGAAUAAUUAUGUGUUGCAAACUGUCAUAUAAAAUUAAGCCCAAUUAAAAGAGAUCUAUUAAGAUUUUUAGUAUUAUGGGCUUCAAUGUAUCUAAUAGGCUAUGGGCCUUUAAUGUAUAGAUAAAACGACCUGCCCCGAAACCUCAGAACGAGUCAUCUAAUCCCAUCUAAUUGAACCGAUAAUAAAUCUAAUAUUUAAGGAUUCUACCAAAGAUUAUUCGGUAGAGUCUCCUCUACAAUUAUGACAUUCCCAAACCUGAAAUUUAUAAAAUUAGCACUCUAAAAAAUAAUUCAAUAUUCAACCAACCUCCACGACCAACUUCCUUAAUCAACAUACCAAAUAUCACCCAAAUAUUUUAAUGUCAACUACAAUAGAGUAUCCUUAGUCACAAAUAUGUAAUAAUUUAUACAAUCCAAAAUAUCCCAACAAUACAUCUAUGAUUCCUAGCACCAUCACGUGGCCACAAUUUCAAAAAUAGUUAUUGUUGUUGGGUCGACUAAUGUACCUGCAAAUCUCCUGGGGGGAAAUAUAAUAAAAACGGGGUGAGUAUAAAACUCAAUGAGCUCAGUGAGUGGAUAAUAGUUUUUGAAAAUAAAUUUACUUUAAAAUAAUUUAAUCUGUCUCAAAUCAAUUUCAUCAAAAUAUCAUAAGAACUUAAAUAAACUCAUGUAAUUUAAAUCAAGUACUAAUAUAACAAUAAUACAUAAUACUGCAUAAAAUCAAUGAAAUCAUAACAUAUUGUAAUCUCAAACACUGUAAUUCUGAAAACUGUCACCAAACAAUUACCCAAGCAAAUAAUCUUGUCAUACCCAGACCUCGAUGGACGGGCAAUCAGGAAACCGUCAUGCCCCGGAGUUGCAACGGGUAGAUAGGAAAAUGUCGUCUCAUAUGUCUCAUAUCUCAUAUCUCGUAUCUGCAUAAUCUGGUCCCCAAAGGACAAAGUGUCCAAGUACACGGCCCAAAGCCUCUAUAUGUACUCAGACGAGCCCUAAAGGACUCUCAUCUCAUCUGUAUCACUGUAUCUGAAGGGGAAUGGUACUGUCUAAUGAUUUCAAAAACAAUCUUUAUACUCAUAACCAUAUACUUUUUAAUCAUAUUGAAAAUCAUACUGUUCUUUUCAUUAACACAUUUGAAUUUUUCUUGUCUUAAGAAUACUAUCAUGCUUUAUUCAAAUCAAUACGGAAAACUAUUAACCAAACAUUUUAAUAAAAUAUCAUUGCGUGAAUAAAAUCCAUUUCAAGAAAAUCAUUAAAUCAGAAUAUUUAAGAUACUCAUUUCACAAAUAGGCUUUACUAUCAUAAUUAACUAUGAAAAUAGGUUUUGUAUAUUCCACUCACAAUGAUUACACUCAAACUCAAGUAUCGGUUACGUUUGCGGAUUGAUUCUCGUUUGCGGUUCCUCCUAAAUUAAGGAAACGACAUAGUUAUCUGUAACAUGAAAUACAACUAAAUUUACGCAAUAAAGCUCGAAACGAACAUUUUCCCAAAAUCAACUACUCCCGUAUGAAUGAAAUUACCAAAAUACCCCUGCAUGCCAAAAAUUACCAAAAUGCCGUCGACACCAUAAUUUACCAAAUUUUCCUCAGAAUUCUAAAUUACUAAACUAUCCUCAAUUCAUACUACAAAAAUAACCAUAAGGUACGAAAGCACGAAUUUACCCUUGAAUUUUGAAAUUACCGAAAUGCCCUUAAUAACUUAAAUUACUGAAUUACCCUUGAAAUCUCAAAUUACCUAACUGCCCUAGUCCAAAAUUACUAAAUUAUCCACUAAUUUCAGAAAUUACAACAUUAUCCCAAAAGUUUGUGAAAUUACUGAAUUGCCCGUACUGGUCGAUGGCAACCAAAAUUCAGUCAACGGAGACCGGAAGCCAGGUCUGAUAGUUUUGAUUUUUUUUCAUAAAGAUAAUAUUGUAAAAUGAUGGUACCAGGAGAGUUAUUAAAUAUUGUGAAAAUAGUCUCUAUAAUUGGUAUAUAUUAAUUUAAGUAAGGAACUUUACAAUGUCCCUAUAAAUUAAUAACUCUUAAAUUAUAGGGAUAUGUUAUAUGUGGGAGAGAUUUUUAUUUUUACUUUUAUUUUUAUUUUUUUAUUUAUUAUUUUUGGUCAUGGUAAAUGACUGAGAGAUUGGAAAAAACGACAGAACACCAUUAAUUUUGUUAAAGUAUAUUGCAAACUUUUGGAGCUUUUAUUAUUAGUUCUGUAAAAAUUCUUUUAUAGGAGUUCAAAAGUGGGGACGUUCAAGAAGUCUAGAAUUUGAUGCCUAAAAAAAAUUUAAAAGUGUAGUUUAACAUCUGGAAAAUUUAACUAAGAGUGCUGCGUGAAUUUUAUUUACAGUGUUAAAUAUUAGUAUGCGAAAUUAAAAGUAACUUUUCACCUGAUGUUAUGAGAAUUAAAGCCAGACUAAGUGGCUGCUUCCUUCAAAGCAUUCCUCCAAGUCUGCAGCUUCUCUGACUUCUCUUUAAAUCUUUCUUCAAGCUUCGAAAAUGAAAUCCCAAAAGACCCAUACUUUAUGGCUAGUAAAAUUGUCACGGGUGUCCUCUCCUCUGAAUCUGACAAAAACACCAUAAUUGAUGUUUAGGGGUCUCAUCAAACACAGACUGGUGGAUGGAUGAGAAGAAGAUGAAGAAACCAUGAUAGAAACAGUUCAACUGAAUUGAAUGUGUCUGUGCGCUCGAAUCCUCCACUACUACCUUUAAUCUUCAAGGAAGUUUCGUAGUAAUUUCAUUCAACUCAUUGUCUGCCGCCUUUCUCAAAAUUUCUUUGAGGACUGACUGUAAAAAGUCCAAUUUGGCCGACUAGAGAUUUUUGGCGGGUUGUGGACUCCACAGUUCCCACCCCCAAUUUUGAUGUGUUUAUGGAGAUUAAAGAAAAGCGAGUGAUGAUAUAACCAUAAAUUUUUGUAUAAAUUUAUUUUGUACAAACUGAUGUAGUAUUAAUUCAUUGGUUGAAUGAAAAUACAAAAUAAUGAAAAUAAAUCACGUGGGUUAAGAGAUAUUUAAUUCAACCAAUUUUAUCACGCCACAUCAAUUGGUACAAGAUAAGUUUGUAUAAGAGUUUGUAGCUAUAUCAUUACUCAAAGAAAAAUAAUUCCAAAAUUCUUAACAAAUAUGUAUUUUUUUAGUUAUUAUUUUUAAUAAUUUAAAAUUUUUUAUAUGUUAAUAAUUUUAUUUGGCCCAUAAUUUUCACCUCAUUCUCUAAUAAAUUUUAGUGGAGUGAAGACUGAAGAUCAAGAAUCCCCAAAUGAAGAUCAAUUUUUCUAUCCACAUCCUGUAACACAUUUAUCUUUUUUAUAAUAGAUUCUUACAUGUAAUUUUAGAAUGGAAAAAGGCUUCCCUACCACCACCUGCAUGAAAUACUAACUAGGCAAUCCAAGAGGGGGGUGAAUUGGGAUUUUAAAAAUUAAGCUAAGCAAACCACACACAAAUCCAAUCUAAUGCCUUAAUCAAAUUGAAAACAAUAAAUUCAAUCAUGCACAAUAUUAAAAGAGUAAGGGAAGAGAAAACAAACACAAUGAUUUUUACGUGGUUCGGCAAUCCCCGCCUACGUCCACGCCUCCAAGCUCACCGGGCUUGAGGAUUUCACUAAGCUAGCCUCCCAAGGCUUCAAACGCUUACAAUUGACUUCCAAGGUGUCAAUGGACCUUUACAACAAGAGAUUAUCCCAAAUCUCUUAACCCAAGUGUAUCCCAACACUUACAAUCUUUUAACUUGAUUUUACAAAAAAAGAUUACAAAUGAAUCUCUCUCACACAAUGUGUUUGAUCACAAGUGAAAGCUCAAUGUGCGAAUGAAUAAGAUGAAUACAAGAAUUUAAAGCUCAAUGAAAGUUGUAUUCUCAAUAUUUUGCUCAAUGAUGAUCGUUGGAAAUCUUCUUGUUUGAAUUGGAUUGAGCUUAUUUAUAGUUGGAGCUGAAAACUAGCCGUUAUUGACUUUCUGCACACUGUCGGAUCGCCGUUAGCUAGAUGUCGGAUCGCCGUUUGACUGGUCAAUAUGACCGUUGGGCAUAUUUUUCAAAUUGUCGGAUCGCCGUUAACUAUAUGUCGGAUCGCCGUUUAGGUCCAGAGGCUACUGGUUGAUAUCGGCGAGCCGUUUAUCACACAUGUCGGUUCGCCGUUUAGGUCCAGAGACAAAUCUUCAAUUCUGUUAGAUGUCGGCGAGCCGUUAUCAAGAUGUCGGAUCGCCGUUUUCUACAGUAACUGCUACAGUAACUGCUACAGUAACUGCUACAGUGAAAUAUUUUCCAAAUUCACAGUUUGACCCCAAAACUUUAUAAAAUUGUGUUACGGCCCAAAACGUUAUAAAACUUUACAAAUAGGUCCAAUUUCAGAAUUUCUAAGUAAUGCUUUGUUAAUCCCAAAACUUUCUGAAAUUAUGGUAUAGCCCAAAAUGCUAUGACACUUUUCAAAUAAGUCAUUCUCCAAAAUUUCAAGCAAUACUUGUUUAUUUCAAAGUUUUCAAAAUUCUUUCAAUUAAACCAUAAACUUUGAAAAACAACCAAUUUCAUAAAAUCAUUUUUCCAUUAUAUAUGAAACAUUUAUAAUGUGAAAAUGAAGAUUUAUUUAAAAAGAAUAAAAACAAUCAAUUUCAUAAAAUCAUUUUUCCAUUAAAUAUAAAACCUUUAAAAUGUGAAAAUAAUGAUUUAUUCAAAAUAUAUAAAAAAUAAUUUGAUCUUCAAAAAUUAAUCAUUCUUAAUCUUGCUUGUUAUCAUCAAAAUCAAUAUUGUGGAAACAUAUAUGUUAACAAUCUCCCCCUUUUUUAUGAUGACAAACAUUUCAUGUAUUUAAAGAAUGAUUCCACAAAUUGCUUCCCCUAAAUAUAAUUUUCUUUUACAAUUUGCCAAUUAGCUAAAUUAACAAUUUAAAUACAUGGAUUUUUCUCCCCCUCAUCAUCAAAAAGAUAAACUUAAUUGGCAAAGACAAAAGUAGCAAAUUUUUAUAGAUUUGAAAACAUGUAUUCUUCUCCCCCUUCAUCAUCAAAAAGAAAACUUGAAAGGAAAAGAAUAAAAAAUAACAAAUUUGUUACCCAUGUUGUUUGAGUAGAAAUUUUGAAAGAAUCUCCCCCUAACAACAAGCAUCACCUCAAAUACAAAUUUAGUGAUAUUACUCACAAAUUAUCAUAAUCAUAUAAUCCAUCAACCAUAAAAUGAUCAUGAACUAUUAUUCCAUUAAUUAUCAAAUCAACAAGUCAAAACAUAAAAUUAUCAUAUAAAACACCCAUGUAAUCAAAUCAUCAUAUCUCAAAAUUAUCAAAACAAUUACUCAAAAUGCAUAUUAUUCUUCUCAUUUUGACAAUAUCGAAAUAAGAUAUUACUUUGUCUCCCCCUUUGGACAACAAAAAAGUUCAAAAUGCAUAUUAUCCAAAAUCAUAUUAUAUGCUCCCCCUAAAUAUAUGGCCAAUUUAAGAAUUUAACCCAAAUGAUUUUAUCCAAAAAUAUAUCAUAUUUAUCUCCCCCUUUAUCAUAAAAAGAAAAGAUAGAUAGAUGCAAUCGAAACAAGAUCAUCAAAAAUAAUUCGAUGAAGAUAUUACCCAUUUUGUGUGAGCAAAAAUUUCGGCAAAGUCUCCCCUUAAAGAUGAAAAAAUUCUCAAAUACACAACAUGGUUAAAAAGAUAUAAGCUUCAACAAUUAUAACAAACCAACAACUCAUUCAAUUCAUCAAGCAACGCACAUAUAAUCAUCAAUUACCAAAAUCAUCAAGAAAUCAAAUCAUCCCAAGUUUAUGCCGAAUUUUUGAAAAUUCUUCUUCGCGAAGAGGUUUUGAUUUCUUUACCAAAUUGACAUGCAUAUUAUCAAAUAUUCAAGCUCCAUAAUUACCAAUCACAUUUUAUAAAUAAAGACAACUAAACUCAUCAAAUAUCUAAUGUGACAUUUCAAUUUGACAAAAAAAAUCUCAUAUGCUUAAAAUUCUCGAAGUAUAUGUAUUUCUCCCCUUUUCGAUAUUAUUUAUAGCAAGUAAUGCAUAUUUGAUAAUACAUCAAUAAAGUACAAAAAAUGCAUCCAUUUACCAAUCAUAGAUUGCAUAAGAUCAAACUUCCUCAAAUACAUGUAAUCAUCAAAGCAUAUUCUUUAUCUCAAAUCUUAAGCAAAACAUAAGCGUAUAAUUGCAAUAUAAGAUCAUCAAAAUCAACAUAGCUAUCAAGAUAAGCCAUCAUUAUGAGUAAAGAACAAGUGAUCAAAUUCAUAAGCGCAAUAAGUCAUUAGUGCGAAUUUUAUAAAUAAUAUAACAAUUGAUGGCAUAUGAAUUCACAAAUACAAUUCAUUCAUCAUGUAUAUAUUUUACACAAUCAUGAAACAUAUGAGCAUUCAAAGAUUAAUAAUUCAAGCAUAUCACUCAUUUAUCAAGCUUAGGCAUUACAUAAUCACCAAAAUCAAACAAAUCUAUCAUGAUGAGUUGACAAGCUAUCAUCAUAAAUAUAUAACCAUGCAUCAUGAUAAAGCACUCAAUGUUAAACACAAUGAUAAUUUGAUCAUGUAAAUAUACAAGUAUUACUUUCACAAAUUCAAGCUACUAUCCAUUUAUCAUGAUAUACUCAACAUAAUAAAUAGGCAAGAUAAACUUACCCACUUCAUGUUAAUGCACUUAAUAUUAUGAUACGAAGUGAAAUGUUAAAUAUUUACUAAGAUUAAAACAUCAUCACUUAUAAUCAAUAAGGCAAUAAUAGUUAGCAAAACAAUUAAAUCAUCUUGCCUCAUUAUUUUUGCUUAGACCAUGAUCAAGUGAUUAUCCUCAUAAUUCAUCAAGCAACUCUCCACCAUUCCUUGAUUGUGGUACCUACAAAGAAAACAUUCACGUUGUGCCCUUUGGUACCCAAAUACUCUUGGGUCCUUGAGUGUUAGAUUUAGUUCCUUUCGGAACCCAAAUACAUUUGACUCCAUAAUACACAUUUCUUUUAAUUGGACAUCUAUUCUUCAUAUGACCAUUUUGAUUGCAGUAAUGACAUACAAUUUUAUGAUCACUUGUGGAGGUAGCUUUAACAAAAUAAUUCUUAUAAUAUUUUUGUUUCAAAUAAGGCUUAUAUCCAAGUCCUCCUUUAUCAAACACACAUUUUUGAGAAUUAAUCAAGUUAUCCAACAUCUUUUGCCCAUUUGUGAAUUUUAAAACAAUCUCAUUCAACUCAUUGCUCCUUUUCUUAAGUGUUUCAUUUUCAUUUAUUAAUUCAUCAACAUGUGAUUUCUCAUGCUCAUACGAAUUACUUUGUUUACAUGUGAAUGAUGCAAUUCUAUCAUGCAACAUUUUAUUAUCUAACUCUAGUCCUUUAAUCUUUUCAUUUAAUGAAUCAUUGCAUUUUUGUAAAGCAUCCUUUUCAUUUUUCAAGUCAUCUACAUAUGAUUCUAGAUGCUCAUGUGAAGUGCUAGGUUUCUCAUUCGAUAAUGCAACUUUAUCAUGCAAUGUUUUAUUCUCUAAUUCUAGGCAUGUAAUCUUUGCACUUAGAGAUUCAUUCUCAUUUGUGAGCUUUACCAUUUUCUUUUUAAGACAUGCAUUCUUUCUACCAAUUUUUAUCCAAUUAUCAUGCAAUUCUUUAAAAGCAUCAUAUAAUUCAUCAUAAGUAGAAAGAUCAUUUACCUCAUCAAGUUCAUCAUCCGAUUCAUCUCCAAUUGCCAUGAGAGCUAGAUUUGUCAUUUCUUGAUGUUCUUCACCAUCACUUGUUUCCUCAUCGCUAUCAUCCCAUGUGGCUACCAUUGCUUUCUUCUUGAGUUUGUUGAGAAGAGGACAUUCCGGUCGUAUGUGUCCGGGCUUCUUGCAUUCAUAACAAGUGAUUACUUCCUUCUUCUCCUUUCGGUUCUUGAGGUCUCUAGAUUUUCUUCGCUCACCGGAUUUCUUAAAAAGUUUUCUGAACCUCCUAGCCAACAUAUCCAUCUCCUCCUCAUCCAGCUCGCUUUCCUCAUCACUUUCAUGUUUCAAGGCUUUGAGAGCAAUGCUUUUCUUCUUCUCCUCAUUGCCUCUUUCGGCUGCCAAGUCUUCCUCAUAAGAAAUAAGAGAGCCAAUUAAAUCAUCAAUAGGUAAUACAUUUAAAUCUUUGGCUUCCUCAAUGGCAGUCCUUUUUGGUCUCCAUUCCUUAGGUAGUGACCUAAUGAUUUUCUUAACUUUCUCACUAUUUGAAAAGGUCUUUCCUAGGGCUCCUAGAGUGUUCACUAUGUCCGUAAAUCUAGUGUACAUAGAAUACACACUCUUAUUUUGUUCCAUUUGAAACAAUUCAUAUUGUCGAGUGUACCUACUAAUUUUAGACUCUUUCACUUGAUUUGUGCCUUCAUAAACAACUUCAAGUUUGUGCCAAAUUUCAUUAGCACUUUCACAACUAGAUACUCUAUGAAACUCUUUCUUAUCUAGUGCACAAAACAAGGCAUUCAUAGCUUUGGAGUUUAGAGAAGCUUUUCUCUUUUCCAAUUCAUUCCAUUCCCUUGAAGGUUUUGGAAUAUCUUCCCCAACUUCGUUUUUAAUCAAAGGCAUAAAUGGACCAUCACAAACAAUUUCCCAAAUUUCAUAAUCUAAAGCUUGUAAAUAAAUUCUCAUCCUAGUUUUCCAAUAUGGGUAGUCAUUACCGUCAAAGAACGGUGGUCUAAUUGUGGAUUGUCCUUCCCUAAAGGUUGAGUCACUAUGGGUUGCCAUGAAUCUUUAACUCUAGACGGUUAAGUCUACACAAGAGCACCUCGCUCUGAUACCAAAUGAAAUACUAACUAGGCAAUCCAAGAGGGGGGUGAAUUGGGAUUUUAAAAAUUAAGCUAAGCAAACCACACACAAAUCCAAUCUAAUGCCUUAAUCAAAUUGAAAACAAUAAAUUCAAUCAUGCACAAUAUUAAAAGAGUAAGGGAAGAGAAAACAAACACAAUGAUUUUUACGUGGUUCGGCAAUCCCCGCCUACAUCCACGCCUCCAAGCUCACCGGGCUUGAGGAUUUCACUAAGCUAGCCUCCCAAGGCUUCAAACGCUUACAAUUGACUUCCAAGGUGUCAAUGGACCUUUACAACAAGAGAUUAUCCCCAAUCUCUUAACCCAAGUGUAUCCCAACACUUACAAUCUUUUAACUUGAUUUUACAAAAAAAGAUUACAAAUGAAUCUCUCUCACACAAUGUGUUUGAUCACAAGUGAAAGCUCAAUGUGUGAUGAAUAAGAUGAAUACAAGAAUUUAAAGCUCAAUGAAAGUUGUAUUCUCAAUAUUUUGCUCAAUGAUGAUCGUUGAAAAUCUUCUUGUUUGAAUUGGAUUGAGCUUAUUUAUAGUUGGAGCUGAAAACUAGCCGUUAUUGACUUUCUGCACACUGUCGGAUCGCCGUUAGCUAGAUGUCGGAUCGCCGUUUGACUGGUCAAUAUGACCGUUGGGCAAAUUUUUCAAAUUGUCGGAUCGCCGUUAACUAUAUGUCGGAUCACCGUUUAGGUCCAGAGGCUACUGGUUGAUAUCGGCGAGCCGUUUAUCACACAUGUCGGUUCGCCGUUUAGGUCCAGAGACAAAUCUUCAAUUCUGUUAGAUGUCGGCGAGCCGUUAUCAAGAUGUCGGAUCGCCGUUUUCUACAGUAACUGCUACAAUGAAAUAUUUUCCAAAUUCACAGUUUGACCCCAAAACUUUAUAAAAUUGUGUUACGGCCCAAAACGUUAUAAAACUUUACAAAUAGGUCCAAUUUCAGAAUUUCUAAGUAAUGCUUUGUUAAUCCCAAAACUUUCUGAAAUUAUGGUAUAGCCCAAAAUGCUAUGACACUUUUCAAAUAAGUCAUUCUCCAAAAUUUCAAGCAAUACUUGUUUAUUUCAAAGUUUUCAAAAUUCUUUCAAUUAACCCAUAAACUUUGAAAAACAACCAAUUUCAUAAAAUCAUUUUUCCAUUAUAUAUGAAACAUUUAUAAUGUGAAAAUGAUUAUUUAUUUAAAAAGAAUAAAAACAAUCAAUUUCAUAAAAUCAUUUUUCCAUUAAAUAUAAAACCUUUAAAAUGUGAAAAUAAUGAUUUAUUCAAAAUAUAUAAAAAAUAAUUUGAUCUUCAAAAAUUAAUCAUUCUUAAUCUUGUUUGUUAUCAUCAAAAUCAAUAUUGUGGAAACAUAUAUGUUAACACUGCAUACCUUCUUUUUAUGGGCAAUUAUCAAAUUAAUCCUUACUAAAUUUUUUGUUGGCUACUGAUAUCUCCAAAUCCACCCCAUUUUUAAAAAACAAAUACAAAAAGUACACAUUAUUUUUAAAAAAUAAAUAAAUAAGAACUUUGGAGAACAAAUUAACAAAUCUAUCUUAAUUUACUUUUUGUGACUUAAAUUUUUUUAUUAUAUUUGAUCAUAAAGAUUGAUUUGACAUAAGUCUAAAUUGAUUAUUUUAUCCUUAUAAGGUCAAACUAAUUCUUUAACUUCAAUAUUUUCUAAUUUUAUAGCAAUUCAUUAUUUCUAAUACUACUUUAUUAGUAUGAUUAUAAAACAUUAAUUAAACAAACAUAAUGGCUUUAUGGCACAAUACUCAUGUAAAUUAUUAGCUUGUCAAAUUUACAUCAUUUACACGUAAGAUAGUGAAAAUAAUAGUUAAAUUUCAUUUAAAAAUAUUAGUUCACAUGAUUAAAUACCUAAAUUAUUAGAUACAAUAACCCGUGUUUAUUGUACAAUUUGGUCAUUUUAUAUCAUAAUACUAAAAUAGUAAAGUAAAAUUUAUAUCAAGUUUAUGAUCAAAUAUACUCAAAGAAAUCUAAUAAAAAAAGUAAUAGAGGGAUUUAAUUGAUUAACUAUACAAAAUUUUUAUUAAUUUGAAUUUUUUUAAAAAUAUUGUGAAUUCAUUAUAAUUAUUUUCUAGAAGUGGGGUAAAUUUACAAACCUUUUUAGUUUCUUUCCUUUGAAACUUGCGUUUGGAUCUUCGGUUGAAUUUGGGGCUUACAAUAAAUCGACCCCACAUUUUUUCUUCCCGCAUUCCGUAGAAUAAUAUUAUAUGUAAUAAAAUAACACAAAAUUUAGUACACAAGGCACAAAUGACAAAAAAUAAUUUUCAUCUUGUAGUGAACUUUUCUUAUUGAUAAUGUACUAUUUUUUUUAUUCUAUUUACUUCUGUGAACAUAUAAUUGUAGGCAUCCACAAAUGUUAAGGAUAAGAAAUUAUUUUCCUUUAAAGUUAUUUCACAACUCCUGUACUUAUAUCAUCAAUUGCUUGACCUUUAGUUAUUUUCCUUGCUAACUUGAGUGAGACUCACCGAUACAGCUAAUAUUGGAUUUCUUGGAUGAAGCUGCUCAGAAGCCAAUAGUGCUUGUACGUAAUUCUUUUCGAAGCCUACCUUGUGUUUUUGCUGCCUCAGGUAUAUUAAUUUAACUUCCUCUUGGGCAUCAGAUAUUCGUCAUCAUGCUUGCAAAGAAACACUUGCACCUGAUUAGCCUUUUCGGUUAAUAUGGUUUGCGAAAACCUGCUAUAUUUUCUACCAUAAAAAUCCAGUCAAACACUUGUUCGAGGGCUUGUUUUGUUGAAUUGUGCUGGUGGCAGCAUGAACAACAAGGCAAUUGUUGAUGAUUGGAGAAUCAAGCCAUGGUUGCCAUUGCUUUGGUUCAUUGAUUUCUUGUUGAAGCAAAGGGCAAUUGCAGAUGCAAUCUUUGAAGAUGUGAAACGAAGGUAUUUUCUCUUCUCUCUAUUCAGUCCAUUUUUCGUUAUCCUAAAACACUAGAGUCAAAAAUUAAAAAAAUUCUAUGAUGUGUAUAUAUUGGUGCUGUAGGGAAACACUGAGGAACAUUUUACUGUCCAUCUAUGCAAAUAAGAAAUCUGUGGAUGAAACACUGGUAGAGGUAUUAAUAUUCUCCACUUAUGUGCCAUUUUAACCUCUUACAAAAAUAGCUACUCAGAAUUCAUGAAUUGACCUAAAAAUUGCAGAUCAUACGAGAACCCGCCAAUGAUGAAGGGGAACUUGAUGCAUUUGUUUCGAUUGUGACAGGCCCACAAGGGCCGAACCCCGUGCAAUUGAUGCCAUCAAUCUCUAUACCUGUACUAGUUUUAUAGGGUGAUGAGGAUCCAUUCACCCCCCUCGAUGGACCUGUUGGUAGAUACUUCUAAUCUCUGCCUUCUCAACUUUCAUAUGUGAAGUUAAUUGUGUUGGAAGGAGUAGGACAUUGUCCCCAUGACGACAGACCCGAGUUGGUCCACGAAAAGCUGCUUCCUUGGUUGGCUGAAACAUUUAAUUUCUGAGGAAUUUACUUUCUCAUCAGCAAGUUUUGAUGAGCAUUAUAUAUUAUUCCUAUUGUAAAAAGACAAACAGCUCUUGUAUUUAUAUUGUAUAUAUCAAAUCUUAUUCAACCGCUUGAAUAUCUUUUGGCGCCGAAAAGAAUGUAGGAGAAACUGAUCCCUGACAAGUUGUAGAAGCUCCAAAUUGAUUCAAGGCAUAUAUCAAAUUAUUCAAUAAAAAGUCAAAUUCAGCACAAUAAAAAAUUAGUUAUUUAUUUUUUAUAACUUAUAUAUGAUUUUUAAACAUUUACAUUUAAAUUAAAAAAGUAAUUUUUUUUGUGACCUUUGCCGAAAUGAGAAAAUAUUUGAAUGAAAAAUAAAUAUUAUAUUCUAAGAAUAUUUCUAUUCAAUAUUAUUAUUUCCUAAACUAUAAAACCCAAUUUCUUUUACUCAUUUUGACUAAUAAGGACAUAAAUGUCAAAUAACCGUGUUUGAUAUGCUUUUUUAUUAUAAAAACAAAUAAGAUGCCACUUAAUUUUUAGAUAUUAAAAAAAUAAACAUGUUAUUGAGACAUUUAUAUUCAAAUCCAUUUAGAUUUCUGUCAAAUUCAUACUUAUUCAAAUUUUAGAUAAAAAUAAACGCUACCUUAAUGUCCUUUUAAUUCUCUCGAGUAGGAUGAAAAUUUAUUUUAUUUUAUUUUUCUAUGUUGGAUUAGGGUUUAGUUGUAUAUCAUUGUAUCUUAUCUUUGAAAAUCUUUUAAAGUAUUUUAAAAUUGAGAUUAUCUACCCAAAAAAAAAUUAAUUUCAACUACUUAUGAAUUGUUUGACCAUAAAUUGUAUUAUAUGUCAAAGAAUAUGUUCAACUGGAUAAAAUCGUUGGCUACAUCCUUCGUUAAAAGAAAUUUUAUAAUAUAUUAGAGAUAAUACAACCAAUUUUAAUGAAUUCGUUGUAACACACGUGCAAGCUAAAAUGGGUCACAUGUGGCUAAUUGUCAAAGCAAUAGCAAGCUGUUAGCUUAAAGCAAAGCACAUUCAUGCUUCACCUAUGAUAAUACAACCAAUUCUAAUGCAUGUAUUGUGAUGGACAUGCAAGCUAAAAGGAGGCACAUGUGGCUAAUUGUCAAAGCAAUAGCAAGCUGUUAGCUUAAAGCAAAGCACGUGCGUGCUUCACCAAUAGGAUUUGUGAGUGGAUUAUUAUUAUUACUAUUAUGUAUUCUACAAAGUAUUUAUGUUUAAUAGUAUGAUUUAGUAUAAAGUUAUGAUUAUAUGUACGUACAUUAUAUGAUUGAUUGAGUCAUGAGGUGUGAUUGACAGGCACCAUAUGUGUACCCUUCCCCAUCGGCUCUACGCAUGCGUAUUGAGAGUUAAAUUACUCGGCCCUUGUGAUGUUGUUAAUUCUGCUGAGUAUUGAGAGGUUUUUCCCCUUUUUUACUCGUGCGAUGAUGAUCCUAGUGAGUAUUGAGAGUUAUUUCCCCUGUAUAUUAUUUGGUGCAAUUUUGUCAUUUAUGUAUAUAUGAGUUCAUGUUUGCUUUUGUAAAGCGUUCAGUGUAAAGUUAUGUCAUACAAUUAUGACGAGCACUAAAGCACUAAUUUAUUUAUAUAUAUAAUUAUAUUCAUUCAUUGGGCCGCAAGCUUACUAUUUUCCUAUUUACCCCAUUUCUGUAAGGUUUCCAUAGGAUUUCGUGUAGUUCAGUUUCUGAUCAAUUGAGGUUGGGCCACGACACGCAUUACUACAUGACUUACAUUUUGACCUAAUUUAUGUUUAUAUGUAUAUAUAUCCGAAGUGUAUGUAUGUACAGUGAGAUAUGAACUGUGUAAGUUUUUAAAAUAUUUUUUAAUGAGGCACAUAGAUUAUUAUAUGUUUAUAACAAAGGCCAAGGCUAGUGUUAUAUAUUCAUGAAUUAAGUUUAUGUCAUGAGCUUUAAAUAUAAAAUUGCAUGAUUCACCCCAUAUCCAAGGGUUGAGGCGGUUUGUGUCAUGUAUGAUAUGUACAUAUUUAGAUUCAAUAUAACCACCAUUUGAAUGAUAGUUUUUUAAAAUAAGGGCACAUGUGUCGUAGCAUGAUUCACUUAUUGUAUGACGGACAUGGUACUUCUGAUGUAUUCUAAAAUUUCUUCCUUAGUUAGAGGCAUUUGUUUUAAAAUUUUAUUUAAAAGAAGGUCAUUUUUAAUUUUAGAAUGUAAAAUGUAUUUUCUACAACACUAAAGGAUGAAACGGCCUUCAACAUAGAUUCCUUAAUAAAUUUUAAGAGAACUAAUAGAAAGUGGUUAUUUCAUUCAUGGUUAUUAAAUCAAAAUUUGAAUUAGAUCAUCACUGGUCCAAAAUAAACUAUCGUCAAUUCAAAUUGAAACAUGAAACCAUGAAUGGAUGCAUCUUUAAAUAAAAGGAUACGUUUUUAUUAUAUAUGACACUGUUUAAUUAGACAUAUCUUUACAGUCGGACAAAUUUUUAAAGCACCAUUAAUUUUGAAAAUAUUCCAGCAUAAAAUAUAUCCCUCUCCCUUAUAAGAGUAUUUUGCAAAUAAUUUGCAAAUAAUACAGAGCCACCACGAGUUCAAAAAUAAUAAAACAAUAACAUUGCUCGCUUGCUAGACUGGGCUGGAUUGGGCUGGGCCUGCUAUAAGAAUGUUUUACUAGUACGAGGCUUUGCUUUCAUCAUCGAAUACACAGUGAGGGAAAUUGAAAUUGAUGAUGGCGUUGGCCGCUCAAAUUCUAUCUCAACCGCUCAAUUUUUCUCAUAUGGUGAUCUCUUAUAAAUGUGGCAGGUUAAGCACUGGAGCAUUGUCACGGUUGAUUCUAUCGGAUGAUUCUCUUCGAAUGGCAGUGAAUUAGUUCAGGACUUCUAAGGUAUUGCUAAUUCAUAGCUGAUAGUGUGUAUUACGAUAAGAUUCAACCUGUUGGUUAAUUUAAAAUUGUUAUCUUCUUUCUUAUUUGUGCAACAAAUAUAAUACUUGAGUAAGAGUAUUUUCCUUUUUACUUUUGUGUUGUUAAGUGCCUAUAAGUCUGUUUUUUGUUGUUGAGUGUCUGCGUCAAUGCCUGAUGGCAUAUUUGCAAGUAGCUUUAAAGCUUAUUUGGCUCUUUGUUUAUGAAUAAUGUUCAAUAGCAACCUGCUCCAUUGAUAAGAGAAAUGUAUGAUAUAAUUUUUCAAGAUACCUACCUGCAUUAUGAAUUGUUAUUGGAAGGAAGUACGAUAAUAAAUUAAGAGCAAAGACUGAUUAAAAGAUGUAUCUUUCAUUAUUAAGCGAAAUGUAUGUUCUGCUUCUCAUUCACUUUACCAGAUUUACAAAAGUUUUAUGUUAUUGGAUUGUUUCUGGGUUAUCCUUGUUUUUCUAUUUUAAUUGCUUUACAUGCAUUAUGUGUGUAAUUUUUUAAUGGGCAAUCUUCAUUUGGAACAUGAAAAUUUUAAAAAACUUUCCAAUUUGUGCAGGGUAUGGAGCCUCUUAAGUAGGACUCUUUGGGUGCUACUUCUAUGUUGGGCAAAUAUUUUUUUUUUUCUUUUUCCAGUCACCAUAAUGGGGGUCAUGGUGAAACAACUUACUAAUCACUCUGGACAGGAACGGGCUUCUAUAAGUAAAGCACACGUAUUUCACUCUUUCCUUAGCAUGGAGCUGCUUACCGUUGGGAUGAAGAUGGUAAUAGCUGCUUUAGAAAUAACUUUUCUUCAGCAGGAAAAUUCUCAAUCUUGGUAAAUUUAAUGUUGUACUAGAAGACAAGCUGCCUAUUUAACCAAUGGCUAAAUGUAGCAUAGUAGCCUCCUUAGAUGAUUAAUUAGAUUGCACUCCUUUUCAUCUCUCUGUUUUCAUUUUUUCUCCUUUUUGACUUGCACUUCUCUGUUCCUUUCCCCCCCAAAAAAAAAAAAAAUUGCACUUUUCUGCCGAUGUCUUCCCAAUAUCCUAUGAUCUCCAAAUGCACAAAUAUUCUUGUUGUGACGUUCCACAUGUGGUUUCUUUUUUAUUUUGGUCCAUUUUUCAACAAUAUAGAAUAGUGAGAAGAAUGCUUUAUUUUAAUGAUGCUUCUAUGCUUUCUUAAAUGUAUGCUUGUUCUUGUUCACAUUAUACUGUUCGUCAUAAUUGGUAUGGUCUUUCUUUGGCAUCAUCAAGCCCCAAAUGUGAUGAAACAUUUUGAAUUUCUUAUUGAUCCAGCCUUCACUUUAGUAUAAUGUAUACACCGUAUCUGCGCUGCAGUAAGUAUCAUUGAUAGUUCGGAAUGAGUGCGAAAGCAGACUAGUGUGUUAACUUCAUGAUUUAUUUACUGGUUUGCACAUCCAUAUUUCAAAUGGUAUACUGGUCUUCGGCCAAAAGAGAGGGAAAAUGAAAGACUUGUGAGACAAUCCUCAUGGCUUUGUUGACAUCAGUUUGGUGGUUGAUUGAGAAUGAAUGAUCGUACAUACAUACAAAUACUUGUUAGAGGGCUUGUUCUGUUGAAUUAUGCUGGCGGCAUAAACUACAAGGCAUUGUUGACAAUUGGAGAAUCAAGCUAUUGUUUCCAUUGCUUUGGUUGAUUGAUCCUUUGUUGAAGCAAAGGCCAAUUGCAGAUGCAAUCUUUGAAGAUGUGAAACAAAGGUAUUUUCUCUUCUCUUUAUUCAGUCCAUCGUUCAUUAUACUAAAACACUUGAGUCAAAUAAGGUAUAGUUCAAUACUCUAGUGUGAGUUUGUGUUACAUGCACUACGUCCCUCGAAAGUUAUUACAUGCAUGUUUUGUUCCGAGGCUGAUCUUGGCUUUUUCUCCUAUUAUUAAUAGUGAUUAUUAAAAGAGAAAAAAUAAAAUUACAUUCUUGAAAAUCUUAGUCUCCUUAGUAACAGUUGAAACAUCUGCUUGGAACUUCCAUUGAAUCCGUAGAAUCUGGGAUGUAAAGUAAAUGGACCCCACAUUUUUUCACCCGCAGCACUCGCACUCCAAAGGCGGAAAACGAUCAAAAUCAUCAAAAAAGAAGCGGACUGCCUCAGUGAAAAAAUAGCACCCCAAAAGUAAGUGAUCUGAUUCUACGUAAGCAAGGCGCUUCAGAAAUCUCCGUGUGACUUGCGGAUCACAAUCUUCGGUUUUCACUUUGAAUUCACAAGAAAAUGAAAACCAUCUGUCAUUAUCUACAUGACAGUCUGAAAAUGCUACAAUAACACUAAAUGCAAAGCCCAGUAGUACUCGGUUAUUGUUGAAGGAAUCUGAUGGCAUCUCCAAGGUUAUAAAAGAUCCCACACUUUGAAACUCAAACCACUUCGGAAUUUCAUUCCUGAGUAGUAAGAUAUGACCUCCGUUCAUGUGAAAAUCAAUCUGUAAAAAAGAAAAAAAUCAUAACUCAAAAAAAAAAUAUAUAAAUUGAAAGAAGAGAGUUAAAAACACACCUUUUCCUGUACUUCUUUCCAAUGGGCAGCUGCCAUAAGCUGAAUUCUCUGCAGGGCAUCUUCAACAAUUCCUGCAGUAGAAUUACCAUCCGAUUUAAAAUUAUUGCUCUAGUAAAAAAAACACUGCUUAUGUAUAAGAUUCAGAACUUGAGAAUAAACCUGAUAAUGAUUGCAGCGAUGUGCAAUGAUCGGCAUCUAACCAUCGUACAAGAAAUGGAAGCUUUGGUACGGAUUGAAGCUUCUCACAAUAGCUUAAGCGGAGGUAAGUCAACACAGAAAUUUGGAUGAUGCUUUCUGGUAUUCUCUCAAUAUUGGUUUUCUCUAGAAGCAAUGUUCCUAGAGAGGACAACUGGCCAAGACAUUCGGGCAAUCUCUGAAGAUUUGAGCAACCACUGAGAUCAAGAAUUUCAAGAGAUUUCAACUUACAUAGGCUGCUUGGGAGACUCUUAAGCCUUUUACAGUCCGAAAGGUCCAAGUACCCCAGCCUAAUUAGAAGCUCAAUUGAUGAAGGCAGUUCUUCAAUUGCAGUUCCACUUAAAAAAAGGCAGCUUGUAUUACUAGAUGAGAUCUCUGGAAGCCUCUUAAGUUUUGAGCACCCCGAAAGAUCAAGUGUUGUAAGAAAUUCCAAAUUAAAUAUUCCAGCUGGAAGACUUUUCAGGCUUUUGCUACCUCUUAGAUUCAAGAUAACUAGCUUGUUUAGAUGUGGAAUCAACGUGGGGUUUGGAGUUUUGGCAAUUAGCAUCUUGCAGGCAGCAUGGAUUGUCUGGUUUAACUUACCACGAUGCUGCUUGGUCAAAAAAGAGGCCAAGAGGAAUCAUUACCAUGUAUGAUAAUUUAACGUUAUUAUUGAAAGAUCCACACAUAAUGUAUUAAGUUAUACAUACCUUCAUACCAUCCCAAAGUUGUUCAAUGCUGCUAUUAGGCAUUUCAAGAAACACAAGCUUCUCUGCACUGAUGUUUGAAGGCAAUGACUUCAAUGGAUAUCCAUGCUAGUGGAGAUACUUCACUUCAGUAAAUCUAGGGUCUUGCAAAUAAGACACCUUACAUUUGUUCUCUCCAUUGAAUGAUGAGCUAUAGAAUUUUAAAAAUCUCAAUUUCCGCAUCUUUGUGAAUGUAUUGGGAUUUAGAUGGAUCUCUUUCACUUUGAACAUAUUCAAAUAGAUGUCCUCAACUUUUUCAGUCCCCUAAUAAUCAAUAAAAAAAUGAAAAACGAUAUUUAUAUCCCACCAAUGAAUUGCACCUCAACCCCACCAAGACAAAUUUUUGGGGCAUGUUUGGCAUUGAUUCACAACAAGGGGUAACUUAGUUAUUAAUUCAAUCUUUUUUUUUACUCUUGCGUGGAAUUGAGGUGGGAUUGGAGUGGAAUUUUUUAUCAUUGGUCGAGUCAAAUUUCAGUAAUUCAUGUUUAUAUAGUUAUUGCUAGGCCGUGAAACUCUUAAUUGCAAACGCACAAAGGAACAUAAUAAUACAAGUAAUACUAAACAUGGAAUUUACGCAUGUGGGAUACAAACAAAUUGACAAAUAAACUAUCCUUACAAAGAAUUUAAUUAUACAAGUUGUCACGGCAUUUAUAACCACUAUUGUUUUUUUCUAAUCAUUGUCACUCUUCUGUUAAUUCUAGAUUCAGCAAUUCGAGAGUAUAUAAAUAUAUCCAUAUCAAGUUUGUAAAUGCUAGAAUAUUCCAAAGUAAUAAUCCACGACAAGUUGUCACUCAUGAUGCACAAUCAACUGCAGCUUCCAGGAUCAUUUGAUUCUUGACUGACAAUAUCCCUACCCAAUUCUUGUAGCAAAUCAUGCAUAGUUAUCUUGUUGUUAUUUGAUAUGACAAUAAGAGACUUAUCAACGAGAACACUUAUUCCUAUUUUUGGGUAGAAGCUGCCUGCAUUAAGGAAUUUCAUUACUAGAUUUACAUCCUCACCUUGAAAGAAACAAGCAACAUCAAGGAAAAUAUUUCUCUUUAUUAUCCAAACCAUCAUAACUUAUUUUUAAUACCUCUAGAAUACUUGGAUGGAGGAUUCUUUGCAAUUUAUUUAUUGCACUUUCCCAGACUUAUUUUUCCCUUUCAUAUAGAAAGCACCCCAAAACUUUAAGAGCUAAAGGAACACCUUGAACAAUCUCUAGCGAUUGUUGUUUUGCGUAUAACACCAAUGCCCCAAAUCCCUACAGCGUAAACAUCUUUCGACUCAACACUUAGUAGAGAUUCAAUUUCCUCAACUCUUGAUUCUACUCCAACCAGCUGGCUUUUGUUAUCACGUGGCCGCUUUAUAACUAUAAAAGAAGAUAUGAAUUAUUUGUUUUUUGAAUUUCGCCCAUCGAUCGCGCAUUAACUUAAAUUCAUAAAAGGAAAAUGAAAACAGGGCCCAUAAAAUGUUACCGAACAGGCCCUAAUAUUCUCCACUAAUGUGCCAUUUUAACCUCUUACAAAAACGGCUCAGAAUUCAUAAUUGACCUCAAAACUACAAAUCAUACGAGAACCCACCAAUAACGAAUAGGCGCUUAAUGCAUUUGUUUUGAUUGUGAUAGGCCUACCAGGGCCGAACCUAGUGCAAUUGAUGCCAUCAAUCUCUAUACCUAUACUAGUUUUAUAGGGUGUUGAGGAUCCAUUCACCCUCUUUGAUGGACCUGCUGGUUAAUACUCCUCAUUUCUACAUUCUUAACUCUCAAAUGUGCUAGUUAAUUGUAUUGGAAGGAGUGGGACAUCAUCCCUAUGACGAAAGACCCAAGGAGAUCCAUGAAAAGCUGCUUUCUCGGUUGGCUGAAACAUUUAAGUGCUGAGAAAUUUACUUUCUCAUCAGCAAGUUUUGAUGAGCAUUAUAUAUUAUUCCUAAUGUAAAAUGGCAAACAACUCUUGUAUUUAUAUUGUAUAUAUCAAUUCUUAUUCAACCGCUUGAAAAUCUUUUGGCAUCGAAAGAGUGUACGAGAAACUGAUCCCUAACAAGUUGUAGAAGCUCCAAAUUGAUUCGAGAAAUGUACCAAAUUAUUCAAUAAAAAGUCAAAUUUAGCACAAUAAUAAAGAACAAUGAUUUAUUAAUCUAUAUUUCUCAUGUUAAUGAUAUGCGAAUGAUAAGAUUCAAUUUUUCAAAUGAAAAAGAUACAAUAAUCUAAAUAGAAUUAUAGGCUCAUGGGCAUCUUUAACCUUUCCUUACAAGCUAGUUUUUUAAAGGUAAAUUCUAGCCAUAGAUGAUACCACGUCAACUAUGGAAUCAAAUGAAACAUUUCGAAUAUGGAAUUGGUAUAAAUACUUGAAAGAGUGGAUACAUGUUUGUUGAUACAGAAAUCUGGUUGAGCUACGUAGCGACCAGACAACCACGCCAACACUUAAAUUUGUUGUUAAAUAUCAAUUGUUGGAGAAAAAUCAGUUUUUUAAAUUUUUAUAAAAUCUUUUAAGAUCGAUCUCAUAUAAUAUAUAAGAAUUCGUAAUCUAGAAAAUCAUACCUUGACAAUCUGAUUUGACUUUUUUAGUGAGUUAAUCUAGGCUCCCAGAUCACGAUCUAUCAGCACCACGCCUGUUAGAUCACGAUCCGUCACCACCACGUUUGUUAGAUCACGAUCCGUCACCAAUGAUCUUCUAGGUUAUGACUCAGGUUUCAUAUACACUUGUGAGUGGAUUACUAUUAUUACUUAUAUGUAUUCUACAAAGUAUUGUGUGAGUGGAUUACUAUAUUUUAGGAGAAAUCCAAGAAUUAGGGAAUCUAUAGGAGCUCCAACGAACCCCGAAGUGAAACAUAUUUUGUGAGUGGAUUACUAUUAUUACUUAUAUGUAUUCUACAAAGUAUUUAUGUUUAGUAUGAUUUAGUAUCAUGUUAUGAUUAUAUGUACGCAUAUUAUAUGAUUGAUUGAAUCAUGAGAUGUGAUUGCCAAAUACCAUAUGUGUACCCUUCCCCAUAGGCUCUAUGCAUGUGUAGUGAGAAUUAGAUUACUCGGCCCUUGUAAUGUAGUUAAUUCCGCUGAGUAUUGAGAGGUUUUUCCCCCACUUUACUUGUGCAAUGAUGAUUCCAGUAAAUAUUGAGAGUUAUUUCUCCUAGAUAUUAUUUAGUGCAGUUUAUCAUAUAUAUAUAUAUAUGAUUUCAUAUUUGCUUGUGUAAUGCGUUCAGUGCGAAGUUAUGUCAUACAAUUAUGCACCCGCACUAGAGCACUAAUUUAUUUAUAGAUAUAUGUACACACACACACACAAUUAUAUCCAUUCAUUUAGCCACAAGUAUAUUAUUUUCCUAUUUACCCAAUUUCUUUUAGAUUUUCAUAGGAUUUCGUGCAGUUCAGUUUCUAAUCAGUUGAGAUUGGGUCACGACACGUAUUAUUGCAUGACUUAUAUUUUGAACACGUUUAUGUUUAUAUGUAUAUAUCUAAAGUGUAUGUAUGUACAGUAAGAUGUGAAAUGUGCAAGUUUUGAAUAUAUUUUUGAAUGAGGUACAUAUGUUAUUAUUUGUUUAUAACAAAGGCCGAGGCUAGUGUUAUGUAUUCAUGAAUUAAAUUUAUGUUACAAGCUUUAGAUAUAAGAUCACAUGAUUCACCUCGAAUCUGGCAGAGAGGUUGGGUCGGAUUGUGUCAUGUAUAAUAUGCACUUACUUAGAUUCAAUAUAACCAUCAUUUACAUGAUGGUUUUUCAAAAUAAGUGCACAUAUAUCAUAACAUGAUUCACUUUUUAUAUGACUGACAUGGUACUGAUUAUGUCUUCUAAAAUUUGUCCCUUAGUAAGAGGCAUUUAUUAUAAAAUUUUAUGCUAAAAGAAGGUCAUUUUAAAUUUCAAAGUGUAAAAUCUAUUUUUAUACAUUUACACAAUACUAAGGAUGAAAUGGUCUUCAACAUAGAUUCCUUAAUAAAUUUUAAGAGACCUGACAGAAAGUGGUUAUUUAGAGAAAUUGAACAAUGGAUGGUGCCUUUAUUUAAUUCAUUAAUAAAAUGCAUCUAGAAACUGAUGUAGUCCAAAAAGGCGUCUUUUGUUAGAGUGUAGUAGGAGUAAAUAUAUGAAAUAAAAUUUUGGAGAAAUAUUUGUGGGGAAUAAUAAUUGCAGAAAAAGGGAGCAAUAAUUGAUAAAACUUUUUUUAUUAAAGUUGGACUAUUGGCACCCCUUUAGUCUCCUCAUCAAACCUUUUUUUUUCAGUUACAUUUAUUUUAUUUCCAAAAAUUUCCUUUUAUUUUCAAAGACGCUCUUUUAGUUUUUCAUUUAAUCUUUUUUUAUUGUUAAAAUUCAAAGUAGUAUUGUGCUAUUUUUCAUCUCUUUUGCAAUCCUAUUGUUAUCCUACAUACAAAUCAAAAAGUUUUUUACGUGAUAAAGUUUGAAUGCUAAUCAUUAGCUUAAAUAACACAUAUUUUAGAUUGUAGUUUGAAUGUAAUCUUGAGUACAAAAAUAUUUAAUCGAUAAGAAAUAGGAAAAGAAAAAUAGAUUAUUCUAAAUUUAUACAAUUUAUCUUAAUUAGAUAAGAAAUAAUAGGUAGGAAAUUAAAAAAAAGGAUUGAUUAUCAAUGUAAGUAAUUUGUUGGGAAAAAAAAAAUACUACAUGUGUUUAUAUCUUCUUUGCCCUUAACUGUAAUUUUAUUUGAAAUAGGAUUUUAUAAGAAUAAUGAAGGGGUGUCAAUAGUUUCACUCUUAUUUUAAUUGAAAUAUAGGUAAGAAUUGAUGGUGCUUCGAGACACAUUACAAAUGUAGUUUUUCUAGAGAAAAACUACAUACGAUAGGAAGAUUAGAUGGAUCACAGAAAGGUCCUGACUUCUAUUUAUAGAUAAUUAUGUACUCUUUUAUUUGGAUUGUCACUUUUCAUGAUACCCUUUCAUUUAUGGUUAUUAAAUCAAAAUUUGAAUUAAAUUAUCAUUGGUCCAAAAUAAACCAUCACCAUUUCAAAUUGAAGUAUAAAAUCAUGAAUGGAUGCAUCUUUAAAUAGAAGAAUAUAUUUUUAUUAUAUUUGACACUGUUUAAUUAGACAUAUCUUUUCAAUCAAACACGUAUUUAAAGCUCCAUUUAUUUUGAAAAUAUUCCAGUGUAAAAUAUAUUCUCUCCCUGACAUGAGUAGUUUGCAAAUAAUACAGAGCCACCGCGAGUUCAAAAAUAAUAAAAUAAUAACAUUGCUCACUUGCUGGACUGGGCUGGAUUGGGCCGAUUGGGCUGGGCCUGCUAUAAGAAUGUGUUACCAGUACGAAGCUUUGCUUUGAUUAUCCCAUACACAGAGAGGGAAAUUGAAAUUGAUGAGGGCGUUGGCCGCUCAAUUCCUGCUUCGGAUUCCCCAACUCGGAAGGAAAAAUAUAAACUUUCCGUCGUACAAGCAUCGCGGGAAUUAUCAGCCAUUGUUCUUGUCUUGCAAUUACAGCACCAAUGACAAUUGUUCUUCAUCUUCUUCUUCUUCUUCUUCUUCUUCGAGGAAUUACUUAGAAUUGACCGACGAUGAGCUGUUUCGCGAAUGCGAAAUGGACGCGUACAAAUCGUCCGGACCAGGCGGUCAGCACCGCAACAAGCGUGAAUCAGCCGUACGUCUCAAGCACGUACCGACCGGCGUCAUAGCGCAGGCCGCCGAAGACCGAUCGCAGCACAAGAAUCGCGCGUCAGCUUUGUCGCACUCUUUUGGCCCUCGAAGUGAGGAGCAGUGUGAAUCUUGAUGCGUAUUCUCCGCCGCCACAGCUUCUUCAAAUCCUUCCUCCUAAGUCUACUAUUAGAAGUUCAGAAGUUGGUCCACAAAUCGGACCUAACAAUCCUAAAUUUGCUUUGGUAUUACUCUAUUCACUCUUGCUUCGGUUUUUUUUGGUUAACUACAGGGAAUGCAAGCUCUGCUUGAUCUAAUUUUCGCAGUCGAGGAAUCUGUAUCAGAAGCAGCAAAAUUAUUGGGGUAUUGCAUUAAGCUUAAUACUCUAUCAAGUGAUAAUUGAGCUUCAAAAAGAGAAAUUGCUAGAUGUAAUGUGUUUGAUUGGCGUUUAGGUUUCCAAUAUUUUUUUUAAGUUAAGAUUUCUCUCGUAUGGUGAUCUUUUAUAAAUGUGGCAGUUUAAGCACUGGAGCAUUGUCACGGUUGAUUCUAUCGGAUGAUUCUCUUCGAAUAGCGGUGAAUGAGUUGAGGACUUCUAAGGUAUGCUAAUUCAUAGCUGAUAGUGUGUAUUACGAUAAGACUCAACCUGUUGGUUAAUUUAAAAUUGUUAUCUUCUUUCCUAUUUGUGCAACAAAUAUAAUACUUGAGUAAGAGUAUUUUCCUUUUUACUUUUGUGUUGUUAAGUGCCUAUAAGUCCAUUUUUUGUUGUUGAGUGUCUGCGUCAAUGCCUGAUGGCAUAUUUGCAAGUAGCUUUAAAGCAUAUUUGGCUCUUUGUUUAUGAAUAAUAUUCAAUAGCAACCUGCUUCAUUGAUAAGAGAAAUGUAUGAUAUAAUUUUUGAAGAUAGUAUCUGCAUUAUGAGUAAAGCAAGAGCAAAGACUGAUUAAAAGAUGUAUCUUCAUUAUUACGUGAAAUGUAUGUUCUGCUUCUCAUGCACUUUACCAGAAUUACAAAAGUUUUAUGUUAUUGAUGGUUGGAUAGUUUCUGGGUUAUCCUUGUUUUUUUUUUUUUUGUUUUAAUUGCUUUACAUACAUUAUGUGUGUAAUUUUUUAAUGGACAAUCUUCAUUUGAAACAUGAAAAUUUUAAAAAACUUUCCGAUUUGUGCAGGGUAUGAAGCCUCUUAAGUAGGACUUCUUAGGUGCUACUAUUGUGUUCGGCAAAUAUUUUCUUCUUUUAUUUUUCUUUUUUCAGUCACCAUAAUGGGGGUCAUGGUGAAACAACUUACUAAUCACUCUGGACAGGAAUGGGCUUCUAUAAGUAAAGCACACUUAUUUCACUCUUUCCUUAGUAUGGAGCUGCUUACUGUUGGGAUGAAGAUGGUAAUAGCUGCUUUAGAAAUUAGUUUUCUUCAGUAGGAAAAUUCUAAAUGUUGGAAAAUUUAAAGUUGUACUAGAAAACAAGCUGCCUAUUCAACCAAUGGCUAAAUGUAGCAUAGUAGUCUCCUUAGACAAUUAAUUAGAUCGCAUUCCUUUUGAUCUCUCUGUUUUCAUUUUUUCUCCUUUUUGACUUGCACUUCUCUGUUCCUUUCCUCAAAAAAAAAAAAAAAAAAAAAUUGCACUUCUCUGCUGAUGUCUUCCCAAUAUCCUAUGAUGUACAAAUGCACAAAUACUCUUGUUGUGACGUUAACCAUAUAUGGUUUCUUUUUUAUUUUGGUCCAUUUUCCAACAACAUAGAAUAGUAAGAAGAAUACUUUAUUUUAAUGAUGCUUCUCUGCUUUCUUAAAUGUAUGCUUAUUCUUGUUCACAUUUUACUGUUCAUCAUAAUUGGUAUGGUCUUUUUUUGGCAUCAUCAAGCCCCAAAUGUGAUGAAACAUUUUGAAUUUCUUAUUGAUCCAGCCUUCACUUUAGUAUAAUGUAUACACCGUACCUGCAGUAAGUAUCAUUGAUAGUUCUGAAUGAGUGCGAAAGCAUACUAGUGUGUAACUUCAUGAUUUAUUUACUGGUUUGCACAUCCAUAUUUCAAAUGGUUUACUGGUCUCUGGCCUAAAGAGAGGGAAAUUGAAAGACUUGUGAGACAAUCCUCAUGGCUUUGUUGACAUCAAUUUGGUGGUUGAUUGAGAAAUGAAUGAUCAUACAUAUACAUACACAUAUACAUAUACAUAGACAUACAUACAUACAUAUACAUAUACAUAUACAUAUACAUAUACAUAUACAUAUACAUAUACAUACAUACAUAUAUAUAUAUAUAUAUAUAUAUAUAUAUAUAUGAUUUUCAUGGACUAGCAUUUGACAGAUGACUUGAUUAUUAUUUUUUGUCUGUCUGUUUAUUGAUUCUGUUGCUCAGUCAUAGCUAGACAUUGCUCGUUGACCAUUUGUUAGUGACAGGCUCAAAUGAGAUGCUUGAACUUUUGCUUUUAUCACUUGUACUUACUUGCUUGGAUUUAGUUUGGAAAAGCAAAUCAACUAAGAUUUAGUCAGGUGAGCUUUGCAGCAAGUUGGGAUCUGACCCAAGUCAUAAUCCAAGUUGAGCAGAAUAUCCACAAAAACCAUCAUCUCAUCCAUGAAACAAAAGCAAUUUUGAGAGCCAGCAUUGGGGAAUCCUUUACUAGACAUGAGUUUUGAUAUUUGAUAUUAUGAAAGUCUUUUAUUUGACAUGUAAAGGUAGGGAUUUACUUUGUUUAACCCCUAUUCGUGCUAUAGGUUGACAGUAAUCUAUCACUUAAAUGCACUUUUUCCAAUCAGCCAAUGGCAAGCAAAUUUCUAGAAUGAAAAUGAGGCAUAAGUUAAAUGCUUUCUUGAAAUGUGGUGAAAUCAUUUGUUUAUGGUAUUACUUGUCGUGGCAGAAGCAUCCUCCUAAAAUUAUUUAUAAGAAACUCUUUUUACUCUCUAUGCCAGUGGAGUGGGCCUUCAAAAGGAAAGGAAAAGCUGUACCUAAAGUUGUGAAAAAGGAAGAAUUUGCAAGUAAAAAAUGAAUAUAUUAUGCAUGGCUACAUAAAUUGGUACAUAUAGCUUUUGCACCUAAUCUGAUUAUCUCGAUUCCUGGACCCAGAACUAAUAUAGCCUAAUUAUUACACAUGAGAUUUUGUGCUGCCAUACUACUUACAUGCGAGUGCUGAUUUUUAAACAGAAAUAUUCAACAGAGCACUGACAGAAACAGAGUUAACACCCGAGCCGGGUUACUGUGUUAAUUGAAAACAAUUAAUUAACAGGACAAAAACAAGAUAAAUCUGGUGGUUUUGUAGUUAAUUCUGCCUGCCCUCUGUUAGUUUCUUUAGUAUUAUUCCUCAUAUAUUUGACUUAUUGACCUAUCUGUGGUUGGAAAGAAAAAUGAUUUAAGUAAACUUUAGAAAAUGUUUUAUCCUUGUUUUAUUUCUGAAUAUCAGCAGUGCAUCAUUUUGAAAAUGUAACUGUGGGGUUUCAGGAUCCUCUCGAGCCAGUUUUGUUGUUCACAAAACCCCUUGUGCCAGAAAAAUUGGACUCUGCAGGUAUUGUUCCGCCGUCAGAUUCUUCUACGAGGAAUGGCACUAUAGCACAAACUCACAAAUUUCAUGGAAGAAUUGGCCGAGGGGGGCGGAUAGUAUUUGAUAGAUGUAAUCCUCUUAUGCACUCCUCAACUGAUAGUGGCACGUCUUUUUACUUACCACCAAAAGCCCGCACAUCUAUGUACAGUUAAAUUGAAUACUUGCAUUGUCCGAGCUCCAGCAAUUAUUUGUUUGGGAAGCCAACUGUAAUUAUGCCGAGGGCAAGCAAAAUACUGGGCUUGAUGAAUCUUUUGAGGCUUGGUCACAGGUAUUUCAUGCCGUGCAUCAUCUUGCCUUAUUCUCUUUAAAGAAAUGACCUUGCCCUGAUUUUCCUUUCAAGUUUAAACUUAAUGAGCUUUUAUUACAUCCUUUAUUGUUGAAAUGCUUGUGCUAAUCAUAGUAUUUUCAAACUUUUCGCCCCAGUUGAUUAUAAAUUUUGUGUGAAUGUUACAAGAUAAAACUUACCUUUAAAAUGUUAACGAACCUGUAAGAUUGGACUUCUCUUUAAGACCUUGAAUUAAGUGGAGGGUGUUUUGGGGUUAAUAAACCAGCAACUAUGCAUAUACUUGGCCAAUGAGGAAUCCUACUAGUACAGAAUAAGGUUGCACAAGACAGUUAAAUAGAUGACGCAAUGGAGACGUCUCUGUAUCGACUCAAUUCAAACUAAUUGUAGAAUGUGUACGUCAGGUGUUAAUGCUUAGAAUGAAAAUGAUGCACUAUGUUUGGUGUUUUGCAAUUUAAAAAUGUGUCUAAUAGUGUAUUUUCAGAAUUGGACUAUAAAAAUAGAGAUAGAGAAAACGAUAUAAAAUUAAGGUAAUAUAGGACGAAAAAGUAUGGACAAGGAAGCAGAAAUAUUUGGUAUUUUUCAUUUUUUUCAAUAAAAAAAUGAAAACAAAAUUUUCAAUAUCUAUUCAUCAUUUUUGGGGAAAAAAGAAGAAGCUUAAAGAAUAAAUGAAAGGGUGUUUUAAAACAAAAAUGUGAUUGCUGUUUGAAUAAUGACCCUCUCGGUUAGGCAAAACAGUCACAUAAUCAUUUUUUUUUAAAACACAAACCUUUUGGUUCAGAAAUAAUCACACAAAUCCCAAUCUUUUAGCUAAAAAAGAGUCUGCGUAUCUCAAAAGAGACAUGUGUGACAUUUUCUAAAAACAAAAUAUCUUUAUAGUUAUUUUGCCAAAUCACGUGGUGCCUUUAGAAAUAGGAUAAAUUUUAAUUUGCCCCCAAUUUAAAAUGAAAAUCUUUAAUUUAUCACCUAAAAGUAUAAAAAUAUCAAGUUACCCCAUUUAUUGUUAAGAAGAUUAAAACAAAAAAAAAAAUCAACACAUUCCUUAUUUGCCCCUCAUCUUUUGGACGGAAAUGAAGAAUAAAUUGAGGUUUACAUUAAGAGCAAAUUAGAGAUUAUCAUUUUAUUUGGGAAUGAAUUAAACUUUAUCCUUAGAAAUAAAAAAUUCAAGAGACAUACAUCAAAAAAGGUAAUAGUUUUCACUUUUUAUGGAGUAUUUGGGUAAGGGUAUUUGCACCCCACUAUUUUUGUAAAUCCACCCUACUUCUAGAAACUAAUUGCAAUGAAUUCACAAUAUUUUUUUAAAAAAUACAAAUUAAUAAAAAUUUUGUAUAGUUAAUCAGUUAAAUCCUUCUAUUGAUUUUUUUUCUUAGGUUUUUUUACCAUCUUUAAUUAUAAACUUUAAUACAAGUUUUAUUUUAGUAUUUUAUUAUUAUGAUAUAUAGCGACUAAAUUACCAUUAUAAACAUGAGUUAUUAUAUCUAAUAAUUUAUGUAUCUAGCUUAUAAUAUAAUAUUGUAAAAUAAAAUCUAAUUGUUAUUUUCUCUACUUUUAUGUGUAAAUAACAUAAAAUUGACAUCCCAAUAAUUUACAUGAGUAUCAUGCCCUAAAGAUACUAUUUUAGUUUAAUUAAAGAUUAAAACUCCUAUUAAUAAAGUAGUAUUAGAAACAAUGAGUUUGGUAUAAAAUUAGAAAAACAUUGAAAUUAAAGUAAAUUCUUAAUAGUUUUACCUUAUAAGGGUAAAAUAGUUAAUUUAAAUUUAUGACAAAACAAUCUUUGUAACCAAAUAUAAUAAAAUAAUCUAAAUCAGGAGAAAGUUAAUUAAAAUAAAUUUAGUUAAUUAAUUCUAUAAAAUUCUUCUUUAUUUGAAAAUUUUUAAACAUAGCAUGUAUGCUUUAUAAUUAUUUUUUUAAAAAAAUGGGAUGAGUUUGCAAAAAUUAUUGGACGGAAAUACCAAUCACCCGGAGUAUUUUAGUAAAGCACCUGAUAUUCGUUUCAGACGAAGUAUUAUCAUUUUGAUUUUUGAGGAAUAUCAGUAAAAUUUUCAUAUAAUAGUGGAAUAAGCCCAAUAAAUAAUUAUAUAAAAAGUUUUGGAGUCAUAGGAGUCUCAUAGAGGUGGAAGCAGGGGAGGAGCAGGCCAAGCCAGGCCACAGAAAAUAUUCAAUUGAAAAAGCAAGAAAAGAAUGAGCGUGUGGAUGGUAAGGGCUCGGACUCCCUCUUUCAUUAUUCCAAUAACAACACUCAGGAUUGGAAAUGGAAAUGGAGAUGUAAAAGGCCUGCGCUUGCCCCUAUUGAGCAAUAAGAGUUGGCAGUUUCAGUUGCAGUUGCAGCAGAGGAAUAAGGAGAAGAAGAAGAGACAAAAUGUUACCAUCAGUUAUACUAACAGUAGCAGUGGAGGGGAUUCUGCUUCUGCUGCACUGGAACUGGAGGUUAAUGAGAUAAGGGAGAGUUGCAAAAUGUGGAAAUGGAAGGGUCAGUACUCCAUCAAUUACUUGGUUUCUUCAACUCCAAAUUCACAUCCCGAUUCUCCUCCUCUACUCCUUGUCCAUGGCUUUGGUGCCUCCAUUCCUCACUGGCGCAGGUUAGCGAGAUAAGAUUGCUCUUUCUUGUUGUGAAUUGUGUAGCGGGUUGAUUAUUGGGUGCAUAAAAACGUAGCUCCUUUAUUGUGAAUUCAGUUUUCUGGGUAUUUUCGACUGUAAUUUUUUUUUGUAUGGAGCAUGUCUUUACCUUACGUAUGUAAUAUCUCUGACUCUGUUAUGUAUUAUGAACUCCAGGGAUGCAUUUAUAUGUGUUAUGCUUCGAAUAAUUAAUUAAGAUGAACGAAGCAAAAGAAUAAUGAAGGUAAAUCUAUUCGUUAUUCCCUGUUGCAUUGGCAUUAACACCUAGUUCUAUUCCUUGCACCUAGAUGAUGACAAACCGGUGAUCUGAGUUUCAGGGUUCCAUUUCAUAUUACACUUUUAUGGAUAUAGGCUUCUUCCAUUUUCCGAUUCUUAAUCUAGUGAAAAAGUAUUCAUUUUACUGCUCUGUUGAAAAGGGGAAUGAAAAUUUGCUUGUGCACCAUUCCUUUAUCCUACUAAAUAAUGUGAGGAAUUGAUAUUUUUCUUGUCAUCUCUGAGGUAAUUUCAGGAAUAUUGGCACCCUGGCAAAGAGCUACACGGUUUAUGCAAUUGACCUUCUUGGAUUUGGUGCUUCAGAUAAGCCAGCUGGUUAUUCAUAUACCAUGGAGGGAUGGGCUCAGGUAUGCAAUGUUCCCUAGCCAGAAGUUGGAUCUUUUGUUGUCAAUUGCUUGACCUUUAGUUAUUUUCCUUGCUAACUUGAGUGAGAUUCACUGAUACAGCUAAUAUUGGAUUUCUUGGAUGAAGUUGUUAAGAAGCCAACUGUGCUUAUAGGUAACUCUGUUGGAAGCCUAGCUUGUGUUAUUGCUGCCUCAGGUAUAUUUAUUUUAACUUCCCCUUGGACAUCAGAUAUUCUUCAACUUGCUUGCAAAGAAACACUUGCACAUCAUUAUCCUUUUUGGUAUCUAUGGUUUACGAUAAACCUGCUAUAUUUUCUACCAUAAGAAUCUAGUCAAACCCUUGUUCGAGGGUUUGUUCUGUUGAAUUGUGCUGGUGGCAUGAACAACAAGGCAAUUGUUGAUGAUUGGAGAAUCAAGCUAUUGUUCCCAUUGCUUUGGUUCAUUGAUUUUUUGUUGAAGCAAAGGCCAAUUGCUUCUGCUAUAUUUGAGCGUGUGAAACAAAGGUAUUUUCUCUUCUCUCUAUUCAGUCCAUUGUUCAUUAUCCCAAGACACUAGAGUCAAAAUUAAAAAAAUCUAUGAUGUGCAUAUAUUGGUGCUGUAGGGAAACACUGAGGAAUAUUUUACUGUCCAUUUAUGCAAAUAAGGAAUCUGUGGAUGAAACACUGGUUGAGGUAUUAAUAUUCUCCUCUUAUAUGCCAUUUUAACCUGUUACAAAAAUGGCUACUCAGAAUUCAUGAAUCAACCUCAAAACUGCAGAUCAUACGAGAGCCUGCCAAUGUGGAAGGGGCACUUGAUGCAUUUGUUUCGAUUGUAACCGACCCACCAGGGCCGAACCCAGUUCAAUUGAUGCCAUCAAUCUCUAUACCUCUACUAGUUUUAUGGGGUGAUGAGGAUCCAUUCACACCCAUCGAUGGACCUGUUGGUAAAUACUUCUCAUCUCUGCCUUCUAAACUCUCAAACGUGAAGUUAAUUGUAUUGAAAGGAGUAGGACAUUGCCCCCAUGACGACCGGCCUGAAUUGGUCCACGAAAAGCUGCUUCCUUGGUUGGCUGAAACAUUUAAUUUCUGAGGAAUUUACUUUCUCAUCAGCAAGUUUUAACGAGCAUUAUAUAUUAUUCCUAUUGUAAAAAGACAAAACAACUCUUGUAUUUAUGUUGUAUAUAUCAAUUCUUAUUCAACCGCUUGGUUAUCUUUUGGCGCCGAAAGGAAUGUUGGAGAAACUGAUCUCUGACAUGUUGUAGAAGCUCCAAAUUGAUUCAAGAAAUAUAUCAAAUUAUUCAAUAAAAAAUCAAAUUCAGCACAAUAAAAAAGAAUAAUGAUUUAGUAAUCCAUAUUGCUCAUGUCAAUGAUAUGUGAAUGAUAGGAUCCAAUUUUAUACAUGAAAAAGAUACAAUAAUCUAAAUCGAAAUAUAAGUUCACAGGCAUCUUCAAUCCUUUCCUUACAAGUCAUUUUUGUAAAUAUAAAUUCUAACCAUAGACGAUACCACAUCAACUAUGGAACCAAAUGCAUCAUUCCAAAUAUGGAAUUGGUAGAGAUACUUGAAAAAGUGCAUACAUGUUUAAGCAAAUGGAUUCACAACUCAGGUGAGUUGAGUGAAAAUGACACCUAUCUCAGUCUUCUUCGUUACAGUUGAAACAUGUGCUUGGUGUUAGAUUUAUUUCUCACAUUAUGUGGACUGACAUAAAUCAUUCUAAUUGUUUUUUAUAUUUUACCGAAUUAAUACGUGACUAUAGUCAAAUAUUAUGGAGCAAUUUUGACAUACCCCGUACAGUAAUAUAUUAUGGACAAGUAUAUCCAUAAUUGUGUUAUUUUCGCCCAUAAUGAGAUGGGUAAUUUUGUACUAACACAUGAGGGGUCCCUACGCUCAACCACUGUAUUUAAGUAACUUCAGCCCAUUGGAAAUUAACUGUUCAAGAAAUCUGUGGCAUGAGUGCAGUGCAUCUCUCUCUCUCCCGUUUGUCUCCCGUGUGUGUGCACAGUACGUUGCUGAGAGAAGCCGUGAUCUUGAGCUAAGGAAACGAAAGCGGAAUUCAGAAGCUAGACAAAAGUAGCAGCAACUCUGUUGAAGCUCCAUAACAAGCUGCAAGCUCGGAUUCAUGGGAGAUCGUGGUAAAUUUCGAAAUUUACUGAAAUAUGUGUUUAAUUUGGAAAUGCACGAUUAAAGGGCAUAAAGUGUGUUUUUGUUUCAUCAAUUGGUAUCAGAGCCCAUGGUUAUGCGUUUCCUUGUAAACCAUAGUUGUUUUGUUGAAGAAAUCUCACUCAUGGAAUUUUUUUUAUUAUUUUCGGAUUUUUCGAAUUCUUCGAAUUUGGACAUAUUUCCUCAAACGGUUGUUAAAUAAUGCAUGAGUGAUGAUUUUGGAGCAAAGAUAUAAUUUUUUCGUGUUUUUUGGUGGCCAAAAUCGGGUUGGUAUGGAUGUGGAUGCUGUAAAUGUACUGUACAAUACUGUAGCAACAGCCCGAGGUUGAAGAUGAUGGGACAAUUUCAUUUGGAUCCCUAAAUUUUGUGAAUUAUCACUAUGGCCCAAAAUCUUUGCAAAAUUUUCGAAAUGGUCCUUGACCGAGGGUCAACUUUGUAAAAGAUCAGUUUGAUCCCUUAAAGUUUGGUAAAUUAUAUUAUGACCCAAUAUUUUAUUUUAUUUUAUUUAAAGCUGGGCCAAAAGUUUUAAUAUUUAAAACAGUAAGCAUAAUUCUGAAAAUUCGGUAGUUUAGUCCAAAAUCCUUUAAAUUUUGGCGAUUUUUUCAGAAUUUUAAAUUUAAGAAUAAUCCAUCAUUGUUGAAUUGUAUGGGCAUAAUAUUCAUAUAUUUUAUUGAGGCAUGUAGAUAUUUUAUUUGAUUGAAUAUCUUGGUGGAAACUUUAAUUACGUUUUGACAAAGUUUAUUUAGCCUCAAUUUUGUUAAUAUACGAAAUAUAUAUAUGAUGCAAAACUACAAUUUAGAGUGAUUGUGUAUCUGCUUAUCGUAGGACCAAUCAUGAUAAAUUAUUUGGUGUUUUGCAAUUGGUUGUCCAUUUAUAAUUAUGAAUUAUGGAUUAUGUGAUGGAUUGUUAUUGUUUUGACCAAGAUCCAUACGGGUGAUGAUACUGCCCUGUCGGCAAAUCACUACUUGGUAGGAUGCUUGGGAAGAUAAAGAGGUUUGUUGAGUAUUUUCUACUGAGUGGCUUGAUUACCCUGUCGGUAAUAGGUCAAUGUUGGUGUUAUAUUCAACUUGUCUGCUUUAUCUUUAGGUUAGUGCAUUCCUAUAUUGUUAAAGGAUGCCUAACAUAUUGUGUUGCUAUUGGAGAAACUUAGAAUGAGGAGCAAUUGAUUAUAGCAUGAUUUUAAUUUUUGCAUGCUUGAUAAUUCUUUUGUUAUUGCUUCCUCAGCUCUAGAUAUUCUCUCAUUUCUCCAAGUAGCUUUCCUCAAGAAUUUAACUGGGACAAAUUUUGAGGAAUGACGUGAGUCCAUUUUGUUUUAUUUGUCUACACUGAAUAGAGACUUGGCAUUAAGAGUUGAUGAACCAGCCAAGCCCACAGAUAAGAGCACUGCUGCUGAAAAAGCAGAGUGGGCAGCUUGGGAUGAAUCCAAUAGACACUGUCUGGAUACAAUGAAAUACACCAUUGAUAGAACCACUAGAGAUAGCAUCCCUGCAUGUGAUAAGGCCAAAGAUUACUUGGCAGCUGUGGGAAGAACCUUUAAGAAGGUAGAUAAGGCAGAAAAGGGUAACUAUCUGAGGCUGCUUGCUAAUACCCAGUAUGAUGGUGUUUCUGGGGUCAGAGAACACAUCCUUAAGAUGACUAGUUACCAUAAGAAGCUGAAGGACAUGGAUGUCACUUUGCCUGAUGACUACCUGGUCUUCCAAAUCCUUGAAUCUCUUCCACCACAAUUUGGCAAUUUGAGAAGCCAAUACAAUACUCAGAGAGACACUUGGAAUAUCACUGAGUUGACUGCUUAUGUGGUUCAGGAAGAGGAAUCAUUGAAGAAGGGGAAAUCUCACACUGUCAUGGUGGCAACUACUCAAGAGAGUGGAAGUGUGAAGAAAGGCUCUUCAAAGGGCAGCAAUAAGUUUUUUAAGAAGAAAAAGUUUGGCAAGAAAACUUCACGUGGUAAUUCUUCUACCACUUUUGGUUCCACUGCUGAGAGCUUUAAGGGAAAGUGCCACUUUUGUAAGAAACCUGGGCACAAGAGAGCUGAAUGCAGGGGUUCAAAGCAUGGUUGGAAAAGAAAGGUAUUCAUGUAGCUUUUGUAGGCUUUGAAUCUAAUCUAGUUAAUGUUCCUUCUGAUACUUGGUGGUUGGAUACUGGUGCAACCAUUAAUAUAACGAAUUCCUUACAGGAAUUCAGAAGCAGGAGGGAGCCCAAUGAAGGGGAGUUGAUAGUUCACAUGGGUAAUGGAGUGACAGCCAAAGUUGAAAGCAUAGGAGUUGUCAGACUACAUCUAGCCACAGGCCAUGUUUUGGAUCUAUUAGAUACAGCUUAUAUUCCUUCUAUUAGGAGAAACUUGAUAUCUGUAUCUAUUUUGGAUAGAUGUGGCUAUACUUUUCAUUUUGGUGAUAGAAAAGUUUACUUAUUCCGCAAUUCAGAGUUAGUUGGUUCUGGCACUCUAUAUGAUGGCUUGUAUAUGAUUGAUUUAUUUUCUCGUGCUGUUGAAUCAUCAUCCAAUGCUCAUGUUAUGCAUGUUGUUAGCUCUAAUCGUGUCAGGGUUGAUGAAAAUUCCUCUAUGUUGUGGCAUAAACGGUUAGGUCACAUUUCUAAACAGAGGAUGGAGAGGCUUAUUAAAGAUAACAUUCUACAUAAGUUGGAUUUCUCUGAUUUUGGCACUUGUGUUGAUUGUGUCAAAGGCAAACUUACUGCCAAAACCAGAAAAGAGAGAACUCAGAGGAGUCAACAGGUGCUGGAGUUGGUACAUACAGACAUUUGUGGGCCAUUUACUCCUAUUGCCAUUGGAGGUUAUAAGUACUUCAUCACGUUCAUCGAUGAAUUUUCUCGUUAUGGUCAUGUUGAACUUCUUGCUGAAAAGUCUGAAUCCUUAUCUGUGUUUCAAGCCUUUAAGGCUAAUGUUGAGCUCCAAAAGGGCAAGCAAAUUAAAGCAGUAAGGUCAGACAGAGGUGGUGAGUACUAUGGGCGAUAUGAUGAAACUGGGCGUAAUCCUGGACCUUUUGCUAAAUUUCUUCAGGAAUGUGGAAUAGAAGCCCAGUAUACAAUGCCCGGGACUCCUGAACAGAAUGGAAUUGCAGAAAGGAGAAAUCGUACCCUUCUUGACAUGGUGCGGUGUAUGCUGAGUAACUCCACCUUACCAGAUUUUCUGUGGGGUGAAGCCUUAAGAACUGCAGCUUACAUUUUGAAUCAGGUACCUAGUAAAUCGGUGCUCAAAACUCCUUAUGAGUUGUGGUCAGGAAAGAGACCGAGUCUUCGUCAUUUUCAUGUCUGGGGAUGCAGAGCAGAAGUGAGGCCCUAUAAUCCACAAUCAAGGAAACUUGAUCCGAAAACAAUUAGUGGUCAUUUUAUUGGCUAUUGUAUCGGCUCAAGGGGUUCUAGAUUUUAUUGUCCUUCCCACACUACUAGAAUCAUUGAGUCUGAUCGUGCUAUUUAUUUUGAGGAUGAUCACAAUGGUGGGAGUUCUGAGCCUCGCAGUCUGACAUUGAGAGAAGAACGUGUGGUUUUGCCUAUUCCAUCUUUUCCGACUUCUGCGAUGGGAUUACCACAUAUUGAUGAUUCUUCUGUUGAUCCUGAACUUCAUCAUAAUAUGGAGCCUAUGAUUGUAGAGGAUGAUGGUACUGAUGUGCCAUUGAGGAGAUCAGAGAGGAUCAGGAGACCUGCAAUUUCUGAUGAUUAUGUUGUUUACCUGCAGGAGCAUGAUUUUGAUGCUGACUCUUCAUUUGAUCCUAUUACCUUUCAAGAGGCCAUCAGUUGUUCAGAAUCAUCAUCUUGGAUACAUGCGAUGCAUGAUGAGAUGGCAUCUAUGUAUCAUAAUGGGGUUUGGGAUUUAGUUGAGUUACCAGAUGGAUGCAGACCAAUUGGUUGCAAAUGGGUUUUCAAAACCAAAAGAGAUGCCAGAGGUCAGGUAGAGAGGUAUAAGGCCAGGCUUGUGGCUAAGGGUUUCAGUCAAAGAGAAGGCAUUGAUUACACUGAAACCUACUCUCCUGUUUCUACCAAAGACUCUUUUCGUAUUAUCAUGGCAUUGGUAGCUCAUUUCAAUUUAGAAUUGCAUCAGAUGGAUGUGAAGACAGCUUUUCUUAAUGGGAGCUUGUCUGAAGAUGUAUACAUGGUGCAACCUGAUGGUUUUGUUGAGUCUGGUAGAGAAAACAUGGUGUGUAAGCUUAAAAGGUCCAUUUAUGGACUUAAGCAAGCAUCCAGACAGUGGUAUUUGAAAUUUCACGAUAUUGUCACCUCUUAUGGGUUCCAGGAGAAUGCCGUUGAUCAGUGUAUAUAUUUGAGAGUCAGUGGGAGCAAGUAUAUCAUUUUGGUGCUUUAUGUGGAUGAUAUCUUGCUCGCUGCUAAUGACACUAAUUUGUUACUUGAGACAAAGCAAAUGUUGUCAUGCAGCUUUGAUAUGAAGGAUCUUGGUGAAGCCCAUUAUGUAUUAGGGAUAGAGAUUCUUCGUGAUAGAUCUAGAGGAAUUCUAGGUUUGUCUCAAAAGACUUACAUUGAUCGCAUUUUGAAAAGGUUCAAUUUGCAGUCUUGUGCUCCUGGGAAAGCUCCAAUUUCGAAAGGUGACAAAAUUUCCAAGUCUCAAUGUCCCGAUAAUGAUGUAGACAAAGCUAGAAUGCAAACAGUCCCGUAUGCAUCCGUUGUGGGUAGCUUGAUGUAUGCUCAAGUCUGUACUCGCCCUGAUAUUGCUUUUCCAGUGGGAGUACUUGGAAGAUACCUCAGCAAUCCUGGAUUUGAACACUGGAAGGCUGCAAAGAAAGUACUCAGAUAUUUGCGAGCCACUAAAGAUUUUGUAUUGACAUAUCAGCAAUCUGACUAUUUGAAUAUAGUUGGAUAUUCUGAUGCUGAUUUCGCAAGGUGCUUGGAAGACAAGAAAUCCACAUCUGGUUACAUCUUUAUGAUGGCAGGAGGAGCUAUAUCAUGAAAAAGUGUCAAGCAGACACUUAUAGCUUCUUCAACAAUGGAAGCAGAAUAUGUAGCCUGUUUUGAGGCUACACGUCAUGCUUUAUGGAUGCAGAAUUUUAUCACAGGGCUAGAUUGUAUAUUGGCCAUUCCGAGGCCAUUAAAGAUAUACUGUGAUAAUUCUGCGGCUGUUUCUUUUUCUCACAAUACAGGGAGUUCCUCACGUUCCAAGCACAUUGAUAUUAAAUAUUUGUUUGUGAGAGAGAAAAUUGCUCUAUCUUGUGUAUCAGUAGAGUAUAUCCCUACAGAGCUCAUGUUAGCCGAUCCACUUACUAAAGCUUUAGCUCCAAAAGUAUUUAGGGAGCAUGUAACGCAUAUGGGAUUAUUUGAAUCCACUUAUAUAUGCUGAGUCAGUGGGAGUUCUGGUUUGUAUUAUGAGUUGCAACUUAAAUGAGCUUAUGUAUUACUCAUUUUGUUAUCAUGCAUGCAUGUUGUUAUGUGAUAUUGAUAUGCCAUAUAUUGUGUACACAUUUGGCUGCGUAUGGCAUUAUGUAUAGAAUGAGGAUACGAUGGUCCGAGACAUUUUGCUCAGUCUCAAUAUGGACAUUAAAGACUGAAGCAUUAUGAUUUAGCUUCAGUGUGCUUUCUUGAGACAUUUUGAUUUAGUCUCAUUAUGAUUAAAAAGGAAGCUCGCUUCUCGAGACAUUUUGCUAUAGUCUCAUUAUGGUUAUAAAGAAGCGAUGGUCUAGGAGACAUAUUGUUUUUGUCUCAUUUUGCUAGACAUCUGGACUUUAUGGAAAUGAGCAUGUUGAUCACAUUGUCAUGUUAUUUCCAUAAUUAUACUUGUAUACUACUACAUGGUCACGUGUUUAUAAGUGUCUUGUUAUAUGGAGCAUCCUGUCGGUGCACAUAUGAUUUGAUAUUUAUGGCACAUUUUGGACUUGUUUAUGUUCUGGGUGAUUGCUUGUAUUUGACCUUUUGUUAUAGUCACAUAUUGAUUAAUUCAGUUGUUUUCAAAAUAUUAUUUUAUUUUAAAUUUAUCAUUAGAGUGAUUUCUGUCGUCCAAGUGGGAGAUUGUUAGAUUUAUUUCUCACAUUAUGUGGACUGACAUAAAUCAUUCUAAUUGUUUUCUAUAUUUUACCGAAUUAAUACGUGACUAUAGUCAAAUAUUAUGGAGCAAUUUUGACAUACCCCGUACAGUAGUAUAUUAUGGACAAGUAUAUCCUUAAUUGUGUUAUUUUCGCCCAUAAUGGGAUGGGCAAUUUUGUACUAACACAUGAGGGGUCCCUGCGCUCAACCACUGUAUUUAAGUAACUUCAGCCCAUUGGAAGUUAACUGUUCAAGAAAUCUGUGGCAUGAGUGCAGUGCAUCUCUCUCUCUCCCGUUUGUCUCCCGUGUGUGUGCACAGUACGUUGUUGAGAGAAGCCGUGAUCUUGAGCUAAGGAAACGAAAGCGGAAUUCAGAAGCUAGACAAAAGUAGCAGCAACUCUGUUGAAGCUCCAUAACAAGCUGCAAGCUCGGAUUCAUGGGAGAUCGUGGUAAAUUUCGAAAUUUACUGAAAUAUGUGUUUAAUUUGGAAAUGCACGAUUAAAGGGCAUAAAGUGUGUUUUUGUUUCAUCACUUGGGUCUUCCAUUGACGUAGGAUCUGGGGUGUGAAGUAAAUGGAUCCCACAUUUUUUCACCCCGCAGCACUGGCACUCCAAAGGUGGAAAAACAUUAAAGUGGACUGCCUCAAGAAUGCAAUUGCAUUUCCAAAAACCAUUAAAAUCCUCUUCACAGAACAGAUAGUGCCCCAAAUGUAAGUGAUAUGAUUCUACAUAAUUAACUCUGCUCUGAGAUAAUCGUGUGUCAUGCGUACCACAAUCUUUGGUGGUUUUCACUUUGAGCUCAAAAGAAAAUGAAAACCAUCUGCCACAAUCUACAUGACGGUCUGAAAAUGCUAAAAUAGCACUAAAUGCAAUGCCCUGCACUCUGCUAUUAUUGAAGAAAUCUGGCGGCAUCUCCAAGGUUAUAAAAGAUCCCACACUUUGAAACUCAAACCACUUUGGAAUUUCAUUCCCAGGUAGUACUAUAUGACCUUUGCCCAAGGAAAAACCUCUCUGUACCAAAAAAACAUAAUUUUAAACCCAAAAAAAAAACAAAGAUUGUAGAAAUUGUAAGUAGAGAGAGUUAAAGACACACAUUUAGCCAUAAUUCUUGCCAUAUUUCUUGCAAACGUAGAACUGGCGUAUGAUUCGUAUGCUGAAUUCUCAGGGUAUCUUCAACAAUUCCUGCAGUAGAAUUACCUUCCAAUUUAAAAUUAUUGCUCCGGUCAAAAAAAAUUGCCUGUAAGAUUCAUAACUUAGAGAACAAACCUAAAAAUGGUUGCAGUGCCAAGCAACCUCGUUCAAGGAAUGGAGACUUUUGUACGAAUUGGAACCUCUCACCAUAACUUAAGAGGAGGUAUCCCGACACGAAAAGUUGGAUAAUGCUUUCUGGUAUUCUCUCAAUAUUGGUUUUCGCUAGAUUAAAUGUUAUUGGCGAGGAUAAUUGGCCGAGACAUUCGGGCAAUCUCUGAAGAUUUGAGCAACCACAGAGAUUAAGAACUCCAAGAGAUUUCAAUCUAUAGAGGCUGCUUGGGAGAUUCUUAAGCCUUUUACAAUUUAAAAGGUCUAAGUAUCCGAGCCUAAGUAGACGCUCAAUUGAUGAGGGCAGUUCUUCAAUUGCAGUCCCCCUUAAAAAUAACCAGCUUAUAUUACCUGAUGAGAUCUCUGGAAGCCUUUUCAGUUUUGGGCAGCCCGAAAGAUCAAGUUUGGUAAGAAAUUCCAAGUUAAAUAUUCCAGAUGGAAGACUUUUCAGGCUUUUGCUACCUCUUAGAUUCAAGAUAACCAGCUUGUUCAGACGUGGCAUCAACGUGGGAUUUGGAAUUUUGGCAAUUAGCUUAUGGCAGGCAGCAUGGAUUAUCUGGUUUAACUUACUAUAAUGCUGCUCUGUCAAAAAAGAGGCCAAGACAAAAUCGUUACCACGUAUAAUAAUUUAAUGUUGUUAUUGAGAGAUUGCACAUAUAUAAUAAGAUAUGCAUACCUUCACACAAUCCCAAAGUUGUUCAAUGUCAUUAUCAGGCACUUCAAGUAACAUAAGCUUCUCUGCACUGAGGUUUGAGGGAAAUGACUUCAACGGAUAUCCAUGCCAGUGAAGAUAUUUCACUUCAGCAAAUCCAGGGUCUUGCAAAUAAGACAUCUUACAUUUGUUCUCUCCAUUGAAUAAUGAACUAUAGAACUUUAAAAAUCUCAAUUUAGGCAUCUUUGUGAAAGUAUUGGGAUUUAGACGGAGCUCUUUUACUUUUUACAUAUCCAAACAUAUGCCCUCAAUUUUUUCUGUCCCCUAAAAAUAAAUGAAAAAGCAAUAAAGUUAAAAUCAAAUGAAAGAUAUGUGUAUUCCACCAAUGAAUCGCCCUUCAACAAUACAUAGGGAUAAUUUUUGGGGCAAUUUUCUCACUAAUUCACAAUUAGAGGUAGCUUGUAGUUAUUGCUAGGCAGUUAAACUUUUAAUUGCAAAUGCACAAAGAAACAUAAUAACACAAGUAAUACUUAAUAUAAAAAUUCCGUCUGUGUACUAUACAAAUUGGCAUAUCAAUUAUGCUUGCAAACGAUUAUGCAAGUUGUCAUGGCAUUUAUAAUUUAUUGCUACGUCAUCUAACGGAUAUGGUUUUUUCUAAUCAUUGUCGCUCUUCUAUUAAUUCUAAGACUCAUCAGUUCGAGCAUAUAUAAAUAUAUUCAUAUCAAGUUUGUAAAUGCUAGAAUAUUUCAAAAUAAUUAUCCACAACAAACUGCUUACCGUGUUAUAUGUAAGAACUUCAUAGAUAUCCUCAUGAUGCCACAACCUACUGCGGUUUCCAGGAUUAAUUGAUUCUUGUCGAACAAUUUCCCUACCCAACUCUUGUAGUAAAUCAUGCAUUCUUAUCUUGUUGUAUGAAUCAAUAGCAAUGAGAGAUUUAUCAACAAGAACACUUAUUCCUAUUUCUGGGUAGAAACCGCUUGCAUUAUGGAAUUUCAUUACUAGAUUUACAUCCUCGCCUUGAAAAUUUCUCGUAACCAACGUCAGGAUGGUUUUGUUUGAAGGCAUGUCGACUGAAAAUCUCAAGAGCGUGAUGAUAUUCUAAUGCCUCCAUCUCAUAUAUUUUCCUCACCCCCCAAUUUCUAAGCACUUGUUUAUUUCUGGUGGUUAUUAUGAUUCGACUCACAGGCGUCAACCGAUCAAGGCUUCCAAUUAAAGAUUCUAAUUGGCUGAAGCAAGUCACAUCAUCAAAAACAAUCAAAACCUUCAUGCGGCUGAGCCUUCUAAAAUUGAGGUCAAUAUAAGGCAUCACAUUUUUAUCCUUCAAUAAAUUUGAAAGAAGUUUUUGUCGCAAGCAAGCUAAUCCUCCUGGUCUUUGUGACUCUUCUCUAACAUUUUCGAGGAAGCAAGAACCUUCAAAAUCACCCGAGAUUUUGUCGAAAAUAGCUCUAGCGAUUGCUGUUUUGCCUAUACCACCAAUGCCCCAAAUCCCUAAAGCGUAAACAUCUUUCGACUCAACACCUAAUAGGGAUUCAAUUUCCUCAACUGUUGAUUCCACUCCAACCAGCUGGUUUUUGUUAUCACGCGGCCGAAACACUUCAUCCAAUCUCUUCAAAAUGUGAUUAACAACUUCAUUUAUAAGUUCCGACUCACGCCUAGCAAAUACAUAAAAUUAGCCGCGGUAACUUCAAAUUAAUUAAUAGGAGGAAUUUGCAUUAAAUAUGAAAUAAAGUAGAUUGUCAAUUUUCCUAUUAAAAUUAAUAUAUACCACUAUAAGUCUACAAUCUCACAAUAAAUUGAUAACUCUUAAGUUACAAGAAUAUUCGUGAGUUUUUUUUUUUUUUAAUGGUGAUAUAUAGAAAUGAAAUUGCUUGAAAAACUACAGAGCACCACUAAUUUUGCUAUAUAAAAAUUGUAAAAUUCUCGCGCUUUUAUUAUUAAUUCUGUCAAAAUUAUUUUAUAUGAGCACAAAAGUGGGGAAGUCAGGAAGUCUUGAAUUUGAUGCUUAAAAAUUUUUAAAAUUGUAGUUUAGCAUCCGGAAAUUUAACUAAGAGUGCUGCGUGAAUUUAUUGUUAAAUUUUAGUAUGAGAAAUUUAAUCUUUCUUCAAGCUUCGAAAAUGAAUCUCCAAAACUCCCAGUUUGGUUUCUCACGUCUGAUGGAUCAACCCGAUAGAAAACCGGAAUCACAAUCUGUGCAUACUCCUUGCAGUCGAGGAUCUUUACAAGUUCAUCGAGACACCAUCUGGAAGAUGCAUACCCUUCUGAGAAGACGAUAACUGAAAUGGCUGAUGCUUCAAUUGCAUUCACCAGUGACUCCGAAAUUUCGUCUCCUCUGUUAAGUUGGUCAUCAAUGAAAGUUUGGAUAUUUUGUCGACACAGAGCAGAAUAGAGAUGGCUAGUAAAGUUGUCUCGGGUGUCCUCUCCUCUGAAACUAACAAAAACAUCAUACUUCUUGUUGUUUCGAUAAGAAGAAGCCAUAAUCAACAGAAACAGUUGAAUUGAUUAGAGAGAGAUUUCGAUUCGGAUGAAAACAAUUAUUGAACGAAAUGUGCGUGACUCUAUAGAAUAAAUCGAUGCCAUGAACCUUCCUUCAAGUUCCGUGAUAGUUUUUCAAUUUCAUCUCAUUGUCCAACCACCGUGCACUCCACGAUGAUUGAUUAAUUCCACUGCUUUGUAGACUGUUAACUGAAAAUUCCACACGAACACCAUACUUUUCAACACACGUGCUUCUGUGCUUUAAUUUUUAUCUCUGAAUUUAUCUUAUCCGUCCUCAUCUCUCAAUUAAUUGUAUUUAGUUUCAAAAUUAUUCUUUUUUUUAGUAGCUCUUAUUCAUGUUCCUUAGGGUUGACUGUUAAGCAUAUAAAGUCUAACUUUAAAAAAAAUAUUAAUUAUUUAUUUUUUAUAACUUAUAUAUGAUUUUUAAAUAUUUACAUUUAAAUUAAAAAAGUAUUUUUUUUUGUGACCUUUGUCGAAAUGAGAAAAUGUUUGAAUGGAAAAAAAAUACUAUAUUCUAAGAAUAUUUCUAUUCAAUAUUGUUAUUUCCUAAACUAUAAACGGGUCACAUGUCGCUAAUUGUCAAAGCAAUAGCAAGCUGUUAGCUUAAAGCAAAGCACAUUCAUGCUUCACCCAUGAGAAUACAACCAAUUCUAAUGCAUGUAUUGUGACACACGUGCAAGCUAAAAGGAGGCACAUGUGGUUAAUUGUCAAAGCAAUAGCAAGCUGUUAGCUUAAAGCAAAGCACGUGCGUGCUUCAUCAAUAGGAUCUGUGAGCAAAGCACGUGCGUGCUUCAUCAAUAGGAUCUCUGAGUGGAUUAUUAUUAUUACUAUUAUGUAUUUUACAAAGCAUUUAUGUUUAAUAGUAUGAUUUAGUAAAAUAUUAUGAUUAUAUGUACGUAUAUUAUAUGAUUGACUGAGUCAUGAGAUGUAAUUGACAUGCACCAUAUGUGUACCUUUUCCCAUAGGCUCUACGCAUGCGUAUUGAGAAUUAAAUUACUCGACCCUUGUGAUGUUGUUAAUUCUACCGAGUAUUGAGAGGUUUUUCCCCCUUUUUACUCAUGCGAUGAUGAUCCCAGUGAGUAUUGAGAGUUAUUUCCCCUGUAUAUUAUUUGGUGCAAUUUUGUCAUGUAUGUAUAUACGAGUUCAUGUUUGCUUUUGUAAAGCGUUCAAUGUAAAGUUAUGUCAUACAAUUAUGACGAGCACUAAAGCACUAAUUUAUUUAUAUAUAUAAUUAUAUUCAUUCAUUGAGUCACAAGCUUACUAUUUUCCUAUUUACCCCAUUUCUCUAAGGUUUCCAUAGGAUUUCGUGUAGUUCAAUUUCUGAUAAAUUGAGGUUGGACCACGACACGCAUUACUGCACGACUUACAUUUUGACCACGUUUAUGUUUAUAUGUAUAUUUUCGAAGUGAAUGUAUGUACAAUGAGAUAUGAACUAUGUAAGUUUUUAAUAAAUUUUUGAAUGAGGCACAAAGAUUAUUAUAUGUUUAUAACAAAGGCCAAGGCUAGUGUUAUAUAUUCAUGAAUUAAGUUUAUGUCAUGAGCUUUAGAUAUAAAAUUGCAUGAUUCACCCCAGAUCCAACAGAAGGGUUGACGCGGUUUGUGUCAUGUAUGAUAUGUACAUAUUUAUAUUCAAUAUAACCACCAUUUGAAUAAUAGUUUUUUCAAAUAAGUGCACAUGUGUCGUAGCAUGAUUCACUUGUUGUAUGGCUAACAUGGUACUUCUGAUGUAUUCUAAAAUUUCUUCCUUAGUUAGAGGCAUUUGUUUUAAAAUUUUAUUUAAAAGAAGGUCAUUUUAAAUUUCAAAAUGUAAAGUGUAUUUUCUACAACACUAAAGGAUAAAACGGCCUUCAAUAUAGAUUUCUUAAUAAAUUUUAAGAGAACUAACAGAAAGUGGUUAUUUCAUUCAUGGUUAUUAAAUCAAAAUUUGAAUUAGAUCAUCACUGGUCCAAAAUAAACUAUCGUCAUUUCAAAUUGAAGCAUGAAACCGUGAAUGAAAGCAUCUUUAAAUAAAAGGAUACGUUUUUAUUAUAUAUGACAUUGUUUAAUUAGACAUAUCUUUACAGUCGGACACAUUUUUAGAGCACCAUUUAUAUUGACAAUAUUCCAGCAUAAAAUAUGUCCCUCUCCUUAUACGAGUAUUUUGCAAAUAAUUUGCAAAUAAUACAGAGCCACCACUAGUUCAAAAAUAAUAAAACAAUAACAUUGCUCACUUUCAUUGAUGGUUGGAUUGUUUCUGGGUUAUCCUUGUUUUUUUUUUUUUGUUUUAAUUGCUUUACAUACAUUAUGUGUGUAAUUUUUUAAUGGACAAUCUUCAUUUGAAACAUGAAAAUUUUAAAAAACUUUCCGAUUUGUGCAGGGUAUGAAGCCUCUUAAGUAGGACUUCUUAGGUGCUACUAUUGUGUUCGGCAAAUAUUUUCUUCUUUUAUUUUUCUUUUUUCAGUCACCAUAAUGGGGGUCAUGGUGAAACAACUUACUAAUCACUCUGGACAGGAAUGGGCUUCUAUAAGUAAAGCACACUUAUUUCACUCUUUCCUUAGUAUGGAGCUGCUUACUGUUGGGAUGAAGAUGGUAAUAGCUGCUUUAGAAAUUAGUUUUCUUCAGUAGGAAAAUUCUAAAUGUUGGAAAAUUUAAAGUUGUACUAGAAAACAAGCUGCCUAUUCAACCAAUGGCUAAAUGUAGCAUAGUAGUCUCCUUAGACGAUUAAUUAGAUUGCAUUCCUUUUGAUCUCUCUCUUUUCAUUUUUUCUCCUUUUUGACUUGCACUACUCUGUUCCUUUCCUCAAAAAAAAAAAAAAAAAUUGCACUUCUCUGCUGAUGUCUUCCCAAUAUCCUAUGAUGUACAAAUGCACAAAUACUCUUGUUGUGACGUUAACCAUAUAUGGUUUCUUUUUUAUUUUGGUCCAUUUUCCAAGAAUAGUAAGAAGAAUACUUUAUUUUAAUGAUGCUUCUCUGCUUUCUUAAAUGUAUGCUUGUUCUUGUUCACAUUUUACUGUUCAUCAUAAUUGGUAUGGUCUUUCUUUGGCAUCAUCAAGCCCCAAAUGUGAUGAAACAUUUUGAAUUUCUUAUUGAUCCAGCCUUCACUUUAGUAUAAUGUAUACACCGUACCUGCAGUAAGUAUCAUUGAUAGUUCUGAAUGAGUGCGAAAGCAGACUAGUGUGUAACUUCAUGAUUUAUUUACUGGUUUGCACAUCCAUAUUUCAAAUGGUUUACUGGUCUCUGGCCUAAAGAGAGGGAAAAUGAAAGACUUGUGAGACAAUCCUCAUGGCUUUGUUGACAUCAAUUUGGUGGUUGAUUGAGAAAUGAAUGAUCAUACAUAUACAUAUACAUAUACAUACAUACAUACAUAUAUAUAUAUAUAUAUAUAUAUAUAUAUAUAUAUAUAUAUAUAUAUAUAUAUAUAUAUGAUUUUCAUGGACUAGCAUUUGACAGAUGACUUGAUUAUUAUUUUUUGUCUGUCUGUUUAUUGAUUCUGUUGCUCAGUCAUAGCUAGACAUUGCUCAUUGACCAUUUGUUAGUGACAGGCUCAAAUGAGAUGCUUGAACUUUUGCUUUUAUCUCUUGUACUUACUUGCUUGGAUUUAGUUUGGAAAAGCAAAUCAACUAAGAUUUAGUCAAGUGAGCUUUGCAGCAAGUUGGGAUCCGACCCAAGUCAUAAUCCAAGUCGAGCAGAAUAUCCACAAAAACCAUCAUCUCAUCCAUGAAACAAAAGCAAUUUUGAGAGCCAGCAUUGGGGAAUCCUUUACUAGACAUGAGUUUUGAUAUUUGAUAUUAUGAAAGUCUUUUAUUUGACAUGUAAAGGUAGGGAUUUACUUUGUUUAACCCCUAUUCGUGCUAUAGGUUGACAGUAUUCUAUCACUUAAAUGCACUUUUUCCAAUCAGCCAAUGGCAAGCAAAUUGCUAGAAUUGAAAUGAGGCAUAAGUUAAAUGCUUUCUUGAAAUGUGGUGAAAUAAUUUGUUUAUGGUAUUACCUGUCGUGGCAGAACCAUCCUCCUCAAAUUAUUUAUAAGAAACUCUUUUUACUCUCUAUUAGGGGUGGGAACUAUUUAGUUUGGUUCGGUUCAGCCCUUGAACCGAACCAAACUGAAACCAAAUGGUUCAUGAAUUUAUGAACCAAAUUAUAGAACCGUUCAGUUUGAUUUGAUUUUAUCCUAUAUAUUCGUUAUUUAAUAAAAAAAUAUAAUAUAAUAAUACGCUAUUAAUACAACAAUAAUCUUGAGUCUAUAAAUUAGCAAACAAUAAACAACAUAAUAAAAUCUAAAAAUAGUAAAUUAACAUAAUAAAUUCCAAAAAUAAUCUAGAAAUUCAUAAAUAAUAACCAAUGUAAUAAAAUUUAACAAUAAUAAAUUAAAAUAAUAAAGUUCAACAAUAAAAUAAAGUGUAUGCAAUGACAUAUAUAAUAUCAUGUAUUAACUAACAAACAGAAAUAAAAAAAAAGAUAAAUUCUGAACUAUUUUUUAAUUUUAAUUUUAAUUUUUUCUUGAACCAUUUGGUUCGGUAAUUUGGUUCAGUUUUGAACCGAACCAAAGAAAAAAUCAAAUGGUUCAGAAUUUCUGAACCAUUUAGUUUUUUGCUCCGAACCAAACCGAACCAAAUGCCCACCCCUACUCUGUAUGCUUCUGAACCAUUUAAUUUUUUGCUGCGAACCAAAAUCGAAUUAAAUUAUCAUAAUACGGUUCGGUUCGAUUCGGUUCAGACUGAACCGAACCAAAUGCCCACUCCUACUGGAGUGGGCCUGGGCCUUCAAAAGGAAAGGAAAAGUUGUACCUAAAGUUGUGAAAAGGAAGAAUUUGCAAGUAAAAAAUGAAUAUAUUAUGCAUGGCUACAUAAAUUGGUACAUAUAGCUUUUGCACCUAAUCUGAUUAUCUCGAUUCCUGGACCCAGAACUAAUAGCCUAAUUAUUACACAUGAUAGUUUGCUGCUGCCAUACUACUUACAUGCGAGUGCUGAUUUUUAAACAGAAAUAUUCAACAGAGCACUGACAGAAACAGAGUUAACACCCGAGCCGGGUUACCGUGGUAAUUGAAAACAAUCAAUUAACACGAUAAAUCUGCUGGGUUUGUAGUUAAUUCUGCCAGCGCUCUGUCAGCUCCAGUAUUUGACUUAUUGACCUAUCUGUGGUUGGAAGGAAAAAUGAUUUAAGCAAGCUUUCGAAAAUGUUUUAUCCUUGUUUUAUUUCUGAAUAUCAGCAGUGCAUCAUUUUGAAAAUGUAACUGUGGGGUUUCAGGAUCCUCUUGAGCCAGUUUUGUUGUUCACAAAACCCCUUGUGCCAGAAAAAUUGGAUGCUGUAGGUAUUGUUCCGCCAUCAGAUUCUUCUACGAGGAAUGGCACUAUAGCACAAUGGAGACGUCUCUGUAUCGACUCAAUUCAAACUAAUUGUACAACUUCAUUUCUGAAGGAGUCACCAUUUUUUUUUUCCCAUUAAUCCCAUUUGGAGAAUGUGUACGUCAGGUGUUAAUGCUUAUAACGAAAUGAUGCACUAUGUUUGGUGUUUUUCAAUUUAAAAAUGUGUCUAAUACUGUAUUUUCAGAAUUGGACUAUAAAAAUAGAAAUAAAGAAAACGAUAUAAAAUUAAGUGUUAAGUAAGUAAAAGCACCAGGUCGGCCGUGCUACUAUUUUCGUCCCGACAUGGAUCACCUCAACCAAAUGGUACGAGCAGAACACGAGGACAAAUAUUGUCCGACCAGAGACGAGUACUGACCAGAGGUGUAUGCCGAGCCGAUACCCAUCUCCCGAAAAAGCGAGAACACGAUCCCACAGAAUCACGGCAGUUGCGCUUUUCCCAGAAUCGUUGCGAGAGAUGCGAGAUCCCACGUUUACCCGUAAUGUAGCAGUUAGAGUCCCGUGAGAGGCCACCACCCGAAAAAGGAGGGAUGAAGGCUAAGCGGGAACGUGGGACAACGACUAUAAAAGAAGGAGAAAUCGAUGAAGAAGGGGACAGAAAAAUUGAAAGAGGGAAAACGCUGCCAAAUUAUAACCAGACUAUUUUCUUACAAACUUCGGAUAAAUUAGAAACUAUUCUUGAAUCCAAAUUGCACUGUUUUCCCGUAAACACAUUGAGCUAACUUAGGCAUCGGAGGGUUUACGUCGGCAAAAUCACCGACAUCUUUGAUCCGUUUUUGUGAACGCAGGUCUAGAAAGAGAAAGAAGGGCGAUUCCAACCCCAGUGGUUCGAGCAACAGUUGAUAACACAAACGUUGGUGAAAGAUUCUGGUCGGUAAAAAGGCGAGCAUAUUUUAGCAUCAACAUUUUGGCGCCGUCUGUGGGGAUCUGGAUAAAAAGCUACCACCGAAUCAGUAGUUACCGGAGAAGCAGUGAACGAUUAGACAUGGAUGUGCCAAGGAAGGACGCUUUGAGGGAGGAUAACGAAUCUGGGGAGAUAAUCACUCUUAGGGAAAUUGCAAAUGAAGCCCAGGAGAGGGUAAUGCAAGAUCAAUUAGAGCGGAUGGAGAAACAAAUAGAGACUCUCGCGACCAUACUGUAUGAGUUAAGAGACGAGCGGAGAAGGGAUUGUGAAACCCCCGUGGGGAAAGAUGAUGUCGGAGCAGAACCCAGCCUCCGGAGGCGUAGAGUCGAGGAAGUCCCUCCGCCGGCGGACCAACCUAAUGGGGUGCAUCCCCACAGAAGCACUGGUCGGAUUACAGGAGAACAAGUAGAUGAAGGGAGGAACCAACCUCGCCCCGGGUGGGUAUUGGAAGCUGAUGGCCGAGGGGCCAGUGUUGAUGAAGGAGAGCUCAGAUAGCGGUUGCAGAAUGCCGAGCAGGAGCGAGAUCAGAUAGCUGCGCGUGAUCCUGACCGUGCUGUAGAAUUGGAGGGAGAGGUGCGCAGAUUAGCGCAAGUGAUAGAGGAGAUACAAGGUAAGAGGAAGCCCCCGAGCUGGAGAAUAAUGUUAGAUGAAGAAUCUCCACUAUCAACUGAGAUCAUGGGUACUGUAAUCCCAAGAGAUUUCCGCUUCCCCGACCUCAAAUACUCCGGGCGAAGUGAUCCACUGGUGCAUAUUGAACGUUUCAACGACAUGACGGGUGUUCAGGGGUUAACACCAGCUCAGAGGUGUAGGGCCCGAGAAUGGUACCGCAAGCUGUUACGAGGAAGUAUCAGAGGGUACGAGCAGAUGUGCCAAGAGUUGGCCGAACAGUUCUGAGGAGCGGUGGCCCCAGAGGAUGAUAUGAUGGAACUAAUGGGGAUGAAGCAGGAGGAACAAGAACCCCUUCGAGAUUUUGUAAAGCGAUACCACCGAGCCGUGCUUGAUUUGGGAGCUUUCAAUCACCCGCAAGCGUUGAGGGGAUUAAAGGAGGGUGUGAGGAUAGGCCGGCUAUGGUAUAACCUGAGAAGCCCCCUGGUACAGAAUUAUUCAUCGGGGUAUGAGCAGGCAAAGAGAGACAUUGAAAUCGAAGAAGAAAAAUCGGCAAGGAUAAAGAGUGAACAACUGGAGGAACUGAGACGAAAGGAAAGGAGAACCCCAAAUGGGAGCGGGUCGGGAAAGCGAGCUGGGGAGUCUUCAAUGAUGGGUGCAGUAUCCGCUCGAUCUCGCCCUUAUCCUAUGGCUCAGAGACCGCAGCAGGUCCAACACAAUCGGGCUCAGCCCCCGCGCCCCCAUUCCUGGAGCGGCAAUGAGAAUUCCGGCAGUUGGCUAACCAUCCUUAUCACAACGCUCCCAGAGCACUACAUACAGCCAACCCCAGAACGGGACGAUCAGGUCAGCUACCUUCAAUAUCCGCUCGGGACGAUACUCAUGAUAGACGAGCAGUGCAGCUGAUUGACCAGAACCCAGCGUACAGACAAUACACCCCGCUAAAAGUCCCUAUGGAGGAGUUGUAUGAGAGAAUCGAGGGACGAGGCCUGUUGUACCCUCCAGCCCCUAUAACAAAACCUACUCACCGACGGGAUAAGAGCAGAUUCUGCAAAUUCCACGACACUCACGGUCACACCAUCAGCCAAUGUCGUGACUUAAAGAUUCAGGUGGAAGAUUUGGUAAGAAACCGUUAUUUGGAUGAAUAUGUAGAUGGGGUCUCCCGUCAUUGAAUCACAGUACACGCGGGAUGAAGGAGGUGAGAGGGGCCUGGAACGUGAACAGCCAACUAUCCGUGUGAUAGCAGGAGGGCCAACCCUGGCUGGGGAUUCGAACAGGGCACAGAAGAACUAUGGGAAAUACGCCAUGACUAGCAAAGAAGUUCUUUUCAAUUUGCCAGCAGCCAAGAAGGCAAAAUUGCGGCAAGUUCCCAUUAUGUGAACAGAUGACGAUGAAGAGGGUAUCUUAUAUCCUCAUGAGGAUGCACUAGUGAUUAAGGCAAUGGUGGCUGGUACAGAACUGCGACGAAUACUGGUAGACACGGGCAGCUCGGUUGACAUCUUGUUUAAGUCGGCCCUAGAUGAUAUGGGAAUUGCAGACUUAAAAUUGGAACGGACAAAUACAUCUUUAAAGGGAUUUGGAGGGGGACGGCUAACUCCCAUGGGAAUCAUCGAACUCCCAAUUACUAUGGGGACAAAGCCGUUUGAAAGAACGAUGAUGCUAGAUUUUGUCGUGGUAGAGGAGAGAAGCCUUUACCAGAUGAUACUGGGGAGACCGUUCAUAAGGAUAAGCCAAUGCGUUGUAUCUACGCAUUAUCUAGCACUGAAAUACAGAGUAAACGGAGUGGUUGGCGUAGUAAAAGGCGACCAGAGGAUGGCAAGGAGUUGUUAUGCUACAGCGGCCAAGGAGACAGUGCAGGUUACUUCUUUAGAUAAUCGAGGAGAAUCUAAAAAGGGCCGCCAAGAGCCUGUUGAGAAACUGGAAGAAGUUGCGGUAAGCAAAAGCAACCCGAGCAGAGUGGUGAAGAUCGGAUCAGGGUUGGUUGGGGCAGUAAAAGGUGAGCUGGUAAAUUGCCUACAGUCUCAUGCAGAUAUAUUCGCCUGGUCUCACGAGGAUAUGCCAGGAAUUGAUCGCGGGGUAGCUUGCCACAAGUUGGCAAUCAAUAAGGGGGCGAGGCCGGUGAGACAGAAGAGGAGAUGUUUUAACCAGGAAAGGUAUGAGGUCAUAAACGCCGAGGUGGAGAAGCUGUUGAAAGCAGAGUUUAUAAGGGAGGCCAAGUACCCGGAGUGGAUUUCCAAUGUAGUGCUGGUAAAGAAGGCCAACGGGAAAUGGAGAAUGUGUGUGGAUUUCACAGAUCUUAAUAAGGCAUGCCCGAAGGACAGUUUUCCCCUACCAAAGAUAGACCAGUUGGUGGACUCAAUAGCGGGUCACAAUCUGCUCAGCUUCAUGGAUGCCUUUUCAGGAUACAACCAGAUUCCCAUGGACGAGCAGGAUGAGGAAAACACCACCUUUAUAACUAACAUGGGUUUGUUUUGCUACAGGGUGAUGCCUUUUGGCCUGAAAAAUGCAGGAGCUACCUAUCAAAGGUUGGUGAACAAGAUCUUCAAGCCCUUGAUCGGUCAUACUAUGGAAGUAUAUGUGGACGAUAUGAUCACAAAGUCCAGAGAACCGAGGGAUCAUGUGAGACACUUGGAAGAAACCUUUGAAUUGCUGAGGAAGUAUGAAAUGAAGCUAAACCCGGAGAAAUGUGCAUUUGGGGUCAGCUCGGGUAAAUUUUUGGGAUUCCUAGUAAGCCACCGAGAGACCGAGGCCAACCCGGAGAAAAUACGGGUAGUAACAGAAAUGAGAUCCCCCCGAACAGUUAAGGAGGUGCAGAGCCUUACAGGGAAAAUGGCAGCAGUGAACCGAUUCAUCUCGCGGGCCACGGAUAAAUGCCACCCUUUCUUCUGAACCAUAAAAAAGGGAGGAAGAUGGAGUGGACAUCAGAAUGUGAGGAGGCGUUUGGGCAGCUGAAGGAGUAUCUGGCCCAUGCCCCGUUACUAUCAACCCCGAGGGAAGGUGACCAGCUGUUUUUGUACUUGGCAAUAUCAAAAUGGGCUACCAGCUCGGUGUUAGUCCGAGAAGAAGAAGGGAAGCAACACCCCGUGUAUUACACUAGUAAAGCCCUGGUAGAUGUAGAAACUAGGUAUCCCUUGAUGGAGAAAUGGGCACUGGCCUUAAUAACAGCAGCACAGAAACUGCGACCAUAUUUUCAGGCCCACCCGAUAAUUGUGAUGACUGACCAGCCUCUUCGGCAAAUGCUCCAAAAACCAGAUGCAUCAGGGCGGUUAGUAAAGUGGUCCGUGGAACUGAGCGAAUUCGAUCUAUCCUACAAGCCCCGAGGAGCAAUCAAGGCCCAAGCCUUGGCUGAUUUUAUGGUUGAUUGUGUGGAACCAGGGGAAGAGGUCCAAGAGGAACAGCUAGCAGAGCAGAAGGAUAGAAAGGGGGUAUGGCUGGUAAUGGUUGAUGGGUCACGGGGUGAACAUAGAUCCGGGGCAGGAGUUAUAAUACGAAGCCCAGGAGGUGUCGAGGUAUCCUAUGCUGUAAAGUUCGAGUUCCAGCUUACGAACAACCAAGCUGAAUAUGAGGCCUUCAUUAUUGGGCUCGGGCUUGCACAUGCACUACGGGCAGAAACAGUAGAAAUCCGAGCAGAUUCCCAGCUAGUAUGUAACCAGCUCAGCAAUCAAUUCCAAGUAAGGGAAGAGAAAUUGGGACUUUAUCUGAAGAAGGCGAAGCAAAUGGUUGAACUCUUUAAAGAGGUAGAGGUGAAGCAGAUAUCCCGGAACGAAAAUUACCGAGCUGAUAUGUUGGCUAGAAUGGCUGCAACGGCAGAUCUGAAAUUACCUAAGUCGGUCUCACUAGAGGUAAGGACAUUGCCAAGUAUAGGGGAGGAAGUAGAAGUGAUGAGAGUAAACACUGAAGAAUCCUGGAUGGACCUGAUUCGCGCAUAUGUCCACGAUGGAGUUUUACUAGAGGACAAAAGGCAAGCAAGGAAAUUAAAAUGCCGAGCAGCGAGAUACACGCUACUAGAUGGAGUGCUGUACCGCCGGGGGUUCACCUUGCCCCUUUUGAGAUGUUUGGAUGAGGAGGAGGCAGAUUAUGUACUGAGGGAGAUUCAUGAAGGAAUAUGUGGCAAUCACUCGGGAGCAAGAACUUUAGCCUUCAAGGUACUCCGGCAAGGAUACUUCUGGCCGACCAUGCACCAGGAUGCAAAAAGGAUGGCAAAGAACUGUAAAACCUGCCAAAGCUUCUCUGAGAUUCCUGCACAACCCCCAGAAAAGUUGACCACUAUGGCAUUCCCGUGGCCUUUCGCUCAAUGGGGAAUCGACUUGAUUGGUCCGUUACCUAAGGGCUGAGGAGCGGCGACACAUGCAAUUGUGGCAGUAGACUACUUCACCAAGUGGGUAGAGGUGGGAGUCCUCAGCCAAAUCACGGAGAGAAAGACAACGGAUUUUAUUUGGAAGAAUAUCAUCUGCAGAUACGGGAUCCCCUAUGCCAUCAUUACAGACAAUGAGAGGCAAUUUGACAACAGCAACUUCAGGAAAUUUUGCCGAAAUUUGGGGGUGGACCUGAAGUUCUGCACCCCCACACACCCCCAGGCAAACAGACAAGUGGAAGCAGCCAACAAAGUGAUAAAGAAGCUUCUGAAAACUAGAUUGGGAGAGAAGAAGGGAGCUUGGGUUGACGAACUACCAGGAGUAUUAUGGGCCUACCGAAUAACUCAUAAAACCGCCACAGGGGAAACCCCGUUCGCUUUAGCUUUUGGACAUGAGGCGGUAGUCCCGGCAGAAAUUGGAGUGGGGACACAUCGAAUGGAAUAUUUCACUGGGGAACAAAACGACGAGCAGAUCUGCUUAAACUUGGACCUACUGGAGGAGAAAAGGGAAGGGGCUUCGCGGAAAGUGGCCCAGUGUCAGCAAAGGGUCACGCGUUAUUACAACAAGAACGUACGCGUGAGGCAGUUCCGAACAGGAGAUCGGGUGCUCAGGAAGGUGAACCAAAACACCAGGGAUCCCAAUCAUGGAGCUCUCGGUCCGAAAUGGGAAGGCCCGUACAGGGUGAUACGAGCAACUGGACCAGGAGCUUACAAGCUAGCGUACCCAGACGGACGAGAUGUGAAGAGGUCAUGGAACGCCGAGCACUUAAAGAAGUAUUUCCAGUAAGCAAAGUGCUCUGCUAAAUCCUCAUUUUGAUAAGUUAUCUUUGUUAACUGCAUGAUGGCUUAUUACGCAUGUAUAUAUUCUGUAUUUUUGUAAUACAUUCAAAUUCCAAUAAAGAUGAAUUCAGCAUGAAACCCUUCUGUUAGCAAGCCCAUUAAAACUUCUACCAAGGCAAGUAAGUGCCUGCUUCUGCUCGGUCAACGAAAGACUAGCAGCUAAAUUUACGAAACUUCUACCAAGGCAAGUAAGUGCCUGCUUCUGCUCGUUCAACGAAAGACCAGCAGCUAAAUUUACGAAACUUCUACCAAGGCAAGUAAGUGCCUAGUACUGCUCGGUCAACGAAAGACCAGCAGCUAAAUUUAUGAAACUUCUACCAAGACAAGUAAGUGUCUGCUUCUGCUCGGUCAACGAAAGACCAGCAGCUAAAUUUACGAAACUUCUACCAAGGCAAGUAAGUGCCUAGUUCUGCUCGGUCAACGAAAGACCAGCAGCUAAAUUUACGAAACUUCUACCAAGGCAAGUAAGUGCCUGCUUCUACUCGGUCAACGAAAGACCAGCAGCUAAAUUUACAAAACCUCUACCAAGGCAAGUAAGUGCCUGCUUCUGCUCGGUCAACGAAAGACCAGCAGCUAAAUCUACGAAAAUUCUACUAAGGCAAGUAAGUGCCUGCUUCUGCUCGGUCUACGAAAGACCAGCAGCUAAUCCUACGAGAAUUCUGCUAGGGCAAAUAAGUGCCUAGUUCUGCUCGGUCAACGAAGACUAGCAACCAAUUUUAUGAAAAUUUUACUAAGGCAAGUAAAUGCAUACUCCUGCUCGGUCCACUAAGGAACCAGCAGACAAAAUCAGAUAAGUUAUCCAAUUAUUUUGCAGAAACAAUCUAUGAGCAAAAACCAGACAAGAAAGCCAAUAGAGAACAUCUAAAAAUUUAUAAAUGUUCAAUUGUUUACAAAACAAAUGCAAAUCUAGAGUUUAUACAAAAAUAGACUUAAAGAUUAGCAGGGUCAUCGACUCCAGCAGCUGAAGGAUCAGCAAUCUCAGGAGGUAGGAGAUCGGCAAUACCGGAAGGAGGAGGCACGGACCCUUGACCCACUUCGAAAGCACGGCCCCCGGCUUCCCCCUCCUGCACCCCAUCCAAAGGAGCCUCCACCUGAUCCUGCUCGCCCUGCUCCUUAUCUGCCUGGCCGGUCUCCGCCAUAUACCGUUGCACUCCAGCCUCCAGCUUACUCAUGUCCAGCUCGGGAUAUUCUUCCUUAAGCACAGACAUGAUACACUUAUAGGAGAAAGCAACCCCAGAGUCAUACUCGGCAUCCAGCCGAUCGUCCACAUCAGCGGAUUUACCUUUCUCCUCAGCUAGCUGCUCAUUCAGGGAUUUGAUUUCUCCCUCAAGGGCGGUCCUCAGAGUAUCUCUUUCACUUUGAGUUACCUGAAGGUCAGACUUCAGGCUACCCAACUCACCCUCAAAUUUGGAGGCAGUGGACUCAGCAAUUGCAACUUUCUCCUCCAGCUCCGUAAUCUGCUUGUUCAGCUCGGCCAGCUUCUCCUUGGAGCGAUCAGCAGAUUCAGCCCUCUUCUUCAACUCCUGAUUGUCAGCUUGAAGCUUCCUCUCAUGGCUUGUGGACCCGUUCUUGUAACACGAAACCAUAGUGGCCAGCCUGAAGGAAACCCUUUGAACAGAAGCAGCUAACUCGGAGAGGUUCAUACUCUCGAUGUCCUUCACCAUCUUGGGCCCCACCGAUUUCUUGUAAUCCUUCUGAUACGGGCUCAGGUAGUCACCUUGAUCCCGAGAUGGAAGAUGAGAAGAUCGGUCCCCAGACUGCAAGCUGACCUCAGGACUCUUGUCGGAAAUUUUCUCCCCACCACUCUUACGAGGUGGAGGAGGGGGCAGAGCAGGAACAGGAGCCUUGGAAGGACCGACGCUGAUUUUCUUCGGAGGAGGAGGAGGGUUGCUGGAGCUACUCGGAGCCCGACCAUGCUUUCUGCUCAUCGCGCUGAGGAUCUUGUUAUCCAUCCCAGAGGCAAUAUCUACUAAGCCCGAACCGACCAAGUUUGUUGGUGACAGGAGGUCUUGGCAAGUAGACGCGUUCACCAGAGCUGUUUCCACCUGAAGCAAAGGUCGGUCUUUGAGAUCCUUAACCAAACCCCACGAUUCUGAAAAAACAAACAAGGUUAAAGAACCCAAUAAGUGGCAAUUCGAGAAAGAAUAUAGGCAAAAAAUGAACGACCUGGGGUGACAAAUUGCGUUGGAAGGUAAAUAUCACCACCCAACGAACAGACUACUGAACACCAAUUUGCCUCAGCAAAGAAGAAUUUGUUCUUCCAAUUUUUGCACGAGGAGGGGAAACCGGUGAUUGGCUUUCUCUUCGCAGAACUGGAUAUGAAGUAGUACCAGCCCGCCUCCCUUGGGCUGCUCCGCAGCUGAUACAAAUGCUUCACUUCAACAAGGGAAGGCUCCUCCGACCCGCACCUCUCCCACAACACAAACAUAACCGAGAGAACCCUCCACCCGUUUGGGUGUAGCUGACCUGGGGCCAAGUGCAUACCCCCCAAAAUCUUGGCAAAAUAACGCUGAAGAGGUAGUCGAGCUCCUAGUUUGAAACUCUCCAGGUGCAUCGUCACGUACCCCCAUGGAGGCCGACUAGGAACAUCACCUUUCCCAGGAACCACAAGGAGAACCUCCUCAGGAAUGUCGUAGAGGUUCCUAAGCUUGAAUAGAUCAGUUUGGGUGGUGGCACAGGCUAUGUGAUCGAUAGGGUAAGAAUCCGCCUCCACCCUAUGCCCAAGGUUUCAUUUUUUAGGAGGUCGGCUCGGCUCGGAGCUGCUUCCCUCACCAUCACCCACUUCUUCAGGGACCUCAACCCCACCAGAACUGUGGUUCUCACCAGAGCCCGACGCAGGUCCCUCUCUAUUUCUUACAAGCUCUAAUUCAGGGGAAGGUGAAAUGGUCAAGGGACGUGGGUACUCAAGGGUAUCCCUACUAUAGGAGAAGCCUACACUACAAGAGGGAUGCAAAAAACCAGUGGGUAUUGACAAGUUAAGGCGUGAAUCCCCUGAUUCUUCGUCACCCUCAUCUGCAAUCAACUUCCUUCUCCGAUUUGACAUAUCAGAGCCCCAAAAGGAAACCAAAACAAACCCAAGUACACGAAUACAAAAAGGGACAACACAGAACCCAAUCAACAACAGCCAAAGAAGAGGUUAAAGGCUAUACCUGGAAUAGACUGACACUGAUAGCGCUGCCGUGACAGAGAAAACACCCAGCAAAUGGAUACUCCGGACGCUGGAAGUGUGAGCAAAGUUCAGAGAAGGAUUUGGUUAACGGCGGAGAAACGAAUAACAAAAUGAGGAUGACUUUAGUCUAGGGAUUUGAAACGAAAAGGGGGAAACGGAAGCGUUUAAGUGAUGGGAUAUGCCAGCUCACUCACCAUAUAUCGAGGAUGGAUAGCCCGUCAUUUCAAAUUUCAAAUACGAAGAGUCGGGAAGCGCCACGUCACUAACCGUUACAAGAGGCUAGGCUAGAUGCAAGCCCAGAUAUGCAAUGUACAUGCUCAUUAAGGCCCAUGCUCGGGUCGGAAUCUCCCCAGAAGAAAAGUGGUACCUCAGGUCCUUCCCGGUACAACAGAAGACCAGAUGAGAAGCCCCGGGCUGGUCAGAUUCGACCAUCAGUUUCUACUCUUAACUCAUUUCACUCGCAAGACCAGAAACUGGGGGACUGGUGUUAAGUAAGUAAAAGCACCAGGUCGGUCGUGCUACUAUUUCCGCCCCGGCAUGGAUCACCUCAACCAAAUGGUACGAGCAGAACACGGGGACAAAUAUGGUCCGACCAGAGACGAGUACCGACCAGAGGUGUAUGCCGAGCCGAUACCCGUCUCCCGAAAAAGCGGGAACACGAUCUCACAGAAUCACGGCAGUUGCGCUUUUCCUAGAACCGUUGCGAGAGAUGCGAGAUCCCACGUUUACCCGUAAUGUAGCAGUUAGAGUCCCGUGAGAGGCCACCACCCGAAAAAGGAGGGAUGAAAGCUAAGCGGGAACGUGGGACAACGACUAUAAAAGAAGGAGAAAUCGAUGAAGAAGGGGACAGAAAAAUUGAAAGAGGGAAAACGCUGCCAAAUUAUAACCUGGCUAUUUUCUUACAAACUUCGGAUAAAUUAGAAACUAUUCUUGAAUCCAAAUUGCACUGUUUUCCCGUAAACACCUUGAGCUAACUUAGGCAUCGGAGGGUUUGCGCCGGCAAAACCACCGGCGUCUUUGAUCCGUUUUUGUGAACGCAGGUCUAGAAAGAGAAAGGAGGGCGAUUCCAACCCUAGUGGUACGAGCAACAGUUGAUAACACAAACGUUGGUGAAAGAUUCUGGUCGGUAAAAAGGCGAGUAUAUUUUAGCAUCAACAUUAAGGUAAUAUAGGACGAAAAAGUAUGGACAAGGAAGCAGUAAUAUUUGGUGUUUUUCAUUUUUUUCAAUAAAAAAAUGAAAACAAAAUUUUCAAUAUCUAUUCAUCAUUUUUUGGGAAAAAACAAAAAAAAGCUUAAAGAAUAAAUGAAAGGGUGUUUGUUAAAACAAAAAUGUGAUUGGUGUUUGAAUAAUGACUCUCUCGGUCAGGCAAAAUAAUCACAUAAUCAUUUUUUUGAAACACAAACCCUUUUGGUUAAGAAAUAAUCACACAAAUCCUAAUGUUUUAUCUGAAAGAGAAUUUGUGUAUCUCAAAAGAGACAUGUGUGACCUUUUCUAAAAACAAAAUAUCUUUCUAGUUAUUUUGCCAAAUCACGUGGUGCCUUUAGAAAUAAGAUAGAUUUUAAUUUGCCCCCAAUUCAGAAAGAAAAUCUUUAAUUUAUCACCUAAAAAUAUAAAAAUAUCAAUUUACCCCAUUUAUUGUUAAGAAGAUUAAAAAAAAAAAAACCAUCAACACAUUCCUUAUUUGCCCCUAAUAUUUUGGACGGAAAUGAAGAAUAAAUUGAGGUUUACAUUGAGAGCAAAUUAGAGAUUAUCAUUUUAUUUGGGGAUGAAUUAAAAUUUAUUCGUAGGAAUAAAAAAUUCAAGAGAAAUACAUCGAAAAAGGUAAUAGUUUUCACUUUUUAUGGAGUAUUUGAGUAAGGGUAUUUGCACCCCACUAUUUUUAUAAAUCCACCCUACUUCUAGAAACUAAUUGCAAUGAAUUUACAAUAUUUUUAAAAAAAUACAAAUUAAUAAAAAUUUGUAUAAUUAAUCAUUAAAAUCCUUCUAUUGAUUUUCUUCUUGGGUUCUUUGACCAUCUUUAAUCAUAAACUUUAAUACAAGUUUUAUUUUAGUAUUUUAUUAUUAUGAUAUAUAGCAACUAAAUUACCAUAAUAAACACGAGUUAUUGUAUCUACUAAUUUAUGUAUCUAAUUUUGUGGCUUAUAAUAUAAUAUUUUAAAAUAAAAUCUAAUUGUGAUUUUCUCUACUUUAGUGUGUAAAUAACAUAAAAUUGACAUCCCAAUAAUUUACAUGAGUAUCAUGCCCUAAAGAUACUAUUUUAGUUUAAUUAAAGAUUAAAACUCAUACUAGUAAAGUAGUAUUAGAAACAAUGAGUUUGGAAUAAAAUUAGAAAAAUAUUGAAAUUAAAGUAAAUUCUUAAUAGUUUUACCUUAUAAGAGUAAAAUAAUCAAUUUAAACUUAUGACAAAACAAUCUUUGUAGCUAAUUAUAAUAAAAUAAUCUAAAUCACAAGAAAGUAAACUAAAAUAAAUCUAGUUAAUUAACUCUACAAAGUUAUUCUUUGUUUGAAAAUUUUAAAACAUAGCAUGUAUGUUUUAUAAUUAUUUUUUAGACGAAGUAUUAUCAUUUUGAUUUUUGAGGAAUAUCAGUAAAAUUUUCAUAAAAUAGUGGAAUAAGCCCAAUAAAUAAAUAAGUACAUAAAAAGUUUUUGUCAUAGCCACAGUCUCAUAGAGGUGGAAGCAGGGGAGGAGCAGGCCAAGCCAGGCCACAGAAAAUAUUCAAUUGAAAAAGCAAGAAAAGAAUGAGCGUGUGGAUGGUAAGGGCUCGGGCUCCCUCUUUCAUUAUUCCAAUAACAACGCUCAGGAUUGGAAAUGGAAAUGGAGAUGUAAAAGGCCUGCGCUUGCCCCUAUUGAGCAAUAAGAGUUGGCAGUUUCAGUUGCAGUUGGAGUUGCAGCAGAGGAAUAAGGAGAAGAAGAAGAGACAAAAUGUUACCAUCAGUUAUACUAACAGUAGCAGUGGAGGGGAUUCUGCUUCUGCUGCACUGGAACUGGAGGUUAAUGAGAUAAGGGAGAGUUGCAAAAUGUGGAAAUGGAAGGGUCAGUACUCCAUCAAUUACUUGGUUUCUUCAACUCCAAAUUCACAUCCCAAUUCUCCUCCUCUACUCCUUGUCCAUGGCUUUGGUGCCUCCAUUCCUCACUGGCGCAGGUUAGCGAGAUAAGAUUGCUCUUUCUUGUUGUGAAUUGUCUAGAGGGUUGAUUAUUGGGUGCACAAAAAUGUAGCUCCUUUAUUGUGAAUUCAAUUCAAAUUAUGUUCUGGGUAUUUUCGACUGUAAUUUUUUUUUUUUUGUAUGGAGCAUGUCUUUACCUUAUGUAUGUAAUAUCUCUGACUCUGUUAUGUAUUAUGAACUCCAGGGAUGGAUUUAUAUGUGUUAUACUUCUAAUAAUUAAUUAAGAUGAAUGAAGCAAAAGAACAAUGAAAGUAAAAUCUAUUCAUUAUUUCACGGUGCAUUGGCAUUAACACUUAGUUCUAUUCCUUGCACCUAGAUGAUGACAAACCAGUGAUCUGAAUUUCAGGGUUCCAUUUCAUAUUACCCUUUUAUGGGUAUAGGCUUCUUCCAUUUUCCAAUUCUUAAUCUAGUGAAAAAGUAUUCAUUUUACCGCUCCGUAGAAGAGGGGAAUGAAAAUUUGUGUGUUCACUACUCCUUUAUCCUAUUAAAUAAUGUGAGGAAUUGAUAUUUUUCUUGUCAUCUCUGAGGUAAUUCCAGGAAUAUCGGCACCCUGGAGAAGAGCUACACGGUUUAUGCAAUUGACCUUCUUGGAUUUGGUGCUUCAUAUAAGCCAGCUGGUUAUUCAUAUACCAUGGAGGCAUGGGCUCAGGUGUGCAAUGUUCCCUAGCCAGAAGUUGGAUCUUUCUCUGUACUUAUGUCAUCAAUCACUUGACCUUUAGUUAUUUUCCUUGCUAACUUGAGUGAGAUUCACUGAUACAGCUAAUAUUGGAUUUCUUGGAUGAAAUUGUUCAGAAGCCAACUGUGCUUAUAGGUAAUUCUGUUGGAAGCCUAGCUUGUGUUAUCGCUGCCUCAGGUAUAUUUAUUUUAACUUCCCCUUGGACAUCAGAUAUUCUUCAACUUGCUUGCAAAGAAACACUUGUCCCUAAUUAUCCUUUUUGGUAUCUAUGGUUUACGAUAAACCUGCUAUAUUUUCUACCAUAAGAAUCUAGUCAAACCCUUGUUCGAGGGCUUGUUCUGUUGAAUUGUGCUGGUGGCAUGAACAAGGCAAUUGUUGAUGAUUGGAGAAUCAAGCUAUUGUUACCAUUGCUUUGGUUCAUUGAUUUUUUGUUGAAGCAAAGGCCAAUUGCUUCUGCUAUAUUUGAGCGUGUGAAACAAAGGUAUUUUCUCUUUUCUUUAUUCAGUCCAUUGUUCAUUAUCCUAAAACACUAGAGUCAAAAUUAAAAAAAUCUAUGAUGUGUAUAUAUUGGUGCUUCAGGGAAACACUGAGGAAUAUUUUACUGUCGAUCUAUGCAAAUAAGGAAUCUGUGGAUGAAACACUGGUUGAGGUAUUAAUAUUCUCCACUUAUAUGUCAUUUUAACCUGUUACAAAAAUGGCUACUCAGAAUUCAUGAAUCAACCUCAAAACUGCAGAUCAUACGAGAGCCUGCCAAUGUGGAAGGGGCACUUGAUGCAUUUGUUUCGAUUGUAACCGGCCCACCAGGGCCGAACCCAGUUCAAUUGAUGCCAUCAAUCUCUAUACCUCUACUAGUUUUAUGGGGUGAUGAGGAUCCAUUCACACCCCUCGAUGGACCUGUUGGUAAAUACUUCUCAUCUCUGCCUUCUAAACUCUCAAACGUGAAGUUAAUUGUAUUGAAAGGAGUAGGACAUUGCCCCCAUGACGACAGGCCUGAAUUGGUCCACGAAAAGCUGCUUCCUUGGUUGGCUGAAACAUUUAAUUUCUGAGGAAUUUACUUUCUCAUCAGCAAGUUUUAACGAGCAUUAUAUAUUAUUCCUAUUGUAAAAAGACAAAACAACUCUUGUAUUUAUGUUGUAUAUAUCAAUUCUUAUUCAACCGCUUGGUUAUCUUUUGGCGCCGAAAGGAAUGUUGGAGAAACUGAUCUCUGACAUGUUGUAGAAGCUCCAAAUUGAUUCAAGAAAUAUAUCAAAUUAUUCAAUAAAAAAUCAAAUUCAGCACAAUAAUAAAGAAUAAUGAUUUAGUAAUCCAUAUUGCUCAUGUCAAUGAUAUGUGAAUGAUAGGAUCCAAUUUUAUACAUGAAAAAGAUACAAUAAUCUAAAUCGAAAUAUAAGUUCACAGGCAUCUUCAAUCCUUUCCUUACAAGUCAUUUUUGUAAAUAUAAAUUCUAACCAUAGACGAUACCACAUCAACUAUGGAACCAAGUGCAUCAUUCCAAAUAUGGAAUUGGUAGAGAUACUUGAAAAAGUGCAUACAUGUUUAAGCAAAUGGAUUCACAACUCAGGUGAGUUGAGUGAAAAUGACACCUAUCUCAGUCUUCUUCGUUACAGUUGAAACAUGUGCUUGGGUCUUCCAUUGACGUAGGAUCUGGUGUGAAGUAAAUGGAUCCCACAUUUUUUCACCCCGCAGCACUGGCACUCCAAAGGUGGAAAAACAUUAAAGUGGACUGCCUCAAGAAUGCAAUUGCAUUUCCAAAAACCAUUAAAAUCCUCUUCACAGAACAGAUAGUGCCCCAAAUGUAAGUGAUAUGAUUCUACAUAAUUAACUCUGCUCUGAGAUAAUCGUGUGUCAUGCGUACCACAAUCUUUGGUGGUUUUCACUUUGAGCUCAAAAGAAAAUGAAAACCAUCUGCCACAAUCUACAUGACGGUCUGAAAAUGCUAAAAUAGCACUAAAUGCAAUGCCCUGCACUCUGCUAUUAUUGAAGAAAUCUGGCGGCAUCUCCAAGGUUAUAAAAGAUCCCACACUUUGAAACUCAAACCACUUUGGAAUUUCAUUCCCAGGUAGUACUAUAUGACCUUUGCCCAAGGAAAAACCUCUCUGUACCAAAAAAACAUAAUUUUAAACCCAAAAAAAAACAAAGAUUGUAGAAAUUGCAUGUAAGUAGAGAGAGUUAAAGACACACAUUUUGCCAUACUUCUUGCCAUAUUUCUUGCAAACGUAGAACUGGCGUAUGAUUCGUAUGCUGAAUUCUCAGGGUAUCUUCAACAAUUCCUGCAGUAGAAUUACCUUCCAAUUUAAAAUUAUUGCUCCGGUCAAAAAAAAUUGCCUGUAAGAUUCAUAACUUAGAGAACAAACCUAAAAAUGGUUGCAGUGCCAAGCAACCUCGUUCAAGGAAUGGAGACUUUUGUACGAAUUGGAACCUCUCACCAUAACUUAAGAGGAGGUAUCCCGACACGAAAAGUUGGAUAAUGCUUUCUGGUAUUCUCUCAAUAUUGGUUUUCGCUAGAUUAAAUGUUAUUGGCGAGGAUAAUUGGCCAAGACAUUCGGGCAAUCUCUGAAGAUUUGAGCAACCACAGAGAUUAAGAACUCCAAGAGAUUUCAAUCUAUAGAGGCUGCUUGGGAGAUUCUUAAGCCUUUUACAAUUUGAAAGGUCUAAGUAUCCGAGCCUAAGUAGACGCUCAAUUGAUGAGGGCAGUUCUUCAAUUGCAGUCCCCCUUAAAAAUAACCAGCUUAUAUUACCUGAUGAGAUCUCUGGAAGCCUUUUCAGUUUUGGGCAGCCCGAAAGAUCAAGUUUGGUAAGAAAUUCCAAGUUAAAUAUUCCAGAUGGAAGACUUUUCAGGCUUUUGCUACCUCUUAGAUUCAAGAUAACCAGCUUGUUCAGACGUGGCAUCAACGUGGGAUUUGGAAUUUUGGCAAUUAGCUUAUGGCAGGCAGCAUGGAUUAUCUGGUUUAACUUACUAUAAUGCUGCUCGGUCAAAAAAGAGGCCAAGACAAAAUCGUUACCACGUAUAAUAAUUUAAUGUUGUUAUUGAGAGAUUGCACAUAUAUAAUAAGAUAUGCAUACCUUCACACAAUCCCAAAGUUGUUCAAUGUCAUUAUCAGGCACUUCAAGGAACAUAAGCUUCUCUGCACUGAGGUUUGAGGGAAAUGACUUCAACGGAUAUCCAUGCCAGUGAAGAUAUUUCACUUCAGCAAAUCCAGGGUCUUGCAAAUAAGACAUCUUACAUUUGUUCUCUCCAUUGAAUAAUGAACUAUAGAACUUUAAAAAUCUCAAUUUAGGCAUCUUUGUGAAAGUAUUGGGAUUUAGACGGAGCUCUUUUACUUUUGACAUAUCCAAACAUAUGCCCUCAAUUUUUUCUGUCCCCUAAAAAUAAAUGAAAAAGCAAUAAAGUUACAAUCAAAUGAAAGAUAUGUGUAUUCCACCAAUGAAUCGCCCUUCAACAAUACAUAGGGAUAAUUUUUGGGGCAAUUUUCUCACUAAUUCACAAUUAGAGGUAGCUUGUAGUUAUUGCUAGGCAGUUAAACUUUUAAUUGCAAAUGCACAAAGAAACAUAACAACACAAGUAAUACUUAAUAUAAAAAUUCCGUCUGUGUACUAUACAAAUUGGCAUAUCAAUUAUGCUUGCAAACGAUUAUGCAAGUUGUCAUGGCAUUUAUAAUUUAUUGCUACGUCAUCUAACGGAUAUGGUUUUUUCUAAUCAUUGUCGCUCUUCUAUUAAUUCUAAGACUCAUCAGUUCGAGCAUAGAUAAAUAUAUUCAUAUCAAGUUUGUAAAUGCUAGAAUAUUUCAAAAUAAUUAUCCACAACAAACUGCUUACCGUGUUAUAUGUAAGAACUUCAUAGAUAUCCUCAUGAUGCCACAACCUACUGCGGUUUCCAGGAUUAAUUGAUUCUUGUCGAACAAUUUCCCUACCCAACUCUUGUAGUAAAUCAUGCAUUCUUAUCUUGUUGUAUGAAUCAAUAGCAAUGAGAGAUUUAUCAACAAGAACACUUAUUCCUAUUUCUGGGUAGAAACCGCUUGCAUUAUGGAAUUUCAUUACUAGAUUUACAUCCUCGCCUUGAAAGAAACAAGCAACAUCAAGGAAAAUAUUUUUCUCCUUAUCAUCCAAACUAUUGUAACUUAUUUUUAAUACCUCUAGGAUACUUGGAUGGAGGAUUCUUUGCAAUUUAUUUAUUGCACUUUCCCAGACUUCCUUUUCUCUUUCAUAUAGAAAGCAACCCAAAACUUUAAGAGCUAAGGGAACACCUUGAGCAUAUUUCAUUACCUUGCUUGAAAAUUUCUCGUAACCAACUUCAGGAUGGUUUUGUUUGAAGGCAUGUCGACUGAAAAGCUCAAGAGCGUGAUGAUAUUCUAAUGCCUCCAUCACAUAUAUUUUACUCACCCCCCAAUUUCUAAGCACUUGUUUAUUUCUGGUGGUUAUUAUGAUUCGACUCACAGGCGUCAACCAAUCAAGACUUCCAAUUAUAGAUUCUAAUUGGCUGAAGCAAGUCACAUCAUCAAAAACAAUCAGAACCUUCAUGCGGCUGAGCCUUCUAAAAUUAAGACCAAUAUCAAGACUCACAUUUUUAUCUUUCAAUAAAUUUGAAAGAAGUUUUUGUCGCAAGCAAGCUAAUCCUCCCGGUUUUUGUGACUCUUCUCUAACAUUUUCAAGGAAGCAAGAACCUUCAAAAUCGCUAGAGAUUUUGUCGAAAGUAGCUCUAGCGAUUGUUGUUUUGCCUAUACCACCAAUGCCCCAAAUCCCUAAAGCGUAAACAUCUUUCGACUGAACACCUAGUAGAGAUUCAAUUUCCUCAACUCUUGAUUCUACUCCAACCAGCUGGUUUUGUUAUCAUUCCGCCGAAAAACUUGAUCCAGCAGUCUCUUUAAAAUGUGAUUAACAACUUCGUUUAUAAGUUCCGAUUCAGGCCUACCAAAUACAUAAAAUUAGCAGCAGUAACUUCAAAUAGAAGGGACCGGAUUUGCAUAAAAUAUGAAAUAAAGGAGAUUGCUAGUUUUCCAAUUGAAAUUAAUAUACCACUUUUUUUUUCAUAAGGAUAAUAUUGCAAAGUGAUGGUACAGGAGAGUUAUUAAAUAUUAUAAAAAUAGUCAAAAUAAGUGGUAUAUAUUGAUUUGAGUAAGGAAAUUUCCAAUCUCCCUAUAAAUUAAUAACUCUUUAAUUACAGGAAUAUGUUAUAUGUGGAAGAGAUUUUUUUUUUCCUAGUGGUAUAUGAGUAAGAGAUUGAAAUUGAUUAAAAAACGACAGAACACCAUUAAUUUUGUUAAAAUAUAUUGUAAACCUCUGGAGCUUUUAUUAGUAAUUCUGCAAAAAAUCUUUUAUAGGAGUUCAAAAGUGGGGAAGUUCAAGAAGUCUAGAAUUUGAUGCAUGAAAAAAUUUAAAAGUGUAGUUUAUCAUCUGGAAAUUUAACUAAGAGUGCUACGUGAAUUUUAUUUACAGUGUUGAAUAUGAGUAUGCGAAAUUAAAGUAACUUUUCACCUGAUGUUAAGAGAAUUAAAGCCAGACAAAGUGACUGCCUCCCUCAAAGCAUUCCUCCAAGUCAGCAGCUUCUUUGAAUUCUCCUUAAAUCUUUCUUCAAGCUUCGAAAAUGAAUCCCCAAAACUCCCAGUUUGGUUUCUCACGUCUGAUGGAUCAACCCGAUAGAAAACCGGAAUCACAAUCUGUGCAUACUCUUUCUUGCACUCGAGGAUCUUGACAAGUUCAUCGAGACACCAUCUGGAAGAUGCAUACCCUUCUGAGAAGACGAUAACUGAAACGGCUGAUGCUUCAAUUGCAUUCACAAGUGACUCCGAAAUUUCGUCUCCUCUGUUAAGUUGGUCAUCAAUGAAAGUUUGGAUAUUUUGUCGACACAGAGCAGAAUAGAGAUGGCUAGUAAAGUUGUCUCGGGUGUCCUCUCCUCUGAAACUAAGAAAAAGAUCAUCCUUCUUGUUGUUUCCAUAAGAAGAAGCCAUAAUCAACAGAAACAGUUGAAUUGAUUAGGGAGAGAUUUUGAUUCAGAUGAAAACAAUUAUUGAACCAAAUGUGCGCGACUCUGUACAAUAAAUCGAUGCCAUGAGCCUUCCUUCAAGUUCCGUGAUAGUUUUCAAUUUCAUCUCAUUGUCCAAGCACCGUGCACUCCACGAUGAUUGAUUAAUUCCACUGCUUUGUAGACUUUUAGCUGAAAAUUCCACACGAACACCAUACUUUUCAACACACGUGCUUCUGUGCUUUAAUACUCAUAACUGCCAGCAAUAAGUAGGGUAAUAUUUUAAUUUUUAUCUCUGAAUUUAUCUUUUCGGUCCUCAUCUCUCAAUUAAUUGUAUUUAGUUUCAAAAUUGUUCUUUUUUUUUUUUGUUUUAGUAGCUCUUAUUCAUGUUCCUUAGGGUUGAUUGUUAAGCAUAUAAAGUCUAACUUUUAAAAAAAAAUUAGUUAUUUAUUUUUUAUAACUUAUAUAUGAUUUUUAAAUAUUUAUAUUUAAAUUAAAAAAGUAAUUUUUUUUUGUGACCUUUGCCUAAAUGAAAAAUGUAUGAAUGGAAAAUAAAUAGUAUAUUCAAAGAUUAUUUCUAUUCAAUAUUGUUAUUUCCUAAACUAUAAACGGGUCACAUGUGGCUAAUUGUCAAAGCAAUAGCAAGCUGUUAGCUUAAAGCAAAGCACAUUCAUGCUUCACCCAUGAGAAUACAACCAAUUCUAAUGCAUGUAUUGUGACACACGUGCAAGCUAAAAGGAGGCACAUGUGGUUAAUUGUCAAAGCAAUAGCAAGCUGUUAGCUUAAAGCAAAGCAUGUGCGAAGCAUGUGCGUGCUUCAUCAAUAGAAUAUGUGAGUGGAUUAUUAUUAUUACUAUUAUGUAUUUUACAAAAUAUUUAUGUUUGAUAGUAUGAUUUAGUAUAAUGUUAUGAUUAAAUGUACGUACAUUAUAUGAUUGACUGAGUCAUAAGAUGUAAUUGACAGGCACCAUAUGUGUACAUUUCUCCAUAGGCUCUACGCAUGCGUAUUGAGAGUUAAAUUACUCGACCCUUGUGAUGUUGUUAAUUCUACUGAGUAUUGAGAGGUUUUUCCCCCUUUUUACUCGUGCGAUGAUGAUCCCAGUAAGUAUUGAGAGUUAUUUUCCAUGUAUAUUAUUUGGUGCAAUUUUGUCAUGUGUGUAUAUACGAGUUCAUGUUUGCUUUUGUAAAGCGUUCAGUGUAAAGUUAUGUCAUACAAUUAUGACGAGCACUAAAGCACUAAUUUAUUUUUAUAUAUAAUUAUAUUCAUUCAUUGAGCCGCAAGCUUAAUAUUUUCCUAUUUACCCCAUUUCUCUAAGGUUUCCAUAGGAUUUCGUGUAGUUCAAUUUCUAAUCAAUUGAGGUUGGGCCACGACACACAUUACUGCACGACUUACAUUUUGACCACGUUUAUGUUUAUAUGUAUAUUUUUGAAGUGUAUGUAUGUACAGUGAGAUAUGAACUAUGUAAGUUUUUAAUAAAAUUUUGAAUGAGGCACAUAGAUUAUUAUCUGUUUAUAACAAAGGGCAAGGCUAGUGUUAUAUAUUCCUGAAUUAAGUUUAUGUCAUGAGCUUUAGAUAUAAAAUUGCAUGAUUCACCCCAAAUCCAACAGAAGGGUUGAGGCAGUUUGUGUCAUGUAUGAUAUGUACAUAUUUAUAUUCAAUAUAACCACCAUUUGAAUGAUAGUUUUUUAAAAUCAAUGCACAUGUUUCGUAGCAUGAUUCACUUGUUGUAUGCCUACACAUGGUACUUUUGAUGUAUUCUAAAAUUUCUUCUUUAGUUAGAGGCAUUUGUUUUAAAAUUUUAUUUAAAAGAAGGUCAUUUUAAAUUUUAAAAUGUGAAGUGUAUUUUCUACAUCACUAAAGGAUGAAAUAGCCUUCAAUAUAGAUUUCUUAAUAAAUUUUAAGAGAACUAACAGAAAGUGGUUAUCUCAUUCAUGGUUAUUAAAUCAAAAUUUGAAUUAGAUCAUCACUGGUCCAAAAUAAACUAUCGUCAUUUCAAAUUGAAGCAUGAAACCGUGAAUGGAUGCAUCUUUAAAUAAAAGGAUACAUUUUUAUUACAUAUGUCACUGUUUAAUUAGACAUAUCUUUACAGUCGGACACAUUUUUAGAGCACCAUUUAUAUUGAAAAUAUUCCAGCAUAAAAUAUGUCCCUCUCCUUAUACAAGUAUUUUGCAAAUAAUACAGAGCCACCACGAGUUCAAAAAUAAUAAAACAAUAACAUUGCUCACUUGCUCGACUGGGCUGGAUUGGGCUGAUUGGGCUGGGCCUGCCAUAAGAAUGUGUAAGUACGAAGCUUUGCUUUCAUCAUCGCAUACACGGUGAGGGAAAUUGAAAUUGAUGAGGGCGCUGGCCGCUCAAUUCCUGCUUCGGAUUCCCCAACUCGGAAUAUAAUCUAUACCGUCGUACAAGCAUCGUCGGGACUUAGAAGAAUUACUUAGAAUUGACCGACGAUGAGCUGUUUCGCGAAUGCGAAAUGGACGCGUACAAAUCGUCGGGACCAGGCGGUCAGCACCGCAAUAAGCGCGAAUCCGCCGUACGUCUCAAGCACGUACCUACCGGCGUCAUAGCGCAUGCCGCCGAAGACCGAUCGCAGCACAAGAAUCGCGCGUCAGCUUUGUAGCGCCUCCGCACUCUUUUGGCCCUCAAAGUGUGGCCGUCAGUGCUUGAUGGCUUAUUUUUAAGUAGCUUUAAAGCAUAUUUGGCUCUUUGUUUAUGAAUAAUGUUCAAUAGCAACCUGCUCCAUUGAUAAGAGAAAUGUAUGAUAUAAUUUUUCAAGAUACCUACCUGCAUUAUGAAUUGUUAUUGGAAGGAAGUACGACAAUAAAUUAAGAGCAAAGACUGAUUUAAAGAUGUAUCUUCAUUAUUACAUGAAAUGUAUGUUCUGCUUCUCAUUCACUUUACCAGAAUUACAAAAGUUUUAUGUUAUUGAUGGUUGGAUUGUUUCUGGGUUAUCCUUGUUAUUAUUUUUUUUGUUUUAAUUGCUUUAGAUACAUUUGAAACAUGAAAAUUUUAAAAAACUUUCCGAUUUGUGCAGGGUAUGAAGCCUCUUAAGUAGGACUUCUUUGGUGCUACUAUUGUGUUCGGCAAAUAUUUUCUUCUUUUAUUUUUCUUUUUUCAGUCACCAUAAUGGGGGUCAUGGUGAAACAACUUACUAAUCACUCUGGACAGGAAUGGGCUUCUAUAAGUAAAGCACACUUAUUUCACUCUUUCCUUAGUACUCACCUAAAGGGGUUAUGGUUGCGACAUGCCUGGAUGGAAACAACCAAUUGUAUCCGUUAGCCAUUGAGGUUAUGGAUUCGGAAAACAAUGAUGCUUAGGAAUGGUUUAUGACGAAAUUACAUGGAGUAAUUGGUGAUACGCCGGAGUUGGUAUUUAUCUCAGACCGAUGCACCGCGAUCAAGAGAGCCGUUUUAAAAGUAUUUCGCUCAGCUGCCCAUGGCAUUUGUUUUUACCAUGUCAAAGACAAUGUUAAGUCAAAAUUCAAGAUGUCGAACUUUAGGUACAACUUUUCCUUUCCUUUUGAAGGCCCACUCCACUGGCAUAGAGAGUAAAAAGAGUUUCUUAUAAAUAAUUUUAGGAGGAUGCUUCUGCCACGACAAGUAAUACCAUAAACAAAUGAUUUCACCACAUUUCAAGAAAGCAUUUAACUUAUGCCUCAUUUUCAUUCUAGCAAUUUGCUUGCCAUUGGCUGAUUGGAAAAAGUGCAUUUAAGUGAUAGAUUACUGUCAACCUAUAGCACGAAUAGGGGUUAAACAAAGUAAAUCCCUAUCUUUACAUGUCAAAUAACAGACUUUCAUAAUAUCAAAUAUCAAAACUCAUGUCUAGUAAAGGAUUCCCCAAUGCUGGCUCUCAAAAUUGCUUUUGUUUCAUGGAUGAGAUGAUCGUUUUUGUGGAUAUUCUGCUCAACUUGGAUUAUGACUUGACUAAAUCUUAGUUGAUUUGCUUUUCCAAACUAAAUCCAAGCAAGUAAGUACAAGAGAUAAAAGCAAAAGUUCAAACAUCUCAUUUGAGCCUGUCACUAACAAAUGGUCAACGAGCAAUGUCUAGCUAUGACUGAGCAACAGAAUCAAUAAACAGACAGACAAAAAAUAAUAAUCAAGUCAUCUGUCAAAUGCUAGUCCAUGAAAAUCAUAUAUAUAUAUAUAUAUAUAUAUAUAUAUAUGUAUGUAUAUGUAUAUGUAUAUGUAUAUGUAUAUGUAUAUGUAUGAUCAUUCAUUUCUCAAUCAACCACCAAAUUGAUGUCAACCAAGCCAGGAGGAUUGUCUCACAAGUCUUUCAAUUUCCCUCUCUUUAGGCCAGAGACCAGUAAACCAUUUGAAAUAUGGAUGUGCAAACCAGUAAAUAAAUCAUGAAGUUACACACUAGUCUGCUUUCGCACUCAUUCAGAACUAUCAAUGAUACUUACUGCAGCGCAGGUACGGUGUAUACAUUAUACUAAAGUGAAGGCUGGAUCAAUAAGAAAUUCAAAAUGUUUCAUCACAUUUGGGGCUUGAUGAUGCCAAAAAAAGACCAUACCAAUUAUGAUGAACAGUAAAAUGUGAACAAGAACAAGCAUACAUUUAAGAAAGCAGAGAAGCAUCAUUAAAAUAAAGUAUUCUUCUUACUAUUCUAUGUUGUUGGAAAAUGGACCAAAAUAAAAAAGAAACCAUGUAUGGUUAACGUCACAACAAGAGUAUUUGUGCAUUUGUACAUCAUAGGAUAUUGGGAAGACAUCAGUAGGGAAGUGCAAAUUUUUUUUUUUUUUUUUGAGGAAAGGAUCAGAGAAGUGCAAGUCAAAAAGGAGAAAAAAUGAAAACAGAGAGAUCAAAAGGAAUGCGAUCUAAUUAAUCGUCUAAGGAGACUACUAUGCUACAUUUAGCCAUUGGUUGAAUAGGCAGCUUGUUUUCUAGUACAACUUUAAAUUUUCCAAGAUUUAGAAUUUUCCUACUGAAGAAAACUAAUUUCUCAAGCUUCUAUUACCAUCUUCAUCCCAACGGUAAGCAGCUCCAUCCACAGCAAUCACUGGCCUCAUGCACUGCAUGAAACCCUUGAUAGAAGAGCCAAUAGCUACAAAAUAGUAUAAGAAAUUAUCAUUUCCAUCUCGCUGCAGGUGAGUAACUGUACCUUCAUUUGCUUUGGUCAAAACAUGAGAGUAUUUAGAAAGUAAGUUAUAUGACUCUGCAGGGUUGCCUCUAACUAUUUCAAGGCCAACUUCUUUGGCCCGAUAUGCUUGCUGAUAUGUUAAUUGGACACCGUAUUCAUGUUGGAUGUCUGCUCUGAUAUCAUUUGGAGUAUAUAUUCGUUUUUCUUGGAUGAACUUGUCCGCAAUAAUAUGACCAACAACCCGACUCCUUACUUGACGAACACCACCAGCCAAUACCUCAUUACAACAAGUGUGUACGUUGUCAACUCUUCUCACUAACCACGGAACAUUCUGCAUAUAGCCUAAUUAUUACACAUGAUAUUUUGCUGCUGCCAUACUACUUACAUGCGAGUGCUGAUUUUUAAACAGAAAUAUUAAACAGAGCACUGACAGAAACAGAGUUAACACCCGACCGGGUUACCGUGUUAAUUGAAAACAAUUAAUUAACAGGACAAAAACACGAUAAAUCUGGUGGUUUUGUAGUUAAUUCUGCCUGCCCUCUGUCAAUUUCUUUAGUAUUUUUCCUCAUAUAUUUGACAUAUUGACCUAUCUGUGGCUGGAAAGAAAAAUGAUUUAAGUAAACUUUCCAAAAUGUUUUAUCAUUAUUUUAUUUCUGAAUAUCAGCAGUGCAUCAUUUUGAAAAUGUAACUGUGGGGUUUCAGGAUCCUCUCGAGCCAGUUUUGUUGUUCACAAAACCCCUUGUGCCAGAAAAAUUGGACGCUGCAGGUAUUGUUCCGCCGUCAGAUUCUUCUACGAGGAAUGGCACUAUAGCACGAACUCACAAAUUUCAUGGAAGAAUUGGCCGAGGGGGGCGGAUAGUAUUUGAUAGAUGUAAUCCUCUUAUGCACUCCUCAACUGAUAGUGGCACGUCUUUUUACUUGCCACCAAAACCCCGCACAUCUAUGUACAGUUAAAUUGAAUACUCGUUUUGUUUAAGCUCCAGCAUUAUUCGUUAGGGAGCCAAGUGUAAUUAUGCUCCGGCUGAUAUUUAUGUAGUUAAAUUGAAUACUUCCAUUGUCCCAGCUCCAGCAAUUAUUUGUUUGGGAAGUCAAGUGUAAUUAUGCCGAGGGCAAGCAAAAUACUAGGCUUGAUGAAUCUUUUCAGGCUUGGUCACAGGUAUUUCAUGACGUGCAUCUUGCCUUAUUCUUUUUAAAGAAAUGACCUUGCCCUUAUUUUCCUUUCAAGUUUAAACUUAAUGAGCUUUUAUUACAUCCUUUAUUGUUGAAAUGCUUGUGCUAAUCAUAGUAUUUUCAAAAUUUUCAGCCCAGUUGAUUAUAAAUUUUGUGUGAAUGUUACAAGAUAAAACUUACCUUUAAAAUGUUAACGAACCUGUAGGAUUGGACUUCUCUUUAAGACCUUGAAUUAAGUGGAGGGUGUUUCGGGGUUAAUAAACCAGGAACUAUGCAUAUACUUGGCCAAUAAGGAAUCCUACUAGUACAGAAUAAGGUUGUACAAGACAGUUAAAUAGAUGACGCAAUGGAGACGUCUCUGUAUCGACUCAAUUCAAACUAAUUGUACAACUUCAUUUCUGAAGGAGUCACCAUUUUUAGUCCCAUUUGGAGAAUGUGUACGUCUGGUGUUAAUGCUUAUAAUGAAAAUGAUGCACUAUGAUGCACUCAGGUUCUUUGUCCUCUCUUCUCUUCUGGUUACUCCAACACUCUUUCUUGACGUGCCCUUUCUUGCCACAGUUGUAGCAUUUAACAUUCUUCUUACUUCUGGAUUUUGAUCUACCCUGAUUUUGACUCCCACUGGGGCCACGUUCCGUUGAUCUCCCUCUCGUCACCGAUAGCGCUUCUGCUUGCUGCGAACUUGCUUGUCUAUUUUCCUUAUUUUUCCGCCUGCUCUCCUCAUUUAAUACGGAGGCUGCAACAUCGUCGAAAACUAGACUCUCCACUGGAUUGUUGUUCGUCAAGUUGAUGAUGAGUUGAUCAUACGAAUCUGGUAGACUUUGAAGUAGAAGCUCUGCACGUUCAUUUUCCUCUAUAUUAUGACCCAACGUUGUGAGUUGUGAAAAUAGAGUCUUCAAGGUGUUGAUGUGGUCGGUCACCAUUGUAGAUUCCGCCAUUCGAAGAGUAUAAAGUCUCCUCUUUAAGAAGAUUUUAUUGUGUAGUGACUUGGCCUCGUACAAUUUUGUAAGAGUAUCCCAUAUUUCCUUCGCUGUGUUUUUCUCUGCCACACUAGAUAAUACUCCAUCUGCAAGUGCCAAGUGUAGAUCAGAAAUGGCGUUGCCGUCUACCUCGUUCCACUUGUCAUCAGUUAUCUCCAUGGGCCUUUCUCCAAUUGUUGCCAAGCAAUUAUUUUUCCUCAAUACAGCUUUCAUCUUCAUUUUCCACAACGAAAAAUUAUUUCCGUUAAAUUUCUCAAUUUCAUACUUUGCCGCCAUUUUGUUGAUAAAUACUGCACACAAGCUAGUAUACCACCUUGAAUAGUUGUGAGUAUGUGUGAGAAUGCACACCAGGAAAGUUCCCAGGAAAGACUGGAGGGGUCACAAUGGUCCCACUUAAAACCCAGACUCCUUAAGCUCUUAUCGCCUUUGUGACAGAACUUUCCUAGACAUGUACAGAACCACACAGUUGCUUUACUCACACCAUUAUUCCCUGCUUUGCACCGCAAAAUUCUUGGAUUGCUUCCACCGUUUCACGUGAAUAGUACCGUAUACGUGAAUAGUGAUGUAUACCGUAUACGUGAAUAGUAUCGUAUACUGUAUACGUAAAUAGUGCCGUAUGCCGUAUACGUGAAUAGUGCCGUACGCCGUAUACGUGAAUAGUGUCGUAUGCCGUAUAUGUGAAUAGUGCCGUAAACCGUAUACGUGAAUAGUGUCGUAUGCCGUAUACGUGAAUAGUGCCAUACGCCGUAUACGUGAAUACGUGAACAAUUCCUGACUCCAAAAAUACAACCAAUGGCUCUGAUACCACUGUUAGGAAAUUGGUGGGUGAAGCAGACACGCAGCUAAAGUAAAAUUGGUAGAAAAAUAAAGAACGAGCACAAUAGAGGACACCAGAAAAUUACGUGGUUCGGCUUUUAGCCUAUGUCCACGGGCGAAGACAGAAGGAAAUAUUUUACUAGUGAAAAGGAGUUACAAGUAUUGUAGUAUUUUAGCUCACUUCCCAAAACCCCAAUACACCCAAACUCUCUCAAUCACUGUAACAAGAGCUUAUAAAUGCAAGCUCUCUAAAUUCUCUCUCAACUUCCUAAAUUGCUCUCUGAAAUGGAAUUAAAAGUACUCUUCAUCUGUACUUCUAUUUAUAGCAAACUAGUGGCCAAGAAAAUCAAAGCCGUGUUCACCAAAUUCUUCAUCAAAAACCGUGUGCAGCAAAUUCAAUCUUCAAACUUUGAACAACUUGUUGUUGACCAUCUAGAUGGCUGCUUCAAACCAUCUAGAUGGCUGGCUGCUUUUGACAUAUGUUUGGUGUUUUUCAAUUUAAAAUUGUGUCUAAUAGUGUAUUUUCAGAAUUGGACUAUAAAAAUAGAAAUAGAGAAAAUGAUAUAAAAUUAAGGUAAUAUAGGACGAAAAAGUAUGGACAAGGAAGCAGUAAUAUUUGGUGUUUUUCAUUUUUUUCAAUAAAAAAAUGAAAACAAAAUUUUCAAUAUCUAUUCAUCAUUUUUUGGGAAAAAAAAAAGAAGCUUAAAGAAUAAAUGAAAGGGCGUUUUAAAACAAAAAUGUGAUUGGUGUUUGAAUAAUGACCCUCUCGGUUAGGCAAAACAGUCACAUAAUCAUUUUUUUUUAAAACACAAACCUUUUGGUUCAGAAAUAAUCACACAAAUCUCAAUCUUUUAGCUAAAAAAGAGUUUGUGUAUCUCAAAAGAGACAUGUGUGACAUUUUCUAAAAACAAAAUAUCUUUAUAGUUAUUUUGCCAAAUCACGUGGUGCCUUUAGAAAUAGGAUAGAUUUUAAUUUGCCCCCAAUUUAAAAUGAAAAUCUUUAAUUUAUCACCCAAAAGUAUAAAAAUAUCAAGUUACCCCAUUUAUUGUUAAGAGGAUUAAAACAAAAAAACCAUCAACACAUUCCUUAUUUGCCCCUCAUCUUUUGGACGGAAAUGAAGAAUAAAUUGAGGUUUACAUUGAGAGCAAAUUAGAGAUUAUCAUUUUAUUUGGGAAUGAAUUAAACUUUAUCCUUAGAAAUAAAAAAUUCAAGAGAAGUACAUCAAAAAAGGUAAUAUAGUUUUCACUUUUUAUGGAGUAUUUGGGUAAGGGUAUUUGCACCCCACUAUUUUUGUAAAUCCACCCUACUUCUAGAAACUAAUUGCAAUGAAUUCACAAUAUUUUUUUAAAAAAUACAAAUUAAUAAAAAUUUUGUAUAGUUAAUCAGUUAAAUCCUUCUAUUAAUUUUUUUCUUGGGUUUUUUGACCAUCUUUAAUCAUAAAAUUUUAAUACAAGUUUUAUUUUAGUAUUUUAUUAUUAUGAUAUAUAGCGACUAAAUUACCAUAAUAAACAUGAGUUAUUUUAAAAUAAAAUGUUGGAGAAAUAUUCAAGGGUAAUAAUAAUUGUGGAAAGAGUGGGACUAUUAGCAGCCCUCUAUAUACCUCUUGAGCCCUGCUUGGAUAGUUACAAUUAUAGAUUAAAUUAAAAUUAUGAUAAUGGACAAACAAGUAGAUAGUCUGAUUGGAUGUGGAAUGAUUUCAUUUGAAUUUCUCUAAAGUUUAAACCAACUUACAUUUUUUCCACAUUGAAAGAGGAAUAGGUGGAAAGGUUAAAAUUGUAAAAGAAUAUUAUAACAGUUUCGAAGAAGAAAUCUUUAUGACGCAUUUUUAACUUGGUGAAAAUUUUCAAUCCCAAGAACUUUAAGCAUACGAAAGAGUGGAUUCUCUCAUUUCCGCCAUUUGUGAGGAUGAUAGUAACGAAGAGAGAACUCACAGAUUUAGUAGUGACGAAGCGAGCAACAGCAGCAGGAGAGAGAUAACAGCAGCACGGAGGAAGAUCAACAGCAGUGAAAGAGACAGAGCAGCAGCACCAGAGUGGUGAAGAAGAGAGAAUAGCAACACGUGCCAAAGAUGGAGAAAAAGAGCGAUUAGAUCUAUGAUAAGGGAGAGUGAAUGGGAAGAUCGCGAUAAGAUUUUAGGCGAGAGAAAUAGCGGUCACGGAUAAGCCUUGGAUUCUCUAUUUUUUGAUUUAUUUUAGCUUUAUAUUUGUAAUUCAUUGAGAAUAAGUUAUACACGUUCUCAAAUUUAUAACUAUAAAAGAAGAUAUGAAUUAUUUGUUUUACAAUUUGUUUUUUGAAUUUCGGCCAUCAAUCGCGCAUUAACUUAGAUUUAUAAAAGGAAAAUGAAAACAGGGCCCAUAAAUAUUACCGAACAUGCCCUAAUAUUCUCCACUAAUGUGCCAUUUUAACCUCCUACAAAAGAGCUCCCAACGGCGUGGUUGGGUUAGUUGCAGUGAAGUUAUAUCCUCUACCAAAACUCGGGUUCGAUUUUUGGGGUUGGUAAGGAGGGUAAAAAUUGUAUUUGGGCUUGCCCACCCCCCGUACCUUUAAAAAAAGUUUAAAAAAAAAAACCUCUUACAAAAGCGGCUACUCAGAAUUCAUAAUUGACCUCAGAACUGCAGAUCAUACGAGAACCCACCAAUAAUGAAUAGGCGCUUAAUGCAUUUGUUUCGAUUGUGAUAGGCCUACUAGGGCCGAACCUAGUGCAAUCGAUGCCAAAAAAUGUCUAUAUAUACCUAUACUAGUUUUAUGGGGUGUUGAGGAUCCAUUCACCCUCUUUGAUGGACCUGCUGGUUAAUACUCCUCAUUUCUACCUUCUUAACUCUCAAAUGUGCAAGUUAAUUGUAUUGGAAGGAGUGGGACAUCAUCCCCAUGACGACAGACCCAAGGAGAUCCAUGAAAAGCUGCUUUCUCGGUUGGCUGAAACAUUUAAGUGCUGAGGAAUUUACUUUCUCAUCUGCAAGUUUUGAUGAGCAUUAUUUAUUAUUCCUAAUGUAAAAUGACAAACAACUCUUGUAUUUAUAGUGUUAUAUUUUUUUUUAUUCAACCGCUUGAAUAUCUUUUGGCAUCGAAAGAAUGUAGGAGAAACUGAUCCCUGACAAGUUGUAAAAGCUCCAAAUUGAUUCAAGAAAUGUACCAAAUUAUUCAAUAAAAAGUCAAAUUCAGCACAAUAAUAAAGAACAAAUUAAUCUAUAUUGCUCAUGUUAAUGAUAUGUGAAUGAUAAGAUUCAAUUUUUCAUAUGAAAAAGAUACAAUAAUCUAAAUAGAAAUAAAGGUUCAUGGGCAUCUUUAACCUUUCCUUACAAGCUAGUUUUUUAAAGGUAAAUUCUACCCAUAGAUGAUACCACGUCAACUAUGGAAUCAAAUGAAACAUUUCGAAUAUGGAAUUGGUAUAAAUACUUGAAAGAGUGGAUACAUGUUUGUUGAUACAUAAAUCUAGUUGAGCUAUGUAGCGACCAGACAACCAGGCCAACACUUAAAUUUGUUGUUAUUGGAGAGACGGUUCUAUGCUAUUUCCUCACUAUCGAAUAAGUUCUUGCGACCUCAAGUACUUCCUUCAAGAACACCUACGUUUAUAACAUCUAGUUAGAGGAUGCCUGAGGUUUUUCCGGCGUGAACCCUCCGACGCUUAAGUGGGCGAUCUGGGUCUACUUGAAAAAACUCGUGACAUGAUUCACGUGACUUAAUUACAACUACUCUGAAUGAAAAAAAGGUUUAAUUUCAUAAAAAAGGAAAAAUAGAGAAGAUAAAAUUGUGAAUAGAGAGAGUAUGAAAAAAUUAAGUAAAAAAUUAUCUAAACCCCUUACCUCUAUUCUCUAAAGCUUUAAUAUCCAACCAAAAUUAUCGGCCUCCUCUCUCCCCCAACACCGUUGCUGGGUUGGUCACAUAACUGUGGGAGAGUAGGUAGCGUAACUGCUAGUGAGUGGGCUUCAUGCUCGAAUUCUUUGGAGGAAACCCAUGGGUUGACCUUUAACCAAGUCGUCGAUUUGACUUAACUCUAGUCUCUCCUCGUGCUUCCUCGAGCCGACUUUGCUCAUGUGACCAGCCACACACCUCAUCGGGGAUAAUCUUUCUCGAUGAGUCAUUUUAGGCCGAGGGGAGCACAUUUUGCUCAUGUGUGCCUGAUCAUGAUGUUUUUCACCCCAAAAUAGAUGUUUAAGCAAACUGAUUCAUAGAAAAAUUGAGUUGGUGAAAAUGACAUCUAUCAUGUUCUUUUUUUUAAAAUCAAUAUACAAAUAUGUUUUUUAAAAUAUAUAAGAUUUAACGGAGUUUAACUGUUCCCUCUUUAUUGCUUUUGCUUCCACAUGAUAAAACUUUCCCAUAUACAACAAUUUAGAUUUAACAAAAUAUAAAAUUUUCAAAUGUGAUUGCGUUAUAUACAUGAGAGUUGAUGUAGUGCGCAACGGGAUGAGUGGCAUGUGUUCAUUGGUUGAGAUAUGGGCCAACAACAUACUCUGUAAGAACUCGUUGCGCGUCCUGUAAUAUUCCAUGCCGCUGGCAAAUGAGUUUUUUCACUAGUUUAUAAUUCACAUGCUCACCUAAGUAGAUGUGUUUUGGGUUGCAAAGUCCAAUAACAAAUCGUUGUGGGUGGUGUGUGCAGAGCCAGAAAGAAGGCCAAUAGUUUUAAUUUUACAAUAUACAUCAUGUGCUUUUCAUACAUUAUACUCUUCACCUAAUAAGGUAAAGUUCAAUACUCUAGUGUGAAUUUGAAAGAAAGUUAAAAGCUGUUUGUUUCAAGAGAAAAUUUACAGAGGAAAAUUAAAGUUCUUAUUUCUUUUACUCUUUUUCCAUUACUUAACAACUGAACAUAUACAGCUUAUAUACUCGAAGAUAUUUACAUACACAUGCUAAAGGAACUAGUAACAAACAUUAACAACUUAUGCUGACUUAUUAAUUCCCGUAACUAAUUCUGCUGAUCUGGCACUGAUGAGCUGGCACAAUUAACUUGCUUCACUAACUAAGACUGAGAACUUCUUUGCCUUCCUGUUCUUCAUAAACGCAGCACAAUGAGCUUCCCUAAUAGAAUUUGCGUUACAUGCACCAGAUCCGUCGAAAGUUAUAACAUGAAUGUUUUGUUCCAAGAACUGAUUUUGGCACUUUCUUCUAUUAUUAAUAGUGAUUUGAAAAAGGAAAACAAUAAAAAUACAUUCAUGAAAAUCUCAGUCUUCUUCGUUAUAGUUGAAACAUCUGCUUGGGUCUUCCAUUGAAUUCGUAGAGUCUGCAAUGCCAAAAAAUUGGAUCCCACAUUUUUUCACUCCGCAACACUCACACUCCAAAGGUGGAAAAACAUUAAAGUGGAUUGUCUCAGGAAAGCAAUUGCAUUUCCAAAAACCAUUAAAAUCCUCUUCAUAGAACAAAUAGUAUCCCAAAUGUAAGUGAUCUGAUUCUAAAUAAUUAACUCUUCUUUGAAAUAACAGUGUGUCAUGCGGAUCACAAUCUUUGGUGGUUUCCACUUUGAGCUCACAAGAAAAUGAAAACCAUCUACCAUAAUCUACAUGACGGCCUGAAAAUCCUAAAAUAGCACCAAAUGCAAAGCCCAGUACUCUGUUGUUAUUGAAGAAAUCUGGGGGCAUCUCUAACGUUAUAAAAGAUCCCACACUUUGAAAAUUAAACCACCUUGGAAUUUCAUUCCCAGCUAGUACGUAAUGGCCUUCCUUGGGAAAACCUCUCUAUACCAAAAGAUCAAAAUUUUAAACCCAAAAAAAAGGUAUAAAUUGUAAGGAGAAAGAAUUAAGACACACCUUUUCCCGUACUUCUUUCCAAUGGGCAGGUACCACAUGGCCCAUAUAUUGAAUUCUCAUGUCAUCUUCAAUAAUUCCUGCAGUAGUAUUACCUUGCAAUUAAAAAUUAUUGCUCUAGUAAAAAAACAUUGCCUAUAAGAUUCAGAACUUAGAGAAUAAACCUGUUAAUGAUUGUGGUGCCGAGUAAUGAUCGGCAUCUAACCAUCGUACAAGGAAUAGAGGCUUUGGUAAGGAUUGAAGCCCCUCACAAUAAUCGAAGAGGAUGUAUCGCAACAUAAAUUGUUGGAUAAUGCUUUCUGGUAUUCUCUCAAUAUUGGUUUUCAAUAGAUUCACUACUAAUGGCGACGAUAACUGGCCAAGCCAUUCGGGCAAUCUCUGAAGAUUUGAGCAACCACGGAGACUAAGAAGUUCAAGAGACUUCAACUUACAGAGGCUGCUUGGGAGACUCUUAAGCCUUUUACAAUCCGAAAGGUCUAACAACCAAAGCCUAAGUAGAAGCUCAAAUGAUGAGGGCAGUUCUUCAAUUGCAGUUCCACUUAAAAAUAGCCGGCCUAUGUUACCAGAUGAGAUCUCUGGAAGCCUCUUCAACUUUGAACAACCCGAAAGAUCAAGUUCGGUAAGAAAUUCCAAAUUAAACAUUCCAGCUGGAAGACUUUUCAGGGUUUUGCUACCGCUUAGAUUCAAGAUAACUAGCUUGUUCAGAUGUGGAAUCAACGUGGGGUUUAGAGUUUUGGGAAUUAGCUUCUUGCAGGCAGCAUGGAUUAGCUGGUUUAACUUACUAUAAUGCUGCUCGGUCAAAAAAGAGGCAAAGAUAAAAUCAUUAUUAUGCAUGAUAAUUUAAUGUUCUUAUUGAAAUAUUGCACAUAUAUAUUAAGAUAAACAUACCUUCACACCAUUCCAAAGUUGUUCAAUGUCGCUAUUAGGCACUUCAAGAAACACAAGCUUCUCUGCACUAUGGUUUGAAGGCAAUGACUUCAACGGAUAUCCAUGCCAGUGAAGAUAUUUCACUUCAGCAAAUCUGAGGUCUUGCAAAUGAGACACCUUGCAUUUGUUCUCCCCAUUGAAUGAUGAACUAUAGAAUUUUAAAAAUCUCAAUUUACGCAUCUUUGCGAAAGUAAUGGGAUUUAGAUGGAUCUCUUUUACUUUUGCCAUAUCCAAACAGAUGCCCUCAAUUUUUUCUGUCCCCUAAAAAUAAAUAGAAAAAUCAAUAAAGUUAACAUCAAAUGAAAAAUGAUAUUUAUAUUCCACUAGUGAUUAACACUUCAGCUCCACCAAGACAAAUUUUUGGGGCAAGUUUGUCACUCAUUCACAAUUAAAGGUAGCUUAGUUAUUAAUUCAACUUUAAUUUGUCCUUGUGUGGAGUUUAUGUCAGAUUGGAGUGGGGUUCUCCAUCAUUACUCAAAUUAAAUUUCAAUAAUUCAUGUUUAUUGUUAUUGCUAGGCAGUUAAACUCUUAAUUGCAAAUGCACAAAGAAACAUAAUAGUACAAGUAAUACUUAACAUAAAAAUUCUGUAUGUGUACUAUACAAAUUUAUAUAUCAAUUAUGCUUGAAAACGGUUAUGCAAGUUGUCAACCGCAUUUAUAAUUUAUUGCUACAUCACCUAACCACUAUUGUUUUUUCCGAUCAUUGUGACUCUUGUAUUAAUUCUAAGACUCAUUUGUUCGAGCGUAAAUAAAUAUAUUCACAUCAAGUUUUGAAACACUACAAUAUUCCAAAAUAAUAAUCCACAACAAGCUGCUUACCGUAUUAUACGUAAGAACUUCAUAGAUAUCCUCAUGAUGCCACAAUCUACUGCGGUUUUCAGGAUUAAUUGAUUCUUGUCGAACAAUUUCCCUACCCAAUUCUUGUAGUAAAUCAUGCAUUGUUAUCUUUUUGUGUGAAUCAAUAGCGAUGAGAGACUUAUCAACAAGAACACUUAUUCCUAUUUCUGGGUAGAAGCCGCUUGCAUUAAAGAAUUUCAUUAUAGGAUUUACAUGCUCACCUCGAAAGAAACAAGCAACAUCAAGGAAAAUACUUUUCUCUUUAUCGUCCAAAUCAUCAUAACUUAUUUUUAAUACCUCUAGAAUACUUGGAUGGAGGAUUCUUUGCAAUUUAUCUAUUGCGCUUUCCCAGACUUCUUUUUCCCUUUUAUGUAGAAAGCAACCCAAAACUUUAAGAGCUAAAGGAACACCUUGUGCAUAUUUCAUUACUUUGCUUGAAAAAUCCUCAUAACCAACAUCAGGAUGGUUUUGUUUGAAGGCAUGUCGACUAAAAAGCUCAAGAGCGUGAUGAUAUUCUAAUGCCUGCAUCUCAUAAAUUUUCCUCACCCCCCAAUUUCGAAGCACUUGUUUAUUUCUGGUGGUUAUUAUAAUUCGACUCCCAGGCGUCAACCAAUCAAGACUUCCGAUUAAGGAUUCUAAUUGGUUGAAGAAAGUCACAUCAUCAAAAACAAUCAGAACCUUCAUACGGCUGAGCCUUCUAAAAUUGAGGUCAAUAUAAGGCAUCACAUCUUUAUCCUUCAAUAAAUUUGAAAGAAGUUUUUGUCGUAAGCAAGCUAAUCCUCCUGGUCUUUGUGACUCUUCUCUAACAUUUUCGAGGAAGCAAGAACCUUCAAAAUCACCCGAGAUUUUGUCGAAAAUAGCUCUAGCAAUUGCUGUUUUGCCUAUACCACCAAUGCCCCAAAUCCCUAAAGCAUAAACAUCUUUCGACUCAACACCUAAUAGGGAUUCAAUUUCCUCAACUGUUGAUUCCACUCCAACCAGCUGGUUUUUGUUAUCACGGGGCUGAAACACUUCAUCCAAUCUCUUCAAAAUGUGAUUAACAACUUCAUUUGUAAGUUCCGACUCACACCUAGCAAAUACAUAAAAUUAGCCAAAGUAACUUCAAAUUAAUACGAGGAAUUUGCAUUAAGUAUGAAGUAAGGGAGAUUGUCAGUUUUCUUAUUGAAAUUAAUAUAUACCACCACUAGUCUACAAUCUCCCAGUAAAUUAAUAACUCUUAAAUUACAGGAAUAUGUGUGAGUUUUUUUUUUUUUUGGAAAAAUUAUCACUGCACUACCUCUCUUUUGUCUUAUAUUCAUCCAACCACCACAAAAUUAUAACAUAUUCUUUACACCACCUUUUUUUUUUAAAUUUAUAUCAAUUAGCCACUUUUGCACUAACACCGUUAAAUAAUUUAAACAAAAUGAUAAAUUUACCUCUAAAUAAACUAAAAGAUCAUUUUAUUUUAUAAAAGCUUGGAAAAAUAAAAAAAAAUUAUAAUUAAAAAAAUACCCCUAAAUUUAAUAAAAAAAAUCUCAAAUAGAGGUGCUCAGCUAAUUUUAAUUAAAUUUAGAUUUUAUAAAAUUUUAAUAAUUAUGUUUUAUUAAAAAUUAUAAUUUUGUAAUAUUUUAAUAAAAAUAACUGAAUUUAUUAUUAAAAAAUUAUAAUUUUGUAAAAUUUAAUUAAAAUAACUGAAUUUAUUUAUUAAAAAAUAAAUCCUAAAAUUUUAAUAAUUUAGGGGAUUUUUAUUAAAUCCCAAAAUUUUGUAAUUAUUUUUAUCAUUUUAAUUUUUUAUUAAAAUAAUUUUUAUUAUAAUAUUGGGAUUUAUUUUUUAAUUAAAUUUAGGGAUAUUUUUAUAAUUAUAAUUUUUUUAUUUUCUUAGUUUUUACAAAAUAAAAAUGGUCUUUUAAUUUAUUUAAUGGUAAAAUUUUCAUUUCAUUUAAAUUAUUUCAUGGUGUUAGUGCAAUAGUGACUUAUUGAUACAAUUUUUUUUUUAAAAAUGUGGUGCAAAGAACAUGUUAGAAUUUUGUAGUGAUUGGAUGAACAAUAGGUAAAAGGAAGGUGGUGCAAUGAUAAUUUUUUUUUUUUUUUUUUCCUAAUGGUGGUGUAUGAGUGAGAGGUUGCAAUUGCUUAAAAACCGACAGACCACCACUAAUUUUGUUAGAUGUAUAUUGUAAAAUUCUCGAGCUUUUAUUAUUAAUUCUUUCAAAAUUAUUUUAUAAUUAUGGGAGCACAAAAGUGGGGAAGUCAGGAAGUCUAGAAUUUGAUGCUUAAAAAUUUUUAAAAUUGUAGUUUAGCAUCCGGAAAUUUAACUAAGAGUGCUGCGUGAAUUUUAUUUAUUGUUAAAUAUUAGUAUGAGAAAUUAAAGGUUUAACUUUUCACCUGAUGUUAGGAGAAUGAAAUCCACACAAACUUGCUGCUUCCUCCAAAGCAUUCCUCCAACUCUGCAGCUUCUCAGUAUUCUCCUUUAAUCUUUCUUCAAGCUUCGAAAAUGAAUCUCCAAAACUCCCAGUUUGGUUUCUCACGUCUGAUGGAUCAACCCGAUAGAAAACCGGAAUCACAAUCUGUGCAUACUCCUUCUUGCAGUCGAGGAUCUUUACAAGUUCAUCGAGACACCAUCUGGAAGAUGCAUACCCUUCUGAGAAGACGAUAACUGAAAUGGCUGAUGCUUCAAUUGCAUUCACAAGUGACUCUGAAAUUUCAUCUCCUCUGUUAAGUUGGUCAUCAAUGAAAGUUUGGAUAUUUUGUCGACACAGAGCAGAAUAGAGAUGGCUAGUAAAGUUGUCGCGGGUGUCCUCUCCUCCGAAACUAACAAAAACAUCAUACUUCUUGUUGUUUCGAGAAGAAGAAGCCAUAAUCAACAGAAACAGUUGAAUUGAUUAGAGAGAGAUUUUGAUUCGGAUGAAAACAAUUAUUGAACCAAAUGUGAGCGACUCUGUAGAAUAAAUCGAUGCCAUGAACCUUCCUUCAAGUUCCUUGAUAAUUUUUCAAUUUCGUCUCAUUGUCCAAGUACCGUGCACUCCACGAUGAUUGAUUAAUUCCACUGCUUUGUAGACCUCUAGCUGAAAAUUCCACAUGAACACCAGACUUUUCAACACACGGCUUCUGUGCUUUCAUACUCAUAACUAUCAGCAACGAGGGGCUGAUAUUUUAGUUUUUAUCCUCAAUUUAUCUAAAUUGGCAAGACGCAUUUUAGGGUGUAUAGGCACUCUAAAAACAAAAUCGUGCAGACCUUGUUAAGGCCCAAAGCUACACAAUGUAGGAGAGAAGGCCAAUAAUUUUAAUUUUACAAUACACAUCAUGUGCCUCUCAUACGUUAUACUCUUCAUCUAACAAGGUAAAGUUCAAUACCCCUCGAAAGUUAUUACAUGAAUAUUUUGCUCCAAGUACUGAUUUGGACAUUUUCUCCUAUUAUUAAAAGUGAUUAGAAAAAGGAAAGAAAUAAAAAUACAUUCAUGAAAAUCUCAGUCUUCUUCGUUAUUGUUGAAACAUGUGCUUGGAUCUUCUAUUGAAUUCGUAGAAUCUGGGAAGCAAAAAAAUUGGAUCCCACAUUUUUUCACCCCGCAGCACUCACACUUCAAAGGCGGAAAAACAUUAAAGUGGACUGCCUCAGGAAUGCAUUCGCAUUUCCAAAAACCAUUAAAAUCCUCUUCACAGAACAGAUAGUAGCCCAAAUGUAAGUGAUCUGAUUCUAUAUAAUUAACUCUGCUCUGAAAUAACUGUGUGUCAUGCGAACCACAAUCUUUAGUAGUUUUCACUUUGAGCUCAAAAGAAAAUGAAAACCAUCUUCCACAAUCUACAUGACGGUUUGAAAAUGCUAAAAUAGCACUAAAUGCAAAGCCAUGCACUCUGCUACUAUUGAAGAAAUCUGGUGGCAUCUCCAAGGUUAUAAAAGAUCCCACACUUUGAAACUUAAACCACUUUGGAAUUUCAUUCCCAGGUAGUACUAUAUGAGCUUUGCCCAUGGAAAAACCUCUCUGUACCAAAAAAACAUAAUUUUAAACCCAAAAAAACAAUUGUAGAAAUUUUAAACAAAGAGAGUUAAAGACACACAUUUUCCUGUAUUUGUUGCCAACGGACAGCUAGCUUAUGGUCCAUAUGCGGAAUUCUCUCGGGAUCCACAACAAUUCCUGCAGUAUAAUUGCCUUCCAAUUUAAAAUUAUUGCUCCGGUAAAAAAAAAUUGCCUAUAAGAUUCAUUACUUAGAGAACAAACCUAAAAAUGGUUGCAGUACCAGGCGACGUCGUUCAAGGAAUGGAAGCUUUGGUGAGGAUGGAAACCUUUCACUAUAACUUAAGAAGAGGUAUCGCAACACGAAAAGUUGGGUAAUUCUUUUUGGUAUUCUCUCAAUAUUGGUUUUCGCUAGAUUCAAUAAUAUUGGCGAGGAAAAUUGGCCAAGACAUUCGGGAAAUCUUUGAAGAUUUGAGCAACCACAGAGAGUAAGAACUCCAAGAGAUUUCAACUUACAUAAGCUGCUUGGGAGACUCGUAAGCCUUUUACAAUAUGAAAGGUCCAAGUACUUGAGCCUAAGUAGACGCUCAAUUGAUGAGGGCAGUUCUUCAAUUGCAGUCCCCCUUAAAAAAAACCAGCUUAUAUUACCUGAUGAGAUCUCUGGAAGCCCUUUCAGUUUUGAGCAGCCCGAAAGAUCAAGUUUGGUAAGAAAUUCGAAGUUAAAUAUUCCAGAUGGAAGACUUUUCAGGUUUUUGCUACCUCUUAGAUUCAAGAUAACUAGCUUGUUCAGACGUGGCAUCAACGUGGGAUUUGGAGUUUUGGCAAUUAGCUUAUUGCAGGCAGCAGGGAUUAUCUGGUUUAACUUGCUAUAAUGCUGGUCGGUCAAAAAAGAGGCCAAGACAAAAUCGUUACCACGUAUAAUAAUUUAAUGUUGUUAUUGAAAGAUUGCACAUACAUAAUAAGAUAUGCAUACCUUCACACAAUCCCAAAGUCGUUUAAUGUCACUAUCAGGCACUUCAAGUAACACAAGUUUCUCUGCACUAAGGUUUGAAGGUAAUGACUUCAACGGAUAUCCAUACCAGUGUAGAUAUUUCACUUCACCAAAUCCCGGAUCUUGCAAAUAAGAUAUCUUACAUUUGUUCUCUCCAUUGAAUGACGAACUAUAGAACUUUAAAAAUCUCAAUUUAGGCAUUUUUGUGAAAGUAUUAGGAUUUAGACGGAUCUCUUUUACUUUUGACAUAUCCAAACAGAUGCCCUCAAUUUUUUCUGUCCCCUAAAAAUAAAUAAAAAAAAUAAAGUUAAAAUCAAAUGAAAGAUGAUAUGUAUAUUCCACUAAUGAAUUGCACUUCAACCCCACCAAGAAAAACAAUUUGGGGCAAUUUUGUCACUAAUUUACAAUUAGAGGUAACUUAGUUAUUAAUUCAAUUUUUAUUUAUUCUUGCAUGGAGUUUAUGUGGGAUUGGAGCGGGGCUCUCUGUCAUUACUCGAAUCAAAUUUCAAUAAUUCAUGUUUAUAGUUAUUGCUACGCAGUUAAGAAACAUAAUAACACAAGUAAUAAUUAACAUAAAAAUUCUGCAUGUGUAAUAAUUUUACAUAUCAAUUAUGCUUGCAAACGGUUAUGCAAAUUGUCGUCGCAUUUAUAAUUUAUUGCUACGUCAUCUAACCACUAUUGUUUUUUCUAAUCAUUGCCACUCUUCCAUUAAUUCUAAGACUCACGAGUGCGAGCGUAUGUAAAUAUAUUCACAUGAAGUUUUUAAACACUACAUUGUUCCAAAAUAAUAAUACACAACAAACUACUUACCGUAUUAUACGUAAGAACUUCAUAGAUAUCUUCAUGAUGCCAGAGCCUACUGCGGUUUUCAGGAUUAGUUGAUUCUUGUCGAACAAUUUCCCGACCCAAUUCUUGUAGUAAAUCAUGCACUGUUAUCUUGUUGUAUGAAUCAAUAGCAAUGAGAGAUUUAUCAACAAGAACACUCAUUCCUAUUUCUGGGUAGAAGCCACUUGCAUUAAAAAAUUUCAUUAUUAUAUCUACAUCCUCACCUUGAAAGAAACAAGCAACAUCAAGGAAAAUAUUUUUCUCCUUAUCGUCCAAACUAUCAUAACUUAUUUUUAAUACCUCAAGAAUACUUGGAUGGAGGAUUCUUUGCAAUUUAUCUAUUGCACUUUCCCAGACUUCUUUUUCCCUUUUAUGCAGAAAGCAACCCAAAACUUUAAGAGCUAAAGGAACACCUUGAGCAUAUUUCAUUACUUUGCUUGAAAGUUUCUCAUAACCAACAUCAGGAUGGUUUUGUUUGAAGGCAUGUCGACUAAAAAGCUCAAGAGCGUGAUGAUAUUCUAAUGCCUGCAUCUCAUAAAUUUUCCUCACCCCCCAAUUUCGAAGCACUUGUUUAUUUCUGGUGGUUAUUAUGAUUCGACUCACAGGCGUCAACCAAUCAAGACUUCCAAUUAAAGAUUCUAAUUGGCUGAAGCAAGUCACAUCAUCAAAAACAAUCAAAACCUUCAUGCGGCUGAGCCUUCUAAAAUUGAGGUCAAUAUAAGGCAUCACAUUUUUAUCCUUCAAUAAAUUUGAAAGAAGUUUUUGUCGUAAGCAAGCUAAUCCUCCUGGUCUUUGUGACUCAUCUCUAACAUUUUCGAGGAAGCAAGAACCUUCAAAAUCACCCGAGAUUUUGUCGAAAAUAGCUCUAGCAAUUGCUGUUUUGCCUAAACCACCAAUGCCCCAAAUCCCUAAAGCAUAAACAUCUUUCGACUCAACACCUAAUAGGGAUUCAAUUUUCUCAACUGCUGAUUCUAGUCCAACCAGCUGGUUAUUGUUAUCACCCCGCCGAAACACUUCAUCCAAUCUCUUCAAAAUGUGAUUAACAACUUCAUUUAUAAGUUCCGACUCACGCCUAGCAAAUACAUAAAAUUAGCCGCGGUAACUUCAAAUUAAUUAAUAGGAGGAAUUUGUAUUAAUUAAGGUAGAUUGUUAGUUUUCCUAUUGAAAUUAAUAUAUUCCACUAUAAGUCUACAAUCUUACAAUUAAUUGAUUAACUCUUAAGUUACAGGAAUAUGUGUGAUUUUUUUUUUAAUGGUGGUAUCUGAGUGAGAGGUUGAAAUUGCUUGAAAAACUACAAAGCACCACUAAUUUUGCUAUAUAAAAAUUGUAAAAUUCUCGCGCUUUUAUUAUUAAUUCUGUCAAAAUUAUUUUACAUGAGCACAAAAGUGGGGAAGUCAGGAAGUUUAGAAUUUGAUGCUUAAAAUUUUUAAAAUUGUAGUUUAGCAUCCGGAAAUUUAACUAAGAGCGCUGCGUGAAUUUUAUUUAUUGUUAAAUAUUAGUAUGAGAAAUUAAAGGUUUAACUUUUCACCUGAUGUUAGGAGAAUGAAAUCCACACAAACUUGCUGCUUCCUCCAAAGCAUUCCUCCAACUCUGCAGCUUCUCAGUAUUCUCCUUUAAUCUUUCUUCAAGCUUCGAAAAUGAAUCUCCAAAACUCCCAGUUUGGUUUCUCACGUCUGAUGGAUCAACCCGAUAGAAAACCGGAAUCACAAUCUGUGCAUACUCCUUCUUGCAGUCGAGGAUCUUUACAAGUUCAUCGAGACACCAUCUGGAAGAUGCAUACCCUUCUGAGAAGACGAUAACUGAAAUGGCUGAUGCUUCAAUUGCAUUCACAAGUGACUCUGAAAUUUCAUCUCCUCUGUUAAGUUGGUCAUCAAUGAAAGUUUGGAUAUUUUGUCGACUCAGAGAAGAAUAGAGAUGGCUAGUAAAGUUGUCGCGGGUGUCCUCUCCUCUGAAACUAACAAAAACAUCAUACUUCUUGUUGUUUCGAUAAGAAGAAGCCAUAAUCAACAGAAACAGUUGAAUUGAUUAGAGAGAGAUUUCGAUUCGAAUGAAAACAAUUAUUCAAUUUCAUGAACCUUCCUUCAAGUUCCGUGAUAAUUUUUCAAUUUCAUCUCAUUGUCCAACCACCGUGCACUCCACGAUGAUUGAUUAAUUCAACUGCCUUGUAGACUUUUAGCUGAAAAUUCCACACGAACACCAUACUUUUCAACACACGUGCUUCUGUGCUUUAAUGCUCAUAACUGCCAGCAAUAAGUAGGGUGAUAUUUUAAUUUUUAUCUCUGAAUUUAUCUUAUCCGUCCUCAUCUCUCAAUUAAUUGUAUUUAGUUUCCAAAUUAUUCUUUUUUUUUGUUUUAAUAGCUCUUAUUCAUGUUCCUUAGCGUUUAAAGUCUAAAAAAAAUUAGUUAUUUAUUUUUUAUAACUUAUAUAUGAUUUUUAAAUAUUUAUAUUUAAAUUAAAAAGUAAUUUUUUUUUGUGACCUUUGCCUAAAUGAGAAAAUGUUUCAAUGAAAAAUAAAUACUAUAUUCUAAGAAUAUUUCUAUUCAAUAUUGUUAUUUCCUAAACUAUAUUGUCAUAUGUGGCUAAUUGUCAAAGCAAUAGCAAGCUGUUAGCUUAAAGCAAAGCAUAUUCAUGCUUCACCCAUGAGAAUACAACCAAUUCUAAUGCAUGUAUUGUGACGCACGUGCAAACUAAAAGGAGGCACAUGGGUUAAUUGUCAAAGCAAUAGCAAGCUGUUAGCUUAAAGCAAAGCACGUGCGUGCUUCAUCAAUAGGAUCUGUGAGUGGAUUAUUAUUAUUAUUAUUACUAUUAUAUAUUUCACAAAACAUUUAUGUUUGAUAGUAUGAUUUAGUAUAAUGUUAUGAUUAUAUGUACGUACAUUAUAUGAUUGACUGAGUCAUGAGAUGUAAUUGACAGGCACCAUAUGUGUACAUUUCCUCAUAGGCUCUACGCAUACGUAUUGAGAGUUAAAUUACUCGACCCUUGUGAUAUUGUAAAUUCUACUGAGUAUUGAGAGGUUUUUCUCCCUUUUUUACUCGUGUGAUGAUGAUCCCAGUGAGUAUUGAGAGUUAUUUUCCCUGUAUAUUAUUUGGUGCAAUUUUGUCAUGUGUGUAUAUACGAGUUCAUGUUUGCUUUUGUAAAGCGUUCAGUGUAAAGUUAUGUCAUACAAUUAUGACGAGCACUAAAGCACUAAUUUAUUUUUAUAUAUAAUUAUAUUCAUUCAUUGAGCCGCAAGCUUACUAUUUUCCUAUUUACCCCAUUUCUCUAAGGUUUCCAUAGGAUUUCGUGUAUUUCAAUUUCUGAUCAAUUGAGGUUGGGCCACGACACGCAUUACUGCACGAAUUACAUUUUGACCACGUUUAUAUUUAUAUGUAUAUUUUUGAAGUGUAUGUAUGUUCAGUGAGAUAUGAACUAUGUAAGUUUUUAAUAAAUUUUUGAAUGAGGCACAUAGAUUAUUAUAUGUUUAUAACAAAGGCCAAGGCUAGUGUUAUAUAUUCAUGAAUUAAGUUUAUGUCAUGAGCUUUAGAUAUAAAAUUGCAUGAUUCACCCCAGAUCCAACAGAAGGGUUGAGGUGAUUUGUGUCAUGUAUGAUAUGUACAUAUUUAUAUUCAAUAUAACCACCAUUUGAAUGAUAGUUUUUUAAAAUCAGUGCACAUGUGUCGUAUCAUAACUCACUUGUUGUAUGGCUAACAUGGUACUUCUGAUAUAAUCUAAAAUUUCUUCCUUAGUUAGAGGCAUUUGUUUUAAAAUUUUAUUUAAAAGAAGGUCAUUUUAAAUUUCAAAAUGUAAAGUGUAUUUUCUACAACACUAAAGGAUGAAACAUCCUUCAAUAUAGAUUUCUUAAUAAAUUUUAAGAGAACUAACAGAAAGUGGUUAUUUCAUUCAUGGUUAUUAAAUCAAAAUUUGAAUUAGAUCAUCACUGGUCCAAAAUAAACUAUCGUCAUUUCAAAUUGAAGCAUGAAACCGUGAAUGGAUGCAUCCUUAAAUAAAAGGAUACAUUUUUAUUAUAUAUGACACUGUUUAAUUAGAUAUAUCUUUACAGUCAGGACACAUUUUUAGAGCACCAUUUAUAUUGAAAAUAUUCCAGCAUAAAAUAUGUCUCUCUCCUUAUACGAGUAUUUUGCAAAUAAUUUGCAAAUAAUACAGAGCCACCACGAGUUCAAAAAUAAUAAAACAAUAACAUUGCUCACUUGCUGGACUGGGCUGGACUGGGCUGAUUGGGCUGGGCCUGCUUUCAUCAUCGCAUACACGGUGAGGGAAAUUGAAAUUGAUGAUGGCGUUGGCCGCUCAAUUCCUGCUUCGGAUUCCCCAACUCGGAAGGAAAAAUAUAAACUUUCCGUCGUAUAAGCAUCGCGGGAAUUAUCAGCCAUUGUUGUUGUCUUGCAAUUACAGCACCAAUGACAAUUGUUCUUCAACUUCUUCUUCUUCUUCUUCUUCUUCGAAGAAUUACUUAGAAUUGACGGACGAUGAGAUGUUUCGCGAAUGCUAAAUGGACGCGUACAAAUCGUCGGGACCAGGCGGUCAGCACCGCAAUAAGCGCGAAUCUGCCGUACGUCUCAAGCACGUACCGACCGGCGUCAUAGCACAUGCCGCCGAACACCGAUCGCAGCACAAGAAUCGCGCGUCAGCUUUGUCGCGCCUCCGCACUCUUUUGGCCCUCAAAGUGAGGAGCAGUGUGAAUCUUGAUGCGUAUUCGCCGCCGCCACAGCUUCUUCAAAUCCUUCCUCCUAAGUCUACUAUUAGAAGUUCAGAAGUUGGUCCACAAAUUGGACCUAACAAUCCUAAAUUUGCUUUGGUAUUACUCUAUUCACUCUUGCUUUGUUUUUUUGUUUUCUGUUAAAAUUUAAGUCAUCGUAAUGUUUUUUUUUUUGGUUAACUUCAGGGAAUGCAAGCUCUGCUUGAUCUAAUUUUCGUAGGUUAAGCACUGGAGCAUUGUCACGGUUGAUUCUAUUGGAUGAUUCUCUUCGAAUGGCCGUGAAUGAGUUCAGGACUUCUAAGGUAUGCUAAUUCAUAGCUGAUAGUGUGUAUUACGAUAAGAUUCAACCUGUUGGUUAAUUUAAAAUUGUUAUAUUCUUUCUUAUUUGUGCAACAAAUAUAAUAAGUCUGUUUUUUGUGGUUGAGUGUCUGCGUCAGUGCCUGAUGGCAUUUUUUGUGGUUUAAGUAGCUUUAUAGCAUAUUUGGCUCUCUGUUUAUGAAUAAUGUUCAAUAGCAACCUGCCCCAUUGAUACGAGAAAUGUAUGAUAUAAUUUUUCAAGAUACCUACCUGCAUUAUGAAUUGUUAUUGGAAGGAAGUACGAGAAUAAAUUAAGAGCAAAGACUGAUUAAAAGAUGUAUCUUUCAUUAUUAAGCGAAGUGUAUGUUCUGCUUCUCAUUCACUUUACCAGAAUUACAAAAGUUUUAUGUUAUUGAUGGUUGGAUAGUUUCUGGGUUAUCCUUGUUUUUUUUUUUUGUGUUAAUUGCUUUACAUACAUUAUGUGUGUAAUUUUUUAAUGGACAAUCUUCAUUUGAAACAUGAAAAUUUUAAAAAACUUUCCGAUUUGUGCAGGGUAUGAAGCCUCUUAAGUAGGACUUCUUAGGUGCUACUAUUGUGUUCGGCAAAUAUUUUCUUCUUUUAUUUUUCUUUUUUCAGUCACCAUAAUGGGAGUCAUGGUGAAACAACUUACUAAUCACUCUGGACAGGAAUGGGCUUCUGUAAGUGAAGCACACUUAUUUCACUCUUUCCUUAGUAUGGAGCUGCUUACCGUUGGGAUGAAGAUGGUAAUAGCUGCUUUAGAAAUUAGUUUUCUUCAGUAGGAAAAUUCUAAAUCUUGGAAAAUUUAAAGUUGUACUAGAAAACAAGCUGCCUAUUCAACCAAUGGCUAAAUGUAGCAUAGUAGUCUCCUUAGACGAUUAAUUAGAUUGCAUUCCUUUUGAUCUCUCUCUUUUCAUUUUUUCUCCUUUUUGACUUGCACCUCUCUGUUCCUUUCCCCAAAAAAAAAUUUGCACUUCUCUGCUGAUGUCUUCCCAAUAUCCUAUGAUGCACAAAUGCACAAAUACUCUUGAAAUGUGGUGAAAUGUUUAUGGUAUUACUUGUCGUAGCAGAAGCAUCCUCCUAAAAUUAUUUAUAAGAAACUCUUUUUACUCUCUAUGCCAGUGGAGUGGGCCUUCAAAAGGAAAGGAAAAGUAGUACCUAAAGUUGUGAAAAGGAAGAAUUUGCAAGUCAAAAAUGAAUAUAUUAUGCAUGGCUACAUAAAUUGGUACAUAUAGCUUUUGCACCUAAUCUGAUUAUCUCGAUUCCUGGACCCAGAACUAAUAGCCUAAUUAUUACACAAGAUAUUUUGCUGCUGUCAUACUACUUGCAUAUAUGAAUGCUGAUUUUUAAACGGAAAUAUUUAACAGAGCACUGACAGAAACAGAGGUAACACCCGAGCCGGGUUACCGUGGUAAUUGAAAACAAUCAAUUAACACGAUAAAUCUGGUGGGUUUGUAGUUAAUUCUGCCAGCGCUCUGUUAGCUCCAGUAUUUGACUUAUUGACCUAUCUGUGGUUGAAAGAAAAAUGAUUUAAGUAAACUUUCGAAAAUGUUUUAUCCUUGUUUUAUUUCUGAAUAUCAGCAGUGCAUCAUUUUGAAAAUGUGACUAUGGGGUUUCAGGAUCCUCUCGAGCCAGUUUUGUUGUUCACAAAACCCCUUGUGCCAGAAAAAUUGGAUGCUGCAGGUAUUGUUCCGCCAUCAGAUUCUUCUACGAGGAAUGGCACUAUAGCAAGAACUCACAAAUUUCAUGGAAGAAUUGGUCGAGGGGGGCGGAUAGUAUUUGAUAGAUGUAAUCCUCUUAUGCACUCCUCAACUGAUAGUGCCACGUCUUUUUACUUGCCACCAAAACCCCGCACAUCUAUGUACAGUUAAAUUGUCCGAGCUCGAGCAUUAUUCGUUAGGGAGCCAAGUGUAAUUAUGCUCCGGCUGAUAUUUAUGUAGUUAAAUUGAAUACUUCCAUUGUCCGAGCUCCAGCAAUUAUUUGUUUGGGAAGCCAAGUGUAGUUAUGCCGAGGGCAAGCAAAAUACUGGGCUUGAUGAAUCUUUUGAGGCUUGGUCACAGGUAUUUCAUGCCGUGCAUCAUCUUGCCUUAUUCUUUUUAAAGAAAUGACCUUGCCCUAAUUUUCCUUUCAAGUUUAAACUUAAUGAGCUUUUAUUACAUCCUUUAUUGUUGAAAUGCUUGUGCUAAUCAUAGUAUUUUCAAAAUUUCCGCGCCCCAGUUGAUUAUAAAUUUUGUGUGAAUAUUACAAGAUAAAACUUACCUUUAAAAUGUUAACGAACCUGUAAGAUUGGACUUCUCUUUAAGACCUUGAAUUAAGUGGAGGGUGUUUUGGGGUUAAUAAACCAGCAACUAUGCAUAUACUUGGCCAAUGAGGAAUCCUACUAGUACAGAAUAAGGUUGCACAAGACAGUUGAAUAGAUGACGCAAUGGAGACGUCUCUGUAUCGACUCAAUUCAAACUAAUUGUACAACUUCAUUUCUGAAGGAGUCACCAUUUUUAAUCCCAUUUGGAGAAUGUGUACAUCAGGUGCUAAUGCUUAUAAUGAAAAUGAUGCACUAUGUUUUGUGUUUUUCGAAUUUAAAAAUGUGUCUAAUAGUGUAUUUUCAGAAUUGGACUAUAAAAAUAAAAAUAGAGAAAACGAUAUAAAAUUAAGGUAAUACUGGACGAAAAAGUAUGGCCAAGGAAGCAGUAAUAUUUGGUGCAUUUCAUUUUUUCAAUAAAAAAAUGAAAACAAAAUUUUCAAUAUCUAUUCAUCAUUUUUUGGAAAAAAAAAAAAAAGCUUAAAGAAUAAAUGAAAGGGUGUUUUAAAACAAAAAUGUGAUUGGUGUUUGAAAAAUGACUGUCUCGGUUAGGUAAAACAGUCACAUAAUCAUUUUUUUUUAAAACACAAACCUUUUGGUUCAUAAAUAAUCACACAAAUUCUAAUGUUUUAUCUAAAAGAGAGUCUGUGUAUCUCAAAAGAGACAUGUGUGACAUUUUCUAAAAACAAAAUAUCUUUAUAGUUAUUUUGCCAAAUCACGUGUUGCCUUUAGAAAUAGAAUAGAUUUUAAUUUGCCCAAUUUACAAUAAAAAUCUUUAAUUUAUCACCUAAAAGUAAUUUACCCUAUUUAUUAUUAAGAAGAUUAAAAAAAAGAAAAUUCAUCAAUACAUUCCUUAUUUGCCCCUCGUCUUUUGGACGAAAAUGAAGAAUAAAUUGAGGUUUACAUUGAGAGCAAAUUAGAGAUUAUCAUUUUAUUUGGGAAUGAAUUGAAGUUUAUCCUUAGGAAUAAAAAUUCAAGAGAAGUACACGAAAAAGGUAAUAAUUUUCACUUUUUAUGGAGUAUUUGGAUAAGGGUAUUUUGCACCCCACUAUUUUUAUAAAUCCACCCUAUUUCUAGAAACUAAUUGCAAUGAAUUCACAAUAUUUUUUAAAAAAUACAAAUUAAUAAAAAUUUUGUAUAGUUAAUAAGUUAAAUCCUUCUAUUGAUUUUCUUCAUGAGUUCUUUGACCAUAUUUAAUCAUAAAGUUUAAUACAAAAUUUAUUUUAGUAUUUUAUUAUUAUGAUAUAUAGCGACUAAAUUACCAUAAUAAACAUGAGUUAUUGUAUCUAAUAAUUUAUGUAUCUAAUUUUGUGGCUUAUAAUAUAAUAUUUUUAAAUAAAAUCUAAUUGUGAUUUUCUCUACUUUAAUGUGUAAAUAACAUAAAAUUGACAUCCCAAUAAUUUACAUGAGUAUCAUGCCCUAAAGAUACUACUUUAGUUUAAUUAAAGAUUAAAACUUACACUAGUAAAGUAGUAUUAGAAACAAUGAGUUUGGUAUAAAAUUAGAAAAAUAUUUAAAUUAAAGUAAAUUCUUAAUAGUUUUACCUUAUAAGGGUAAAAUAAUCAAUUUAAACUUAUGACAAAGCAAUCUUUGUAGCUAAAUAUAAUAAAAUAAUCUAAAUCAUAAGAAAGUAAACUAAAAUAAAUCUAGUUAAUUAACUCUACAAAGUUCUUCUUUGUUUGAAAAUUUUAAAACAUAACAUGUAUGUUUUAUAAUUAUUUUUUAAAAAACGGGAUGAGUUUGCAAAAAUUAUUAGACGGAAAUACCAUCACCCGGAGUAUUUUAGUAAAGCACCUGAUAUUCGUUUCAGACGAAGUAUUAUUAUUUUGAUUUUUCAGGAAUAUCAGUAAAAUUUUCAUAUAAUAGUGGAAUAAGCCCAAUAAAUAAUUGUAUAAAAAUUUUUUGUCAUAGCCAUAGUCUCAUUGAGGUGGAAGCAGGGGAGGAGUAGGCCAAGCCAGGCCACAGAAAAUAUUCAAUUGAAAAAGCAAGAAAGGAAUGAGCGUGUGGAUGGUAAGGGCUCGGGCUCCCUCUUUCAUUAUUCCAAUAACAACACUCAGGAUUGGAAAUGGAAAUGGAGAUGUAAAAGGCCGGCGCUUGCCCCUAUUGAGCAAUAAGAAUUGGCAGUUUCAGUUGCAGUUGGAGUUGCAGCAGAGGAAUGAGGAGAAGAAGAAGAGACAAAAUGUUACCAUCAGUUAUACUAACAGUAGCAGUGGAGGGGAUUCUGCUUCUGCUGCACUGGAAUUGGAGGUUAAUGAGACAAAAUGUUACCAUCAGUUGUUCAGAAGCCAACUGUGCUUAUAGGUAAUUCUGUUGGAAGCCUAGCUUGUGUUAUCGCUGCCUCAGGUAUAUUUAUUUUAACUUCCCCUUGGACAUCAGAUAUUUUUCAACUUGCUUGCAAAGAAACACUUGUCGCUAAUUAUCCUUUUUGGUAUCUAUGGUUUACGAUAAACCUGCUAUAUUUUCUACCAUAAGAAUCCAGUCAAACCCUUGUUCGAGGGCUUGUUCUGUUGAAUUGUGCUGGUGGCAUGAACAACAAGGCAAUUGUUGAUGAUUGGAGAAUCAAGCUAUUGUUACCAUUGCUUUGGUUCAUUGAUUUUUUGUUGAAGCAAAGGCCAAUUGCUUCUGCUAUAUUUGAGCGUGUGAAACAAAGGUAUUUUCUCUUCUCUCUAUUCAGUCCAUUGUUCAUUAUCCCAAGACACUAGAGUCAAAAUUAAAAAAAAAAAAAACUCUAUGAUGUGCAUAUCUUGGUGCUGUAGGGAAACACUGAGGAAUAUUUUACUGUCCAUUUAUGCAAAUAAGGAAUCUGUGGAUGAAACACUGGUUGAGGUAUUAAUAUUCUCCUCUUAUAUGCCAUUUUAACCUGUUACAAAAAUGGCUACUCAGAAUUCAUGAAUAAACCUCAAAACUGCAGAUCAUACGAGAGCCUGCCAAUGAGGAAGGGGCACUUGAUGCAUUUGUUUCGAUUGUAACAGGCCCACCAGGGCCGAACCCAGUUCAAUUGAUGCCAUCCAUCUCUGUACCUGUACUAGUUUUAUGGGGUGAUGAGGAUCCAUUCACACCCCUCGAUGGACCUGUUGGUAAAUACUUCUCAUCUCUGCCUUCUAAACCCUCAAAUGUGAAGUUAAUUGUAUUGGAAGGAGUAGGACAUUGCCCCGAUGACGACAGGCCUGAGUUGGUCCAUGAAAAGAUGCUUCCUUGGUUGGCUGAAACAUUUAAUUUCUGAGGAAUUACUUUCUCAUCAGCAAGUUUUAAUGAGCAUUAUAUAUUAUUCCUAUUGUAAAAAGACAAAACAACUCUUGUAUUUAUGUUGUACAUAUCAAUUCUUAUUCAACCGCUUGGUUAUCUUUUGGCGCCGAAAGGAAUGUUGGAGAAACUGAUCUCUGACAAGUUGUAGAAGCUCCAAAUUGAUUCAAGAAAUGUAUCAAAUUAUUCAAUAAAAAAUAAAAUUCAGCACAAUAAUAAAGAAUAAUGAUUUAGUAAUCCAUAUUGCUCAUGUCAAUGAUAUGAGAAUGAUAAGAUCCAAUUUUAUACAUGAAAAAGAUACAAUAAUCUAAAUCGAAAUAUAAGUUCACAGGCAUCCUCAAUCCUUUCCUUACAAGUCAUUUUUGUAAAUAUAAAUGCUAACCAUAGACGAUACCACAUCAACUAUGCAAUCAAAUGCACCAUUCCAAAUAUGGAAUUGGUAGAGAUACUUGAAAAAGUGCAUACAUGUUUAAGCAAAUGGAUUCACAACUCAGGUGAGUUGAGUGAAAAUGACACCUAUCUCAGUCUUCUUCGUUACAGUUGAACCAUGUGCUUGGGUCUUCCAUUGACGUAGGAUCUGGGGUGUGAAGUAAAUGGAUCCCACAUUUUUUCACCCCGCAGCACUGGCACUCCAAAGGUGGAAAAACAUUAAAGUGGACAGCCUCAGGAAUGCAAUUGCAUUUCCAAAAACCAUUAAAAUCAUCUUCGCAGAACAGAUAGUACCCCAAAUGUAAGUGAUCUGAUUCUACAUAAUUAACUCUGCUCUGAGAUAAUCGUGUGUCAUGCGUACCACAAUCUUUGGUGGUUUUCACUUUGAGCUCAAAAGAAAAUGAAAACCAUCUGCCACAAUCUACAUGACGGUCUGAAAAUGCUAAAAUAGCACUAAAUGCAAUGCCCUGCACUCUGCUAUUAUUGAAGAAAUCUGCCGGCAUCUCCAAGGUUAUAAAAGAUCCCACACUUUGAAACUCAAACCACUUUGGAAUUUCAUUCCCAGGUAGUACUAUAUGACCUUUGCCCAUGUAAAAACUUCUCUGUACCAAAAAAACAUAAUUUUAAACGCAAAAAAAAAAAAGAUUGUAGAAAUUGUAAGUAGAGAGAGAGUUAAAGACACACAUUUAGCCAUACUUCUUGCCAACGUACAGCUAGCGUAUGGUUCGUAUGCUGAAUUCUCAGGGUAUCUUCAACAAUUCCUGCAGUAGAAUUACCUUCCAAUUUAAAAUUAUUGCUCCGGUCAAAAAAAAUUGCCUGUAAGAUUCAUAACUUAGAGAACAAACCUAUAAAUGGUUGCAGUGACAAGCAACCUCGUUCAAGGAAUGGAGGCUUUUGUACGAAUUUGAACCUCUCACCAUAACUUAAGAGGAGGUAUCCCGACACGAAAAGCUGGAUAAUGCUUUCUGGUAUUCACUCAAUAUUGGUUUUCGCUAGAUUCAAUGUUAUUGGCGAGGAUAAUUGGCCAAGACAUUCGGGCAAUCUCUGAAGAUUUGAGCAACCAUGGAUAUCAAGAGCUCCAAGAGAUUUCAAUCUAUAGAGGCUGCUUGGGAGACUCUUAAGCCUUUUACAAUCUGAAAGGUCCAGCCACGAAAGCCUAAGUAGACGCUCAAUCGAUGCGGGCAGUUCUUCAAUUGCAAUCCUCCUUAAAAAUAACCAGCUUAUAUUACCUGGUGAGAUCUCUGGAAGCCUUUUCAGUUUUGAGCAGCCCGAUAGAUCAAGUUUGGUAAGAAAUUCCAAGUUAAAUAUUCCAGAUGGAAGACUUUUCAGGCUUUUGCUACCUCUUAGAUUCAACGUAACUAGCUUGUUCAGACGUGGCAUCAACGUGGGAUUUGGAAUUUUGGAAAUUAGCUUAUGGCAGGCAGCAUGGAUUAUCUGGUUUAACUUACUAUAAUGCUGCUCGGUCAAAAAAGAGGCCAAGACAAAAUCGUUACCACGUAUAAUAAUUUAAGGUUGUUAUUGAAAGAUUGCACAUAUAUAAUAAGAUAUGCAUACCUUCACACAAUCCCAAAGUCGUUCAAUGUCACUAUCAGGCACUUCAAGUAACACAAGUUUCCCUGCACCAAGGUUUGAAGGCAAUGACUUCAACGGAUAUCCAUACCAGUGAAGAUAUUUCACUUCAGCAAAUCCGGAAUCUUGCAAAUAAGAUAUCUUACCUUUGUUCUCUCCAUUGACUGAAGAACUAUAGAACUUUAAAAAUCUCAAUUUAGGCAUCUGUGUGAAAGUAUUGGGAUUUAGACGGAGCUCUUUUACUUUUGACAUAUCCAAACAUAUGCCCUCAAUUUUUUCUGUCCCCUAAAAAUAAGUGAAAAAGCAAUAAAGUUAAAAUCAAAUGAAAGAUAUGUGUAUUCCACCAAUGAAUCGCACUUCAACCCCACCAAGUCAAAUUUUUGGGGCAAGUUUCUCACUAAUUCACAAUUAGAGGUAGCUUAGUUAAUAAUUCAACUUUUUAUUUAUUAUUUAGUCGAGUUUAUGUGGGAUUGGAGUGGACUCUUCGUCAUUUCUCAAAUCAAUAAUUCAUGUUUUUAGUUAUUGCUAGGCAGUUAAACUUUUAAUUGCAAAUGCACAAAGAAACAUAAUAACACAAGUAAUACUUAAUAUAAAAAUUCCGUCUGUGUACUAUACAAAUUGGCAUAUCAAUUAUGCUUGCAAACGAUUAUGCAAGUUGUCAUGGCAUUUAUAAUUUAUUGCUACGUCAUCUAACGGAUAUGGUUUUUUCUAAUCAUUGUUGCUCUUCUAUUAAUUCUAAGACUCAUCAGUUCGAGCAUAUAUAAAUAUAUUCAUAUCAAGUUUGUAAAUGCUAGAAUAUUUCAAAAUAAUUAUCCACAACAAACUGCUUACCAUGUUAUAUGUAAGAACUUCAUAGUAAAUCUUGCAUUCUUAUCUUGUUGUAUGAACCAAUAGCAAUGAGAGAUUUAUCAACAAGAACACUUAUUCCUAUUUCUGGGUAGAAACCGCUUGCAUUAAGGAAUUUCAUUACUAGAUUUACAUCCUCGCCUGGAAAGAAACAAGCAACAUCAAGGAAAAUACUUUUUUCCUCAUCGUCCAAACUAUCGUAACUUAUUUUUAAUACCUCUAGGAUACUUGGAUGGAGGAUUCUUUGCAAUUUAUCUAUUGCACUUUCCCAGACUUCCUUUUCUCUUUCAUAUAGAAAGCAACCCAACACUUUAAGAGCUAAAGGAACACCUUGAGCAUAUUUCAUUACCUUGCUUGAAAAUUUCUCGUAACCAACGUCAGGACGGUUUUGUUUGAAGGCAUGUCGACUGAAAAGCUCAAGGGCGUGAUGAUAUUCUAAUGCCUCCAUCUCAUAUAUUUUCCUCACCCCCCAAUUUCUAAGCACUUGUUUAUUUCUGGUGGUUAUUAUGAUUCGACUCACAGGCGUCAAACAAUCAAGACUUCCAAUUAUAGAUUCUAAUUGGCUGAAGCAAGUCACAUCAUCAAAAACAAUCAGAACCUUCAUGCGGCUGAGCCUUCUAAAAUUAAGACCAAUAUCAAGACUCACAUUUUUAUCUUUCAAUAAAUUUGAAAGAAGUUUUUGUCGCAAGCAAACUAAUCCUCCCGGUUUUUUUGACUCUUCUCUAACAUUUUCAAGGAAGCAGGAACCUUCAAAAUCGCUAGAGAUUUUGUUAAAAAUAGCUCUAGCGAUUGUUGUUUUGCCUAUACCACCAAUGCCCCAAAUCCCUAAAGCGUAAACAUCUUUCGACUGAACACCUAGUAGAGAUUCAAUUUCCUCAACUCUUGAUUCUACUCCAACCAGCUGGUUUUUGUUAUCAUUCGGCCGAAAAACUUGAUCCAGCAGUCUCUUUAAAAUGUGAUUAAUAGCUUCGUUUAUAAGUUCCGAUUCAGGCCUACCAAAUACAUAAAAUUAGCAGCAGUAACUUCAAAUAGAAGGGAUUUGCAUAAAAUUUGAAAUAAAGGAGAUUGCUAGUUUUCCUAUUGAAAUUAAUAUAUACCACUUAUUUUUUUUUCAUAAGGAUAAUAUUGCAAAGUGAUGGUACCAGGAGAGUUAUUAAAUAUUGUAAAAAUAGUCAGAAUAAGUAGUAUAUAUUGAUUUGAGUAAGAGAAUUUACAAUCUCCCUAUAAAUUAAUAACUCUUUAAUUGCAGGAAUAUGUUACAUGUGGAAGAGAUUUUUUUUUUCCUAAUGGUAUAUGAGUAAGAGAUUGAAAUUGAUUAAAAAACGACAAAACACCAUUAAUUUUGUUAAAAUAUAUUGUAAACUUCUGGAGCUUUUAUUAUUAAUUCUGCAAAAAUUCUUUUAUAGGAGUUCAAAAGUGGGGAAGUUAAAGAAGUCUAGAAUUUGAUGCAUGAAAAAAUUUAAAAGUGUAGUUUAUCAUCUGGAAAAUUUAACUAAGAGUGCUGCGUGAAUUUUAUUUACAGUGUUGAAUAUUAGUACGAGAAAUUAAAGGUAACUUUUCACCUGAUGUUCUGAGAAGGAAAGCCAGACAAACUGGCUGCUUCCUUCAAAGCAUUCCUCCAUGUCUGCAGCUUCUUUGAAUUCUCCUUAAACCUUUCUUCAAGCUUCGAAAAUGAAUUGCCAAAACUCCCAGUUUGGUUUCUCACGUCUGAUGGAUCAACCCGAUAGAAAACCGGAAUCACAAUCUGUGCAUACUCUUUCUUGCACUCGAGGAUCUUUACAAGUUCAUCGAGACACCAUCCAGAAGAUGCAUACCCUUCUGAGAAGACAAUAACUGAAAUGGCUGAUGCUUCAAUUGCAUUCACCAGUGACUCCGAAAUUUCGUCUCCUCUGUUAAGUUGGUCAUCAAUGAAAGUUUGGAUAUUUUGUCGACACAGAGCAGAAUAGAGAUGGCUAGUAAAGUUGUCGCGGGUGUCCUCUCCUCUGAAACUAACAAAAACAUCAUACUUCUUGUUGUUUCGAGAAGAAGAAGCCAUAAUCAACAGAAACAGUUGAAUUGAUGAGAGAGAGAUUUUGAUUCGGAUGAAAACAAUUAUUGAACCAAAUGUGCGUGACUCUGUAGAAUAAAUCGAUGCUAUGAACCUUCCUUCAAGUUCCGUGAUAGUUUUUCAAUUUCAUCUCAUUGUCCACACGAACACCAUACUUUUCAACACACGUGCUUCUGUGCUUUAAUGCUCAUAACUGCCAGCAAUAAGUAGGGUGAUAUUUUAAUUUUUAUCUCUGAAUUUAUCUUAUCCGUCCUCAUCUCUCAAUUAAUUGUAUUUAGUUUCAAAAUUAUUCUUUUUUUUUUUGUUUUAAUAGCUCUUUUUCAUUAUCCUUAGGGUUGAUUGUUAAACAUAUGAAGUCUAACAUUUAAAAAAAUAUUAAUUUUUUUUAAUAACUUAUAUAUAAUUUUUAGACAUUUACAUUUAAAUUAAAUAAGUAAAUUUUUGCGACCUUUUCUGAAAUGAGAAAAUGUUGGAAUGAAAAAUAAAUAAUAUAUACUAAAAAUAUUUCUAUUCAGUAAAUUUAUUUCCUAAACUACGAAGCCUAAUCCCUUUUACUCAUUUUGAACUUUGGAGAACAAAUUAAAAAAUCUAUUUUAAUUUACUUUUUGUGACUUAAAUUUUUUUAUUAUAUUUGAUCAUAAAGAUUGAUUUGACAUAAGUCUAAAUUGAUUAUUUUAUCCUUAUAAGGUAAAACUAAUUCUUUAACUUCAAUAUUUUCUAAUUUUAUAUCAAAUUCAUUAUUUUUAAUACUACUUUAUUAGUAUGAUUGUAAAACAUUAAUUAAAAAAACAUAAUGUCUUUAUGGCACAAUACUCAUGUAAAUUAUUAGCUUGUCAAAUUUACAUCAUUUACACGUAAGAUAGUGAAAAUAAUAGUUAAAUUUCAUUUAAAAAUAUUAGUUCACAUAAUUAAAUACCUAAAUUAUUAGAUACAAUAACCCGUGUUUAUUGUACAAUUUGGCCAUUUUAUAUCAUAAUACUAAAAUAGUAAAGUAAAAUUUAUAUCAAGUUAUGAUCAAAUAUACUCAAAGAAAUCUAAUAAAAAAAAUAAUAGAAGGAUUUAAUUGAUUAACUAUACAAAAUUUUUAUUAAUUUGUAUUUUUUUAAAAAUAUUAUGAAUUCAUUAUAAUUAUGGUAUACAACAUGUGAAUUUAUCAAAGCCUAAGUCAACCCAAACUAAAAUCAAAUUAAAAUGAUUUUAGUUGGGUUGCGUUGGACUGUUGCCCAAACUUUGGGUUGGUUUAGUUUGAAACUUGCGCUUGGAUCUUCGGUUGAAUUUGGGGCUUACAAUAAAUCGACCCCACAUUUUUUCUUCCCGCAUUCCGUAGAAUAAUAUUAUAUGUAAUAAAAUAACACAAAAUUUAUUACACAAGGCACAAAUGACAAAAAAUAAUUUUCAUCUUGUAGUGAACUUUUACUUUUCUUAUUGAUAAUGUACUAUUUUUUUAAUUCUAUUUACUUCUGUGAACAUAUAAUUGUAGGCAUCCACAAAUGUUAAGGAUAAGCAAUUAUUUCAUAUAAGUUAUUUCACAACUCCUGUACUUAUAUCAUCAAUUGCUUGACCUUUAGUUAUUUUCCUUGCUAACUUGAGUGAGACUCACCGAUGCAGCUAAUAUUGGAUUUCUUGGAUGAAGCUGCUCAGAAGCCAAUAGUGACAUGAAAAUACCAGGUAUAUUAAUUUAACUUCUACCUUGUGUUUUUGCUGCCUCAGGUAUAUUAAUUUAACUUCCUCUUGGGCAUCAGAUAUUUGUCAUCAUGCUUGCAAAGAAACACUUGCACCUGAUUAGCCUUUUCGGUUAAUAUGGUUUGCGAAAACCUGCUAUAUUUUCUACCAUAAAAAUCCAGUCAAACACUUGUUCGAGUGCUUGUUUUGUUGAAUUGUGCUGGUGGCAGCAUGAACAACAAGGCAAUUGUCGAUGAUUGGAUAAUCAAGCCACGGUUGCCAUUGCUUUGGUUCAUUGAUUUCUUGUUGAAGCAAAGGCCAAUUGCAGAUGCAAUCUUUGAAGAUGUGAAAAGAAGGUAUUUUCUCCUCUCUAUUCAGUCCAUUUUUUGUUAUCCUAAACCACUAGAAUCAAAAAUUAAAAAAUUCUAUGAUGUGUAUAUAUUGGUGCCGUAGGGAAACACUGAGGAACAUUUUACUGUCCAUCUAUGCAAAUAAGAAGUCUUAUUCAACCGCUUGAAUAUCUUUUGGCGCCGAAAAAAAUGUAGGAGAAACUGAUCCCUGACAAGUUGUAGAAGCUCCAAAUUGAUUCAAGGCAUAUAUCAAAUUAUUCAAUAAAAAGUCAAAUUCAGCACAAUAAUAAAGAACAAUUAUUUAGUAAUCUAAAUUGCUCAUGUUAACGAUAUGUGAAUGAUAGGAUCCAAUUUUAUACAUGGAAAAAAUACAAUAAUCUAAAUCGAAAUAUAAAUUCACAGGCAUCUUCAAUCCUUUCCUUAUAAGUCAGUUUUAUAAAUAUAAAUUCCAGCCAUAGACGAUACCACGUCAACUAUGGAAUCAAAUGCACCAUUCCAAAUAUGGAAUUGGUACAUAUACUUGAAAAAGUGCACACAUUUUCAAAUGUGCGCAAUGGGGUGAGGGGCAAGUUUUCAUUGAUAGAGAACUUGUGAGUUUUAUUGUUGUGCGUUCUGUAAUAUCCGACAUCGCCUAGCUUGUGAGUUUUAUUACUGGUGUAUAAGUUACGUGCUCUCCUAACUACGUGGAUUGUUUUGAGUUGUAAGGCUCAAUAACAAAAUCGUGAUGUGUUGUGUGCACAAAGUAAGAAAAAGAAGGCCAAUAAUUUUAAUUUUACAAUAUACAUCAUGUGCUUUUCAUCCAUCGAAAGUUAUUACAUGGAUGUUUUGUUCUAAGAACUGAUUUUGGCAUUUUCUCCUAUUAUUAAUUGUCAUUAGAAAAAGGAAAACAGUGAAAAUACAUUCACGAAACACGUGCUUGGAUCUUCUAUUCAUGAAUUCCUAGAAUCUGGGAAGCAAAAUAAAUGGAUCCCACAUUUUUUCACCCCGCAGCACUGGCACUUCAAAGGCGGAAAAACAUUAAAGUGGACUGCCUGAGGAAUGCAAUUGCAUUUCCAAAAACCAUUAAAAUCCUCUUCACAGAACAGAUAGUACCCCAAAUGUAAGUGAUAUGAUUCUACAUAAUUAACUCUGCUCUGAAAUAUCUGUGUGUCAUGCGGACCACAAUCUUUUGUGGUUUUCACUUUGAGCUCAAAAGAAAAUGAAAACCAUGUGCCACAAUCUACAUGACGGUUUGAAAAUGCUAAAAUAGCACUAAAUGCAAUGACCUGCACUCUGCUAUUAUUGAAGAAAUCUGGUGGCAUCUCCAAGUUUAUAAAAGAUCCCACACAUUGAAACUUAAACCACUUUGGAAUUUCAUUCCCAGGUAGUACUAUAUGACCUUUGCCCAUGGAAAAACCUCUCUGUACCAAAAAAACAUAAUUUUAAACCCCCAAAAAAAAAAAGAUUGUAGAAAUUGUAAGUAGAGAGAGUUAAAGACACACAUUUACCCAUAUUUCUUGCAAACAUACAGCUAGCAUAUGGCUCAGGGUAUCUUGAACAAUUCCUGCAGUAGAAUCACCUUACAAUUUAAAAUUAUUACUCCGGUAUAAAAAAAUAAAAAAAACUGCCUAUAAGAUUCAUAACUUAGAGAACAAACCUAAAAAUGGUUGCAGUGCCAGGCGGCCUCGUUCAAUGAAUGAAGGCUUUGGUGAGGAUUGAAGCCUCUCACUCUAACUUAAGAGGAGGUAUCGCAACAUGACAAGUUGGGUAAUGCUUUUUGGUAUUCUCUUAAUAUUGGUUUUCGCUAGAUUCAAUACUAUUGGCGAGGAAAAUUGGCCAAGACAUUCCGGCAAUCUUUGAAGAUUUGAGCAACCACAGAGAUUAAGAACUCCAAGAGAUUUCGACUAACAUAGGCUGCUUGGGAGACUCUUAAGCCUUUUACAAUCUGAAAGGUCCAAGUACCCGAGCCUAAGGAGACGCUCAAUUGAUGAGGGCAGUUCUUCAAUUGCAGUCCCCCUUAAAAAAAACCAGCUUAUAUUACCUGAUGAGAUCUCUGGAAGCCUUUUCAAUUUUGAGCAGCCCGAAAGAUCAAGUUUGGUAAGAAAUUCCAAGCUAAAUAUUCCAGAUGGAAGACUUUUCAGGCUUUUGCUACCUUUUAGAUUCAAGAAAACUAGCUUGUUCAGACGUGACAUCAACGUGGGAUUUGGAGUUUUGGCAAUUAGCUUAUUGCAGGCAGCAUGGAUUAUCUGGUUUAAAUUACUAUAAUGCUGCUCAGUCAAAAAAGAGGCCAACAAAAAAUCGUUACCACGUAUAAUAAUUGAAUGUUGUUAUUGAGAGAUUGCACAUAUAUAAUAAGAUAUCCAUACCUUCACACAAUCCCAAAGUCACUAUCAGGCACUUCAAGUAACACAAGUUUCUCUGCACUAAGGUUUGAAGGCAAUGACUUCAACGGAUAUCCAUACCAGUGAAGAUAUUUCACUUCAGCAAAUCCGGAAUCUUGCAAAUAAGAUAUCUUACAUUUGUUCUCUCCAUUGAUUGAUGAACUAUAGAACUUUAAAAAUCUCAAUUUAGGCAUCUUUGUGAAAGUAUUAUGAUUUAGACGGAUCUCUUUUACUUUUGACAUAUCCAAACAGAUGCCCUCAAUUUUUUCUGUCCCCUAAAAGUAAAUACAAAACCAAUAAAGUUAAAAUCAAAUGAAAGAUGAUAUAUAUAUUCCACUAAUGAAUCGCACUUCAAACCCUCCAAGAAAAACUUUUUGGAGCAAUUUUGUCACUAAUUUACAAUUAGAGGUAGCUUAGUUGUUAAUUCAAUUUUUAUUUAUUCUUGCAUGGAGUUUAUGUGGGAUUGGAGUGGGGCUCUCUGUCAUUACACAUAUCGAAUUUCAAUCAUUCAUGUUUAUAGUUACUGCUAGGCAGGUAAACUCUUGAUUGCAAAUGCAUGAAGAAACAUAAUAACACAAGUAAUACUUCACAUAAAAAUUCUGUAUGUGUAAUAGACAAAUUUACAUAUCAAUUAUGCUUACAAACGGUUAUGCAAAUUGUCAUCGCAUUUCUAAGACUCAUGAGUGUGAGCGUAUGUAAAUAUAUUCACAUCAAGUUUUUAAACACUACAUUAUUCCAAAAUAAUAAUACACAACAAACUGCUUACCAUAUUAUACGUAAGAACUUCAUAGAUAUCCUCAUGAUGCCACAAUCUACUGCGGUUUCCAAGAUUAAUUGAUUCUUGUCGAAUAAUUUCCCUACCCAAUUCUUGUAGUAAAUCAUGCAUUGUUAUCUUGAUGUAUGAAUCAAUAGCAAUGAGAGAUUUAUCAACAAAAACACUCAUUCCUAUUUCUGGGUAGAAGCCACUUGCAUUAAAGAAUUUUAUUACUGGAUCUACAUGCUCACCUUGAAAGAAACAAGCAACAUCAAGGAAAAUAUUUUUCUCCUUAUCGUCCAAACUAUCAUAACUUAUAUUUAAUACCUCGAGAAUACUUGGAUGGAGGAUUCUUUGCAAUUUAUCUAUUGCACUUUCCCAGACAUCUUUUUCCCUUUUAUGCAGAAAGCAACCCAAAACUUUAAGAGCUAUUUCAUUACUUUGCUUGAAAGUUCCACAUAACCAACAUCAGGAUGGUUUUGUUUGAAGGCAUGCCGACUAAAAAGCUCAAGAGCGUGAUGAUAUUCUAAUGCCUGCAUCUCAUAUAUUUUCCUCACCCCCCAAUUUCUAAGCACUUGUUUAUUUCUGGUGGUUAUUAUGAUUCGACUUACAGGCGUCAGCCAAUCAAGACUUUCGAUUAAAGAUUCCAAUUGGUUGAAGCAAGUCACAUCAUCAAAAACAAUCAGAACCUUCAUGCGGCUGAGCCUUCUAAAAUUGAGGUCAAUAUAAGGCAUCACAUUUUUAUCCUUCAAUAAAUUUGAAAGAAGUUUUUGUCGUAAGCAAGCUAUACCACCAAUGCCCCAAAUCCCUAAAGCGUAAACACCUUUCGACUCAACACCUAAUAGAGAUUCAAUUUCCUCAACUUUUGAUUCCACUCCAACCAGCUGGUUGUUGUUAUCACGCGGCCGAAACAAUUCAUCCAAUCUCUUCAAAAUGUGAUUAACAACUUCAUUUAUAAGUUCCGACUCACGCCUGGCAAAUACAUAAAAUUAAUAGGAGGAAUUUGCAUUAAAUAUGAAAUAAGGGAGACUGCCAAUUUUUCUAUUGAAAUUAAUAAAUACCACCACUGGUCUACAAUCUCGCAGUAAAUUAAUAACUCUUAAAUUACAGGAAUAUGCAUGAGUUUGUUGUUUUUUUUUUUCUAAUGGUGGUAUCUGAGUGAGAGGUUGAAAUUGCUUAAAAAGCGACAGACCACCCCUAAUUUUGUUACAUAUAUAUUGUAAAAUUCUCGAGCUUUUAUUAUUAAAUCUGUCACAAUUAUUUUAUAAUUAUGAGAGCACAAAAGUGAGGAAGUCAAGAAGUCUAGAAUUUGAUGCUUGAAAAUUUUUAAAAUUGUAGUUUAGCAGCCGGAUAUUUAACUAAGAGUGCAGCGUGAAUUUUAUUUAUUGUUAAAUAUUUGUAUGAGAAAUUAAAAGUAACUUUUCACCUGAUAUUCUGAGAAUGAAAGCCAGACAAACUGGCUGCUUCCUUCAAAGCAUUCCUCCAACUCUGCAGCUUCUCAGUAUUCUCCUUUAAUCUUUCUUCAAGCUUCGAAAAUGAAUCUCCAAAACUCCCAGUUUGGUUUCUCGCGUCUGAUGGAUCAACCCGAUAGAAAACCGGAAUCACAAUAUGUGCAUACUCUUUCUUGCACUUGAGGAUCUUUACAAGUUCAUCGAGACACCAUCUGGAAGAUGCAUACCCUUCUGAGAAGACGAUAACUGAAAUGGCUGAUGCUUCAAUUGCAUUCACCAGUGACUCCGAAAUUUCAUCUCCUCUGUUAAGUUGGUCAUCAAUGAAAGUUUGGAUAUUUUUGUCGACACAGAGCAGAAUAGAGAUGGCUAGUAAAGUUGUCGCGGGUGUCCUCUCCUCUGAAACUAACAAAAACAUCAUACUUCUUGCUGUUUCGAGAAGAAGAAGCCAUAGUCAACAACAACAGUUGAAUUGAUUAGAGAGAGAUUUUGAUUCGGAUGAAAACAAUUAUUGAACCAAAUGUGAGCGACUCUGUAGAAUAAAUCGAUGCCAUGAACCUUCCUUCAAGUUCCGUGAUAAUUUUUCAAUUUCGUCUCAUUGUCGAAGUACCGUGCACUCCAGGAUGAUUGAUUAAUUCCACUGCUUUGUAGACUUCUAGCUGAAAAUUCGACAUGAACACCAGACUUUUCAACACACGGCUUCUGUGCUUUCAUACUCAUAACUAUCAGCAACGAGGGGCUGAUAUUUUAGUUUUUAUCCUCAAUUUAUCUUAUGGUCCUCAUCUCUCAAUUAAUUGUAUUUAGUUUCAAAAUGAGUCUUUUUUUUUGGGUUUUAAUAGCUCUUUUUCAUAUUCCUUAGCGUUGAUUGUUAAACAUAUGAAAUCUAACCUUUUAAAAAAAAAAUUAUUUUUUAUACUUAUAUCUUAUUUUUUUAAUAUUUAUAUUUGAAUUAAAAAAAUAAAUUUUUAAGAUCUUUGCUGAAAUGAGAAAAUGUUUGAAUGCAAAUUAAAUACUACAUCCUAAAACAGUAAGAAUUGAUUGUAUUUCUUUUGAGAUACGUUAUAAAUAUCGCUUUCCUAAUACAAAAAAAAAAGUGUAGAAAGAUUAGAUGGAUCAUAGAAUACCUACCUGCAUUAUGAAUUAAGGCCGAUAUAAUUUUUUUAGAAAUGUAUGAUAUAAUUUGUACUUGUAUUAAGGAAAAAAAUUAGCAUAGUGUUAGAUCAAAAACUAGCGCCGCCCCUCCGUUUGAACAAGAGGUUUGAUCGAUAUUUUCUUCCUUUUUCAUUUUUACUCAUUUUUAAUUUUUUUUCUUCUGUACUUAUCCAAAGUUUUGCCUACAGCUGGAACCCAACAUAUCAAAUCUAAGGAUGAUUUAGAAUGCAUGUUAAGUAAUUAAUUUUAUUACCUUUUAAUCUAGUAAUUGCAGAUGAAAUGGAAAAAUCAUGUGGAAUAUUGAAUUGUGGACUUGAUCCUGAGCUAGUGGCUUAUUGGGAAAUAUUUGAAGUUGUUUUGUUUCAUUAAUAUUAGCUUUAGGAGAAGUACUAAUACUUGCAUGGGUUGUUAUAAUUUCUUCUUCGGUCAUUAAUGAAGAUCCAAUCAUAUAGCUAGUAAAAGAAACAUAUUGUAUUUUUUUUUUUGUCUGAACCACGAGGUGGUUUUGAGUGGGCCCCAAUUGUGGGAGGUACCUUUAAGUCCGUACCACAACCCAGACUAAUCCCCGCUCUCAUCGGAUCGGCCCGUAAGGGGUAAAGUGCUGGCCAAAGUGGUGAUUGCAUACGAUAGUGGGGCUUGAACCCCUGACCUCUCUUAAGGAGUGAGAGUGCCGAACCACUCACACUAACCAACUUUGGUAAAAACAUAUUGUAUUUAAUUAGUCUAUAACAGAUUCGGUGUGACUGUACCAUAAGCAUACAUGUGUGUGCGUGUAUUAAUGACCACAGUUCAAUUAAUAAACGACAUGUUUGUAUGAUAUAAUUUUUUUAGAAAUACAGUUCAAUUAAUCAACUGUAUUUCUUUUGAUAAGAGAAAUGUAUGAUAUAAUUUUUUAAGAUACCUACCUGCAUUAUGAAUUGUUAUUGGAAGGAAGUACAAGAAUAAAGCAAGAGAAAAAACUGAUUAAAAGAUGUAUCUUUCAUUAUUAAGUGAAAUGUAUGUUCUGCUUCUCAUUCACUUUACCAGAAUUACAAAAGUUUUAUGUUAUUGAUGGUUGGAUUGUUUCUGGGUUAUCCUUGUUUUUUCUGUUUUAAUUGCUUUAGAUACAUUAUGUGUGUAAAUUUUUAAUGGACAAUCUUCAUUUGGAACAUGAAAAUUUUAAAAAACUUUCCGAUUUGUGCAGGGUAUGAAGCCUCUUAAGUAGGACUUCUUGGGUGCUACUUCUGUGUUUGGCAAAUUUUUUUCUUUUUUCAGUCACCAUAAUGGGCGAAACAACUUACUAAUCACUCUGGACAUGAACGGCUUCUAUAAGUAAAGCACACCUAUUUCACUCUUUCCGUAGUAUGGAGCUGCUUACCAUUGGGAUGAAGAUGGUAAUAGCUGCUAUAGAAAUUACUUUUCUUCAGAAGGAAAAUUCUCAAUCUUGGUAAAUUUAAAUUUUUUUUUUGUUUUUUUUUUCUUGCUGUAAUUUAACACAGACAAAAAAUUAGAUGCACACUUAAAAUAACAAAAAGACAAAUUAAAUAAUUUAAAAGCUAAAUUCAAUGCCUUAAAAACUUGAAACAACUUCCCUUAUUGGGUUGCCUCCCAAUUAGCACUUGAUUUUAGGUCUUUCAGCCUGACCUUUCUUGUUUCCUCAACCUGGAUCCUUAAAGAACCAAUCAUUCUUUAGGCUGUUCAUAUCAUCUCUCAUAAAAUGCUUCACUCUCGGCCCAUUAACCUUGAAUUCUUGUUGGUCUAGAGUGAGUUCCCUUUGCUGGAUUUGCUCGUCAAUUAUGAAGGGUUGCUUCUCCACUGACCAUGCUAUGUUAGCUGCUCCAUGAUUUUCAUCAUCAAGUCCUUCAAUUGUUACAACAUUGAUUUCUUCCUUACAGCAGCAACUGUGUAAUCUCUCUGCUACAACAAAGUCCACAGCACUGAUAAAAUUACAAUAUUCAAUCUCAUCGGGACUCUUCAUGGCAUCCAGCACAUUGAAUGUAACUUACUGGUCAUUCACCCUCAUGAUUAAUUCUCCUUUUUAAACAUCAAUUAGAGUCUUUCCUGUGACUAAGAAAGGUCUUCCUAGAAUGAUUGACACUUCUUUGUCUGCCUCAAAUUCUAGUACAAUGAAAUCUACCGGAAAAAUAAAUUUAUCCACCUUCACCAACACAUCUUCAAUCUUCCCUUCUGGAUAGGCAUGAGAUCGGUCAGCAAGUUGUAGAGUUACUGUUGUUGGUCUACAUUCACCAACUCCCAAUUGCUUAAACACUGAUAAAGGCAUGAGAUUGAUGCUAGCCCCCAGAUCACAAAGUGCUUUACCACUAUAUUCAGUGCCUAUUGAGCAUGGGAUUAUAAAGCUUCCUGGAUCCUUCAUCUUCUGUGGUAUCUUACUCUGAAGCAUUCGGCUGCACUCUUGUGUUAGAGCAACUGUUUCAAACUCUCCAAGUCUUUUUUUCUUUGUCACGAUAUCCUUAAAAAAUUUCGCAUAGUUUGGCAUUUGCUCUAGAGCUUCCACAAAAGGGAUAUUAAUAUGUAGUUGUUUCAGCACUCCCAAGAUUUUGCUGAACUGUUUAUCUUGUUGCUGCUUUUGAAAUCUUUGAGGAAAGGGUGGUGGGUGCCUAAACUGUUGUGCUGCAGCAGGUUGUGCAGAUUGCUUCUCUUUUGUUAUGUUCUGGGUUAGUGCUACAACCUCAUUAUCCAUAGGUGUUAGAUCAUCAUUUUCGGCAAAUGCUGCAGCUUGACUGCUCUCACCAGUGUGCUGUGAAGUGGAGGAUUGUGACUCUUUUUUAAGUUGAGUUUCUUUAUAGAUUGAAGUGGGCUCAACUCUUCUUUUUGGUACCCCAACGGGACUAUGAACAUCCUUUCCAGAUCUCAAGUUAAUUACUUUGCAGUGCUUUUUCCUUUCUCUUCUUGGGUCCUCUGUAUUACUAGGUAAACUACCUUGAGGUCUGUUCUCAAUGCUGCAGCAAGCUAUCCAAUUUGAUUUUCCAAGUUUCUCAACGAUACAGUAUGACUUUGGACAAUUGCUUCAUUCCUCACAAUAUAAUCCUUAAUCAAACCUUCAAGGGACCUGAGUUGAUCAUUGUUGAUGCUUCUUUGCUCUUGAUUUUACUGAUAAAAUCCAAGUGGUUGAGCAUGUCUGUUCUGUUCACUAGGUGCUGCAGCAAUCUGGUUCUGAUAACUCCAUGAAAAGUUCGGGUGCUGUCUCCAUCCAGGGUUGUAAGUGUUUGAAUAUGGAUUGUCCUGGUUCUGUCUAUUAAAGCUACCCAUAUAGUUAACCGAAGCUGGAUUACCAGGACAAUUGUCAAAUAAAUGCCCUUCUCCACAAUAAACGCAAGACAUAUCAUAAAUUUGGUUAAGAGUUGCUGGAGCAGUAGUCAUAGCCUUUACCAUCCUUGUUAAUGAAGUUACUUGGGCUGACAAUGUUGUCGAGGCAUCUACGUUAUGAACUCCUGUUGUUCCUCUUGCUGCAGCUUGUCUGGUUGAUGGCCACUGAUAAUUGUUGUUAGCAAUCCUCUCCAAAAUUUCAUAAGCCUCAUUGUAAGACUUAGAUAACAAAGCCCCAUUUGCUAAAGCGUCCACCAUCAAUCUAGUGCUUGGGUUGAGACCAUUAUAGAAAGUUUCCAACUGUAUACAACAAGGAAUACCAUGAUGAGGACAUUUUUUUAGUAACUCCUUAAAUCUCUCCCAUGUGUCACACAAGCUCUCAUCUUCAAGUUGAUGGAAAGAUGUGAUCUCAUUUCUCAACUUUGCAUUCUUGGUUGGCGGGAAAUAUUUCAUCAAAAAUUUGUCAGCCAAAUCAUUCCAUGUAGUGAUAGAAUAUGGUGGUAGAGAAUUCAACCAUGCUCUUGCUCAAUCUCUCAAAGAAAACGGGAAAAGUCUGAGUCUCAAUGCUUUCUGCAAUGCUCCAGCAAUCUUGAAAGCAUCACUUACUUCAAAAAAUAACUUAAGGUGUAAAUAAGGAUCUUCGGAUGGCAAACCAUUAAAUUGCCCCACUGUUUGAAGCAUCUGAAACAUCACGGGUUUGAGUUCAAAAUUGUCAGCUUGAACGUCGGGUCUAACUAUUCCCAGAUGUAUGGCUUGAGGAGUCAACACUGCGUAGUCUCGAAUGGCUCUGUCUCUAUCGUUCGCCAUGUGAAUAAUGUUGUUGUUCCCUAGUUGCCUUUGAGCACAUUGUCCAUUCAGGCCUUCAUGUACAUUGACUGGUUGUAUCCCCUCUCUACGGUUCAAGUUUCUCAAAUCUUGCAAAUCAUUCAUUGCUACAGCAGCUUGUAAUUCCCGAUACUCUCUUCUCAAUCUCCUUGCAGUUCUUUUAAUUUCUGGAUCAAACUGAAAGUCAACAGAUUUAUAUUUGUGCAUGCAAGGGUUGUUAGAUCACCUAUGUCAACAAAAUAAAUAAAUUAAAAUAAAAUAAAAAUUAGCACCGUGAAAACUAAUUUCACAAAUCACAAUUAACAAUCAAUCAUCGACAACGGCGCCAAAAACUUGUUGGUGUAUAAAUACUAAUGCUAUUGGUGUCAAUGUGCAAGUGCACACAACAAGUAAUAAAGUAAUGAGUAUUCAAGAUCGUCUCCACAUGGAUUGAUAUUAUCAUAUUUGCUACAGCAAUCUUAACAGGGCAGAUUUUGUGCUAAAAUAAAAUAAAUAAUUAAUGAAACUAAUGUACUAAUUAAAAUAAAAACGCAAUAAAUAAAUGCAACAAAGUAAACUAUCACGUCAAGCUCAAGGAUAAAACUAAUGGGAGUAUAUAGUAGUUGAGUGAAUACACUCUCUUAAUGGUAUUGACUAUUUUUCUAAUGUUUGGCUCUGUUGCUGUAGCAUCUGCUAUAGCCCUGGGCAGAAUCCUUAUGUAUCCUCAGCCGUCGCAUGUUGGAUAUCUUAUAUCUAUAUGCAACCUAACAAUGAUCAAUUGUUAUGCCAACAUAAGAUAUAUCAUUACACGCUUAGGUUCUAUUUACCCUACAAGGUGAAUUCCUAUGUCUAGCUCAUCACUAAUCUUAAAUCAAGCAUGGCCCUUUUGGGACUCGAGUAAAACUCAAUCCGGGAAACUCAAUUUAAAAUCAAGUAUUGUUCUGAUAUGUUCCACUAAGAUAGGUCAUUUUGCUGCUCUCUCCUAACUUGUAUCAUUAAAUGGGUGAUCAACCCAAAUAAUGAAUAAAAUAAAUACUAUCAAAACAAACUGCUACAGCAAACAUGCAGCAACACAUUUAUUCAGUCAAUAAACCAUCAAGAUUGUUUAUCACUCAAUCACAAAUAAAUUUAGUUCAUGGUUUAUAAAAGAAAAAUAAAGAACAAAGUUUCAGUCAUGAAACACAUCCCCAUAAAUAAAUAGAAAAUGAGAAAACAAGAGAAGAAUAAGAAGGAUUGAGCUCCCAAUUGAUUUCUGCAAAUUCUCCUCUCGUGCAAUCCUUAAUCUCUCUCUUGAAUCUUGUUUUUCUUUUGUUUCUUUGUGUUUUUCUCCUUGGGUGACGGCUCUCCUUAUUCCUUAUAAUGUAUGCUUCUUUUAUAACUGAAAAUUAGGGUAAACGGAAGCCUAGGGCGCGCAUAAGUCAGAUUUAGAAACUGUAGAUCGCAAUUAUGCAAUUAUCCCGCACAGAAUUUUCUCUGUCGUUGUUCCAGGAUUGCUACAGCAACUGCUACAACAAUGGCUACUACAGCAAUAUCUAUAGCAACUGCACUGUUCCAGAUUUGUUUCAACUCUUUUGUAGCCAUGUUCUUUCCUUAUUUUUGCAAGCCUAUUGCAUAGCAUUCCUUCCAUGAAUUAUAAGCUUCUGGAAACCUACAAUUAUGCACACAAUUUAAGCACAAAUUACUUUAAAUCGAGCAAAACUUAUUAAGAUUGACUAAAAUGAUUAUUUAUGCAAAAUGUAACAAAAAUACAAUAGAAGCACAUAAUUUACUCUCUAAGUAGUAUUGAUUUAAGUCUAAAAGUGUCAUGAUAACUCUCAUUUCAUAGAAUUAUCAAUUAUCUACCCAAAAAAAAAUUAGUUCAAGUGCUCAUGAGCUAUUUCAACCAUAAAUUAAACAACUGAUGGUGCGUUUGGCUAAUUUAUCAAUAAAAUGCAAUUAGAAACUGAUGUAGUUCAAAAAGCGUCUUUUGUUAUGGUAUUAGUAGCAAAAGUCAAAUAUGAAAUAAAAUGUUGGAGAAAUAUUCAAGGGUAAUGAGAAUUGUGGAAAGAGUGGGACUAUUAGCACCCCUCUCUAUACUUAUUAGGUUAGGAAAUUGAUGGGUGAAGCAGACACGCAGCUAAAACGAAAUUGGAAGAAAAUAAAGAACAAGCACAAAGAGGACACCAGAAAUUACGUGGUUUGGCUUUUAGCCUACGUCCACGGGCAAAGACAGAAGGAAAUAUUUUACUAGUGAAAAGGAGUUACAAGUAUUGUAGUAUUUUAGCUCACUUCGCAAAAUCCCAAUACACCCAAACUCUCAGAACACUAAUCACUCAAGAAUUUAUUAAACUCUUUAAUACUUUCAACUUGAAAGGAAGGUAAUGCUUCUCUCUCGAUGGAAUGCUUCAGCUCUUCAUUUGCACUUCUAUUUAUAGCAAAAUGAUGGCCAAGAAAGUAAAAAAGGUGGCUUUAAUCUUCAAGCAAUACAGCUGCAAAUUUCAAGUUUUCAAACUUUGAAAUUUUGACCUUUGAAUUUAUCUUUUUCUUUUUCAAACAUCUGGUGCCUACCCUUGAUAUCUUUUCCUCUUAAUUUUUUUUCUUCUUCAUCUGUUGUCUUCUUUCUUCAUUUUCCUUUGCCCUUUUUGGUAGGGCAUUGACAUUCUCCCACUUGGAGAUUAGAUUGGGAAUCAAUCAAUCUCCCCAUCAACAUUUCUGCUUCGCCAUAAUUAUGUUGCUUAUGUUUCUGCUAGGCCACAAGAGGAUCUACUCCCGACAAACUUGUCAGUAUUGAUUGGCUUGGUCAAAACAUCUGCUAGGUUCUCCUUCGUAUGAAUUUUCUGUAAAUCCACACUUCAUUCUUCCAUUACUUCUUGAACGAAGUGAUACUGAACUCCUACGUGCUUUGUCCUAGAAUGAAAGGUUGGAUUCCUUGCAAUGUGCAAGGCACUCUGACUGUCACAAAACACAAGAAUUUUCUGUUGUUUGUGCCCGAGCUCCUUCAAUAAUCUUUGUAUCCAAAUAGCUUCCUUGCAAGCUUGUGUAGUUGCCAUGUAUUAUGCUUCUGUUGUAGAUAAGGCCACAACGGUCUGCAGUUUCGAAACCCAGAUUACAGCUCCUCCUGCAAGUGUAAACACAUAGCCAGUAGUGGAUUUCCUUUUAUCAAGGUCUUCUGUAAAAUUUGAAUCCACAUAGCCCCUGACAGUAAACUUUAAUCCUCCAUAACAUAAUGUAACAUCUGAGGUUCCUCUGAUGUAUCUCAAAAUCCUCUUCACAGCUAUCCAAUGCUCUCCACCGGGAUUCAUCAUGUAUCGACUGACUGUUCCCAUUGCUUGUGCAAUGUCCGGUCUAGUACAUAUCAUAGCAAACAUCAAACUUCUCAUUGCUGAUGUAUACGGUACUUGAGACAUUUCAUUCUUCUCUGCUUCAUUGCUAUGACACAUACUUGAGGAUAAUUUGAAAUUAACAGGAAGUGGGGUAGAAAUUGACAUACAAUCUUGCAUGUUGAAGCGCCACAAGAUUUUCUUCAAGUAGUUCUUCUUAGAAAGCCAAAUCUUCUUGUUAUUUCUGUCUCGGUGAAUUUGCAUCCCUAGAAUCUUGUUUACUGGUCCCAAGUCCUUCAUUUCAAACUCCCUAGCCAACUGUGCCUUUAAUUCUUGGAUUCGAUCUUUGUUGGGGCUUGCUACCAACAUAUCAUCCACAUACAACAACAAAAUAAUGAAAUCAUUAUCUUCAAACCUUUUGUAAUAUGCACAAUGGUCUGAACUGAGUCUGUUGUAUCUAAGGCUCAUGAUGAAGGAAUCAAAUCUCUUAUACCAACACCACGGCGCCUGUUUGAGACCGUAUAGAGAUUUGUUCAACUUACAAACCAAGUUCUCAUUUCCUGUUUAUGCAAAACCUUCUGGUUGAAGCAUAUAAAUUUCCUCUUCAAGCUCUCCAUGAAGAAAUGCAGUUUUCAUAUCUAACUGCUCUAGAUGUAGGUCAAAUGUAGCACACAUUGCAAAGACAAUUCUGACUGUUGUGAGUCGAACUACCAGAGAAAAUAUCUCAUUGAAGUCAAUACCUUCUUUCUGAGCAUAUCCUUUCACCACCAGUCUUGCACGAUACCGCUCCACUUGGUCAUUGCCAUCACGUUGGAUCUUAUAGACCCAUUUGUUACCAAUGGCUUUUCUUCCGUGUGGUAGUGGUACAAGUUCCCAUGUCUUGUUCUUGUGUAGAGCUUCAAUUUCUUCAUGCAUUGCUGUCAUCCACAAAGUAACAUAUGAGCUGUUUAAAGCUUCAUGGAAAGUUGAUGGCUCUCAAUCCUCAGUCAAAAGACAGUACGCAACAUUGAUCUCUGUAACAUACUCCGAGUGCCACGUUGGCGUUCGUCUCUCACGAGUUGACCGACGAACUUCUGGAGCCUCAGACUCGACUGAUUCUUGUUCUCGACUGAUUCUUGUUCUUCAUGCUCUGGUGCUGCUUUAGAAGAAUCUGAAUCUUCUGGAUUAUUUUCCACAUAUACCGGCACAAUCUCUGACUUUUCUUUUACAGUGCUAUCAUCCUCAUCUCUCCUUUGCAGUUGAUCUUUUACAAAGAUAACUGUUGUGCAAAUUUUGUUGAACUCGCAAGUGCACGAAUCUAUUGUAGUAUAGACUAAUGGUGACGAGUGUCGAUCCCACGAGGAGGUGGAUUUUAAUAGUGUACAGAAUUAAUUUUGUAAAUGGGUGAUUGGAUUUGUGGUGGAAGUGAUUCAAAUUAUCCUAAAAAUUGGAAUUGAAAUGGCGAGAAGAAAUUAAAGUGUAGAUCUAUUAAAUUGACGUACUUGGGUAUCUGGAUCCGUAUCAACAUGCAUCAUGGGCUAAAUAUUCCUUAUUAAUACCAAUUAAAUCAUUAGGGGGGAAUCCACACCUCAUGAACCACGCUCUAAUCAAUAUGGUGCUAAGGGCUUAUCGUGCCAAAUAACAAUAACCUUAUACUAGGAAGCCGGUGAAACCAAGGCGGUACUAGAUAAGAUUAUGAUUAUUUGUCGACGAGAAGUCAAAACAUCCACAAAAACUAGAGGGGAAGAGAAAAUAAAUUUACCAAAUAAAGCCCAUGACACAUGUUGAGACUUCACCUUCAACCCAAGCUUGAAAGAAAAUUAGCUACUCAAAAUUGAACUAGGGGAAAAAUGAAAAUUUAUUAAAAUACGUAGAAAAUACAAGAUGGAGAGGGAAUUACAGAAAAUGGAUUCCAAAAAUGGAUUCAGGGAUAUCAAAUUAAGGGGGGGAGGCCCCCUUUUUAUAGAUACAUUGAGUAAAUCGUGGCCAUCGAAUUAAAAACAGUUUGGACGCUCAGGAUUGCGCCACGUCAUCAGUCAACAGUCCGCAUGAACAGUACACGGUUUGACCACGCGGAUGAACAGUAACACAGUUUGACCCGGGUGAACAGUGACACGGUUUGGUUGAAAAUAAUCUUGUGUGUUGCAUGUACCGUACAUGAGAUUUUUGAUCCGCUGAUAUGCUGCCAUGUCAUCGAUCAACAGUGCAUAAGUAUUUUAGUCCAACAGGAUCGUGACACCUCAUCAGUCAAUGCCACAUCAUCGGUCAAUGCCACGUCAUCGAUCCGUCUAUGUGAAUAGUGUCGUGAACAGUAACGUAGACAGUACCCGUACAUGUGAAUAGUACCGUAUAUGUGAACACUACUAUUUUUCCUUUUAUGCUCCUCCUAAGGUUUUCGACCGUCCUGAGUUCAAAAGUGAUGUCCGUUUUGCCAUAUGAUCUCUCGUUUAUUGUGAAAUGAUCGUGAUACCCCUAAAAUACAUAAAAUACUUAAUUAAAAUAAAACACACGUAAUUAAAUUACAAGAAGCUUAAAUACAUAAAAGUAAGGGUUGUUAGUAAGACAUGAAAUGUAAAAUGACGAUUUUCUCCUUUAUAAAUAUGCAUUUUCUAACACUCAACACACCCCCCAACCAGCUUAUUGGUAGUUUCUAGCAAAUAAAGCGAAAAAAAAAUUCAAAUCCAAAAUGAUUUUUUUUUAAACACUCUUGUUUAUUCAAUCAGACUAAUGAUAACAAUCAAAUAAAAGUAUAAGCAUUAUCUCAAGUCUAAAGAAACAUCACACCCACAUCAACCAUCCACAUGAAUCAGCCCAGUAGACUUUGUCAUAGCUACCUUCAAGAAUGACUUGUCAAACCCCAAAAUCUCAAUAGAAGUAGUGACACUCUCACAAAGAAAUUAAACCCAAUAAAAAUAGUCACUCCAAUGAAUGGUAAUUGAGAGAAAAUAAUCAAGAAGUGAUAUCACAUGCUCUCACCACGAUGAAAGAAAUAUGCCAUUGGCUUAGAAAUAAUACAAUCUCAAGUCAAAUAAAAAUGAUAGUCAACCCAAUUUAUUUUAUUUAUUUUUAUUUUUUUUAUGCACCACUACAUCUUUUUAGCUCAUAUAACUAGCUUCUACUUCAGACUAUAGUUCCCCAAAAUCAAGAAGGACUUUUAUUAGGACGUAACGUAGGCUAGGAACAUGGCUAACAAAGAAGGGAGAUAAGGAAAACAAAGUGUAUGUUUGAGAAAAAUGCAGAGGAAAUUUUUUUUUUUUGGAAGUUGCAAGGUGGAUUUCACCUAUUAUUGUUGUUUUUAUUUGAAACAACAAUUUGUUUUUCUUUUCUUUUUUUUUUGUUAAGAGACAAAAAAAAUUUUUUGAACUAGGCAUAACUUCAUUGUACAAAAUGUUUAUUUACAUUUUUCUCAAACAUAAAUAGGUGAUGGAACUUGUAAGAUAUUGGUUAAUACUCCAAAUCGGAGUGGGUCAAGAUGAUAAGUUGACAAAGAAAAGGUUUUUUUUUUUUUUAAGGCUCAAAAGGGUUAACUAUGGAUAUUUGAUAAAAGGGAUGACUAGAAAGGCUCAAACAGAUCAAAGAUGGCAUUUCCAUCAUCUUUUAGGGCUCUAAAUAAUCUUCCAUAUCUAUUAAUUAGAUGGGCCUCUAAAUGUAGCAACACACAUUUUUUUUCUUUUUUUUUAUUUUACAAUUUUUUUAAGGGUUAACUCAACAGAAAUCUAGAGAUCGUGUAUACAAUAAUAAACUGCUAAGUCGUAUAAAGAAUGGGCAAAAGGGAUACUCUCCAAGGAAAAUGAUAGGCUCAAAACUCACUUGGUACUUAUUAUAACAUGUUCAUUCCUUCAAGCAACUCAUAUUUGUCUCCGACAUCAACAUGUAGAAUAGCAAACAUAGCGUGACAUCACUUCAAACUAAAGAUAAUACAAAUACUAAAAUUUGAAAUUCAUCAUGUCAUCCAAUGUUAAAAUAAAUAACAAUUUUUUGUUAAACAACAUUCUACCCCCCAACCUAUCUAAACAUAAAAGGAAAAUAUACAUGCAGAAAUGCGAAAAUGAUGCAGAAAAACUAAUUAGAAAAUGAUAGAAAACGAAAAUGAUUUUUUUUAAACUUAAGAAGAUGCGUUUCUAGAGGCACUACACUCCAUAUUCAGCCAUCUUCGACUCAAAAAAUUUGAAAAUGUAUAUUUUAUAAAGGAGAAAUUAAAAAGAAGAAGAAAAAUGAACAUCAAAACAUAAUAAAGAAAAAGAAAAUGUCUGAAAUUUUUGUUUUUUUUUUUUUUAAUGAAGAUGCGUUUCUAGAGUCACUACACUCCAUAUUCAGCCAUCUUUAACACAAAAAAUUAGCAACAGUUAGUUUCUACAACAAAAAAUUAGUAAAAACUUAACCAAAAUUCCACAAUUGUCGAUUAUUCCCUCCCCCCAACCAGAACGAAACAUUGUUCUCAAUGUUUUAAGGAAAGAAGUAAAGUUUAGAAGACAUCACCUAGGUGGUGCAACACAGAAGAAAAUAUUUACAGGCGGAGAGUUAAAUCUAAUUUGUACUUCUUAUUGCGGCUAUUGUUACCAUCAUCAUUUGGACGCUCGAACACAAAGGCCCAGGGGUCUGGCUCCGGUUUAUAAGCUUGUAACAUAUCAAGUAGCUCAUUAGCAGUGUGAGCACAGAUAAAAAGUUUUUUGGUAUUGGAAGGAACGAAAAAAUUUUUUAUUGCAUGGUUAAGAAAUGCGAUAAAGCCAUCAUAAAAAUUAUUGACAUUUAACAAACCGAUGGGUUUCUGGUGAAUGUGCAAAUGGGCCCAAGAUGCUAGUGUGAUAAGUGCCUCUAGUGUUACAAGAUCUCCUGGAAGGAAAAUAAAAACAUCAGCAUGAUUAAGCAUUUCAGUUAUUCUUUCUUGCAUACCUGAGACGACUAACUCUUCUCCAGUCGAUGAGGCAGACAAACUGCCCAAAGGUUUUAGGACUCUUGGGAUGAUGCCUAAGACUUGACUCCCUCUUAUAAAAGCAGCUUCGGAGACCAAUUUUGAUAACCCUCGAUUACCUCCUCCAUACACCAAGUGUAAUUUUCUCUCUGCUAUGCUUCGACCAAGAUCUAUGGCUGCAUCAACGAAUUCUUUAUGUUUGCUAUAGGUAAAUCCAGAAAGCACACAAAUGUUCUUGAAUUGUCUAUUGGGAGUAGCUGCCAUUGGAAUAUUUCUCAAAAACAAUUUGUGAGUGCUUAACAAAAAGUCAUAUUUAAGAAUCUUGGUGACAAUAGAUCACAAUUGUGUAUGAGGUGGCAUGUCAAUGUCAAAUAACGCGUAAAGCACAUGGCUCGAUAGUCAAAAAGCAUAUAGUAAAAAGGAAAAAAAAAACAAAUAGUAAUAAAAUUAUUAAAGACAAUAAUGCAAAAGAUAAAAUAACAGUGAAAUAAAAUAAAAUAACAGUAAAGUAAAAGGAUAUUUACAGGUAGUUGCGACUGUGGCUCACAUCUUCCUCUGGUUUUACGUCCAAAAAUGGCUUGAACGCCCUCUAUGGGUCGAGGAUGGGCUUCCCAUCCAGUUUUCUUAUAAACUGGCAAAUAUGGUCGUUUAUAGUCAGAUUCCCGAGACUAUAUCGUGCAUGCUCUUUCUGGAAUAAUGGCCAUAACUGGAGAAUCGCUCCUUGCACAUAUCCACUGGGAUGUGUUUCAAGAGACAGAAGGAUAUCAUCCAAUGACUCCUUAUUCAAGCCAUCCCUAAUGAAUUGAAUCUUAUCUUCUCUAUUAUCAGACACCAUUCCUAAAGAACAUGGGUUUUUAUCGCAACUCAUUCUGGCACACUUAUGACAAGCAACAGAAAUUCUUCGAGCUCGUCGUUUUCUUGCAUAAUUUCCUUUACCACAACCAGGCAUGUAUGCAAUAAAUUUUGGAGGUAACUUACCUGCCAAUCGUACUUUAGCCUCGAUUAACCAACGGAUGUUUGCAGGUAUGUUAUUCCUCAUGAGUAAUCGCAUGCGUUCGGACCGGGCUUUAUAGAUCGUAAGGAGGGCAUUAUGAGGAAGUGAAGGGAAUCGCUUGUGAAGCUUUGCUAGAAUCUCAGUUCUGUCCAUACCUUCGCCUCAGAAUAUCAGUUAUUUUGGGAAACUGAAGUAACCGACUUGAUUGUCACGGAGUACUGUUAUCUGCCACUUAACCGGGGUAAUGAACUAAAGCACACAAAAAGAAAAACAAAUUAAAACACACAAGAAAAUUAAAAUCGUUCUCUUAUUGAAUUUACCUCAAGCUCCAACUGGAUGUCGUAAACACUUCUCUCAAUGUCUCUAAGUUGGCUUUCUAAACCCUCAAUAUAGGAUACUAACUCUGGUGGUUGCAGAGCCCAAAUACGAUGUGUUUUACAAAAUUGGAUCUGCCUUUUGAGAUGAGUUUUGACACGUUGAAGUGGUUUAAGAAUGUUCAGGAGGAACGGUCUAAGUAUGGUACUCAUGAUUAACAAUGAUAAGAAGAGAAGAAAAAAAAAUUAAUGGUUAAACAAACACACUUAUGCAAAAAUAAUUUCAAUUAGUAAAAGAAAAAUAAAAAGAAAGAAAGAAAAGUCAAAUCACCGAAAAGAAAAAAUCAAUUCAAAUCUGGUGGGUCACUCAAAUUUAUUUCGGUGUCUUCUCCAUGUGGUUGGUACUCUAGAUAUGGCUUUAAUUUUUUACCAUUAACUUUAAACAUGACACCGUUCUUUGGGUCCUUAAUUUCAAUUGCCCCAUGUGGAAAAACAGUAUGAACAAUAAAUGGGCCAGACCAUCGAGAGCAUAACUUACCUGGGAAUAGGUGCAAGCGAGAAUUGAAUAAAAGCACUUUCUGACCUAGAGUGAAAGAUUUUCUCAUAAUUUGCUUGUCGUGAAAGACUUUCAUUCGUUGCUUGUAAAUCUUGGCAUUUUUAUAUGCAUCAUUGCGAAUUUCUUCAAGUUCUGCCAGUUGUAAUCUUCUUUCUGAGCUGGCUUGUUGCAUGUCAAAAUUGAAUUUCUUGAUGGCCCAAUAUGCACGAUGCUCGAGUUCCACAGGUAGGUGGCAAGCUUUUCCAUACACUAGCCCGUAGGGUGACAUCCCAAUUGGAGUCUUGAAAGCUGUUCUAUAUGCCCAUAAUGCAUCAUCAAGUCUUAAUGACCAAUCUUUUCUGUCCGGCCUCACUGUCUUUUCUAAUAUAUGCUUUAUUUCUCGAUUGGAGAUCUCAACUUGGCCACUGGUUUGCGGAUGAUACGGGGUUGCCACUUUGUGAGUGAUUGAAUACUUUGUCAAAAGAGCUUUGAAUACUUUGUUACAAAAGUGGGCACCACCAUCACUGAUUAUCGCUCGAGGAAAUCCAAAGCGUGAAACAAUAUUACUUUUCAAAAAUCCUAUCACCACUUUAUGAUCAUUGGUUCUGCAUGGAAUUGCUUCUACCCAUUUUGAUACGUAGCCAACAGCAACCAAUAUGUAUUGAUGGCCAAAAGAAGGGGGAAAGGGUCCUAUGAAGUCGAUACCCCAUACGUCAAAAAUCUCAACCACUAGAAUUGGAUUUAGUGGCAUCAUGUUCCUUCGUGUAAUGCUUCCCAUUCGUUGACACCUAUCACAUGAAGAACAGAAAGUGUAAGCAUCUCGAAAUAUAGUUGGCCAAUAGAAACCACAUUGUAGAACUUUAGUCGCUGUUUUCUUAGCACUGAAAUGGCCUCCACAAGCUUGUUCAUGGCAGAAUGAAAGAAUAUUCUGAAUUUCAUUUUUUGGAACACAUCGUCUAAUAAUUUGAUCUGCACAAUACUUGAACAAAUACGGGUCAUCCCAAAAGAAAUUCUUUAUUUCCGCAAAGAAUUUAGCCUUGUCUUGCUUGGUCCAAUGCUCUGGAAGUUGACCUGUAACAAGAUAAUUAACGAUAUCAGCAUACCAAGGUAAUACUUCCUCAUUCAUUAAUUGUUCAUCUGGAAAUGACUCAUUCAAUGUUAAUGGUUCUGUAAUUGUGUCAAAAUGAAGACGAGAGAGAUGGUCUGCCACAACAUUUUCUAUGCCUUUCUUAUCUUUGAAUUCCAAGUCAAAUUCCUGCAAAAGUAACACCCAACGAAUUAGUCUAGCUUUUGCAUCUUUCUUUGUGAGAAGAUAUUUAAGAGCAGCAUGAUCAGUGAACACAAUUAUUUUACAACUAAUGAGAUAAGAUCGAAAUUUCUCUAAUGCAAACACUACUGCUAGCAUUUCUUUUUCAGUAGUUGAAUAGUUCAAUUGUGCAUCAUUCAAUGUCAUACUAUCAUAGUAAAUAACAUGGGGAAUUCGAUCAACUCUUUGUCCUAAUACUGCUCCUACUGCAUAAUCAGAUGCAUCACACAUGAGAUCGAAUGGUAAGCUCCAAUUUGGGGGCUGAAUAAUGGGUGAUGAUGUCAACAACUGCUUUAACUUUUCAAAUGCCACAAGACAUGAAUCAUUAAAGACAAAAGGUACAUCAUUAGCAAGUAGAUUGCAUAAGGGUCUAGAAACUUUGCUAAAAUCUUUAAUGAAACGUCUAUAAAAACCAUCAUGCCCAAGGAAAGAUCUUACUUCUCUGACUGUUUUGGGUGGAGGAAGAUUAGAAAUGAGAUCCACCUUGGCUUUUUCAACCUCAAUACCUUUGCUCGAAAUGAUGUGACUGAGAACAAUACCUUGUUUUACCAUAAAAUGGCAUUUCUCCCAAUUUAAGACUAAAUUCUUCUCGAUACAUCUCUGCAGAACUAGUGUUAGAUGAUGUAAACAUUGAUCAAAUGAGUUACCAAAAAUAGAAAAGUCAUCCAUAAAGACUUCAAGGAAUCGUUCAACCAUAUCAGAAAAAAUGCUCAACAUGCAUCGUUGAAAUGUAGCAGGUGCAUUACAUAAUCCAAAUGGCAUCCUCCUAUAUGCAAAUGUGCCAAAAGGGCAAGUGAAAGUAGUUUUCUCUUUAUCUUUUGGUGCUAUGGGAAUCUGAUUAUAUCCUGAGUAGCCAUCUAGAAAGCAAUAAAAUUCAUGCCCUGCCAAUCUAUCAAGCAUUUGAUCGAUAAAUGGUAAAGGAAAAUGGUCUUUACGUGUGACAGAAUUCAACUUUCUAUAAUCAAUGCAUACACGCCAUCCUGUAGUUACUCUAGUUGGUAUCAAUUCAUUAUCGGCAUUUGUAACUACUGUGACUCCUGACUUUUUGGGGACAACUUGCACAGGACUGACCCAUGAACUAUCAGAAAUUAGGUAAAUGAUAUCUGCGUCUAAUAGCUUAAGGACUUCAGUUCUAACAACUUCUUUUAUAUUAGGAUUUAACCAAUGUUGCAUUUCCCUAGUAGAUUUAGCAUUUUCAUCAAGGUGAAUAUAAUGCAUGCAAUCUACUGGAUUUAUACCUUUUAUGUCUGCUAUGGUCCAUCAUAAUGCUCCUUUGUGCUCUUUUAAAACAUCAAACAAUUUACAUUUUUGUUCAUCAUUUAGGGAUGAUGAGAUGAUUACCGGUAGAGAAUUUUCUUCUCCCAAAAAUGCAUAUUCCAGAGUGUUGGGCAAUGGUUUGAGCUCGAGUUUCGGUGGUGAUUCUGAUGAUGGGAUGAGUUUCUUUUCUGAUGGUGCUAAUUGUUCAACUCUUGACUUCCAUUUAUUAGUGUCCAUGGAUGGUGCUGAAUCAAGUAGAGUGUUGACCUCAUCGACUGAUCUGUCAAUAUCAAAAUCCAAACCAAAGUAAGUUAAACAUGUUUGUAAAGGAUCAUCACUAAGGUUUGAAACAAAAGUGUCAUCAAUUAAUGCUUCAAUUAAAUCCACAUCAACAAUUCCAUCAUCUGUAUUGUGAGGCUGCUUGGCAAUGUUGAAAAUGUUCAGCUCCAUAGUCAUGUUGCCGAAGGACAACUGCAUAUUUCCAGUUCUGCAUUGAAUGUGAGCAUCCGCAGUUGCCAAGAAAGGUCGGCCAAGAAUAAUGGGGAUGUGCUUCCUCGAAUCCUGUAUUGGUUGAGUGUCAAUUACAAUGAAAUCAAUAGGAAAAUAAAAUUUGUCUAUCUGAAUAAGCACGUCCUCCACAAUACCACGAGGUAUUUUUGUGGAUCGAUCUGCAAGUUAUAACACCACUGGAGUUGGGUGUAAUUCUCCCAGUCCAAGUUUCACGAAAACAGAGUAAGGCAACAAAUUUACACUAGCUCCUAAAUCCAACAAAGCAUUCUCAAUUGUAUGGUUCCCUAUACUACAUGAGAUAGUGGGGGAGCCUGGGUCUUUGCAUUUUAAAGGAAUUUUAUGUUGGAGUAUAGAACUAACGUUUUCUGUUAAAAAUGCCUUCUUUUGAACAUGCAUAUUUCUCUUUUUAGUACAAAGGUCUUUAAGAAACUUGGCAUAAGAUGGAACUUGUUUAAUAGCAUCAAGCAAAGGGAUGUUAACACUUACCUGUUUGAAGAUUUCAAGAAUCUCACCUGUGGAUUUUUCCUUCUUUCCUUUUGCUAACCUCUGAGGAAAUGGAGCUUUAGGAACAUAUUCUCGUGGGUAGGUUUCUUCUUUCUCCUCUGGUGAUGAGUCCUCAGCAUUUACAGGUACAAUUUGAUUUUCUUUUGUCACCGGCAUCUCCACUUUGUUGUCGACUUCUUUUCCUUUUCGCAAGGUCAUGACUGCUUUGACCUCUCCAUGCUGCUGUGGUGAACUGGUACUUGCUUCAUGUACUCUUUUAGGAUUAGGCACUGGUUGACUUGGAAACUUGCCUUUCUCAACAGUCAUUGCCAAAGUCUGAACUGAAGAAGCAAGUUGUCCCACCAUCUUCUCGAGGCUUGAAACUGAUUGAGCUUGUGAGUUGAAGCCUGCUCUCAACUCAUUUCGUAGCCCAUCAAUGGUGCGGUUCUGUUGCUCAAUCAUGGAGUGAGUAAGAUUCUUGAGAUUCUGGAAUGAAUCCUCCCAUGGUCUGGGUUGUGAGUAGUUCUGGUUUUGAUUGUAGGGUCUAAAUGGUGGCUGAGAGGCUUGAGGAUUUUGAGGAAUUGGUUGCAUUGGUGGAGCUGGAGCUACUGGUCCAUUCUAUUGGAAUCCUUGAGACCAUGAAAAAUUGGGGUGGUCUCUCCAUCCAGGGUUAUAUGUGUUGGAGUAUGGGUUGUAAUUUGAUGGCUUUCUCAUUAUAUCAAUGGCAUUGGCUUGAUCUGAGUAUGAGUCAGGGUCAUGUGGCUCUGUUGAUUUAGCAGUCGAUAACGAUGCUAUUUGUCGAGCAAGAUCUUCAACCAUCUCCUUGACUUCUUUGAUUCCUGAAGUUGAUUCGCCAAUGUGAACCUCAUUUACUCCCUUAAUUCUUCUAGUAUUCCUGAGUGAUCGACUCCGUUGUUGAGAAUUAUCCGCUUGUCGCUGGAAGAAUUCCCAAAUUUCUGUUGCACUUUUUGACAUUAGCUCUCCUCCGCUUGUUGCCAUUAGCCAUUCUUGCACAUUCGGCAAUAAUCCCUCCAAAAAGUAUUGGCAUUGGUGCCAUUUCUCGUACCCAUGAUGUGGACACUUCAAGAGUAGCCCAUUGAAUCGCUCCCAUGUUUCAAAAAAUUGCUCGUCCUCUCUUUGGGUAAACUCCGAGAUUUCCCUGCGAAUAGCAUUAGUUUUAUGCACUGAGAAAUAUUUAUUCAAAAAUUUUGUAACCAUUUUUUCCCAUGAUGUAAUGCUAUUAGCAGGUAAUGUAUUAAGCCAUGAACGAGCUCUAUCCUUUAAAGAAAAUGGGAAUAAUCUGAGUUUAACAUCAUCGUCUGAAAAAUUAUCGUAUUUAAAUGUUUGACAAAUAGCAUGAAAAUCAUUCAGAUGAUUAUAUGGGUCCUCAUUUUCUAGGCCAUAAAAUGUGGGGAGACAAUUUAGCACACUAGGUUUUAAUUCAAAACUCCUAGCAGCUACAUUUGUGUAUCUUAUACAUGAUGUGCUCAAAUUAGCUAAGGGACUAAAAUAGUCCUUAAAUGGCCUCUCCUGUGGUUGCAAAUCCAUUUUAUUUUUUAUUUGUUUAUAUGUAUGAAGUGUUUUCUCAAGUUCAAGGUCUAUAGGUUCAAGAUUAGGUGAUAAUGACCUACGACCAUGCAUGCAAAACAAAUAAAAUGAAAAUAAAGAUGCGAACAAAACAAAUAGAAAUAAAGAAGAGGGAGAAAUUACGAUACUAACCUUAUAACGCUAUUACAACCUUACUAUAAAAAUACACAAAAAAUUACGUGAAAUAAAUUAACUAAAAAUAAAUUAAUAAGAUAAAAAAAAUUUACAAAGAGAAAUAAAUUGAAAAAUAAAUUGCAGAAUUUUAAAGAAGAGAAAAAGAAAAGAAAUACUAACCUUUAAAUGUAGAUUCACUUUUUUUUUCUUUUUUUUAAAAGAAAAAAAUACAAGAAAACAAUUAAAUGGAUUUAUUCACAAAAAUUAAUUCUAUGAAUUAAAAUUACUUACCUCCCCGGCAACGGCGCCAAAAACUUGUUGUGCAAAUUUUGUUGAACUCGCAAGCGCACGAAUCUAUUGUAGUAUAGACUAAUGGUGACGAGUGUCGAUCCCACGAGGAGGUGGAUUUUAAUUGUGUAUAGAAUUAAUUUUGUAAAUGGGUGAUUGGAUUUGUGGUGGAAGUGAUUCAAAUUAUCCUAAAAAUUGGAAUUGAAAUGGCGAGAAGAAAUUAAAGUGUAGAUCUAUUAAAUUGACGUACUUGGGUAUCUGGAUCCGUAUCAACAUGCAUCAUGGGCUAAAUAUUCCUUAUUAAUACCAAUUAAAUCAUGAGGGGGGAAUCCACACCUCAUGAACCACGCUCUAAUCAAUAUGGUGCUAAGGGCUUAUCGUGCCAAAUAAUAAUAACCUUAUACUAGGGAGCCGGUGAAACCAAGGCGGUACUAGAUAAGAUUAUGAUUAUUUGUCGACGAGAAGUCAAAACAUCCACAAAAACUAGAGGGGAAGAGAAAAUAAAUUUACCAAAUAAAGCCCAUGACACAUGUUGAGACUUCACCUUCAACCCAAGCUUGAAAGAAAAUUAGCUACUCAUAAUUGAACUAGGGGCAAAAUGGGAAUUUAUUAAAAUACGAAGAAAUACAAGAUGGAGAGGGAAUUACAGAAAAUAGAGUCCAAAAGUGGAUUCAGGGAUAUCAAAUUAGGGGGGGAGGCCCUCUUUUUAUAGAUACAUUGAGUAAAUCGUGGCCAUCGGAUUAAAAAGCAGUUUGGACGCUCAGGAUAUCGCCACGUCAUCAGUCAACAGUCUGCGUGAACAGUACACGGUUUGACCACGUGGAUGAACAGUAACACGAUUUGACCUGGGUGAACAGUGACGCGGUUUGGUUGAAAUAAUCCUGUGUGUUGCAUGUACCGUACAUGAGAUUUUUGAUCCACUGAUAUGUUGCCACGUCAUCGAUCAAUAGUGCAUAAGAAUUUUAGUCCAACAGGAUCGUGACACCUCAUCAGUCAAUGCCACAUCAUCGGUCAAUGCCACGUCAUCGAUCCGUCUAUGUAAACAGUGUCAUGAACAGUAACGUAGAUAGUACCCGUACAUGUGAAUAGUACCGUAUAUGUGAAUAGUACUAUUUUUCCUUUUAUGCUCCCCCUAAGGUUUUCGACCGUCCUGAGUUCAAAAGUGAUGUCCGUUUUGCCAUCUGAUCUCUCAUUUAUUAUGAAAUAACCGUGAUACCCCUAAAAUACAUAAAAUACUUAAUUAAAAUAAAACACACGUAAUUAAAUUACAAGAAGCUUAAAUACUUAAAAGUAAGGGUUGUUAGUAAGACAUGAAAUGUAAAAUGACGAUUUUCUCCUUUAUAAAUAUGCAUUUUCUAACACUCAACAAUAACAUCUCUGCUGAUGACGAUCUUGUGGGCAGUGGAGUCCCACAGAUGAUACCCCUUUACUCCAUCAUCAUACCCCAAGAAGAUACAUCUUCUAGAUUUUGGAUCCAGCUUUGUUCUUUCUUGGGCAUUGUACAUCACGUACACAAGACAUCCAAAUGUAUGUAGGUAGGAAUAAUCAACUGCCUUUUCAGUCCACAUCUCCAUCGCUGUCUUCAGGCUAAUAGCUGUAGAUGGCGAUUGAUUUACUAUAUAACAAGCAGUUUUGGCUGCUUCUGCCUAGAAUGAAUUGGGUAGACCAGCAGUCCUCAACAUAACUCUUAUCCGUUCUAUAAGAGUUCUAUUCAUCCCCUUUACCACUCCAUUUUCCUCUAUAUUAUGACCCAACGUUGUGAGUUGUGAAAAUAGAGUCUUCAAGGUGUUGAUGUGAUCUGUUACCGAUGUAGAUUCCACCAUUCGAAGAGUAUAAAGUCUCAUCUUCAAGAAGAUUUUGUUGUGUAAUGACUUGGCCUCGUACAAUUUUGUAGGAGUAUCCCAUAUUUCCUUCGCUGUAUUUUUCUCUGCCACACUGGAUAAUACUCCAUCCGCAAGUGCCAAGUGUAGAUCAGAAAUGGCGUUGCCAUCUAUCUCGUUCCACUUGUCAUUAAUUAUCUCCAUGGGCCUUUCUCCAAUUGCUGUCAAGCAAUUAUUUUUCCUCAAUACAGCUUUCAUCUUCAUUUUCCACAACGAAAAAUUAUUUCCGUUAAACUUCUUAAUUUUAUACUUUGCCACCAUUUUGUUGAUAAAUACCGCACACAAGUUAGUGUACCACAUUGAAUAGUUGUGAGUAUGUGUGAGAAUGCACACUAGAAAAGUUUCUAGGAAAGACUAGAGGGGUCACAAUAGUCCCACUUAAAACCUAGACUCCUUAAGCUCUUAUCGCCUUUGUGACAGAACUUUCCUAGACAUGUAAAAAACCACACAGUUGCUUUACUCACCUUUGCACGGUAAAAUUCUUGGAUCGCUUCCACCGUUUCACGUGAAUAGUAUCGUAUACACGAAUAGUACCCGACUCCAAAAAAUUCAACCAAUAGCUUUGAUACCACUGUUAGGAAAUUGAUGGGUGAAGCAAACACGCAGCUAGAAUGAAAUUGGAAGAAAAUAAAGAACAAGCACAAAGAGGACACCAGAAAUUACGUGGUUUGGCUUUUAGCCUGCGUCCACGGGCAAAGACAGAAGGAAAUAUUUUACUAGUGAAAAGGAGUUACAAGUAUUGUAGCAUUUUAGGUCACUUCCCAAAAUCCUAAUACACCCAAACUCUCAGAACACUAAUCACUCAAGAGUUUAUUAAACUCUUUAAUACUUUCAACUCUAAAGGAAGGAAAUGCUUCUCUCUCAAUGGAAUGCUUCAGCUCUUCAUUUGCAUUUCUAUUUAUAGCAAAAUGAUGGCCAAUAAAGUCAAAAAGGUGGCUUUAAUCUUCAAGCAAUACAGCUGCAAAUUUCAAGUUUUCAAACUUUGAAAUUUUGAGCUUUGAAUUUAUCUUUUUCUUUUUCAAACAUCCUGUGCCUACCCUUGAUAUAUUUUCCUCUCAAAUUUUUUUCUUCUUUCUCUUUUGCCUUCUUUCUUCAUUUUCCUUUGCCCUUUUUGGUGGGGCAUUGACAUCUUAGAGCCCUGCUUGGAUAAUUACAAUUAUAUAUUAAAUUAAAAUUAUGAUAAUGGACAAACAAGUAGAUACAGUCUAAUUAUAUGUGGAAUGAUUUCAUCUAAAAUUCUCUAAAGUUUAAACUAACUUACAUUUUUUUCACAUUGAAAGAGGAAUAGGUGAAAAAGGUAAAACUGUAAAAGAAUGUUAUAACAUUUUCGAAGAAGAAAUCUUUAUUACACAUUUUUAACUUGGUGAAAAUUUUCAAUCCCAAGAACUUUAAGCAUACGAAAGAGUGGAUUCUCUGAUUUCCGCCAGUUGUGAGGAUGAUAGUAACAAAGAGCGAACUCACAGAUUUAACAGCAGCAGGAGAGAGAUAAUAGCAGCGCAGAGGAAGAUCAACAGUAGUUAAAGAGACAGAGCAGAUGGACCAGAGCAGUGAAGAAGAGAGAAUAGCAACACGUACCAAAGAUCGAGAAAGAGAGCGAUUAGAUCUGUGAUAAGGGAGAGUGAAUGGGAAGAUCGCGAUAAGAUUUUAGGCGAGAGAAAUAGACGGUCUCAAAUUUAUAUUUGUAAUUCAUUGAGAAUAAGUUAUACAUGUUCUCAAAUUUAUAACUAUAAAAGAAUAUAUGAAUUAUUUGUUUUAAAAUUUGUUUUUUGAAUUUCGGCCAUCAAUCGCGCAUUAACUUAGAUUCAUAAAAGGAAAAUGAAAACAGGGCCCAUAAAUGUUACCAAACAUGCCCUAAUUUCUCCACUAAUGUGCCAUUUUAACCUCGUACAAAAACGGCUACUCAGAAUUCAUAAUUGACCUCAAAACUGCAAAUCAUACGAGAACCUGUUGUGCAAAUUUUAAUGUACUCGCAAGCGCACGAAUCUAUUGUAGUAUAGACUAAUGGUGACGAGUGUCGAUCCCACGAGGAGGUGGAUUUUAAUUGUGUAGAAUUAAUUUUGUAAAUGGGUGAUUGGAUUUGUGGUGGAAAUGAUUUGGGAUAUGCUAAAACUUAAAUUAAAAUAGCGAGAAUAAAUUCUAAAAUUGGAAUUGAAAUGGCGAGAAUAAAUUGAAGAGAAUUCUAUUAAAAUGACGUACUUGAGUAUCUGGAUCCGUAUCAACAUGCAUCAUGGGCUAAAUAAUCCUUAUUAAUGCCAAUUAAAUCAUGAGGGGGGAAUCCACACCUCAUGAACCACGCUCUAAUCAAUAUGGUGUUAAGGGCUUAUCGUGCCAAAUAAUAAUAACCUUAUACUAGAGAGCCGGUGUAACCAAGGCGGUAUCUAGACAAGAUUAUUAUUAUUUGUCGACGAGAAGUCAAAACAUCCACAAAAACUAGAGGGGAAGAGAAAAUAAAUUUACCAAAUUAAGCCCAUGACACAUGUUGAGACGUCACCUUCAACCCAAGCUUGAAAGAAAAUUAGCCACUCAUAAUUGAACUAGGGGCAAAAUGGGAAUUUAUUAAAAUACGAAGAAAAUACAAGAUGGAGAAAGAAUUACAGAAAAUGGAUCCCAAAAAUAGAUUCAGAGAUAUCAAAUUAGGGGGGGGAGGCCCCCUUUUUAUAGAUACAUCGAGUAAAUCAUGGCCAUCGGAUUAAAAACAGUUUGGACGCUCAGGAUUGCGCCACGUCAUCAGUCAACAAUCCACGGUUUGACCACGUGGAUGAACAAUAACACGGUUUGACUCGGAUGAACAGUAAUGCGGUUUGACUCGGAUAAACAGUAACGCGGUUUGGUUGAAAAUAAUCCUGUGUGAUGCAUGUACCGUACGCGAGAUUUUUCAUCCACUGAUAUGCUGCCACGUCACCAUCAACAGUACAUAAGAAUUUUAGCCCAAUAGGAUGGUGACACCUCAUCAGUCAAUGCCACAUCAUCGGUCAAUGCCACGUCAUCGAUCCGUCCAUGUGAACAGUGUUGUGAACAGUAACGUAGUUAAUACCGUACACGUGAAUAGUACCGUACAUAUGAAUAGUGCCAUUUUUCAUUUUAUGCUCCUCCUAAGGUUUUCGACCGUCCUGAGUUCAAAAGUAAUGUCCGUUUUGCCGUCUGAUCUCUCCUUUAUUGUGAAAUGACUAUAAUGCCCCUAAAAUACAUAAAAUACUUAAUUAAAAUAAAACACCUGUAUUUAAAUCACAAGAAGGUUAAAUACAUAAAAGUAAGGGUUGUUAGUAAGACUUGAAAUGUAAAAUGACGGUUUUCUCCUUUAUAAAUAUGCAUUUUCUAACACUCAACACACUCCCCAACCAGCUUAUUGCUAGUCCCUAGCAAAUAAAGCGAAAACAAAAUUCAAAUUUAAAAUUUUUUUUUUUUUAAUAGAAACACUCGUAUUUAUUCCGUCAGAUUAAUGAUAGCAAUCAAAUAAAAGUAUAAGCAUUAUCUCCAGUCUAAAGCAACAUCACACCCACAUCAACCAUCCACAUGAAUUAGCCCAGUAGACUUUGUCAUAGCUACUUUCAAGAAUGACAUGUCAAACCCCAAAAUCUCACUGGAAGUAGUGACACUCUCACAAAGAAAUUAAAACCAAUAAAAAUAGUCACUCCAAUGAAUGGUAAUUGAGAGAGAAAAUAAUAAAGAAGUGAUAUCACAUGCUCUCACCAAGAUGAAAUAAAUAUGCCCUCAGCUUAUAAAUAAUACGAACUCAAGUCAAACAAAAAUGCUAGUCAACCCACUUUAUUUAUCUUUUUUUUUUUUAUUAUGCAUCACUACAUCUUUUUAGCCCAUAUAACUAGCUUCUACUUCAAACUAUAGUUCCCUAAAAUCAAGAAGGACUUUUAUUAGGACGUAACGUAGGCGAGGGACAUGGCUAACAAAGAAGGAAAAUAAGGAAAACAAAGUGUAUGUUUGAGAAAAAUGCAAAGAAUUUUUUUUUGGAAGUUGCAAGGUGGAUUUCACCUAUUAUUUUUAUUUUUUUUUCUUUUGAAACAACAACUUUUUUUUUUUUGGCAUAACUUUACUGAACAACAUAAUUAUUUACAUUUUCUCAAACAUAAAUAGGUGAUGGAACUUAUAAGACAUUGGGUAAUACUCCAAAUCGGAGUGGGUCAAGAUGAUAAGUUGACAAAGAAAAAAGUUUUUUUUUUUUUUUUUUAAAGGCUCAAAAGGGUUAACUAUGGAUAUUUGAUAAAAUGGAUGGCUAGAAAGGCUCAAACGGAUCAAAGAUGGCCUUUCCAUCGUCUUUUAGGGCUCUAAAUAAUCUUCCAUAUCUACUAGUUAGAUGGGCCUCCAAAUGUAGCAACACACUCUUUUUUCUUUUUUCUUUUUUUUUCUUUUUUUUUCUUUUUUUUUUAUUUUAGAGUUUUUUUUAAGGGUUAACUCAAAAGCAAUUUAGAGAUCGUGUGUAAAAUAAUAAACUGCUAAGCUGUAUAAAGAGUGGGCAAAAGGGUUAUUCUCCAAGAAAAAUAAUAGGCUCAAAAACUCACUUGGUACUUAUUAUGACAUGUUCAUUCCUUCAAGCAACUCACAUUUGUCUCCGACAUCAACAUGUAAAGUAGCAAACAUAGCGUAACAUCACUUAAGACCAAAGAUAAUACAAAUACUAAAAUUUGAAAUUAAUCAUGUCAUCCAAUGUUAAAACAAAUCACAAAUUUUUUUUUUUUAACAACAUUCUACCCCCCAACCUAUUCUAAACAUGAAAGGAAAAUAUGCAUGCAGAAAUGUGAAAAUGAUGCAUAAAAACUAAUUAGAAAAGUUACACGUAAAAUGAUAGAAAACGAAAAUGAUUUUUUUUUUUUUUUUAAGAAGAUGCGUUUCUAGAGGAACUACACUCCAUAUUCAGCCAUCUUCGACUCAAAAGUUGGAAAAUGUAUAUUUAUAGAGGAGAAAUUAAAAAGAAGAAAAAUAAACAUAAACACAUAAUAAAGAAAAAGAAAAUGUUUGAAUUUUUUUUAAAGUUUUUUUUUUAAUUUUUUUUUUAAAACGAUGAAGAUGCGUUUCUAGAGUCACUACACUCCAUAUUCAGCCAUUUUCAACACAAAAAGUUAGCAACAGUUAGUUUCUACAAUAAAAAAUUAGUAAAAACUUAACCAAAAUUCCACAAUUGUCGAUUAUCAGAUUCCCGAGACUAUAUCGUGCAUGCUCUUUCUGGAAUAAUGGCCAUAACUGGAGAAUCGCUCCUUGCACAUAUCCACUGGGAUGCGUUUCAAGAGACAAAAGGAUAUCAUCCAAUGACUCCUUAUGCAAGCCAUCCCUAAUGAAUUGAAUCUUAUCUUCCCUGUUAUCAGACAUCAUUCCUAAAGAACAUGGGUUUUUAUUGCAACUCAUUCUGGCACACUUAUGACAAGCAAGAGAAAUUCUUCGAGCUCGUCGUUUUCUUGCAUAAUUUCCUUUACCACAACCAGGCAUGUAUGCAAUAAAUUUUGGAGGUAACUCACCUGCCGAUCGUACUUUAGCCUCGAUUAACCAACGGAUGUCAGCAGGUAUGUUAUUCCUCAUGAGUAAUCGCAUGCGUUCGGACCGAGCUUUAUAGAUCGUAAGGAGGGCAUUCUGAGGAAGUGAAGGGAAUCGCUUGUGAAGUUUCGCUAGAAUCUCGUUUCUGUCCAUACCUUCGCCUCAGAAUAUCAGUUAUUAUGGGAAACUGAAGUAACCGACUUGAUUGUCACGGAGUACCGUUAUCCGCCACUUCACCGGGGUAACAAACUAAAGCACACAAACAGAAAAAAAAAAUUAAAACACACAAAGAAAAUUAAAAUCGUCCUCUUAUUGAAUUUACCUCAAGCUCCAACUGGAUGUCGUAAACACUUCUCUCAAUGUCUCUGAGUUGGCUUUCUAAACCCUCAACAUAGGCUACUAACUCUGGUGGUUGUAGAGCCCAAAUGCGAUGUGUUUUACAAAAUCGAAUCUGCCUUUUGAGAUGAGUUUUGACACGUUGAAGUGGUUUAAGAAUGUUCAGGAGGAACGGUCUAAGUAAGGUACUCAUGAUUAAAAACGAUAAAAGAAAACUUAAUAGUUAAACAAACACACUUAUGCAAAAAUAAUUUCAAUUAGCAGAAGAAUAAUAUAAAGAAAGAAAAAAAAUCAAAUCAACGAAAAGAAAAAAAAAUCAAUUCAAAUCUGGCGGGUCACUCAAAUUUAUUUCGGUGUCUUCUCCAUGUGGUUGGUAUUCUAGAUAUGGCUUUAAUCUUUGACCAUUAACUUUAAACGUGACACCGUUCUUUGGGUCCUUAAUUUCAAUUGCCCCAUGUGGAAAAACAGUAUGAACAAUAAAUGGGCCAGACCAACGAGAGCGUAACUUACCUGGGAAUAGGUGUAAGCGAGAAUUGAAUAAAAGCACUUUCUGACCUGGAGUGAAUGAUUUUCUCAUAAUUUGCUUAUCAUGGAAGACUUUCAUUCGUUGCUUGUAAAUCUUGGCAUUUUCGUAUGCAUCAUUGCGAAUUUCUUCAAGUUCUGCCAGCUGUAAUCUUCUUUCUGAGCUGGCUUGCUGCAUGUCAAAAUUGAAUUUCUUGAUGGCCCAAUAUGCACGAUGCUCGAGUUCCACAGGUAGGUGGCAAGCUUUUCCAUACACUAGCCUGUAGGGUGACAUCCCAAUCGGGGUCUUGAAAGCCGUUCUAUAUGCCCAUAAGGCAUCAUCAAGUCUUAAUGACCAAUCUUUUCUGUCCGGCCUCACCGUCUUUUCUAAUAUGUGCUUUAUUUCUCGAUUGGAGAUCUCAACUUGGCCACUGGUUUGCGGAUGAUACGGGGUCGCCAUUUUGUGUGUGAUUGAAUACUUUGUCAAAAGAGCUUUGAAUGCUUUGUUACAAAAGUGGGCACCACCAUCACUAAUUAUUGCUCGAGGGAAUCCAAAGCGUGAAACAAUAUUGCUUUUCAAAAAUGCUAUCACCACCUUGUGAUCAUUGGUCCUACAUGGAAUUGCUUCUACCCAUUUUGAUACAUAGUCAACAGCAACCAAUAUGUAUUGAUGGCCAAAAGAUGGGGGAAAGGGUCCCAUGAAGUCGAUACCCCAUACGUCAAAAAUUUCAACCACUAAAAUUGGAUUUAAUGGAAUCAUGUUCCUUCGUGUAAUGCUCCCCAUUCGUUGACACCUAUCACAUGAAGAACAGAAAGUGUAAGCAUCUCGAAAUAUAGUUGGCCAAUAGAAACCACAUUGUAAAACUUUAGUCGCUGUUUUCUUAGCGCUGAAAUGGCCUCCACAAGCUUGUUCAUGGCAGAAUGAAAGGAUAUUCUGAAUUUCACUUUCUAGGACGCAUCGUCUAACAAUUUGGUCUGCACAAUACUUGAACAAAUACGGGUCAUCCCAAAAGAAAUUCUUUAUUUCUGCAAAGAAUUUAGCCUUGUCUUGCUUGGUCUAAUGCUCUGGAAGUUUACCUGUAACAAGAUAAUUAACUAUAUCAGCAUACCAAGGUAAUACUUCCACAUUCAUUAAUUGUUCAUUUGGAAAUGACUCAUUCAAUGGUAAUGAUUCUGUAAUUGUGUCAAAAUGGAGACGAGAGAGGUGGUCCGCCACAACAUUCUCUGUGCCUUUCUUAUCUUUGAAUUCCAAGUCAAACUCCUGCAAAAGUAACACCCAACGAAUUAGUCGGGCUUUUGCAUCUUUCUUUGUGAGAAGAUAUUUAAGAGCAGCAUGAUCCGUGAAUAUAAUUAUUUUACAAACAAUGAGAUAUGAUCGAAAUUUUUCCAAUGCAAACACUACUGCUAGCAUUUCUUUUUCAGUAGUUGAAUAGUUCAACUGUGCAUCAUUUAAUGUCAUACUAGCAUAGUAAAUAACGUGGGGAAUUCAAUCAACUCUUUGUCCUAAUACUGCUCCUACUGCAUAAUCAGAUGCAUCACACAUUAGCUCAAAUGGUAAGCUCCAGUUUGGGGCCUGAAUGAUGGGUGAUGAUGUCAACAACUGUUUUAAUUUUUCAAACGCCAUAAGACAUGAAUCACUAAAGAUAAAAGGUACAUCCUUAGCAAGUAAAUUGCAUAAGGGUCUAGAAACUUUGCUAAAAUCUUUAAUGAAACGUCUAUAGAAACCAGCAUGCCCAAGGAAAGAUCUUACUUCUCUGACUGUUUUGGGUGAAGGAAGAUUAGAAAUGAGAUCCACCUUGGCUUUGUCAACCUCAAUACCUUUGCUCGAAAUGAUGUGACUGAGAACAAUACCUUGUUUUACCAUAAAAUGGCAUUUCUCCCAAUUUAAGACCAAGUUCUUCUCGAUACAUCUCUGCAGAACUAGUGUUAGAUGAUGUAAACAUUGAUUAAACGAGUCACCAAAGACAGAAAAAUCAUCCAUAAAGACUUCAAGGAAUCGUUCCACCAUAUCAGAAAAAAUGCUCAACAUGCAUCGUUGAAAUGUAGCAGGUGCAUUACAUAAUCCAAAUGGCAUUCUCCUAUAUGCAAAUGUGCCAAAAGGGAAAGUGAAAGUAGUUUUCUCCUGAUCUUUUGGUGCUAUGGGAAUCUGAUUAUAUCCUGAGUAGCCAUCUAGAAAGCAAUAAAAUUCAUGGCCUGCUAAUCUAUCAAGCAUUUGAUCAAUAAAUGGUAAAGGAAAAUGGUCUUUACGUGUGACAGAAUUCAACUUCCUAUAAUCAAUACAUACACGCCAUCCUGUAGUUACUCUAGUGGGUAUCAAUUCAUUAUCAGCAUUCGUAACUACUGUGACUCCUGACUUUUUGGGGACAACUUGCACAUGACUGACCCAUGAACUAUCAGAAAUGGGGUAAAUGAUACAUGCGUCUAAUAGCUUAAGGACUUCAGUUCUAACAACUUCUUUCAUGUUAGGAUUUAACCGACGUUGCAUUUCCCUAGUAGAUUUAGCAUUUUCAUCAAGGUGAAUGUAAUGCAUGCAGUCUACUAGGUUUAUACCUUUUAUGUCUGCUAUGGUCCAUCCUAAUGCCCCUUUGUGCUCUUUCAAAACAUCCAACAACUUACCUUUUUGUUCGUCAUUUAGGGAUGAUGAGAUGAUUACCGGCAGAGUACUUUCUUCUCCCAAAAAUGCAUAUUCCAGAGUGUUGGGUAAUGGUUUGAGCUCGAGUUUCGGUGGUGAUUCUGAUGAUGGGAUGAGUUUCUUCUCUGAUGGUGCUAGUUGCUCAACUCUUGACUUCUAUUUAUUAGUGUCCAUAGAUGGUGCUGAGUCAAGCAGGGCGUUGACCUCAUCGACCGAUCUGUCAAUAUCAAAAUUCAAACCAAAGUGAGUUAAACAUGUUUGUAAAGGAUCAUCACUAAGGUUUGAAACAAAAGUAUCAUCAACUAAUGCUUCAAUUAAAUCCACAUCAACAAUUCCAUCAUCUGCACUGUGAGGUUGUUUGGCAAUGUUGAAGAUGUUCAGCUCCAUAGUCAUGUUGCCGAAAGACAACUGCAUAUUUCCAGUCCUGCAUUGAAUGUGAGCAUCCGCAGUUGCCAAGAAAGGUCGGCCUAGAAUAAUGGGGAUGUGCUUCCUUGAAUCCUGUAUUGGUUGAGUGUCAAUUACAAUGAAAUCAACAAGAAAAUAAAACUUGUCUACCUGGAUAAGCACGUCCUCCACAAUACCACGAGGUAUUUUUGUGGACCGAUCUGCAAGUUGUAACACCACUGGAGUUGGGUGUAAUUCUCCAAGUCCAAGUUUCACGAAUACAGAGUAAGGCAAAAGAUUUACACUAGCUCCUAAAUCCAACAAAGCAUUCUCAAUUGUGUGGUUCCCUAUACUACAUGAGAUAGUGGGGGAGCCUGGGUCUUUGCAUUUUAAAGGAAUUUUAUGUUGGAGUAUAGAACUAACAUUUUCUGUUAAAAAUGCCUUCUUUUGAACAUGCAUGUUUCUCUUUUUAGUACAAAGGUCUUUAAGAAACUUGGCAUAAGAUGGAACUUGUUUAAUAGCAUCAAGCAAAGGGAUGUUAACACUUACCUGUUUGAAAAUUUCAAAAAUCUCACCUGUGGAUUUUCCCUUUUUUCCUUUCACUAACCUCUGAGGAAAUGGAGCUUUCGGAACGUAUUCUCGUGGGUUGGUUUCCUCUUUCUCCUCCGGUGAUGAUUCCUCAACAUUCACAGGUACAAUUUGAUUUUCUUUUGUCACCGGCAUCUCCACUUUGUUGUCGACUUCUUUUCCUUUUCGCAAGGUCAUUACUGCUUUGACUUCUCCAUGCUGCUGUGGUGAACUGGUACUUGCUUCAUGCACUCCUUUAGGGUUAGGCACUGGUUGACUUGGAAACUUACCUUUCUCAACGGUCAUUGCCAAGGUCUGAACUGAAGAAGCAAGUUGUCCCACCAUCUUCUCGAGGCUUGAAACUGAUUGGGCUUGUGAGUUGAAGCCCGCUCUCAAUUCAUUUCGUAGUCCAUCAAUGGUGCGGUUCUGUUGCUCAAUCGUAGAGUGAGUAAGAUUCUUGAGAUUCUGGAAUGAAUCCUCCCAUGGUCUAGGUUGAGAGUAGUUCUGAUUUUGAUUGUAUGGUCUAAAUGGGGGCUGAGAGGCUUGAGGAAUUUGCGGAAUUGGUUGCAUUGGUGGAGCUGGAGCUGUUGGUCCAUUCUGUUGGAAUCCUUGAGACCAUGAAAAAUUGGGGUGGUCUCUCCAUCCAGGAUUAUAUGUGUUGGAGUAUGGGUUGUAAUUCGAUGGUUUUCUUAUUACACCUAUGGCAUUGGCUUGAUCUGAGUAUGAGUCAUGGUCAUGUGAUUCUGUUGAUUUAGCAGUCAAUAACGAUGCUAUUUGUCGAGCAAGACCUUCAACCAUCUCCUUGACUUCUUUGAUUCCUGAAGUUGAUUCGCCAAUUUGAACCUCAUUCACUCCUUUAAUUCUUCUAGUAGUCCUGAGUGAUCGACUCCGUUGUUGGGAAUUAUCUGCUUGUCGCUGGAAGAAUUCCCAAAUUUCUGAUGCACUUUUUGACAUUAGCUCUCCUCCACUUGUUGCCAUUAGCCAUUCUUGCACAUUCGGUAGUAAUCCCUCCAAAAAGUAUUGACAUUGGUGCCAUUUCUCGUACCCAUGAUGUGGACACUUCAAGAGUAGCCCAUUGAAUUGCUCCCAUGUUUCGAAAAAUUGCUCGUCCUCUCUCUGGGUAAACUCCGAGAUUUCCCUGCGAAUAGCAUUGGUUUUAUGCACUGGGAAAUAUUUAUUCAAAAAUUUAGUUACCAUUUGUUCCCAUGAUGUGAUGCUAUUAGCAGGUAAAGUAUUUAACCAUUAACGAGCUCUAUCCUUUAAAGAAAAUGGGAAUAAUCUAAGUUUAACAUCAUCGUUUGAAAAAUUCUCGUAUUUAAAAGUUUGACAAAUAGCAUGAAAAUCAUUCAGAUGAUUAUAUGGGUCCUCAUUUUCUAGGCCAUAAAAUGUGGGGAGACAAUUUAGCACACUAGGUUUUAGUUCAAAGCUCCUAGCAGCUACAUUUGGGUAUCUUAUGCAUGAUGUGCUCAAAUUAGCUAAAGGACUGAAGUAGUCCUUAAAUGGCCUCUCCUGUGGUUGCAAAUCCAUUUUAUUUUUAAUUUGUUUGUGUGUGCGAAGUGUUUUUUCUAGUUCAAGGUCUAUAGGUUCAAGAUUAGGUAAUAAUGACCUACGAUCAUGCAUGCAAAACAAAUAAAAUGAAAAUAAAGAUGGGAACAAAACAAAUAAAAAUAAAUAAGAGGGAGAAAUUACGAUACUAACCUUAUUACGCUAUUAAAACCUUUCUAUAAAAAUACACAAAAACAAAUACGUGAAAUAAAUUAACCAAAAAUAAAUUAAUAAGAUAAACAAAAAAAAAUUACAAAGAAAAAUAAAUUGAAAAUUAAAUUACAGAGUUUUAAAGAAGAGAAAAAGAAAAGAAAUACUAACCUUUAAAUGUAGAUUCACUUUUUUUUUUCUUUUUUUUCUUAAUAAUAAAAAAAAUACAAGAAAACAAAUAAAAGAAAUUAUUCACAAAAAUUAAUUCUAUGAAUUAAAAUUACUUAUCUCCCCGGCAACGGCGCCAAAAACUUGUUGUGCAAAUUUUAAUGUACUCGCAAGCGCACGAAUCUAUUGUAGUAUAGACUAAUGGUGACGAGUGUCGAUCCCACGAGGAGGUGGAUUUUAAUUGUGUAGAAUUAAUUUUGUAAAUGGGUGAUUGGAUUUGUGGUGGAAAUGAUUUGGGAUAUGCUAAAACUUAAAUUAAAAUGGCGAGAAUAAAUUCUAAAAUUGGAAUUGAAAUGGCGAGAAUAAAUUGAAGAGAAUUCUAUUAAAAUGACGUACUUGGGUAUCUGGAUCCGUAUCAACAUGCAUCAUGGGCUAAAUAAUCCUUAUUAAUGCCAAUUAAAUCAUGAGGGGGGAAUCCACACCUCAUGAACCACGCUCUAAUCAAUAUGGUGCUAAGGGCUUAUCGUGCCAAAUAAUAAUAACCUUAUACUAGAGAGCCGGUGUAACCAAGGCGGUAUCUAGACAAGAUUAUUAUUAUUUGUCGACGAGAAGUCAAAACAUCCACAAAAACUAGAGGGGAAGAGAAAAUAAAUUUACCAAAUUAAGCCUAUGACACAUGUUGAGACGUCACCUUCAACCCAAGCUUGAAAGAAAAUUAGCCACUCAUAAUUGAACUAGGAGCAAAAUGGGAAUUUAUUAAAAUACGAAGAAAAUACAAGAUGGAGAAGGAAUUACAGAAAAUGGUUCUCAAAAAUGGAUUCAGAGAUAUCAAAUUAGGGGGGGAGGCCCCCUUUUUAUAGAUACAUGGAGUAAAUCAUGGCCAUCGGAUUAAAAACAGUUUGGACGCUCAGGAUUGCACCACGUCAUCAGUCAACAGUCCACGGUUUGACCACGUGGAUGAACAAUAACACGGUUUGACUCAGAUGAACAGUAACGCGGUUUGACUCGGAUGAACAGUAACGCGGUUUGGUUGAAAAUAAUCCUGUGUGAUGCAUGUACUGUACGCGAGAUUUUUCAUCCACUGAUAUGCUGCCACGUCACCAUCAACAGUACAUAAGAAUUUUAGCCCAACAGGAUCGUGACACCUCAUCAGUCAAUGCCACAUCAUCGGUCAAUGCCACGUCAUCGAUCCGUCUAUGUGAACAGUGUUGUGAACAGUAACGUAGUUAGUACCGUACACGUGAAUAGUACCGUACAUAUGAAUAGUGCCAUUUUUCCUUUUAUGCUCCUCCUAAGGUUUUCGACCGUCCUGAGUUCAAAAGUGAUGUCCGUUUUGCCGUCUGAUCUCUCCUUUAUUGUGAAAUGACUAUAAUGCCCCUAAAAUACAUAAAAUACUUAAUUAAAAUAAAACACAUGUAAUUAAAUCACAAGAAGGUUAAAUACAUAAAAGUAAGGGUUGUUAGUAAGACUUGAAAUGUAAAAUGACGGUUUUCUCCUUUAUAAAUAUGCAUUUUCUAACACUCAACAGAACCCACCAAUAAUGAAUGGACGCUUAAUGCAUUUGUUUCGAUUGUGAUAGGCCUACCAAGGCCAAACCUAGUGCAAUUGAUGCCAUCAAUCUCUAUACCUAUACUAGUUUUAUGGGGUGUUGAGAAUCCAUUCACCCUCUUUGUUGGACCUGCUGGUUAAUACUCCUCAUUUCUACCUUCUUAACUCUCAAAUGUGCAAGUUAAUUGUAUUGGAAGGAGUAGGACAUCAUCCCCAUGACGACAGACCCAAGGAGAUCCAUGAAAAGAUGCUUUCUCAGUUGGCUAGAACAUUUAAGUGCUGAGGAAUUUACUUUCUCAUUAGCAAGUUUUGAUGAGCAUUAUAUAUUAUUCCCAAUUUAAAAUGGCAAACAACUCUUGUAUUUAUAUUGCAUAUGUCGAUUCUUAUUCAACCGCUUGAAUAUCUUUUGACAUCGAAAGAAUGUAGGAGAAACUGAUCCUUGAAAAGUUGUAGAAACUCCAAAUUGAUUCAAGAAAUGUACCAAAUUUUUCAAUAAAAAGUCAAAUUUAGCACAAUAAUAAAGAAUAAUGAUUUAUUAAUCUAUAUUGCUCUUGUUAAUCAUAUGUGAAUGAUAAGAUUCAAUUUUUCAAAUGAAAAAGAUACAAUAAUCUAAGUAGAAAUAAAGGUUCAUGGGCAUCUUUAACCUUUCCUUACAAGCUAGUUUUUUUAAAGGUAAAUUCUAGCCAUAGAUGCUACCACGUCAACUAUGGAAUCAAAUGAAACAUUUCAAAUAUGGAAUUGGUAUGAAUACUUGAAAGAGUGGAUAAAUGUUUGUUGAUAUAGAAAUCUGGUCGAGCUAUGUAGCGACCAGACAACCACGCCAACACUUAAAUUUGUUGUUAAUGGGGAGACGGUUCUAUGCUACUUCCUCACCAUCAAACAAGUUCCUGCGCCCUCGAGUACUUUCUCCAAGAACACCUACGUUUAUAACAAUUAGUUAGGAGACGCUGAAGUUUUUCCGGUGUAAACCCUCCGACGCACAAGUGAGCGAUCUGAGUCUACUUGGAAAAACUCGUGACAUGAUUCACGUGACUUAAUUACAACUACUCUGAAUGAAAAAAAAGGUUUAAUUUCAUAAAAAAAGAAAGAAAGAGAGAGAAGAUAAAAUUGUGAAUAGAGAGAGUAUGAGAAAAUUAAGUAAAAAGUUAUCUAAACCCUUACCUCCGUUCUCUAAAGCUUGAAUAUCCAACCAAAAUUAUCGGCCUCCUCUCUCCCCCAACACCAUUGUUAGGUUAGUCACAUAACCGUGGGAGAGUAGGCAGCGUAACUACUGGUGAGUGGGCUUCAUGCUUGAAUUCUUUGGAGGAAACCCAUGGGUUGACCUUUAACCAAGUCUUCGUUUUGACUUAAUUCUAGUCUCUUCUCGCACUUCCUCGAGCCGACUUUGCUCAUGUGACCAGCACACACCUCAUCGGGGAUAAUCUUUCUCGAUGAGUCAUUUUAGGCCGAGGGGAGCACAUUUUGCUCAUGUGUGCCUGAUCAUGAUGUUUUUCACCCCAAAAUAGAUGUUUAAGCAAAUUGAUUCACAGCAAAAAUGAGUUGGGUGAAAAUGACACCUAUCACGUUCUUUUUUUAAAAAAUCAAUAGACAAAUAUGUUUUUUUUAAAUAUAUAAGAUUUGACGGAGUUUAACUGUUCCCUCUUUAUUGCUUUUGCUUCCACAUGAUGAAACUUUCCCAUAUACAACAAUUUAGAUUUAACAAAGUAGAAAGUUUUCAAAUGUGAUUGCGUUAUAUACAGGAGAGUUGAUGUAAUGCACAAUGGGAUGAGUGGCAUGUUUUCAUUGGUUGAGAUAUGGGCCCACAACAUACUCUGUAAGAACUCGUUGCGCGUCCUGUAAUAUUCCAUGCCGCUGGCAAGUGAGUUUUUUCACUAGUUUAUAAGUCACAUGCUCACCUAAGUAGAUGUGUUUUGGUUUGUAAAGUUCAAUAACAAAAUCAUGUAGGGUGGUGUGUACAAGGCGAUUGCCUAUGCCACCAAUGCCCCAUAUCCCUAAAGCGUAAACAUCUUUCGACUCAACACCUAACGGAGAUUCAAUUUCCUCAACUUUUGAUUCCAGUCUUUUCAAAAUGUGAUUAACAACUUCCUUUAUAAGUUCCGAUUCAUGCCUAGCAAAUACAUAAAAUUAUCACCAGUAACUUCAAAUAGAAGGGAUUUGCAGCAACUAUGAAAAAAAGGAAAUUGCCAGUUUUCUAUUGAAAUUAAUUUAUGCCACUUAUUUUUUUUUCAUAGAGACAAUUUUGUAAAAUGAUGGUACCAAGAGAGCUAUCAAAUUUUAUAAAAAUAAUUAGAAUAAGUAGUAUUUAUUAAUUUGUGUAAGGGAAUUUACAAUCUCCCUAUAAAUUAAUAACUCUUAAAUUACAGGAAUAUUCUAUAUGUGGGAGAUUUUUUUUUUCAUAAUGGUAUAUGAGUGAGAGAUUGAAAUUGCCUAAAAAAAGAUAGAAUGCCAUUAAUUUUGUUAAAUAUAUUGUAAACUUCUGGGGCUUUUGUUAUUAAUUCUGCAAAAAUAUAUGGGCUCGAAAGUGGGGAAAUUCAAUAAGUCUAGAAUCUGAUGCCUAAAAAAAGUGUAGUUAUGUAACUAAAAGAGUGCUGCGUGAAAUCUAUUUACAGUGUUAAAUAUUAGUAUGCGAAAUUAAAAAUAACUUUUCACCUGAUGUUCUGAGAAUGACAGCCAGACAGACUGGCUGCUGCCUUCAAAGCAUUCCUCCAAGUCUGUAGCUUCUCUGAAUCCUCCUUAAAUCUUUCCUCAAGCUUCGAAAAUGAAAUCCCAAAAGACCCCGUUUGGUUUCUCACGUCUGAUGGAUCAACCAGAUAGAAAACCGGAAUCAUAAUCUGUCCAUACUCUUUCUUGCACUCGAGGAUCUUCUCAAGUUCAUCGAGACACGAUCUAGAAGAGGCAUAGCCUUCAGAGAAAAGUAUAACUGAAAUGGCUGAUGCUUCAAUUACAUUCAAAAGUGACUCUGAAAUUUCAUCUCCUCUAUUCAAUUGGUCGUCAAUGAAAGUUUGGAUAUUUUGUCGAGAAAGAGCCGAAUAGAGAUGACUAGUAAAGUUGUCACGGGUGUCAUCUCCUCUGAAACUAACAAAAACAUCAUAUUUCUUGUUGUUUCGAGAAGAAGAAGCCAUAAUUAACAGAAACAAUUGGAUUAAUUAGGGAGAGAUUUUGAUGGCAUGAAAACAAUUAUUGAAUCAAAUUUGCGUGACUCUGUAGAAUAAAUCGAUGCUAUGAACCUCCCUUGAAGUUCCGUGAUAAUUUUUCGAUGUCAUCUCAUUGUCCAAGCACCGUGGACUGUACGAUGACUGAAUUACUUUGUGGACUUUUAGCUGAAAUUUCCACUUGAACACCAUACUUUCAACACACGACUUUUGUGCUUUCGUACUCAUAAGUCAUAACCAUAUAUGAAUGGAAAGUAAAUACUCUAUCCUGUUUCUAUUAAAUAUAGUUAUUUCCCAAAUUAUAAAGUCUAAUCCAUUUAUUCAUUUUGACUUAUAAGAAUAAAAAUGUCAAAUAACCAUGUUUAUUUUUUUAAAAUUAUAAAAAAACAAAUAAGAUGUCACUUAAUUUUCAGAUAUUAAAAAAAUAAGAUGUCACUUAUUUAGACAUUUAUGUUAAGACUUCACCUAAAUUCAGGCUUAUUCAAAUUUUAGAUUAAAAAAAAAAAAAUGCUGCCUUAGUACUCUUUUGAUUCUCUCGAGUAGUGAUGAAAAUUAAUUUUAUUUGAUUUUCUAUGUUGGACUAGGCUUCAAUUGUAUAACAUUGUACAUAUGUUUGAAAAUCUUUUAAACAAUUAUAAAAAUCGAAAUUAUCUACCAAACAAACAUUCUAUUUCAACUACUUGACUUAUUUGACCCAUAAGUUAAAUAAUGGAUGGUGCGUUCGGUUAGUUAUCAAUAAAAUGGAUCUAGGAACUGAUGUAGUUCAAAAAGGCAUCAUUUGUUAUCAUACUAGUAGCAGAAGUAAAUAUGUGAAAUAAAAUAUUGGAAAUAUAUUCCUGGGGAAUAAUAAUUGUGGCAAAUUGGAGAAAUAAUUGAUGAAACUUUAUAGGUACAAAGAAUAAUAAUCAUCAUAAUAAUAAUAGUAAAUUUUAAGAAUUGACAGUGCUGCAAGACACAAUGUUGCUUUCCUCAAGACGUUAGUUACUCUCUCCUCCAAUUGAGUGACAUAUAUGAGUGAAGCAAAUGUGUCUCCAUGAUAUAAUGAAGUGCUUGUUUUAUUUGCCUGUAUUAUGCUCUAAUAAAAGCAAACCUAAAUACCCUUGUAUGUUGUAAGCUUAUGAAAAAUUAAUAUAUUGUUCCUACAAAAAAAUAAUAUAUUAGAGAUUUGAUGCAUAAAAUAUAGAUUUAUUAUGCAGAAAUUCGUUUUAGGAAAGAGGGAUUAAAAUAAAAAAGAAAAAAAGAGUGGUGCAAGAAGAUAUAUGGAUCACAAAAUGGCGUAACUUCUAUUUAUAUAAAAUGUUGCGACUUUUAUUUAUAGAUAAUCAUGUACUCCUUCAUUUGGGUUGUUACCUUUUAUGACACCCUCUAUCCAUGGUUAUUGGAUUAAAAUUUAAAUUAAAUCAUCACUGGUCCAAGAUAAACCAUCAUCAUUUCAAAUAAAAAUACGGCACCAUGAAUAGAUACAUCUUUAAAAGAAAAAAAGAUACAUUUUUCUUGUAUAUGACAAUAUUUAGUUAGAUGUAUUUUACAAUAAGACACCUUUUAAGGCACGCCAUUUGUUUUGAGAAUAUUCCAACAUAAAUUAUAUCCCUCUCUCUUUUAACAAUAUUUUGCAAAUGAUACAGAGCCACCAUGAGUUCAAAAAUAAUUGAAUAACAUUGCUUGCGUCAAUGAUAUUGUUGGGUCCGUUUAGUAUAACUUUUAAAUAGAGCUUAUUUAAAUAGACAUUUUGUCAGUAGAACUUUUAUAAAUAGAGUUACUAAAAAGAAAUUUAAUUAUUUGGUUGUCACUGAAAACUUUUAUCACAAAUUAUAAAUUUAAUUUAAUGGACAAGUUUUUUAAAAGUUAUGUUAUGAAAAAAAUGAAAUAAGAUUGUUAAAAAAAAGAAUAUUUUAAACAUUUUAACAUUUUAAACAUAUACUCCCGAAAGCCUAAAGUUUAAGCUUUUAUUAGUAGAGGCAAAAUAUUUUAUUUAGUCUUUAAAAGUGGUACUAAAAAAAUAACUAAAUAACAAUAAAAAAUUUUAAAAAGAACUUAUAAGAUUAAGGUCCCGUUUGGUAUUGGGGUUGAAGUUCAAUAACCUGCUUAUUUCAUAAUUUUUGACAAAAAUAAUGUUUGCUAAAUUUUGUAAAAGUAACUUAUUUCAUAAUUUUCUCUAUUUUAUCAGCAGCUUUUAAAAGUAAAUAAGUGGUUACUUUUCAUAAGCAACUUAUUCAAUAUGCUACAACACUUUUUGAAAAUUCUUAUUACAAUCCUAGUAUUUUAAUAAAAAGACAAUUAUAUCUUACUUAUUUAUAAACCAUAAUAUAUAAAUCAUUAGAUAUCAUAUUACCGCCAUAAUUUAGUUAUCGUCGUAACCACGUACAUUUUCUCCAGUUUUUGUCCAAUAAGUUCAUAUUGUAAUUCCAUAACUAUGGCUUUUAAAGUUUAAUCUAUAUAUUUAUAUUUUUUUAUACCUAAUUUUUAUCUAGUAAGUUCAUAUUUUUUUCUUUAUCCAUAAUUUUCUUCUAUAUCUGUGUCGUUAAUUGAGUUUUUAAAUGCAAUUUUACCUGUUUAAGAAGAAAAGGUAUAUCUAAAUAAUUUAUUAAACAUACUCUAAAAGUAAAAAGCAAUUUAAACUUAUAUUUAUUUUGGUUAUCAUAUAAUAAAGAAUUACUUUCAUAAUAAAAUUUAUGAAACACAUGUACUCUACUUUUUAAACUCAUAGCAUUUGUAACAAUACAAUUUAUCAAACACCAAGCUAUUUUUUUAAUCAACAGCUUAUUUUAUCUAUACUAUAUAAGUAGUUUAUUUCAUCAGCCUUCGCAAUUCCAAACUGGCCCUAAGUAAAGACUUAUUAGAUAAACUACAUCCAGCCAGCACAUAAUCAUUGCAUAUAAGAUGGGGGAGAAGGCGCUCAUUAGCGCGACUGGGCUGGAUUAGGCUGGGCCUACUAUAAGAAUGUGUUGCUGGAAUUAUCAGCCACCGUUCUUAUCUUGCAAUUACAGCCCGAAUGGCAAUUGUUCUUCAACUUCUUCUUCUUCUUCGAAGAAGAAUUACUUAGAAUUGGCAGAUGAUGAGCUGUUUCACGAAUGCGAAAUGGACACGUUCAAAUUGUCGGGACCAAGCGGUCAGCACCGGAACAAGCGCGAAUCGGCCGUUCGUCUCAAGCACGUACCGACCGGCGUCAUAAUGCAGGCCGCUGGAGACCGAUUGCAGCACAAGAAUCGCGCGUCAGCCUUGUCGCGCCUCCGCACUCUUUUGGCCCUCAAAGUGAGGAGCAGCGUGAAUCUUGAUGUGUACUCGCUGUUGCAACAACUUUUUCAGAUCCCUCCUCCUAAGUCUAAUAUUAGAAGUUCUGAAGUUUGUCCACAAAUUGGACUUAACAAUCCUAAAUUUGCUUUGGUAUUACUCUAUUCACUCUUGCUUCGUCUUUUGUUUAAUUAAAAUUUAAGCCUAAUAGUAAUGAUUUUUUUUUCUUCCUUUUUUAACUAUAGGGAAUGCAAGCUCUGCUUGAUCUAAUUUUCACAGUGAAGGGAUUUGCUGCAUCUUACGUUUCUUUGACCAUCUUUUAUCAUAAUCUUUAAUAUACGUUUUAUUUUAGUAUUUUAUUAUUAUGAUAUAUAGCGUCUAAAUUACUCCAAUAAACAUGAGUUAUUGUAUCUAAUAAUUUAGGUAUUUAAUUUUGUAACUUAUAAUAUGAUAUUUUUAAAUAAAAUCUAAUUAUUAUUUUCACUACUUUUAUGUGUAAAUAAUAUAAAAUUGACAUCCCAAUAUUUUAUAUGAGUAUCAUGCCAUAAAGAUACUAUAUUAGUUUAAUUAAAGAUUAAAACUCUACUAAUAAAGUAGUACUAAAACAAUGACUUUGGUAUAAAACUAGAAAAAUAUUAAAGUAAAUUCUUGUCAGUUUUACCUUAUAAGAGUAAAAUAGUAAAUUGUGCCAAAGCAAUCUUUGUAGUCAAAUAUAAUAAAAAAAUUGAGUCACAAAAAAAUAAAUUAAAAUAGAUUUAAUUAAUUAAUCCUCUAAAGCUCUCUUGUAUUUGAAGAUUUUAAAAAAUAGUGUAUACUUUUUAUAAUUAUUUUUUAAAAAAAUGAGAUGGGUUUGCAAAACUUAUUGGGUGGAGACACCAUGACAUGGAGUAUUUUAGUAAAGAACUUGAUAUUCGUUUCAGGCAGAUUAUUUUGAUUUUUGAGGAAUAUCAGUAAAAUUUUCAUAUAAUAGUGGAAUAAGCCUAAUAAAUAAAUAAAUAAAAAGAUUUGUCAUGGUCAGUCUCAUGGAGGUAGAACCAGGGAAGGAGCAGGCCUGGUUAUCUAGUGCUUCAGAUAAGCCAGCUGGUUUUCCACAUACCAUGGAGGCAUGGGGUGGAGGCCAUAUAAGAAUAGAAGAUGCCAUGGUCCUUGUAGAAUUUUAAAAAUUUUUAGGGUUUUUAAAUAAAAUAUGAAAAGUUAGUGUAAAAUGUCCAUACUAGCCCUUGCACAAUAAAUGUAUAAAGUUUAUAUAUUAGAUAAUAUUGUAAUUUUACUGUUACGCCCACUAAUGAUAGCAUAAAAAAAUAGGAAACUAAAGCCCACUAAGCCACUAAUAUAUAAUAACAUAAAAGUUGGAAUUUUAAAUUUAGCCCCCGUAAAAUUUUCCCCAAGGCCCCUGGCUAUGCAUGUUCCCGAGCCAGAAGUUGGAUCUUCCCCGUACCUACUUCGUCAAUUGCUUGACCUUUAGUGAUUUUUCUUGCAAACUUGAGUGAGGCUCACUGAUACAUCUAAUAUUGGAUUUCUUGGAUGAAGUUGUUCAGAAGCCAACUGUGCUUAUAGGUAAUUCUGUUGGAAGCUUAGCUUGUGUUAUUGCUGCCUCAGGUAUACUUGUUUUAACUUCUUCUUCUUCAUCAGAUAUUCUUCAUCUUGCUCACAAAGAAACACUUGCACCUAAUUAGCCUUUUUGGUAUCUAUAUUUUGCAGUAAACCUACUAUAUUUUCUACCAUAAGAAUCCAGUCAAACACUUGUUCGAGGGCUUGUUCUGUUGAAUUGUGAUGGUGGCAUGAACAACAAGGCAACUGUUGAUGAUUGGAGAAUGAAACUAUUGUAACCAUUGCUUUGGUUCCCUUAUUUUUUGUUGAAACAAAGGCCAAUUACUUCUGCAAUCUUUGAGUGUGUGAAACAAAGUUGUUCUCUUCUCUCUAUUUAGUCCAUUGUUCAUUAUCCUAAAACACUAGAGUCAAAACUAAAAAACUCCACGUGUGUAUAUAUUGGUGCUGCAGGGUAACACAGAGCAAUAUUUUACUGUCCAUCUAUGGAAAUAAGGAAUCUGUGGAUGAAACACUGGUAGAUGUACUAAUAUUCUCCACUUAUGUGCCAUUUUAACCUCUGACAAAAAUGGCUACUCAGAAUUCAUGAAUUGACCUCAUAAUUGCAGAACAUACGAGAACCCGCCAAUGAUGACGGGGCACUUGAUGCAUUUGUUUCGAUUGCGAGAGGCUCACCAGGGCCGAACCCAGUGCAACUGAUGCUAUCAAUCUAUAUACCUGUACUAGUCUUAUGGGGUAAUGAGGAUCCAUUCACCCCCCUCGAUGGACCUGUUGGUGAAUACUUCUCAUCUCUUCCUUCUUAACUCUCAAUUGUGAAGUUAAUUGCAUUGGAAGGAGUAGGAAAUUGCCCCCAUGACGACAGGCCUGAGUUGGUCCAUGAAAAGCUGCUUCCUUGGUUGGCUGAAACAUUUAAUUUCUGAGAAAUUUACUUUCUCAUCAGCAAGUAUCGAUGAGCAUUAUAUAUUAUUCCUAUUGUAAAAAGACAAACAACUCUUGCACUUAUAUUGUAUGGGUCAAUUCUUCAUCAACCGCUUGAAUAUCUUUUGGCACCGAAAGGAAUGUAGGAGAAACUGAUCCCAGACAAGUUGUAGAAGCUCCAAAUUGAUUUAAGAAAUCUAUCAAAUUAUUCUAUAAAAAGUUAAAUUUUGCACAAUAAUAAAGAACAAUGAUUUAAUAUCUAUAUUGCUUAUGUUAAUGAUAAGUGAAUGAUAGGAUUCAAUUUUUCACAUGAAAAAGAUACAGUAAUCUAAAUAGAAAUAUAAGUUCAUGGGCAUCUUUAAUCCUUUCCUUACAAGCUAGUUUUUUAAAGCUCAAUUCUAGCCAUAGAUGAUACCAUGUCAACUAUAGAAUUAAAUACACCAUUCUGAAUAUGAAAUUGCUGUAGAUACUUGAAAAAGUGGAUACAUGUUUAAGCAAAUGGAUUCACAACACAAAUGAGUUGAGUGCAAAUGACACAUGUCCUGUUUGUUUUUUUUUUUAAUUGGUAGACAAAUAUGUUUUUUCAAAUAUAUAAGAUUUGAUGGUGUUUUAACUGUUCCCACUUUAUGGCUUUUGCUUCUACAUGAUGAAACUUUCCCACAUACAAUAAUUUAAACUUAAGAAAGUAGAAAAUUUUCAAAUGUGAUUGCAUUAUAUACAUAAGCGUUGAUUUAGUGCACAACAUGAUGAGUAGCAUGUUUUCUUUGGCAUCGAUAUGGGACCACAACAUUACUCCACCAAUAAGAACUUGCCGCGCGUCUUAUAAUAUCCCACAUCGCUAGCGAGUGAGUUUUUUUACUGGUUUAUAUGUCAUGUACUCUUCUAACCAAAUAGAUGUGUUUUGAGUUACUGUGUGCACAAUGCAGGAAAGAAGGCCAAUAAUUUUGGAAUUUUACAUUAUAAAUCAUGUGAUUUUCAUAUGUUAUACUCUUCAUCUAAUAAGGUAAUGUUCUAUGCUCCAGUGUGAAUUUGUGUUGCUUGCACCAAAUCCCUCGAAGGUAAUUGCAUGCACCUGAUUCCUCCAAAGUUAUUACAUGAAUGUUUUGUUCCAAGAACUUAUUUUAGCAUUUUCUCCUAUUAUUAAUAGUUAUCCCUCGAAUGUUUUGUUACCGACACAGCGGUUUGCUAGAUGUCGCUCUAACUUGCGUUCUCACGAAGAGAAAAAAAAAAAGGUAUAACAAAUUCUGAAUUAGAAUUUGAAACGAGAAAACUCAAAUUUUGAUUGAAGAUUGGAUGAUUUUUACAAUGGAUUUAGCACAUAUUUAUAGUACUCAUACUCAACUCUACCUACUACAUUCCACUCAAUAAAACACACCAACUGUAAUCCACUAAUAACACUCAACACACCAGCUGUAAUCCACUAAUAACACUUAAUAAAACACACCAACUAUAAUCCACUAAUAACACUCAUCACACCAACUGUAAUCCACUAUUUGGGCCCUCAUAUUUUAUGCUGCAUCAGUUUCUCCCCCUCUUAAAGACAACUCGUCCUUGAGUUAGUCAAGGAAUUUGUUCUGGACCAUGAUACUCGUACAAAUCUUGAACAUUGAAAGUGUUAGAAAUGGCAUAGUGUUCGGGGAUAUCGAUGAUAUAGGCAUUAUCAUUAAUCUUUUGAAGGAUGCGAAAAGGACCAAUUUUCUUCUGUUUGAGCUUACCAUAUUCUCAUACGGGAACUCGUUCUUUGCGCAGAUGUACCAUGACAUAAUCACCCACUUUAUAUGACUUGAAUCUUCUGUGCUUGUCAGCAAUGGCCUUGUAUUUUGGGGUAGAUUCUUCCAACUUAUUUUUUACCUCUCCAUGUACAUCAAUCACUUUAUCGAUUAGAUGAACAACAAUGACGCUCAUUCCAGGAAGCUUUGGUAAAAGAACCAAGUCUAAAGUGUGCAAUGGAGGAAGAAUAUAAACAACUUCAAAUGGAGAUUUACCACUAGAACGAUUAGGCACAUUGUUGUAAGCAAAUUCAGCUUGUGGUAAAACAUUCUCCCAUUGUCUUGGGUUUUCUUUAACCAAGCAUUUCAAGAUAUUACCCAGUGUGCGAUUGGUGACUUCAGUCUGCCCAUCCAUUUGUGGAUGAUAAGUGCUACUAAAUUGUAAAGUUGUAUAAAGUCUUUUCCAUAAAGUACGCCAAAAAUGACUAAGAAAUUUGCUAUCUCGAUCAGAAACUAUUGUCUUUGGCAAUCCAUAUAGACGAACAAUUUAUCGAAAGAAUAGUUGGGCAAUGUAGGUAGCAUCCGAAGUUUUCCUGCAUGGAAUAAAAUGAGCCAUUUUAGAAAAACAAUCUACCACAACAAAGAUAGAAUAUAAACCUUUCUGUGUUCGUGGUAAUCCUAAAAUGAAAUCCAUGGACAAGUCUUCCCGAUGUGCAUUUGGAAUAGGAAGUGGCAUGUAUAACCCAAUAUUCUGAGCUUGUCCUUUUGCAGUCUAGCAUGUAUAACAACGUUUGACAAAUUUCUCAAUAUCAUGUUUGAGAUAUAAAUAUCGAGCUUCUACCAAUGAAAUGGUUUUGUCACGUCCCAUGUGACCCCCUAAACCUCCAGUUUAUAGUUCUUGAAUGAUGUGUUCUCUUAGUGAUCCUCAUGGAAUACAUAGGCCAUCUUUAAAGAUUAAAAAUUCAUCAUGUAAUUGGUGUUUACUUGCAACUCCACUAGUGCACUUUUGCCAUUCUUCAUGAAAAUCCUCGUCAUCUGCAUACAAAAUUUUCAAAUAAUCAAAACCAAUUAUUUCAUUAUGAGCACUAGUCAAUAACAUAACUCGACGACUUAGUGCAUCAACGACUUUGUUCAAUUGGCCUGACUUGUGUUUGAGAGAGAAAGUGAACUUCUGAAUGUAGGCAAUCCAUCUCGCAUGCAUUUGAUUGGCUUUAGAGGAAUUGUUGAGAUACUUGAGAGCUUGAUGAUCCGUGUUUAUGAUGAAUUCUUUUUGAAUUAGAUAUGGCUCCCAUUGUUGCAAAGUACAAACAAUUGCAUAUAAUUCUUGCUCAUAUAUUGACCAUUUCUUUCUGGCUUCGCUGAGCUUCUCAUUGAAAAAGGCAAUUGGCUUCAUUUCUUGAGAUAGAACAGCUCCAAUUCCCACUCCAGAAGCAUCACAAUCGACUUCAAAAAUCUUGUUAAAGUCAGAAAGUGUAAGCACUGGUGCAUUUGUAAGCUUCUCCUUCAAGACCGUAAAGCUUUGUUCUGUUGUUUUUGUCCAAACAAAUUGUUUUUGCUUUAAACAGUCUGUAAGUGGUGUAGCUAUGGUGCUGAAGUCCUUCACAAAUCGUCUGUAAAAGGUUGCGAGACCAUGAAAACUUCGAACAUCUGAAAUUGUCUUCAGUGUCGGCCAUUCUCGAAUAGCUUUCACAUUUUCUCGAUCGACUUUGAUUCCAUCUGAACUCACAACAAAGCCCAAAAAAAUUAAGUUGUCUUUCAUAAAGCUACCUUUUUUAAGAUUGGCAUACAACUUGUUCUUUCGUAACACCUCACAUACUUCCUUCAAAUGUUGAAUAUGAUCUUCUCGCUAUGGCUGUAAAUUAAGAUGUCAUCAAAAUAAACAACAACAAAUUUUCCAAUGAAAGGUUGAAAUACCUUAUUCAUUAACCUCAUGAAAGUGCUUGGAGCAUUCGAUAGACCAAAGGGCAUAACUAGCCACUCGUACAGACCCUCAUGAGUUUUAAACGCUGUUUUCCACUCAUCACCAGGGCAAAUCCGAAUUUGAUGGUACCCACUCCGCAGAUCAAUGUUAGAAAAUAAUUUUGAUCCUCCUAAUAUGUCAAGCAUGUUAUCUUUAUCGAGGAAUAGGAAAACGAUAUCAUACCAUAAUCUUAUUGAUGGCUCAACUAUCUAUGCACAUUCUCCAGCUUCCAUCUUUCUUUGGAGUCAGGAGUGUGGGUACAGCUGCAUGGCUCAUACUUUCUCGAACCAGGCCUUUCUUGAGAAGAUCCUCAACUUGUUCAUGCAGAAUCUCAUAUUCUUUAGGACUCAUGCGGUACUGUGGUAAGUUUGGUAAGUUUGCUCCAGGAAUAAGAUCAAUGUGGUGCUGGAUAUCUCUAAGCGGAGGUAAUCCAAUUGGUAAUUCAUCGGGAACAACAUCAGUGAAUUCUACUAAUAAAGGUUGAAUUGAAUCUGGUACACUUUGUGAGAUAAGAACAUCUUUGGGCACCAAAAGAAGGUUGUUCAUGGUCUUUGAGCAUGUUGGAGUGUUAGAAUGCUUCACUGAGGCCAGCAUAUACUUCAUGUUGUCUUUAUAAAAUGUAUAAGUAUUAUUUUUUCCAUUAUGCACUGUAUUUAAAUCAAAUUGCCAAGGACGACCAAAUAACAUAUGACAAGCAUCCAUAUCAACAACGUCACACAUUACCUCGUCUUUAUACUUACCGAUAAAGAAAGGAACUCGACAUUGUUCUGUCACCUUUGUCUCGCUGAUAUCUUUAAUCCACCUAAUGCGGUAUGGAAAUGGGUGUGAUUAAGUUGGUAAUUACAAUUUAUCUACCAUGGUCUUGGAUACUAUGUUCUCACUACUUUCACUAUCAAUGAUAAGAUCACAUACCCGUUGGUUGACCGUGCACCGUGUUUUGAAGAUGUUAUGUUGUUGAAUGCUCUCAUCUUUCUUCGGGGUAUACAUUAGUCGUCUUAUUACUAAUGAUACUCCUUCAUCUUCAUAGGUGAAUUCCUUCAAUGCAUCUUCUUUUUCAUACUCAUCAUCCUUCGGAUACUCCUCUUCUUCAAUGUCAUCAUCAUGUGUGACCAAGUUGACCAGUUUACUUUGUCGACAUUGAUUAGAGUAAUGACCCGUCUGACCACAACGAUAACAUUUGUUUCCCCUUAGGACUGCAUAGGGAUUGGUUGAUUUGGAUUUGUUCACUGGUUCAUUUUUUAAUCGUCUCGCCGGUUGGUUCUGGGAGAAAUUUGGCCUAGGCAUUUCUUCACGUGGUCUGGUUAUUGUCUUUUGUUUAUUCCAAUCAGGCUUUUGUGGUGGUGUAGAAGAUUGUAAAGAAACCUGAAUACGGGUGCCUCUUUUGUUCAGUUGUGCUUCAAUCUUCAAGGCCAGUUGUAUUACACUAGACAAAGUGUGAUGCGACUGCUUGAAUACUUCAUCUUGAAUAUUGGUGCGAAGUCCAUCAAUGAACCUCGAAAUCUUUUGAUUUUCAGUCUUACGAACAUCCACACGUGCAACAAGCUUGUGAAAUUCUGUAACAUACUCAUGUACGAUUCGGUUGGCGUGCCGACAAUGUUGAUACCGACUGAAAAGUGUCUGCUCAUAAUCUGAAGGAAGAAAAUGCUCAAUCAUUAAUUUUCUCAUGUGUCGCCAAGUUCAAACUUUGUGUUGUCCUUGUCGAAUUCGUAUUGUUUGUAAUUGAUCCCACCAAGCAAGCGCACCUCCUUUGAGUCGAUAGGCCACCAAUUUGACUUUCAUGUGCUCUUCAGUCCUCCAAUAGUCAAAGAAUUUUUCAACUUCAGCUAGCCAAUCAAGAAAUUCCUCGAUCAUGAAUAGGCCAUCAAAUUGUGGAUUUUCAAUUUUCAUUCGGUAGUCAAUUUAUCAAGACACUUGGUUAUUUUCUGGUGGCACCGGUCCUUCAUCAUCUUCACUAGAAUCUUCGUUGAAAAGUUGAUUCCGGUGAAGUAUGAGUGUGUUGUACUUUGUGCAAGUGUAAGGAAUUUUUUUAAAAAAAAUGGUGUGAGUUUUGAAAAAAAAAAAAAAAGGUGUUGUGCAUGUGCAGGGAAUUAAAAAAAAACGUGGGUGAGUGCAUCUUGUAAGGUGUGCAUGCAUGUGCAGGGAAUUAAAAGAAAAAAAGGGGCUGUGAGUUUUGAAAAAAAAAAAUAAUAAGUGCGUUGUGUAUUUUGUUUUUACACGAAAUUGAAAAAAGAGAGAGAGAUAGGCGUGAAUCUUAAAAAAAAAAAAAGUGUGAGUGUUUUGUGCAUAAAUUUUGAGAGUUGUUGGUGUUUUAUUAAAAGAGAAAAAAAACUGUAAAAAGAAAAAAAGGAGGCGUGAGUGAAAAAAAAAAAAGGUGUGUGAAUGAAACGUGAGGAUGGAGAGAAGUACUGGGAAUUGUAAAGUGUAAAGAGUAAUGUGUGUGUGAGUGGGGAAGAGAGAUUUCACAAGAGUGAAAAAAAAAAAAAUUUGUGUGAUAAAAAAGAAAAAGGUUUGAGUGCGAGUUUAGAUUUUUUUUUUCCAGAAAAGGGGUAGAAUUUAGGAGGAAUAAUUGCGAGUGAAAAAAAAUUAAUUAACAAAAAGAGAGGUUUUUUUGGGUAGUUUAUUCUAUAAUUAAAAAAAAUCAGAAUUGUGUUAGUUUUGUUUUGUAUGUAUAUUUGUUUAUUUACUUGAAUUGUGAAAAAAAAAAAGAAGCAAAAAAAGCAAAGAAAAAAAAAGAAGAAAAAAAAAUGGCAGACGAAGAAUCCAACCAAGCUAUGGGUACAUUCGCAACAAAAGAAUCAGUUGUUGCACUUGAAGCUAGAUUACAAAAUUUAGAAGUCAUGCUUACGAAUUUAACAGCAGAACCAACACAGCCCAAUAUUCCACAAGGAAAUUUAAUACCCACUCAUCUCUUUUUUUUUUCUCCUUACUUUUCUCUCACUCCCCACGUCUCUCUCUCUCUCUUUUUUUUUUAAUACUCCCUUCACAAAGCACAAAACACACACUUUUUUUUUUAAUUCAAUGCACACUUCACAAAAUACACACACUCUCUCUUUUUUUUUUUUUGUUCAAUAUGCACACUUCACAAAAUACACACACUCACGUUGCGUUUUCUUUUCAACUCACACACUUUUUUUUAAAAAAAAAAAUCUAUGCACAAGACACAAGAUGCAAUAUGCUCACGCCUUUGAUUUUUUUUUUUGCGAAGUGGAGAUAGGUGGUUUGGAUAUUUGCGAAGUGGUGAUAAUACAGUGGCGGCGGCUAGGUCUAGGGUUUCAAUUUGAUUUUUUUUUGUUUAAUGGAAAAUGGUGAUGGAGAAUGGAUGGAUACGAAAGAUAUGGCUACCAGGAAAGCUCCGCCUGAUACAGAGGAAGGUUCUGAUACCAAUUGACGCAGCGGUUUGCUAGAUGUCGCUCUAACUUGCAUUUUCACAAAGAGAAAAAAAAAAAGGUAUAACAAAUUCUGAAUUAGAAUUUCAAAUGAGAAAACUCAAAUUUUGAUUGAAGAUUGGAUGAUUUUUGUAAUGGAUUUAGCACAUAUUUAUAGUACUCAUAUUCAGCUCCACCUAUUACAUUUCACUCAAUAAAACACACAAACUGUAAUCCACUAAUAGCACUUAAUAAAACACACCAACUAUAAUCCACUAAUAACACUUAUCACACCAACUGUAAUCCACUAUUUGGGCCCUCAUGUUUUAUGCUGCAUCAGUUACAAUAAAAAUACAUGCAUGAAAAUAUCAGUCUUCUUAGUUACAGUUGAAACAUCUGCUUGGAUCUACCAUUGAAUUCGUAGAAUCUGGGGUGUGAAGUAAAUGGAUCCCACAUUUUUUCACCCCGCAGCACUGGCACUCCAAAGGUAGAAAAACAUUAAAGUGGACUGCCUCAGGAAUGCAAUUGCAUUUCCAAAAACCAUUGAAAUCCUCUUCACAGAAUAGAUAGUACCCCAAAUGCAAGUGAUCUGAUUCUACAUAAUUAACUCUGCUCUGAAAUAACCGUGUGUCAUGCAGAUCACAAUCUUUGGUGGUUUUUACUUUGAACUCACAAGAAAAUGAAAACCAUCUGCCACAAUCUACAUGACGGUCUGAAAAUGCUAAAAUAGCACUAAAUGCAAAGCCCAGCACUCUAUUGUUAUUGACGAAAUCAGGGGGCAUCUCCAAGGUUAUAAAAGAUCCCACACUUUGAAAAUUAAACCACCUUGGAAUUUCAUUCCCAGCUAGUACGAAAUGGCCUUCCUUGGGACAACCUCUCUAUACCAAAAAAAUCAUAAUUUUAAACAAAAAAAUGUUGUAUAAAUUGUAAGGAGAGAGAGUUAUGACACACCUUUUCCCGUACUUCUUUCCAACGGGCAGCUGCCACAUGGCCCAUAUGCUCAGUUCUCUGAGAAUCUUCAAUAAUUCCUGCAGUAGAAUUACCUUCCAAUUUAAAGUUAUUGCUUUGGUAAAAAAACACUGCUUAUAAGAUUCAGAACUUAGAGAAUGAACCUAUGAAUGAUUGCAGUAUCGGGCAAUGAUCGGCAUCUAACCAUCGUACAAGGAAUGGAGGCUUUGAUAAGGAUUCAUAAUGCCCCUCACAAUAAUUUAAGAUCAGGCGUCGCAACACUAAAAGUUGGAUAAUGCUUUUUGGUAUCUUCUCAAUAUUGGUUUUCACUAGAUUCAACAAUAUUGGCGACGAUAACUGGCCAAGACGUUCAGGCAAUCUCUGAAGAUUUGAGCAACCAUGGAGAUCAAGAACUCCAAGAGAUUUCAACUUACAUAGGCUGCUUGGGAGACUCUUAAGCAUUUUACAAUCUGAAAGGUCCAGCCACGAAAGCCUAAGUAGAAGCUCAAAUGAUGAGGGCAGUUCUUCAAUUGCAGUUCCAGUUAAAUAUAGCCGGCUUAUGUUACCAGAUGAGAUGUCUGGAAGCCUCUUCAGUUUUGAACAACCCGAAAGAUCAAGUUCGAUAAGAAAUUCCAAAUUAAAUAUUCUAGCUGGAAGACUUUUCAGGCUUUUGCUACCUGUUAGAUUCAAGGCAACUAGAUUGUUCGGAUGUGGAAUCAACGUGGGGCUUGGAAUUUUGGCAAUUAGCUUCUUGCAGGCAGCAUGGAUUAUCUGGUUUAACUUACCAUGACGCUGCUCGAUCAAAAAGAAGCCAACACAAAAUCAUUACCAUGUAUGAUAAUUUAACGUUAUUAUUGAAAGAUUGCACAUAUAUAUCAAGAUAUACAUACCUUCACACCAUCGCAAAGUUGUUCAAUGUCGCUACCAGGCAGUUCAAGAAACAAAAGCUUCUCUGCAUUAAGGUUUGAAGGCAAUGACUUCAACGGGUAUCCAUGCCAGUAAAAAUACUUCACUUCAGCAAAUCCGGGGUCUUGCAAAUAAGACACCUUACAUUUGUUCUCUCCAUUGAAUGAUGAGCUAUAGAAUUUUAAAAAUCUCAACUUACGCAUCUUUGUGAAAGUAUUGGGAUUUAGAUGGAUAUCUUUUACUUUUGACAUAUCCAAACAAAUGCCCUCAAUUUUUUCUGUCCCCUAAAAUUUAAUUUUAAAAAAAAAAGAAUAAAGUUAAAAUUAAAUGAAAAAUUAUAUGUAUAUUCCACCAAUGAAUCGCACCUCAACCCAACCAAGACAAUUGUUUGGGGUAAGUUUGUCAUUAAUUCACGAUUAGAGGUAGCUUAGUUAUUAAUUCAACGUUUAUUUAUUCUUGAGUAGAGUUGAGGUGGGAUAGGAGUGGGGCUCUCUGCCAUUACAGGAAUCAAAUUUCAAUAAUCCAUGUUUAUGGUUAUUGCUCGGCAGCUGAACUCUUAAUUGCAAAUGCACAAAGAAACAUAAUAUCACACGUAAUAUUUAACAUAAAAAUUCUGUAUGUAUAGUACACAAGUUGAUAUAUAAAUUAGGCUUACAAACGAUCACACAAGUUGUCAUGGCAUUUAUAAUUUAUUGUUACAUCAUUUAACCAUUAUUGUUUUUUUUUCCUAAUCAUUGUCACACUGCGAUUAAUUCCAAGGCUCAUCGGUUCGAGCGCGUAUAUAUAUAUAUAUAUAUAUUAUAUCAAGUUUGUAAAUGCUAUAAUAUUCCAAAAUAAUAAUCCACAACAAAAUGAUUACCGUAUUAUGUGUAAGAACUUCAUAGGUAUCCUCAUGAUGCCACAGCCUACUGCGGUUUUCAGGAUUAAUUGAUUCUUGUCGAACAAUUUCCCGACCCAAUUUUUGUAGUAAAUCAUGCAUUGUUAUCUUGCUGUAUGAAUCAAUAACAAUGAGAGAUUUAUCGACGAGAACACUUAUUCCUAUUUCUGGGUAGAAACCGCUUGCAUUAAAGAAUUUCACUACCAGAUUUACACCCUCGCCUUGAAAGAAACAAGCAACAUCAAGGAAAAUAUUUUUCUCCUUAUCGUCCAAACCAUCGUAACUUAUUUUUAAUACCUCUAGGAUACUUGGGUGGAGGAUACUUUGCAAUUUAUUUAUUGCACUUUCCCAGACUUCUUUUUCCCUUUUAUAUAGAAAGCAACCCAAAACUUUAAUAGCUAAAGGAACACCUUGAGCAUAAUUCAUUACCUUGCUUGAAAGUUUCUCGUAACCAACAUCAGGAUGGUUUCGUUUGAAGGCAUGUCGACUAAAAAGCUCAAGAGCGUGAUGAUACUCUAAUGGCCCCAUCUCAUAUAUUUUCCUCACCCCCGAAUUUCUAAGCACUUGUUUAUUUCUGGUGGUUAUUAUGAUUCGACUCACAGGCGUCAACCAAUCAAGACUUCCAAUUAAAGAUUCCAAUUGGCUGAAGCAAGUCACAUCAUCAAAAACAAUCAGAACCUUCAUGCGGCUGAGCCUUCGAAAAUUGAGGCCAAUAUCAAGAAUCACAUUUUUAUCCUUCAAUAAAUUUGAAAGAAGUUUUUGUCGCAGGCAAGUUAAUCCUCCCGGUCUUUGUAAUUCUCCUCUAACAUUUUCAAGGAAGCAAGAACCUUCAAAAUAUCUGGAGAUUUUGUCAAAAGUAGCUCUAGCGAUUGUUGUUUUGCCUAUACCACCAAUGCCCCAAAUCCCUAAAGCCCAAACAUCUUUCGACUCAACACCUAAUAGAGAUUCAAUUUUCUCAACUGUUGAUUCAAGUCCAACCAGCUGGUUGUUGUUAUCACCCGGCCGAAACACUUCAUCCAAUCUCUUCAAAAUGUGAUUAACAACUUCAUUUAUAAGUUCCGACUCACCCCUAGCAAAUACAUAAACUUAGCCGCGGUAACUUCAAAUUAAUUAAUAGGAGGAAUUUGUAUUAAAUAUGAAAUAAGGUAGAUUGUUAGUUUUCCUAUUGAAAUUAAUAUAUUUCACUAUAAGUUUACAAUCUCACAAUAAAUUGAUAACUCUUAAGUUACAGGAAUAUGUGUGAUUUUUUUUUUUAAUGGUGGUAUAUGAGUGAGAGGUUGAAAUUGCUUGAAAAACUACAGAGCAUCACUAAUUUUGCUAUAUAAAAAUUGUAAAAUUCUCGCGCUUUUAUUAUUAAUUAUGUCAAAAUUAUUUUAUAUGAGCACAAAAGUGGGGAAGUCAGGAAGUCUAGAAUUUGAUGCUUAAAAAUUUUUAAAAUUGUAGUUUAGCAUCCGGAAAUUUAACUAAGAGCGCUGCGUGAAUUUUAUUUAUUGUUAAAUAUUAGUAUGAGAAAUUAAAGGUUUAACUUUUCACCUGAUGUUAGGAGAAUGAAAUCCACACAAACUUGCUGCUUCCUCCAAAGCAUUCCUCCAACUCUGCAGCUUCUCAGUAUUCUCCUUUAAUCUUUCUUCAAGCUUCGAAAAUGAAUCUCCAAAACUCCCAGUUUGGUUUCUCACGUCUGAUGGAUCAACCCGAUAGAAAACCGGAAUCACAAUUUGUGCAUACUCCUUCUUGCACUGGAGGAUCUUUACAAGUUCAUCGAGACACCAUCUGGAAGAUGCAUACCCUUCUGAGAAGACGAUAACUGAAAUGGCUGAUGCUUCAAUUGCAUUCACAAGUGACUCCGAAAUUUCAUCUCCUCUGUUAAGUUGGUGAUCAAUGAAAGUUUGGAUAUUUUGUCGACACAGAGCAGAAUAGAGAUGGCUAGUAAAGUUGUCGCGGGUUUCCUCUCCUCUGAAACUAACAAAAACAUCAUACUUCUUGUUGUUUCGAGAAGAAGAAGCCAUAAUCAACAGAAACAGUUGAAUUGAUGAGAGAGAGAUUUUGAUUCGGAUGAAAACAAUUAUUGAACCAAAUGUGCGUGACUCUGUAGAAUAAAUCGAUGCCAUGCCCCUUCCUUCAGUUUCCGUGAUAAUUUUUCAAUUUCAUCUCAUUGUCCAACCACCGUGCACUCCACGAUGAUUGAGGCAGUGUUUACUUUCUGGAGUGGGAGUGAGGAGUGUGGAUUCCUUUCACUCCAGUGUUUACUUCAACAAAAUAGAGAGAGAUUGGGAAUCCCAUUCCGUGGACCCCACCCAUUUUUUGAGUGGAGAGUGGGAGUGGGACUCCCAUAGGGAGAGGUGGGAGUGGGAAUCAACUCCCACCUCUCCCUUUUCUACCCUUUGUUUUUAAUUUAAUUUAAUAAAAUAAAAUAAUUUAUAAUUAUAUUUAUUUAAAUAAUAUUAUUAUAUUUAACUAAAUAAUAAUUUACAUUGAUUAUAAGUUAAAAUUACUUAAAAAUAAUAUUAUUAUAUUAAUAGAGAAUUAAUAAAUAUAUGCUAUCUUUAUUUAAUAAUAUAAUAUUAUUAUAUUUAUUUUAAAAAUAAUUGUACUAUAUUUAUUUAUUAUUAAUAAUUAAUAAUAAUAAAUAGUUUAUUCUAAGAAAAUUUUAAUUUUGUACUAAAUAAUAUUAUAUUAAUAAAUUUAAUAUAAUUAUAUAAAAUAAAAUAAUGUUUCAUUUUAUAUUUACCCUUCUUUUUAUUAAAUUUACUAUAACUAUAUUUAAUAAAUAUUUAAAUAAUAUUAUUAUAUUUAACUAAAUAAUAAUUGGGUUUGAUUCUAAGUUUAAUUUACUUUAAAAUAAUAUUAUUAUAUUAAUAGAGAAUUAAUAAUAUUACUAUAUACAAUCUUUAUUUGAAAAUAUAAUAUUAUUAUAUUUAUUUAAAAAUAAUAGUAUUAUAUUUAUUUAAUAUUAAUAAUUAAUACUAAUAAAUAGUUUAUUCUAAGAAAAUAUUAAUUUCAUACUAUGUUAAUAGUAAAAAUAUUUCAUUUAUAUUGCCCUUAUCAAUAAUUUUUAAUUUAUAUAAUUAAAAUUAAAAAAAAUUGAUGUUCAUAAUUAAGAAUAUUAAUAAUUAUUAUAAAUUUACAAAUAUAAUAAAAUAAAUGUUUAUUCAUUAAAUAUAUUUUUUAUUAACUUUGUAAUUAAAAACUAUAAUUCUUUACAUCAGGAUAAAAUUGUAAUUUGAAACUAUUUACUCCCAAUCCAAGGCAAAGUAAACACAUAAAUUUGAUUCUGAUAUCCAUUCCAUGAUUCUAUUCCAGUGCAAGUAAACAACUUACUCUCACUCCCACUCUACACUCUCAAUCCUAGGAUUCCCACUUCUCAGGAUUCCCACUCCAAUCCAAAAAGUAAACGUUACCUGAUUAAUUCAACUGCCUUGUAGACUUUUAGCUGAAAAUUCCACACGAACACCAUACUUUUCAACACACGUGCUUCUGUGCUUUAAUGCUCAUAACUGCCAGCAAUAAGUAGGGUGAUAUUUUAAUUUUUAUCUCUGAAUUUAUCUUAUCCGUCCUCAUCUCUCAAUUAAUUGUAUUUAGUUUCAAAAUUAUUCUUUUUUUUGUUUUAAUAGCUCUUUUUCAUUAUCCUUAGGGUUGAUUGUUAAACAUAUGAAGUCUAACUUUAAAAAAAAUUAAUUAAUUUUUUUAAUAACUUAUAUCUAAUUUUUAGACAUUUACAUUUAAAUUAAAUAAGUAAAUUUUUGUGACCUUUGCUGAAAUGAGAAAAUGUUUGAAUGAAAAAUAAAUAAUAUAUACUAAAAAUAUUUCUAUUCAGUAAAUUUAUUUCCUAAACUACGAAGCUGAAUUCCUUUUACUCAUUUUGAACUUUGGAGAACAAAUUAGCAAAUCUAUUUUACUUUACUUUUUGUGACUUAAAUUUUAUUAUUAUAUUUGAUCAUAAAGAUUGAUUUGACAUAAGUCUAAAUUGAUUAUUUUAUCCUUAUAAGGUAAAACUAAUUCUUUAACUUCAAUAUUUUCUAAUUUUAUACCAAAUUCAUUAUUUCUAAUACUACUUUAUUAGUAUGCUUAUAAAACAUUAAUUAAACAAACAUAAUGGCUUUAUGGCACAAUACUCAUGUAAAUUAUUAGCUUGUCAAAUUUACAUCAUUUACACGUAAGAUAGUGAAAAUAAUAGUUAAAUUUCAUUUAAAAAUAUUAGUUCACAUAAUUAAAUACCUAAAUUAUUAGAUACAAUAACCCGUGUUUAUUGUACAAUUUGGCCUUUUUAUAUCAUAAUACUAAAAUAGUAAAGUAAAAUUUAUAUCAAGUUUAUGAUCAAAUAUAUGCAAAGAAAUCUAGUAAAAAUAAUAAUAGAAGGAUUUAAUUGAUUAACUAUACAAAAUUUUUAUUAAUUCGUAUUUUUUAAAAAAUAUUGUGAAUUCAUUAUAAUUAUUUUCUAGAAGUGGGUAAAUUUACAAAAGUAAUGGGGUGGAAAUAUCCCUACCCUUUUUAGUUUCUUUCCUUUGAAGCUAAAGAUUCAACACUUAUUAGUGAAGAUACCACGUAUGCGUUGCCCACAAAGAUUGCAGAGAGGACGUUUGCCGCCACUGAAUUUUUGAAACUUUUUCCCUUCACUAUGUGUUUAAUGUAUAAAAUGUAUGACAAAUGAUACUUUAUUUUAAUUAUGGUAUACAACAUGUGAAUUUAUCAAAGCCUAAGUCAACCCAAACUAAAAUCAAAUUAAAAUGGUUUUAGUUGGGUUGCGUUGGACUCUUGCCCAAACUUUGGGUUGGUUUGGUUUGAAACUUGCGUUUGGAUCUUCGGUUGAAUUUUGGGUAACUUAAAUGGCUGAUGCAUACCCUUCUGAUAAGAAGAUGGGUGUGUUUGAGAGUGAGGUGCUGUAGCUUUUAAGCUGCAGCUGCUGUGGAGUAAAAGCUAUAGCUGUAGAGUAGAAGUUGAAAAAAAAAUCUACUAAGCUACUAAAACUCAAUUACAAAUGUUACCAAACACCUUAGUAGCUGGGCUUUAAUAGUCCAGCUACCUCACCACACUCCCAAACGGGCUCGAUAACUGAAAUGGCUGAUGCUUCAAUUGCAUUCACAAGUGACUCCGAAAUUUCGUCUCCUCUGUUAAGUUGGUCAUCAAUGAAAGUUUGGAUAUUUUGUCGACACAUAGCAGAAUAGAGAUGGCUAGUAAAGUUGUCGCGGGUAUCCUCUCCUCUGAAACUAACAAAAACAUCAUACUUCUUGUUGUUUCGAUAAGAAGAAGCCAUAACAAACAGAAACAGUUGAAUUGAUUAGCGAGAGAUUUUGAUUCGGAUGAAAACAAUUAUUGAACCAAAUGUGCGUGACUCUGUAGAAUAAAUCGAUGCCAUGCCCCUUCCUUCAAUUUCCGUGAUAAUUUUUCAAUUUCAUCUCAUUGUCCAACCACCGUGCACUCCACGAUGAUUGAUUAAUUCAACUGCCUUGUAGACUUUUAGCUGAAAAUUCCACACGAACACCAUACUUUUCAACACACGUGCUUCUGUGCUUUAAUGCUCAUAACUGGCAGCAAUAAGGAGCGUGAUAUUUUAAUUUUUAUCUCUGAAUUUAUCUUAUCCGUCCUCAUCUCUCAAUUAAUUGUAUUUAGUUUCAAAAUUAUUCUUUUUUUUUUGUUUUAGUAGCUCUUAUUCAUGUUCCAUAGGGUUGAUUGUUAAGCAUAUAAAGUCUAACUUAAAAAAAAAAUUAGUUAUUUAUUUUUUUAUAACUUAUAUAUGAUUUUUAAAUAUUUACAUUUAAAUUAAAAAAGUAAUUUUUUUUUGUGACCUUUGCCUAAAUGAGAAAAUGUUUGAAUGAAAAAUAAAUACUAUAUUCUAAGAAUAUUUCUAUUCAAUAUUGUUAUUUCCUAAACUAUAAACGGGUCACAUGUGGCUAAUUGUCAAAGCAAUAGCAAGCUGUUAGCUUAAAGCAAAGCACAUUCAUGCUUCACCCAUGAGAAUACAACCAAUUCUAAUGCAUGUAUUGUGACGCACGUGCAAGCUAAAAGAAGGCACAUGGGUUAAUUGUCAAAGCAAUAGCAAGCUGUUAGCUUAAAGCAAAGCACGUGCGUGCUUCAUUAAUAGUAUCUGUGAGUGGAUUAUUAUUAUUAUUACUAUUAUGUAUUUCACAAAAUAUUUAUGUUUGAUAGUAUGAUUUAGUAUAAUGUUAUGAUUAUAUGUACGUACAUUAUAUGAUUGACUGAGUCAUGAGAUGUAAUUGACAGGCACCAUAUGUGUACAUUUCCCCAUAGGCUGUACGCAUACGUAUUGAGAGUUAAAUUACUCGACCCUUGUGAUGUUGUAAAUUCUACUGAGUAUUGAGAGGUUUUUCCCCCUUUUUACUCAUGCGAUGAUGAUCCCAAUGAGUAUUGAGAGUUAUUUCCCCUGUAUAUUAUUUGGUGCAAUUUUGUCAUGUGUGUAUGUACGAGUUCAUGUUUGCUUUUGUAAAGCGUUCAGUGUAAAGUUAUGUCAUACAAUUAUGACGAGCACUAAAGCACUAAUUUAUUUUUAUAUAUAAUUAUAUUCAUUCAUUGAGCCGCAAGCUUACUAUUUUCCUAUUUACCCCAUUUCUCUAAGGUUUCCAUAGGAUUUCGUGUAGUUCAAUUUCUGAUCAAUUGAGGUUGGGCCACGACACGCAUUACUGCAUGACUUACAUUUUGACCACGUUUAUGUUUAUAUGUAUAUUUUCGAAGUGUAUGUAUGUACAGUGAGAUAUGAACUAUGUAAGUUUUUAAUAAAUUUUUGAAUGAGGCACAUAGAUUAUUAUAUGUUUAUAACAAAGGCCAAGGCUAGUGUUAUAUAUUCUUGAAUUAAGUUUAUGUCAUGAGCUUUAGAUAUAAAAUUGCAUGAUUCACCCCAUAUCCAGCGGUUUGUGUCAUGUAUGAUAUGUACAUAUUUAUAUUCAAUAUAACCACCAUUUGAAUGAUAGUUUUUUAAAAUCAAUGCACAUGUGUCUUAGCAUGAUUCACUUGUUGUACGGCUAACAUGGUACUUUUGAUGUAUUCUAAAAAAAAUUCUUUAGUUAGAGGCAUUUGUUUUAAAAUUUUAUUUAAAAGAAGGUCAUUUUAAAUUUCAAAAUGUAAAGUGUAUUUUCUACUACACUAAAGGAUGAAACAGCCUUCAAUAUAGAUUUCUUAAUAAAUUUUAAGAGAACUAACAGAAAGUGGUUAUUUCAUUCAUGGUUAUUAAAUCAAAAUUUGAAUUAGAUCAUCACUGGUCCAAAAUAAACUAUCGUCAUUUUAAAUUGAAGCAUGAAACCGUGAAUGGAUGCAUCUUUAAAUAAAAAGGAUACAUUUUUAUUAUUUAUGACACUGUUUAAUUAGACAUAUCUUUACAGUUGGACACAUUUUUAGAGCACCAUUUAUAUUGAAAAUAUUCCAGCAUAAAAUAAGUCCCUCUCCUUAUACGAGUAUUUUGCAAAUAAUACAGAGCCACCACGUGUUCAAAAAUAAUAAAACAAUAACAUUGCUCACUUGCUGGACUGGGCUGGAUUGGGCGGAUUGGGCUGGGCCUGCCAUAAGAAUGUGUUACUAGUGCGAACCUUUGCUUUCAUCAUCCCAUACACGGUGGGGAAAUUGAAAUUGACGAGGGCGUUGGCCGCUCAAUUCCUGCUUCGGAUUACCGAACACGUACUAACUUAAAUUUAGAAAAGGAAAAUGAAAACAGGGCCUAUAAAAUGAUACCGAACGGGAACUAAACUUUCCGUCGUACAAGCAUCGCGGGAAUUAUCAGCCAUUGUUCUUGUCUUGCAAUUACAAUUUACAGCACAAUGACAAUUGUUCUUCAACUUCUUCUUCUUCUUCUUCGAAGAAUUACUUAGAAUUGACCGACGAUGAGCUGUUUCGCGAAUGCGAAAUGGACGCGUACAAAUCGUCGGGACCAGGCGGUCAGCACCGCAAUAAGCGCGAAUCCGCCGUACGUCUCAAGCACGUACGGACCGGCGUCAUAGCGCAUGCCGCCGAAGACCGAUCGCAGCACAAGAAUCGCGCGUCAGCUUUGUCGCGCCUCCGCACUCUUUUGGCCCUCAAUGUGAGGAGCAGUGUGAAACUUGAUGCGUAUUCGCCGCCGCCACAGCUUCUUCAAAUCCUUCCUCCCAAGUCUACUAUUAGAAGUUCAGAAGUUGGUCCACAAAUUGGACCUAACAAUCCUAAAUUUGCUUUGGUAUUAAUCUAUUCACUCUUGCUUUGUUUUUUAUUUUCUGUUAAAAUUUAAGUCAUCGUAAUGUUUUUUUUUUUUUUUUUGGUUUAACUUCAGGGAAUGCAAGCUCUGCUUGAUCUAAUUUUCGUAGGUUAAGCACUGGAGCAUUGUCACGGUUGAUUCUACCGGAUGAUUCUCUUCGAAUGGCCGUGAAUGAGUUCAGGACUUCUAAAGGUAUGCUAAUUCAUAGCUGAUAGUGUGUAUUACGAUAAAGCCUGUUGGUUAAUUUAAAAUUGUUAUCUUCUUUCUUAUUUGUGCAACAAAUAUAACAAGUCUGUUUUUUGUGGUUGAGUGUCUGCGUCAGUGCCUGAUGGCUUAUUUUUAAGUAGCUUUAUAGCAUAUUUGGCUCUUUGUUUAUGAAUAAUGUUCAAUAGCAACCUGCCCCAUUGAUAAGAGAAAUGUAUGAUAUAAUUUUUCAAGAUACCUACCUGCAUUAUGAAUUGUUAUUGGAAGGAAGUACGAGAAUAAAUUAAGAGCAAAGACUGAUUAAAAGAUGUAUCUUCAUUAUUACGUGAAAUGUAUGUUCUGCUUCUCAUUCACUUUACCAGAAUUACAAAGUUUUAUGUUAUUGAUGGUUGGAUAGUUUCUGGGUUAUCCUUGUUUUUUUUUUAAUGGACAAUCUUCAUUUGAAACAUGAAAAUUUUAGAAAACUUUCCGAUUUGUGCAGGGUAUGAAGCCUCUUAAGUAGGACUUCUUAGGUGCUACUAUUGUGUUCGGCAAAUAUUUUCUUCUUUUAUUUUUCUUUUUUCAGUCACCAUAAUGGGGGUCAUGGUGAAACAACUUACUAAUCACUCUGGACAGGAAUGGGCUUCUAUAAGUAAAGCACACUUAUUUCACUCUUUCCUUAGUAUGGAGCUGCUUACUGUUGGGAUGAAGAUGGUAAUAGCUGCUUUAGAAAUUAGUUUUCUUCAGUAGGAAAAUUCUAAAUCUUGGAAAAUUUAAAGUUGUACUAGAAAACAAGCUGCCUAUUCAACCAAUGGCUAAAUGUAGCAUAGUAGUCUCCUUAGACAAUUAAUUAGAUCGCAUUCCUUUUGAUCUCUCUGUUUUCAUUUUUUCUCCUUUUUGACUUGCACUUCUCUGUUCCUUUCCUCAAAAAAAAAAAAAAAAAAAUUUGCACUUCUCUGCUGAUGUCUUCCCAAUAUCCUAUGAUGUACAAAUGCACAAAUACUCUUGUUGUGACGUUAACCAUAUAUGGUUUCUUUUUUAUUUUGGUCCAUUUUCCAACAACAUAGAAUAGUAAGAAGAAUACUUUAUUUUAAUGAUGCUUCUCUGCUUUCUUAAAUAUAUGCUUGUUCUUGUUCACAUUUUACUGUUCAUCAUAAUUGGUAUGGUCUUUUUUUGGCAUCAUCAAGCCCCAAAUGUGAUGAAACAUUUUAAAUUUCUUAUUGAUCCAGCCUUCACUUUAGUAUAAUGCAUACACCGUACCUGCAGUAAGUAUCAUUGAUAGUUCCGAAUGAGUGCGAAAGCAGACUAGUAUGUAACUUCAUGAUUUAUUUACUGGUUUGCACAUCCAUAUUUCAAAUGGUUUACUGGUCUCUGGCCUAAAGAGAGGGAAAAUGAAAGACUUGUGAGACAAUCCUCAUGGCUUUGUUGACAUCAAUUUGGUGGUUGAUUGAGAAAUGAAUGAUCAUACAUAUACAUAUACAUACAUACAUAUAUAUAUACCCAAAGCUCUGUGGUAGAACUAUUGUGUAGACAGAAAAUUUCUUUGAAUCCGGACUCUUCCGAAAAGGAGAGCUUUUUAGAGAGAAGGAGGAGAAGAGAGAGAAGUUCUAAUCUAAAAAUGAAAAAAUUCUGAGGAGUCUAAGUCUUCCUCGUAGAAUAUAUACAAAAAAUUGAAACUGUUCACUGUAGCGGAGCUAUAAGUGCACAGUAACCUUUGGAAAUUGAAACUGUUCACUGUAGCGGGUUUUUAAGUGCACAGUAACCUUUGGAUCGUAGCUUUGAACAGUAGGCUGACCGUAGCUUUGAACAGUAGACUACUUUGUACAAAUGCUAGAAUACAAAAUGAAAUACAAUACGGGUGAAGAGACAUGUGCGCUCUCACUUGUGUCCAAAGGACCACCCGAGGAGAAAAUAAAUUUACUUUUUUUUUUUUUUAAGUAAAUAAUCAAAUAAUUAUUUACAAUGCUUUACUGGAGAGAAAAUGCCGAAACAGUCAUCUUCAUUUUCGUCACCGAGGGAAACGGUUGGCUCGUCAUCAUCAUCGUCUUCAUCUUCAGUGGAAUCUGCUACCGAGGACUUGGAUCGAGAGGCGAGGAGCUGUUCCAUUGCUUUGAAGUAUUCUUCUUCUGUUUUGGCACUUGCCAAAAGAGAUUGGGCUUUGGAUUUUUGGGUAAGGAAAGUUUGCUGGGCUUUGGUGUCUUUAAUGGUUGGUUGUAGAUGACCUCUAGAGGAGAGCCAUUUUUCAAUCUCACUUGUAGUCAAUUUAGAUUGUUCAUCGAACUUUGACCACCAUUUGACUUUGAAGGUUCUUUGUAGGAUUACUUGGGGAUCCUGAUUAUGAAGUCGAAGACUCCACAUCCAAACCCAAGGAAGGAAGAAAUUUGUACAAAAACAGAGAAAAGGAGGAAAUCUUUUCUCAGACUCAGAAGGUUUAUAAUGGGCUUUGAAUAGGUUUAAACAAUUUAGGGCGUUAGGUGUAAGGAUGUCUGGACUUGGUCCAAAAUGAUUCCACCAAUGUUGGAACCAAUUUGGUAAACUUUGGACGGUUAUUUUUGGAUUGAAGAAAAAUAACCAUGAAUGGGAUUUUUUAGGAUUUUGGAUAUAAAAAGUGUUGUACCACGCCUGUUGGUAAUCCCAAUAGGAAAAAGUCCUACAGUGAGGUAAACGGGUCUCAAAAUUGAGAGGGAAAGUUUUGAAAUUAUGGAGCAGGUCACCCCACUGGUUUGGGCUCAAUACCUUUAAAAUAGUGGCCGUAGAGUAGGCCGGCUCAGAAUGAGAACUGCUGAGAAAGAAAUGUUUAAAUUUAACUGACUCAGUAAUUUCUAAAAUGCUUUGAUAGUAAGACUGGGGUUUUGUCAAAUCCCAUGGUUUGAAAAACCAGCCUUUGGGGAAAAACUUUGAAAUGCUUUGAAAAGGAUCAGAAUUGUAAAAUCCAUCUUCGAUAGAAAGAAUGUUUUGAAAAUGGUUUUUAUCAAUCCAAUCGGAUGUUUUCUUUGAAAGUGUUGGUUGUGAAAGCACACUUUGAGAGGAUGAACUUUCACAAGACACAACCACAUUUUGAGAGGAGGGCUUUGAAAUUUCUUUGGGUUUUUCUUUUUCUUCUUGAAGAGAAGAUUGGCUUUGGGAAAGGUUUUGGAGAGCUAUCAUAAGCUCAGGAGAUCUGGUAAUGGAACUCAUCCAAUGCUUUACUUGGUCAUCUGAAGAGAUGGAUUUGUACUGGGCUUCAUGUUCUUCGACCAAUUCAAUCCAGGAUUUUAUAGGUAAGGCCGAAGAAAUUAAUUUUUCUUUAGAGGGGGUUGAAAUUGGUUCUUUAGAUGGUUCUUGGGAACCAGAGGCUUUGAGAACAACUUUACCUUUGUCUUUGACCUUCUUUGGCGGCAUUAUCUGUUUUGAAGAAAUUCUCUGGUUAGAAAAUCAGGAACAAAAUUUUUGUCACCUUUAAUAAACUCAAUAUCAAAAUCAAAAACACUUAAUAUUGCUUGCCAACGUGCAAAAAUUUGUUUAGAUGCAAUGUUUUGAACAUCCUUUUCUAAAACAUGUUUUGCAGCUUUACAAUCAAUUCUAAGUAAAAAUUUUUGAUUUAAUAAAUCACUUUGGAAUUUAGAUAUGCAUAAAACAAUAGAAAGAAUUUCUUUUUUGAUAGUAGAAUAGUUUUUCUGACAAUCAUUCCAGUGUGCAGAAACAUAUUGUACUAUCUGUUCUUUAUCAUUUUCUUUUUGUUUCAAAAUACCUCCAUAACCUAUGUCUGAUGCAUCAGUUUCAACAAUCUUUGGUAAUGUAGGAUUAGCAAGAAAUAAACAUGGAAUGUUUUUUACAGAUUGCUUUAUUAAUCUAACAACUUUAGUAUGCUCAUCCGACCAUGCAACAGGAUUCUUUUUUAACCUAUCAUGCAAAGGUUUAGACAUCCUAUUGAUGUUAGGGCAGAAAUCAAGAACAUAGUUUAGACUGCCAAGAAAUCUCUGUAAUUGGGUUUUAUCAAGAAUUUUGUCUGGGAAUUUAUCCGCAAACAAAAGGGAUCUUUCAAUAGGGGUAAUGGUUCCUUUGGAAAUAUGGUGACCGAGGAACCGGACUUUUGUUUGAAAUAAAGAAAUUUUUGAACUAGAGAGAGCUAGACCAGCCUUUCUAGUAGCAAGAUAAAAGGUCUUUAAAUGUUUGAAAUGUUGAUCAAUCGUUUGGGAAAAUAUCAACACAUCAUCAAUGUAAACGAUGCAAAACUCAGAGUAGGGAUUGUAAAUGUCAUUCAUAAUUCUUUGAAAUUCUGAGGGUGCAUUUUUUAAACCAAAGGGCAUUACUGUCCAUUCAUAUUGACCAAAGGGAACAGUAAAUGCUGUUUUAUAACGGUCUUUAGGAUGGAUUUGAAUUUGCCAAAAACCCGACUUCAUAUCAAACUUUGAAAAAAUGAAAGCUGAGCAGAGCUUUUGAAGUAAAUCUUUUUUGUUAGGUAUGGGAUACCUAAUCCAUUUUAAAGCUUUAUUUAAAGGUUUAUAAUUGAUCACAAGUCUAGGAACACCUCUUUCGAUUUCAGAGUUUUUAUUAACAUAAAAGGCGGCACAAGACCAUGGUGACCUAGAUUUUACUAUAAGUCCUUUUUUCACAAGAUCAUUUAUUUCAUCUUUACAGUGUUGCUCCAAUUCCAUAUUCAUUUGGAUUGGACGAGCUCUGGUCGGUAUAUGCUUUUCGUCAAAAGAGUUUUCAUAUGGCAAAUCAACUAAAUGUUGCUUUCUAUUCCAAAAAGCAGAAGGUAAAUCAGCACAUAUCUCUUUUUCAAUGAGGGUUUUAAAAUCAGAAAUUUUCCUUUGUACAAAACUGCUUUGUAGUUGACUAUCAAUUCUCUGAAAACUUAAAUCCUUUUGUAAACAAGAUAAAUCAUCAUGUUUAGAUUUAAGAAUGGCAUUAAUUUGGGUUUUAUAAACAGAACAGGCUUUGACCAUAUUUAAAUUUCUGGUCUUUGGUUUUUCAAUAAAUGGAAAAACCAGGUUUUUAGACUUUGCUUUGAAAUAUAUACCAUCGUAAUUGACAGCAUAAGGAGUAAUGAGGUUUAUAAACGGAGUCCCUAGGAUGAUAGCAUGGUGUAUAUCAUUAGUAAGAACAAAAGAGGUUUUAAAUUCAAUUUCCUCAUUAUAAAUAGAAGCUUCAACUUUAGAAUUGACUUUCAAUUUUGAAUUAUUUGCAGCAGAGAGUCUUUCAUUUGUCCUUUCAUGAAAACGUUUUGGGACAAUGUCUUCUCUGAUGCAAUUCAAAUCAGCACCAGUAUCAAAAACGGCAAUUGCAUCUAUUGCAAAAUCUUUGGAAAAGAUUAAUGUAAUUUUAACCAAAUAUUUUCUGGUGGUGAUUUGUUUUAAGACAAAUAAAAAAUCUUGUGGAACAGAUUUAAUGUUCUCAACUUUCUGAUCAAUAUUAUCACCAUCAUCAGGAGUCGACUCAUUAUCUGAGUUAUCCUGUAAUUGCUUUUGUAAAAGAAGUUGGAUGGUAAUAGAAUCACUUUGCUGUUUUUCUUUUAAAUCCUUUAUUUCAAGUUUGAUAUCCUUGAUCUCCUUUUGAAGGUCUUGGAUACUAGAAGUAGACUUUUUUGUUUUCUUUUUGUCUAAAAUCUCAGUUAAAUCAUAGGAAUUCUUUUUAACAAUAGGAACAUUUGAGGUUCCCGCUUUAUUUGAAUCCAUGGUUUUCAAAAGUUUAUCAAGAUAUUCUUUUUGAAGAACUGGAUCAGAAAUAUGCUUUACAAGUUCGAGGAAAAUUUCUUGGUCUUUAGUCAAAACAUUGAUUUUCUUUAAAUAAGAAUCAGAAUCAGAAUCACUACUGCUAGAUGCAGAGCUAUUUGAAUAAAAAAGUUCAUCAACUUGAAGAGGGUCAUUUUCUCCCGACAUGGAAGAUUCAGAAUCAGAAGACUCAACAAGAAGGGGGGCAAUUUUGGAAAGGAUAUCUUCAUUGAGGUCAAGCUCAUGAAGUCUUUUGUUCAUUCUGCAAAAUUUUACAGUAUGACCUUUCAUGCCACAUUUGAAACAAGUGGCAUCUUUGAAGUUGAAUGGGGUUUUUGGAUUGGCUUUAAACUCUUUCUUUUUAGAGAAACCGUGUUUCUUAUAAGGCCUCGAAGGUUUCUUAUAAGGAAGUUUUCUAAAAUCAUGAAAGGGUUUCCUAUGGCUUUUGUGCUUGUAAUGUUUUCUGUAAGAUUUUGAAGAACACUUACCAUUACAAUCUUUGGAAGUAGAAGCUUUAAAGGGGUCAUAAUUGAAUUGUUUACAGAAACCUCCUAAUUCUUGCUUAGAUUGUCUAAGCUCUUGCUUUAGUCGUUUCUGUAAUUUCAAAUCCUGACAAAUCUUUAAACCUUCCUUGUUAACAAAACUGACUAGUUCACCAUAGGUGAGCUCAUCAUAAGGAAUACGAUUGUCAAAAAGAGCUUUGAUGGAGUUUCUUACCUUUUCUCCCAAUAGGGUAGGUAAUCCUGCAAGGAAUUUCUCCUUCCAAGUUACAUGAUUUGCAUCAUCCCUAAGGAAGAGUCUGGUAAAGAAAGUGGUUUUGUAGUCUUGGAAAUCACUGAGUUUCCUACAUCUUAAGUUAUGUAGUAACUCGGCAUUUUUGUCUCUGAGGUGAGAAGGGUCUCCUAUGAAAUGAAGAGAAAUGGUCAAAAUCAGGGUAGCAACUGCAUCCUGAAUAGGGCUAUUGAAUUCGUCAAGAAUGGGGGAACCAUCCUCAUCGAUUUGGAUGGCAUUUAAGACGUCUAAUUGCUGCAAUUUGGUGAGAAGAUGAUCCCACCAUCCUUUAAGUUGACCAGUAAAACCUGCAAUUAGGAUUUCUGCAAUGGCUUUGUCAGAAGUUCCUGAUUGGGUUUUGUAGGCAUUGGCUGCCAUGGUCAUUUGCUGCAAUACACCUAGGAUGUUAUAUUCAGACAUUCCAUCUAUAUUCCACUCGUAGACAGAGGAUGCAUUAUAUCGAGCUUGAUUUAAUGCACUGGGCCUGUUGUCUAUAGUCAAAUCAGGUGGAGAUUUGGAAGUAGGAAGAGCUAACUCCCAAUGGAUUUUAUUGGCUUUAGGAAUAGGUGUUUCGGUAAAGGCUUCUAAGUCCGAGGAGGCUAUAGAAACCUGGUCUUGCUCCAAUACUCCAAUCUUGCUAGAUUGGGGAGUAUCAGGAGCAAUAUUAACUCUGUUUGAUGAGGAAGAAGCAGCUUCUAUCCUAUCAAGUUGUUCACGAAUGGCUUUAGCAAAAUCUGAUUUUGAUUCAUGGACAAGCUUUUGGCUAGUUUUCGAAACCUGAAAAGGUUUGAAAAUAGGUUCUUUAAGCUUUUUAUCAUAAUCCGAUUUUGAAGAAACAGGUUUAGGACUAGGAGAGAUAGAAAUUGUUGACUGUUGGAAUUGAUUUUCAAUUCUAGUCAACUGCUUACUUAUAGUAUUUAAAUUAGUAUUACAGAAAUUAUUCUGUUGGAUAAUACUACUUAAAUUACUAUCAGUAUCAUUGAUUUUGGGGAUUUUGUAGGGUGAAGCACGAAUUUGGACAGGAGGUUCACCGUGAUCUACGGUUAUACUCCGAAGAGGUGGAUGUUCAGACUCAACAAUUCUACUACUAUCGUGGAGUUUCCAUUCAGUGGUCUUCUUUCUGAUAGUAAUAGGGUUUGAUUCUUUAAAAGGGUAAGAAAUGUUGUUCUCAGAAGAAUAUAUUUCGAACCAAUCAAAAAACAAUAUAUGAACUUGGUGAAGAUUCACAAAUUCAUAAUAAGUUUGUUGGAUUUCUUUUCUUUGUUUUAGAAAAUGCUCAAAAAACCAAAGUCUUUUUUCUUUAUUGUUUUCUGAAUAAAAAUCAUUAUGAAGAAGAGUUUUAUCUAAUUCAAACUGUUUUUCAAUAACAUUUAAAACGUUUUCUGUGACUGCAGAGAACGUAGGGGAUGUUGGAGGAGAAGGUUCUUUCUCUUCCUGUCUUUGUUCAUGUUGACUGCUAAUAUAGAUUGGAUGAGGAACUUUUGUAGUAUAGUCAACAGAACGAAUAGAGGAGCUAGGUACAUCCGAAGUGGAAAACCUAGGUUGACUUUGAAAAGGGAGAUUUAUAACAGAAGGGAUUUUUGUAAAUUUCCUUUCUAGCGAAGGAAUGCUUGAGCAUGAUUCUUUAUCGGAGAAUCUAGAAGAAUUAGAUCUCCUAAAUGAUAAUUUGACUUUACCAUCUGAAUACUGAGUCACAUUUUGCAACUCUGUAUUUGGCUCAAGUUGUUUUGGAACUGCUGGUGGAGCAACUCCUUCAAGAAUCCAUUCCUCUGGAAGAUUGACAUCUUUCCAUUGGAUUGGUUUUGGAAUAACUGUGUUUGCUUUAGACAAGUCAGUCUGUAAGAGAAGAGUCUCAUCUCUUUUUGACUGGAAUUUAUGCUGCGUACUAAACGCAGAGAUCAUAGCCUUAUAUGAGAUUUUAAAGAUUAAAGCUACAGGGACAGAUCCCUCAAUCAUAUUAUAAUUAUGCGUUUUAAUCUGUAAAAUCAUGCUUUUCAGAAUAUUUUUGUCUUUAAGAGAAAGAGUGAUAUUUGGAUAACAAUCAAAAGAAAUUGGACCUUUACAGAGACUAGAUUCGAUACUACUUAGCAAAGAAUCAUCAAAAGAGAUGAAUCGACCAUCUCUAAGAACAGCAAGGAUAGAAGUAUCCAAGCCUUCUUUGGUUAAGGGCUUUAUUCCUAUUUGGAUUAAACCAAUGUGGAUGUAAUUGAAAUUCUUUUCUUUUAAUUUCUUUAAAGACUUCUCUGAAAACAAAUGAAUUGUUUCAAAUGGUGAAGAAAGAGUGAUGUCUCUCUCUUCAGUUUUAAUAACAUAAUCACUUUUAAAGAAAUCAAGCUUUUUUGUCUUGUAGAUUUGUUCUUUUGAAAUCUUUAGAAGUUCCCAACAAUCAAUUGCUUUAUCAAAGUUCUCAAUAACGAAUUCUUCUGAACUCACAACAUGCUUUGAAUCACUAGUCUUCCCGGAAGAAGAGCUAGAAAAGGACGAUGUACGGCAAUAAAGAGGAUUCAUGGAUAGAACCCUGUGGUCUAAAUCUGGUUUGGUCAAAAUGGCUACAGGUAUGGUUUUACAGCCCUAAACAGAAAACUUAUCCUUGGACGGGACUUACUACCAGUAAAAAUUCACCACAAAAACAAAACUUCAAAAUAGAACACAAGAUUUUAAACACAAAAUUCUAAAUUGCUUUACACAAUCCUCCCCUUGGCUCUGAUACCAGAAGGAAAUAGGAUCGAACUCGGGACCUCUCGCAAUCUUCCCUUCUGGAAAGAUUUGAAGAAGUGUAAAGCCAAAAGAAAAGAUGUAUGUUUAAUUUUCAGUAAUUUAAAAUUUUAAAGUUCAAUGUAAUUUAAAUUUAUGCAAUUUACUUUACAGCAUUUACUUUCUGCACUUUAAUUUAAAGCAUUUUAUUUUACAAAGCAUGCUUGCAGACUGAUCUGUAUCAGAUCUGCUUUAUAAAAUAUACGUUCCUCUGAGGCAAAGAGACCAGAUCUCGAUCCUCAGUUGUAAAUCUUCUCUCUUCCUCCUUCUUCAGAGCACCAUUUUCGGGAACCGGAUCUGGUACUGUGUAUGAUUAGAAGCCCUCCUUAAUGCAUGUUUAUUUAUGCAAAGCCCUGUUGCUAGGUACUUUGACCACCAUUUGACUUUGAAGGUUCUUUGUAGGAUUACUUGGGGAUCCUGAUUAUGAAGUCGAAGACUCCACAUCCAAACCCAAGGAAGGAAGAAAUUUGUACAAAAACAGAGAAAAGGAGGAAAUCUUUUCUCAGACUCAGAAGGUUUAUAAUGGGCUUUGAAUAGGUUUAAACAAUUUAGGGCGUUAGGUGUAAGGAUGUCUGGACUUGGUCCAAAAUGAUUCCACCAAUGUUGGAACCAAUUUGGUAAACUUUGGACGGUUAUUUUUGGAUUGAAGAAAAAUAACCAUGAAUGGGAUUUUUUAGGAUUUUGGAUAUAAAAAGUGUUGUACCAGAGGAACGUUCAAGGAUAAGUUUUUACUGGAUAUAAAAAGUGUUGUGAAAAAAGGACUUAUAGUAAAAUCUAGGUCACCAUGGUCUUGUGCCGCCUUUUAUGUUAAUAAAAACUCUGAAAUCGAAAGAGGUGUUCCUAGACUUGUGAUCAAUUAUAAACCUUUAAAUAAAGCUUUAAAAUGGAUUAGGUAUCCCAUACCUAACAAAAAAGAUUUACUUCAAAAGCUCUGCUCAGCUUUCAUUUUUUCAAAGUUUGAUAUGAAGUCGGGUUUUUGGCAAAUUCAAAUAUAAGUUUGAUAUGAAGUGGUGAAUUUUUACUGGUAGUAAGUCCCGUCCAAGGAUAAGUUUUCUGUUUAGGGCUGUAAAACCAUACCUGUAGCCAUUUUGACCAAACCAGAUUUAGACCACAGGGUUCUAUCCAUGAAUCCUCUUUAUUGCCGUACAUCGUCCUUUUCUAGCUCUUCUUCCGGGAAGACUAGUGAUUCAAAGCAUGUUGUGAGUUCAGAAGAAUUCGUUAUUGAGAACUUUGAUAAAGCAAUUGAUUGUUGGGAACUUCCAAAGAUUUCAAAAGAACAAAUCUACAAGACAAAAAAGCUUGAUUUCUUUAAAAGUGAUUAUGUUAUUAAAACUGAAGAGAGAGACAUCACUCUUUCUUCACCAUUUGAAACAAUUCAUUUGUUUUCAGAGAAGUCUUUAAAGAAAUUAAAAGAAAAGAAUUUCAAUUACAUCCACAUUGGUUUAAUCCAAAUAGGAAUAAAGCCCUUAACCAAAGAAGGCUUGGAUACUUCUAUCCUUGCUGUUCUUAGAGAUGGUCGAUUCAUCUCUUUUGAUGAUUCUUUGCUAAGUAGCAUCGAAUCUAGUCUCUGUAAAGGUCCAAUUUCUUUUGAUUGUUAUCCAAAUAUCACUCUUUCUCUUAAAGACAAAAAUAUUCUGAAAAGCAUGAUUUUACAGAUUAAAACGCAUAAUUAUAAUAUGAUUGAGGGAUCUGUCCCUGUAGCUUUAAUCUUUAAAAUCUCAUAUAAGGCUAUGAUCUCUGCGUUUAGUACGCAGCAUAAAUUCCAGUCAAAAAGAGAUGAGACUCUUCUCUUACAGACUGACUUGUCUAAAGCAAACACAGUUAUUCCAAAACCAAUCCAAUGGAAAGAUGUCAAUCUUCCAGAGGAAUGGAUUCUUGAAGGAGUUGCUCCACCAGCAGUUCCAAAACAACUUGAGCCAAAUACAGAGUUGCAAAAUGUGACUCAGUAUUCAGAUGGUAAAGUCAAAUUAUCAUUUAGGAGAUCUAAUUCUUCUAGAUUCUCCGAUAAAGAAUCAUGCUCAAGCAUUCCUUCGCUAGAAAGGAAAUUUACAAAAAUCCCUUCUGUUAUAAAUCUCCCUUUUCAAAGUCAACCUAGGUUUUCCACUUCGGAUGUACCUAGCUCCUCUAUUCGUUCUGUUGACUAUACUACAAAAGUUCCUCAUCCAAUCUAUAUUAGCAGUCAACAUGAACAAAGACAGGAAGAGAAAGAACCUUCUCCUCCAACAUCCCCUACGUUCUCUGCAGUCACAGAAAACGUUUUAAAUGUUAUUGAAAAACAGUUUGAAUUAGAUAAAACUCUUCUUCAUAAUGAUUUUUAUUCAGAAAACAAUAAAGAAAAAAGACUUUGGUUUUUUGAGCAUUUUCUAAAACAAAGAAAAGAAAUCCAACAAACUUAUUAUGAAUUUGUGAAUCUUCACCAAGUUCAUAUAUUGUUUUUUGAUUGGUUCGAAAUAUAUUCUUCUGAGAACAACAUUUCUUACCCUUUUAAAGAAUCAAACCCUAUUACUAUCAGAAAGAAGACCACUGAAUGGAAACUCCACGAUAGUAGUAGAAUUGUUGAGUCUGAACAUCCACCUCUUCGGAGUAUAACCGUAGAUCACGGUGAACCUCCUGUCCAAAUUCGUGCUUCACCCUACAAAAUCCCCAAAAUCAAUGAUACUGAUAGUAAUUUAAGUAGUAUUAUCCAACAGAAUAAUUUCUGUAAUACUAAUUUAAAUACUAUAAGUAAGCAGUUGACUAGAAUUGAAAAUCAAUUCCAACAGUCAACAAUUUCUAUCUCUCCUAGUCCUAAACCUGUUUCUUCAAAAUCGGAUUAUGAUAAAAAGCUUAAAGAACCUAUUUUCAAACCUUUUCAGGUUUCGAAAACUAGCCAAAAGCUUGUCCAUGAAUCAAAAUCAGAUUUUGCUAAAGCCAUUCGUGAACAACUUGAUAGGAUAGAAGCUGCUUCUUCCUCAUCAAACAGAGUUAAUAUUGCUCCUGAUACUCCCCAAUCUAGCAAGAUUGGAGUAUUGGAGCAAGACCAGGUUUCUAUAGCCUCCUCGGACUUAGAAGCCUUUACCGAAACACCUAUUCCUAAAGCCAAUAAAAUCCAUUGGGAGUUAGCUCUUCCUACUUCCAAAUCUCCACCUGAUUUGACUAUAGACAACAGGCCCAGUGCAUUAAAUCAAGCUCGAUAUAAUGCAUCCUCUGUCUACGAGUGGAAUAUAGAUGGAAUGUCUGAAUAUAACAUCCUAGGUGUAUUGCAGCAAAUGACCAUGGCAGCCAAUGCCUACAAAACCCAAUCAGGAACUUCUGACAAAGCCAUUGCAGAAAUCCUAAUUGCAGGUUUUACUGGUCAACUUAAAGGAUGGUGGGAUCAUCUUCUCACCAAAUUGCAGCAAUUAGACGUCUUAAAUGCCAUCCAAAUCGAUGAGGAUGGUUCCCCCAUUCUUGACGAAUUCAAUAGCCCUAUUCAGGAUGCAGUUGCUACCCUGAUUUUGACCAUUUCUCUUCAUUUCAUAGGAGACCCUUCUCACCUCAGAGACAAAAAUGCCGAGUUACUACAUAACUUAAGAUGUAGGAAACUCAGUGAUUUCCAAGACUACAAAACCACUUUCUUUACCAGACUCUUCCUUAGGGAUGAUGCAAAUCAUGUAACUUGGAAGGAGAAAUUCCUUGCAGGAUUACCUACCCUAUUGGGAGAAAAGGUAAGAAACUCCAUCAAAGCUCUUUUUGACAAUCGUAUUCCUUAUGAUGAGCUCACCUAUGGUGAACUAGUCAGUUUUGUUAACAAGGAAGGUUUAAAGAUUUGUCAGGAUUUGAAAUUACAGAAACGACUAAAGCAAGAGCUUAGACAAUCUAAGCAAGAAUUAGGAGGUUUCUGUAAACAAUUCAAUUAUGACCCCUUUAAAGCUUCUACUUCCAAAGAUUGUAAUGGUAAGUGUUCUUCAAAAUCUUACAGAAAACAUUACAAGCACAAAAGCCAUAGGAAACCCUUUCAUGAUUUUAGAAAACUUCCUUAUAAGAAACCUUCGAGGCCUUAUAAGAAACACGGUUUCUCUAAAAAGAAAGAGUUUAAAGCCAAUCCAAAAACCCCAUUCAACUUCAAAGAUGCCACUUGUUUCAAAUGUGGCAUGAAAGGUCAUACUGUAAAAUUUUGCAGAAUGAACAAAAGACUUCAUGAGCUUGACCUCAAUGAAGAUAUCCUUUCCAAAAUUGCCCCCCUUCUUGUUGAGUCUUCUGAUUCUGAAUCUUCCAUGUCGGGAGAAAAUGACCCUCUUCAAGUUGAUGAACUUUUUUAUUCAAAUAGCUCUGCAUCUAGCAGUAGUGAUUCUGAUUCUGAUUCUUAUUUAAAGAAAAUCAAUGUUUUGACUAAAGACCAAGAAAUUUUCCUCGAACUUGUAAAGCAUAUUUCUGAUCCAGUUCUUCAAAAAGAAUAUCUUGAUAAACUUUUGAAAACCAUGGAUUCAAAUAAAGCGGGAACCUCAAAUGUUCCUAUUGUUAAAAAGAAUUCCUAUGAUUUAACUGAGAUUUUAGACAAAAAGAAAACAAAAAAGUCUACUUCUAGUAUCCAAGACCUUCAAAAGGAGAUCAAGGAUAUCAAACUUGAAAUAAAGGAUUUAAAAGAAAAACAGCAAAGUGAUUCUAUUACCAUCCAACUUCUUUUACAAAAGCAAUUACAGGAUAACUCAGAUAAUGAGUCGACUCCUGAUGAUGGUGAUAAUAUUGAUCAGAAAGUUGAGAACAUUAAAUCUGUUCCACAAGAUUUUUUAUUUGUCUUAAAACAAAUCACCACCAGAAAAUAUUUGGUUAAAAUUACAUUAAUCUUUUCCAAAGAUUUUGCAAUAGAUGCAAUUGCCGUUUUUGAUACUGGUGCUGAUUUGAAUUGCAUCAGAGAAGACAUUGUCCCAAAACGUUUUCAUGAAAGGACAAAUGAAAGACUCUCUGCUGCAAAUAAUUCAAAAUUGAAAGUCAAUUCUAAAGUUGAAGCUUCUAUUUAUAAUGAGGAAAUUGAAUUUAAAACCUCUUUUGUUCUUACUAAUGAUAUACACCAUGCUAUCAUCCUAGGGACUCCGUUUAUAAACCUCAUUACUCCUUAUGCUGUCAAUUACGAUGGUAUAUAUUUCAAAGCAAAGUCUAAAAACCUGGUUUUUCCAUUUAUUGAAAAACCAAAGACCAGAAAUUUAAAUAUGGUCAAAGCCUGUUCUGUUUAUAAAACCCAAAUUAAUGCCAUUCUUAAAUCUAAACAUGAUGAUUUAUCUUGUUUACAAAAGGAUUUAAGUUUUCAGAGAAUUGAUAGUCAACUACAAAGCAGUUUUGUACAAAGGAAAAUUUCUGAUUUUAAAACCCUCAUUGAAAAAGAGAUAUGUGCUGAUUUACCUUCUGCUUUUUGGAAUAGAAAGCAACAUUUAGUUGAUUUGCCAUAUGAAAACUCUUUUGACGAAAAGCAUAUACCGACCAGAGCUCGUCCAAUCCAAAUGAAUAUGGAAUUGGAGCAACACUGUAAAGAUGAAAUAAAUGAUCUUGUGAAAAAAGGACUUAUAGUAAAAUCUAGGUCACCAUGGUCUUGUGCCGCCUUUUAUGUUAAUAAAAACUCUGAAAUCGAAAGAGGUGUUCCUAGACUUGUGAUCAAUUAUAAACCUUUAAAUAAAGCUUUAAAAUGGAUUAGGUAUCCCAUACCUAACAAAAAAGAUUUACUUCAAAAGCUCUGCUCAGCUUUCAUUUUUUCAAAGUUUGAUAUGAAGUCGGGUUUUUGGCAAAUUCAAAUCCAUCCUAAAGACCGUUAUAAAACAGCAUUUACUGUUCCCUUUGGUCAAUAUGAAUGGACAGUAAUGCCCUUUGGUUUAAAAAAUGCACCCUCAGAAUUUCAAAGAAUUAUGAAUGACAUUUACAAUCCCUACUCUGAGUUUUGCAUCGUUUACAUUGAUGAUGUGUUGAUAUUUUCCCAAACGAUUGAUCAACAUUUCAAACAUUUAAAGACCUUUUAUCUUGCUACUAGAAAGGCUGGUCUAGCUCUCUCUAGUUCAAAAAUUUCUUUAUUUCAAACAAAAGUCCGGUUCCUCGGUCACCAUAUUUCCAAAGGAACCAUUACCCCUAUUGAAAGAUCCCUUUUGUUUGCGGAUAAAUUCCCAGAAAAAAUUCUUGAUAAAACCCAAUUACAGAGAUUUCUUGGCAGUCUAAACUAUGUUCUUGAUUUCUGCCCUAACAUCAAUAGGAUGUCUAAACCUUUGCAUGAUAGGUUAAAAAAGAAUCCUGUUGCAUGGUCGGAUGAGCAUACUAAAGUUGUUAGAUUAAUAAAGCAAUCUGUAAAAAACAUUCCAUGUUUAUUUCUUGCUAAUCCUACAUUACCAAAGAUUGUUGAAACUGAUGCAUCAGACAUAGGUUAUGGAGGUAUUUUGAAACAAAAAGAAAAUGAUAAAGAACAGAUAGUACAAUAUGUUUCUGCACACUGGAAUGAUUGUCAGAAAAACUAUUCUACUAUCAAAAAAGAAAUUCUUUCUAUUGUUUUAUGCAUAUCUAAAUUCCAAAGUGAUUUAUUAAAUCAAAAAUUUUUACUUAGAAUUGAUUGUAAAGCUGCAAAACAUGUUUUAGAAAAGGAUGUUCAAAACAUUGCAUCUAAACAAAUUUUUGCACGUUGGCAAGCAAUAUUAAGUGUUUUUGAUUUUGAUAUUGAGUUUAUUAAAGGUGACAAAAAUUUUGUUCCUGAUUUUCUAACCAGAGAAUUUCUUCAAAACAGAUAAUGCCGCCAAAGAAGGUCAAAGACAAAGGUAAAGUUGUUCUCAAAGCCUCUGGUUCCCAAGAACCAUCUAAAGAACCAAUUUCAACCCCCUCUAAAGAAAAAUUAAUUUCUUCGGCCUUACCUAUAAAAUCCUGGAUUGAAUUGGUCGAAGAACAUGAAGCCCAGUACAAAUCCAUCUCUUCAGAUGACCAAGUAAAGCAUUGGAUGAGUUCCAUUACCAGAUCUCCUGAGCUUAUGAUAGCUCUCCAAAACCUUUCCCAAAGCCAAUCUUCUCUUCAAGAAGAAAAAGAAAAACCCAAAGAAAUUUCAAAGCCCUCCUCUCAAAAUGUGGUUGUGUCUUGUGAAAGUUCAUCCUCUCAAAGUGUGCUUUCACAACCAACACUUUCAAAGAAAACAUCCGAUUGGAUUGAUAAAAACCAUUUUCAAAACAUUCUUUCUAUCGAAGAUGGAUUUUACAAUUCUGAUCCUUUUCAAAGCAUUUCAAAGUUUUUCCCCAAAGGCUGGUUUUUCAAACCAUGGGAUUUGACAAAACCCCAGUCUUACUAUCAAAGCAUUUUAGAAAUUACUGAGUCAGUUAAAUUUAAACAUUUCUUUCUCAGCAGUUCUCAUUCUGAGCCGGCCUACUCUACGGCCACUAUUUUAAAGGUAUUGAGCCCAAACCAGUGGGGUGACCUGCUCCAUAAUUUCAAAACUUUCCCUCUCAAUUUUGAGACCCGUUUACCUCACUGUAGGACUUUUUCCUAUUGGGAUUACCAACAGGCGUGGUACAACACUUUUUAUAUCCAAAAUCCUAAAAAAUCCCAUUCAUGGUUAUUUUUCUUCAAUCCAAAAAUAACCGUCCAAAGUUUACCAAAUUGGUUCCAACAUUGGUGGAAUCAUUUUGGACCAAGUCCAGACAUCCUUACACCUAACGCCCUAAAUUGUUUAAACCUAUUCAAAGCCCAUUAUAAACCUUCUGAGUCUGAGAAAAGAUUUCCUCCUUUUCUCUGUUUUUGUACAAAUUUCUUCCUUCCUUGGGUUUGGAUGUGGAGUCUUCGACUUCAUAAUCAGGAUCCCCAAGUAAUCCUACAAAGAACCUUCAAAGUCAAAUGGUGGUCAAAGUUCGAUGAACAAUCUAAAUUGACUACAAGUGAGAUUGAAAAAUGGCUCUCCUCUAGAGGUCAUCUACAACCAACCAUUAAAGACACCAAAGCCCAGCAAACUUUCCUUACCCAAAAAUCCAAAGCCCAAUCUCUUUUGGCAAGUGCCAAAACAGAAGAAGAAUACUUCAAAGCAAUGGAACAGCUCCUCGCCUCUCGAUCCAAGUCCUCGGUAGCAGAUUCCACUGAAGAUGAAGACGAUGAUGAUGACGAGCCAACCGUUUCCCUCGGUGACGAAAAUGAAGAUGACUGUUUCGGCAUUUUCUCUCCAGUAAAGCAUUGUAAAUAAUUAUUUGAUUAUUUACUUAAAAAAAAAAAAAAAAAAAAAAGUAAAUUUAUUUUCUCCUCGGGUGGUCCUUUGGACACAAGUGAGAGCGCACAUGUCUCUUCACCCGUAUUGUAUUUCAUUUUGUAUUCUAGUAUUUGUACAAAGUAGUCUACUGUUCAAAGCUACGGUCAGCCUACUGUUCAAAGCUACGAUCCAAAGGUUACUGUGCACUUAAAAACCCGCUACAGUGAACAGUUUCAAUUUCCAAAGGUUACUGUGCACUUAUAGCUCCGCUACAGUGAACAGUUUCAAUUUUUUGUAUAUAUUCUACGAGGAAGACUUAGACUCCUCAGAAUUUUUUCAUUUUUAGAUUAGAACUUCUCUCUCUUCUCCUCCUUCUCUCUAAAAAGCUCUCCUUUUCGGAAGAGUCCGGAUUCAAAGAAAUUUUCUGUCUACACAAUAGUUCUACCACAGAGCUUUGGGUGAACAGACUAGUUCUUACUUCGGUAAUCUUCCCGUCUUUCAAUCUUCCCUUCUGGAAAGAUUUGAAGAAGUGUAAAGCCAAAAGAAAAGAUGUAUGUUUAAUUUUCAGUAAUUUAAAAUUUUAAAGUUCAAUGUAAUUUAAAUUUAUGCAAUUUACUUUACAGCAUUUACUUUCUGCACUUUAAUUUAAAGCAUUUUAUUUUACAAAGCAUGCUUGCAGACUGAUCUGUAUCAGAUCUGCUUUAUAAAAUAUACGUUCCUCUGAGGCAAAGAGACCAGAUCUCGAUCCUCAGUUGUAAAUCUUCUCUCUCCCUCCUUCUUCAGAGCACCAUUUCCGGGAACCGGAUCUGGUACUGUGUAUGAUUAGAAGCCCUCCUUAAUGCAUGUUUAUUUAUGCAAAGCCCUGUUGCUAGGUUUGCUAAUAAGAACCUAACCCAGAUCUGGUAAAGAUACUUCUAAAAUUGACUAAUCUCGUUUCAAAGCAAAGAAUCUAAACUUUAUUUGGUAAUUUUCCGGUAUAUCGGCUGGAAACUAGAACGUGCGGCAUAUUGAUCUGUCCUAAGUCAGAUCUGGUGCCAAAGGCAGACUUGGCUCUGCGUCGAUCUAGAUACAACGCCACGUACUUCUAAAAUCUUAUCAACCGCGAUCCAAAGCAAAUCCAUAAAGCAAAUCAACUUUAAUCAAAGCUGGUAAGUUCUUUAAAAAUUUGGAAUCUAUCAAUUGUCGUAUUAAAGGUUUUAAUAUUGAGUCCUUUUGAAAAUACACCUAUCCUUCGAUCCUAUUUCCUUCUGGUAUAUAUAUAUAUAUAUAUAUAUAUAUAUGAUUUUCAUGGACUAGCAUUUGACAGAUGAGUUGAUUAUUAUUUUUUGUCUGUCUGUUUAUUGGUUCUGUUGCUCAGUCAUAGGUAGACAUUGCUCAUUGACCAUUUGUUAGUGACAGGCUCAAAAGAGAUGCUUGAACUUUUGCUUUUAUCUCUUGUACUUGCUUGGAUUUAGUUUGGAAAAGCAAAUCUAAGAUUUAGUCAGGUGAGCUUUGCAGCAAGUUGGGAUCUGACCCAAGUCAUGAUCCAAGUUGAGCAGAAUAUCCACAAAAACCAUCAUCUCAUCCAUGAAACAAAAGCAAUUUUGAGAGCCAGCAUUGGGGAAUCCUUUACUAGACAUGAGUUUUGAUAUUUGAUAUUAUGAAAGUCUUUUAUUUGACAUGUAAAGGUAGGGAUUUACUUUGUUUAACCCCUAUUCGUGCUAUAGGUUGACAGUAAUCUAUCACUUAAAUGCACUUUUUCCAAUCAGCCAAUGGCAAGCAAAUUGCUAGAAUGAAAAUGAGGCAUAAGUUAAAUGCUUUCUUGAAAUGUGGUGAAAUCAUUUGUUUAUGGUAGUACUUGUCGUGGCAGAAGCAUCCUCCUAAAAUUAUUUAUAAGAAACUCUUUUUACUCUCUAUGCCAGUGGAGUGGGCCUUCAAAAGGAAAGGAAAAGUUGUACCUAAAGUUGUGAAAAGGAAGAAUUUGCAAGUCAAGAAUGAAUAUAUUAUGCAUGGCUACAUAAAUUGGUACAUAUAGCUUUUGCACCUAAUCUGAUUAUCUCGAUUCCUGGACCCAGAACUAAUAGCCUAAUUAUUACACAUGAUAUUCAGAAGCCACUAUGCUUAUAGGUAACUCUGUUGGAAGCCUAGCUUGUUUUAUUGCUGCCUCAGGUAUAUUUAUUUUAACUUCCCCUUGGACAUCAGAUUUUCUUCAACUUGCUUGCAAAGAAACACUUGCCCCUAAUUAUCCUUUUUGGUAUCUAUGGUUUACGAUAAACCUGCUAUAUUUUCUACCAUAAGAAUCUAGUCAAACCCUUGUUCGAGGGCUUGUUCUGUUGAAUUGUGCUGGUGGCAUGAACAACAAGGCAAUUGUUGAUGAUUGGAGAAUCAAGCUAUUGUUCCCAUUGCUUUGGUUCAUUGAUUUUUUGUUGAAGCAAAGGCCAAUUGCUUCUGCUAUAUUUGAGCGUGUGAAACAAAGGUAUUUUCUCUUCUCUCUAUUCAGUCCAUUGUUCAUUAUCCCAAGACACUAGAGUCAAAAUUAAAAAAAAAAACUCUAUGAUGUGUAUACAUUGGUGCUGUAAGGAAACACUGAGGAAUAUUUUACUGUCCAUUUAUGCAAAUAAGGAAUCUGUGGAUGAAACACUGGUUGAGGUAUUAAUAUUCUCCACUUAGAUGCCAUUUUAACCUGUUACAAAAAUGGCUUCCCAUAAUUCAUGAAUCGACCUCAAAACUGCAGAUCAUACGAGAGCCCGCCAAUGAGGAAGGGGCACUUGAUGCAUUUGUUUCGAUUGUAACAGGCCCACCAGGGCCGAACCCAGUUCAAUUGAUGCCAUCAAUCUCUAUACGUGUACUAGUUUUAUGGGGUGAUGAGGAUCCAUUCACACCCCUCGAUGGACCUGUUGGUAAAUACUUCUCAUCUCUGCCUUCUAAACUCUCAAAUGUGAAGCUAAUUGUAUUGGAAGGAGUAGGACAUUGCCC